UUUUACCUAUUGCAACAUAGAGCUCCAAAAUGAGGGCUUUAAUGGUAGAUCUCUAAAGAUAGGUCUAAAUGCUUUGGAAAUGGUUUUAGUGGAACCCAUUGAUGCCUAAUAGAUGGUUAAUGUUUGAAUCAUAGAGCAAUUUAAUGAUUUCUUGCAUAGUUGUAAACCUAGGGCUCAAAAUGCUAACUUUCAAAAUAUGAGGGUUUGAUCUCAUUUGACCCUUCGUAAACCUAAUUGCUAGGUAAUGAAACGCGUUGGCGAAGACGGUUCAGCGAUUCGUCGAGCCGGUGCAAAGUUAUUAAAGAAACGGACGUUCAGGCUUCGUUUCCGCCUGGAGGGCCGAGGCGACGUCGUAAAAUCCUGAAAACGGAUUUGAAGCAUCGUACCAAGAAACCGAAGACCUUUAAUUUUCGGAUUGCGGAUCGGAGGUCGUUUGGUGGUCGCGCGCGGAUUGGGUCAAGCCGAGCGGCGUGCGCCGCGGGAGGCCGAUUGCAAGUGACGACAAGCAAUCGGAACGCGAUAAAAGGUGGGGGAGUGCCAUCCCGAAGCAAUCGGGCUUCUUCCUAUGUCUUAGUGCUUAUCCAUUAACAUGUAGCAUAUUGUAUAUCGAUACCUUGCAUUAUAGGAUGACAAUACAUGCAUUCCUAAUCCUUAUAUGAUGUUUAUGAUCAAUAUAGUAUUAUGAUAUGGAUAUAUGAUGUAAUGGACAUAAGGAUUAUGAGAUGACAUUGGUAAACCUAUGAUGCUAAAUGAGAGAAGAACCUAGUGUUGUGUUUAAAGACAUAGUUUACAAGUGGCAUUGAACUUAUUGUGCUAAAAACACAUAUGACUUGAGCUAGUAAUGGAUUGGUUGUUGUACUAGAAACUCUAGUUAACAUUGAUCAAGUUGCAUAUUGGGAUAUUGCAUUAUAGGGUACUAGUUGGCAAUUGUUACAUGUCAUGGCAUGCUAGUGGGAGUGUAGUGUUACUUGAUUAAUACUUGUACCUAGUAUGCAUGAGAUUGGGACUUAGUGCGGUGAAACCCUAUAAGGGCAUGAUUAAUGUGGAUUAAACUUUGUUGAGUGCAUUAAUCGAUUAAGUUGCAUAUUGUAUUUAUUGCAUUUAGAUGCUAAAUGAUUGUGGUCAUUGCUCAUAUUUGCAUGCUAGUAGCUAUACAUCUUGAUGAUUGAUCCAUGAUCUAGUAUGCAUGAUGAUUAUAUGAUGAAAACUUUAUGAUAAAGACCUAGACCCUAUGUGAGGUGAUUAAUGCUUAUGUUGCUAAAGAACUAGUAUGAUGUAACUAGUGUUGAAAUGAGUCUAAAUGUCGAGUGGCAUCUAGUUUAGAAAACUAUGAUGAGUGGCAUAUGAUUGUUGAUAACCUUGACAUGAGAACCUUAGUGUAGUUGAAACACUAUGAGAUUGGGUACAAGAACACCUUGAUUCCAUGAUGAGAUUACCCUUAGAGGGUAGGUUGCUGUUGCUCGUGAGAUGAUCACGCUCACAUUGCCUGUCUGCGCUUGGUGGGGUCGCUCCCCUCAAGUUGUGCGCUCCGGAGUUUGGUCACUAGAGAGGCAGCCCUGCUUGCUGCUCGGAUAGCCGCUUGUUAUCCGCAGGCGUACUCGGGGAUAGUCCAGCUAGGCAUCCCUCGGAGAUUGAUAUGUGAGCCUUGCUUGUGAACCUUGUGUUCACCACGAGAUUUGGUUACCUAUUGAGUCAUACUCAUUAUUGUUGUUCAUGAUAGCUUGCUUCCAUAGUUGUUGUUGUUGUUCAUAGUAGCUUACUAGUGUUCAUAGUAGCUUACUUAUUGCUCAUGCCUUCAUGAUAUACUAUUCCUUCACCUAUGAGAUUUGAGUACCUAUUGAGUCAUAUUCAUUAUUGUUGUUCAUGAUAACUUGCUUCCAUAGUUGUUGUUGUUGUUCACCUAUGAGAUUUGAGUGGAGUAGCCCUGUACCUAGUAGGUCGAGAUGUGAGUCGGGCAAAGUGCGGGGUAGCCUUUNGAAGGUGCUAGAGUUGAAGUUCUUCCCUCCAACAAGCUCCACACAAAGCUCCAAUGCUUCUCCAAUAGUGGAAACCCAACAUGAAGCAAAGAGGAGAGGAAAAGAGAGAUCAAAACAAACUAAAACCAUGAGAAAUGGGAGAAAACCAAGGGAGAAGGCCCUCACCUGAGUUCUCCAUGGAUUAGGGCUCAAAAGGGCCAUCCAAGGGGCUGUGGGGGGUUAAAUAGAGAUGUAACAAUCUCAAAAAGGCUCUCCAACAACGUGCAGUCUGCACUGCACUGCGUACCGGUGACACGGGAAAGAGUACCGGUACCAGGCAACAGCACGCGCAAACCCAAGCCUCGGGUUGGCGAGAAAAUACACUGGGUACCGGUACCAUCGCGAUGCAGUACCGGUACGGGAUCAAUGCAGUACCGAUACUCUGCCCUGCAUAGGCAAACCCGAGAGCAAUCCAAACUCUGCAAUUUGGAGACUUUAGUGCUAAGUUUUAAUCCUCACUUCUCAGGAUGCGAGUCAUAGGUCGGAACACUGUCAACGACUCUCCAGAAUAUCUGAAAAACUCAAAACACAGAUCAAAACUCGAACAUCGCAAUUUGCAAAAGUCCAGUGUGUUACAUUCACCCUAGGAGUUUCGUCCGCAAAACUAAAAAGCAAGUUACCUCAAGACUCUAUCUGAAAAAAAUGGGGAUAGCGCUCCUGCAGUGCGCUUUCCAACUCCCACGUGGCCUCGUGUUAAUCGUGGUUGCUCCAAAGAACCUUCACAUAAGAUAUAUCACGAUUCCGAAGCUUUUUCAUCUCGCGAGCCAAAAUCCUCACCGGUUGCUCUUCAAAGCUUAGUCAUCCUUCAGCUCUAAUGGUAUAGCUGUAAGGUACCGGACUUCUAAAAUCAUGAGGUUACGGUGUCCAUUUGGUUGGAGAGCCAUUUGAAUGGUUCCGGUAAGGUUGCGGUGUAAUGUAAUAUACCGAAUUUAAAUAUAAAAAAUAGAAAUAAAUAAAAAUAGUAUGAGAUACUAUUUUUAUUGAAUUUAGAGAGGUGAAAUAUAAGUUGGGAAUGACCUGUGCUGAAAUCGGAAUUAAAAUAGAAGAUUUAGAAUUUUCUGUUGGAAACGGGACAGAUAAAUUAGCAGAAAAUGCACAGUCUCAGAAAAUUAUGAAAAUUUGCAGAGAUGUCAGAAAUAUUUUUAUGAGGCUAAAUUUAAGGUUUCAUAUUUUUCUGACACCCGUAGAGUGAGAAAUAAAAUCCGAAAGCUAACNUAAGGUCUAAUGAAUCGGGGGCUCAACUUACCCCUGAUGCCAAAUCUUUUAAUCCCUUUGGUUGGCAAGACUUUCAAGAAGACAUGAUCUCAAAUCUGGAACUCCAAGUCUCGUCGAUGCCUAUCGGCAUAGCUCCUCUAUUUACUCUGAGCCGUCAACAAGCAAUGCAAACUUUAUCCUCUGCUUCCUGGAGCACAUCAGGGCCUAAAGCCAAUCUCUCGCCAACUUCACUCCAAUGAAGUGGCGAUCUACAUUUCCGUCCAUAGAGUGCUUCGAAGGGUGCCAUCUUGAUGCUUGCUUGAUAACUAUUGUUAUAAGCAAACUCCGCCAUCGGUAACUGCUGUGACCAUCCUCCCUUGAUGUUUAUAACACACGCUCAAAACAUAUCCUCUAGAGUCUGUAUAGUGCGCUCAGAUUGCCCAUCACUCUGAGGGUAGAAAGCUGUACUAAAAUCCAAACGCGUGCCCAAGGCAUCCUGUAGACUCCUCCAAAAGUGAGAUACAAAUCGAGGGUCUCGAUCAGAGACUAUCGAAGUAGGUACCCCGUGAAGUCGCACAAUCUCAUCCAAGUAUACCUGUGUGAGCUUCUCGCCUGUCCAAGUAGUAUGAAUAGGUAUAAAAUGCGCCAAUUUCGUCAACCUAUCCACGAUCACCUAAAUAGCAUGAUGUCCGGCCUGAGAGCGAGGCAAUCCCAUAACAAAAUCUAUGGUGAUCUUUUCCCACUUCCAAACGGGAAUCAGUAAACUCUGAAGUUUUUCCGUCGGUAGUCGGUGCUCAGUUUUCACUUGUUGGCAAGUUAAACAUCGAGCUACAAACUCGCCCACAUCUUUUUUCAUUCCGGGCCACUAAUAAAGUAACUUCAAGUCCUUGUACAUCUUGGUGCCUCCCGGAUGCAGAGCAUAGGGUCGGUGAGCUUCUUGGAGAAUAUCCUCUUUAAUUGUCGAUUCCGCCGGUACGCAAAUCCGCUCGCAGAAACGCAACAACCCUCGAUCAUCUACAAGAAAAUCACCGGUGUAACUAUCAACCAUUUUAGCUCGAAUCUUUUGCAACUCCACAUCGUGAACUUACUUUCCUUAAUCCUUUCUAAUAACGUAGGUUGCACCACCAAUGCCAUCAGUCUCAAAGGUGUAUCAGGAGCCACCACCUCCAACUCUAACCGCUUCAUCUGCUCAAUCAACGGCGGUUGAGUGACUACAAGUAUCACUAAGUUUUUCGUCGAUUUUCUACUUAGUGCAUCCGCCACAACGUUAGCCUUGUCCGGGUGGUAGAGAAUCGUCAGAUCAUAAUCUUUGAGCUCUACCCAUUUGCGCUGUCUCAAGUUCAACUCCUUCUGAGUGAAUAAAUAUUUUAAGCUCUUGUGAUCCAUAUACACUUCACACCGCUCGCCAUAAAGAUAGUGACGCCAUAGCUUUAAUGCAAAGAUUACGGCCGUCAACUCCAAAUCAUGUGUAUGAUAGUUCCUUUCAUAUUCCUUCAAUUGGCGAGAGGCAUACGCGAUCACCUUUUCAUCCUGUAUCAAAACGCAGCCCAAUCCAUUAAAAGAUGCAUCACUAUAAAUCACAUAUCCUGCUCCAGUAACUGGCAAGGUCAAGAUCGGGGCGGUCGUCAACCGAUUCUUCAACUCUUGAAAGCUUUUCUCGCACGCAUCAUUCCAAACGAACUUAGUGCCUUUGUGCGUGAGCCUCGUGAGGGGAGUAGAUAACUUAGCAAAUCCCUCAACGAAUCUCCCGUAGUAGCUGGCCAAACCAAGGAAACUCUGAAUCUUCGUGACACUUGUCGGUCUAGGCCAAUCCUUGAUUGCCUUAAUCUUUUUAGGAUCCACGGCUAUAUCCGAACCCGAAAUCAAGUGUCCCAAAAAUGCCACCUUUCUAAGCCAAAAUUCACACUUUUUCAACUUGGCAAAGAGUUUCUUUUCCCGAAGCAUUUGAAGUACAAGUCUUAAAUGCUCCUUGUGAUCUUUAUCACUUCGGGAAUAAACCAAAAUGUCGUCGAUGAACACCACGACGAACCUGUCUAAAUAAGGCUUGAAAACACAGUUCAUUAAUUCUAUAAAAGCUGCCGGGGCAUUAGUAAGCCCAAAUGGCAUAACAGUAAACUCGUAAUGUCCAUACCGUGUUGUAAAAGCCGUCUUUGAUACAUCCUCAGGCUUGAUCUUAAGGUGGUGGUAUCCUGACUGCAAGUUUAUCUUAGAAUACACACUUGAUCCUUGAAGCUGAUCAAACAAGUCAUCAAUCCUCGGCAACGGAUACUUGUUCUUAAUUGUGACUUUAUUAAGUUCACGAUAAUCCACCCACAAGCGAAGUGAUCCGUCCUUUUUCUUGACAAAUAAAAUCGGUGCUCCCCAAGGCGAAACACUUAGCCGAAUGAAACCUUUGUCUAAUAAAUCCUGCAGUUGUGCCCUCAGCUCUUUCAAUUCAGCCGGUGCCAUCCUAUAGGGUGCCUUUGAGAUUGGGAUAGUCCCAGGGACGAGAUUUACCACAAACUCAAUCUCCCUAUCAGGUGGCAUACCUGGUAGCUCUGCUGGAAACACAACACAAAACUCCCGUACCACUAGAAUAUCCUCAAUCCUAGGGGUAUCAUCAUCACCCCUCAGCACCACAUUAGCCAAAUAGGCUAUACAAUCCCUGCUGAUCAACUGUCUAGCUCAAGACGAGCUGAUCGUCAUCGCAAACAACAAACUCCGACAUCCCUUGAACACCACUUCCUUCUGCCCCGGUUCUCUAAAGGUGACCGUUCGAUUCUUGUAAUAAAUAGUAACGAAGUACUUUGUCAACCAAUUGAUGCCCAAAACCACAUCAAACUCUCCAAGUUUAGGUAAUGCUAGUAGAUCCAUGGGCAUGAUCCAAGCUCCUACCUAAACAGGGCAACUGGAGCAAAACUCCCCCAAUGUCCAAAGAGUGGUCGGGAACAACAGCACGUCUCGGAUGCAACAAGAAAACUAGUGGAAUGCCAUGCAACUCGGCAAACAGCUGAUCUAGGAAUGAAUGCGAUGCACCGGUAUCAAAUAAAGCUCGAACUCUAAUGCCAUUUAAUAAAAUGAUACCUGCCACCACAUCCUCGGCUGCUGUCGCCUCCUCAGUCUGGGCCGCAUACAUGCACCCGCUAGGGGCCUGUCGUGACCCCUCAGUCUGACACUGGACGGGUGGCCGCCCAGGUUGGUAGUGUGCCGAUGGAGUCCCCUGACUAGUAGUUGGUAAUGCCGGUGCUGAUGCAGAUGACGGUGCCGGCAAUGAACCCCUCAGGCACUCAGUCCGGAAGUGGCCCUCCUGGCCACAAAGGAAGUACCUGCUUCCCCGCUGUGGGCACUGCGGUGGAAUGUGGGGACCACCGCAGAUCACGCACUGGGGAGGUCUGCGACGAUCAGAUCCUCCGCACUGCGUAGAUGAGCCACAUUCUCUCGACUGGCUCCUAGGGGGACUUGGCGGCCUCUUAGAGUGCGCCUGACUCGCACCCUCUGCCGUGGGCCUUUUGCCCUUACCCUUGUCCAAGCCCUCUCUCCGCUCUUGCAUGCCCGCCUCGCCCAUCUCCACAAUGAGAGCGCAGUUCACCACUUCUCGGUAAGUCUACAGAUUUGACGAUUGCAUAAACCGGAAGAUCGACGGUCGAAAUCCACUCUAAAAAAUGCGGGCCAUGUCCUCAUCAUCCCGCACGACAAAAGGCACGCAAUGUAGAAGCCGAGAGAACUCCCUCUCGUACUCGUCUAUCGUCCGGUCGCCCUGGCGCAAGCCGCGCAAGUCCUCCAUUUGCCUCUUGACACUGUUGAGGAAGUAGUACUCCAACAAAAGCUCUUUGAACUUCUUCCAAGAAAUAGCUGAUAGAUCAAUGUUGGGGUUGUCUCGGAUGUCCAACCACCAACAAUAGGCCUCGCCGUCCAAGUGAUGUGUGGCGAGCCAAACACUGUCCCUCUUCUCCACGAAGGUAUCAUAGAAAAGCUUUUCCAUGUGCAUCAACCACUUCUCCACGAUCCAGUGGUCGGCCUUCUCUCCAUCAAAGAUCUGGGGAUUGCACCAUCUGAACUCAUUGAGGCGAUCCAUAAGUUGGUCUCGCUCCGCUCCCUCAACCAUCACGGGAAAAACUGCCCCCGCCGGAGGCACCUGCAUAGGUGGUGCCGCGACCACCUCCUUCUAAGGCGCGACCAUGGGCGCCGCACGCGAAGAGCCGGGUGCGAGAGACGGUGCCCUCGAUGCAACAUCCUCCGCUGGCGCGGGUGGCGUGGGAACCUGUGCCUCCCUAGCAGCCGCUUGCUGAAGUAGCAAAUCCUCCAAUCGCUUCAUCCGCGUCUCCUGUCGGUGCGCCACAUCGGCCUGCCGUUGAGCCGUCGCCGCCUGCUGAGCCACUAAAUCAGUGAGGACCGCAAGCUGGGUCCUCAAGUCACGGACUUCGCUAGAUCCGGAAGUAGCGGAGGUCUCCACCUCCUCAAGGUUUGCCGCAUUCUCUGCCCCAACAGAUUUAGAGCGAGUAGUUAGCAUGAUCACUACAACAACAUAAAAGUGCAAGUUAGUAAAGCCCACGCUAUCGUAACCCAACUCAAAGGAAAUAAUACCCCAAAUCAUGCAAAAGUAAGGGAGUGUCCUUCACCUUUAACUCCCGAUGUUAUGUUGUCGGCCGCAAACGUAACCCGCCGCGAAGUUAGAAGUUGUACACUUCGAUUCAACUCCAACAUUUUAGAGUUUAUAUAAUACCCAAUCGUGAUACUUUCGCUUACAAGUCAAAUAGACCCCGUCUCUCACGAGCCUAUUUCCUAUAGUCCAACCGGCCUAAGGUUUGCUAAGUCCACUAAGACUCAACCCUAGGCUCUGAUAUCAAAAUAAUCUGUCACGCCCCGGGACCCAGUGGAAGCCCGCCCGGUGCGUGUCCAGACCCGCCAUAUGCCUACAACAUAUAAGGCGUCUACAACAAAGCGAUAAUUAAAGCAAUAAUAAUAGGCAUCUAGAGAUAUCAGAGAUGAUUACAACUAAAUUCUAAUGACAAGUAGAAUAUAAAAGAGCUAAACAACUAUCAUAAUCCACAAGUAGAAAUAUCAUAAGAUCUCAAAUACAAGUGCUAGAAAUACAAAAUGGUGGUCUCUACACAUAGGUACAAAAAAAACUCUCACUCUAUACCAUAAAUACAAAAAUAGAGAGAUGACCACCUAGCGUAAAAACUCCUCGCUAUCUAGCUAUAUGCGAUCCCCUUUCCGCGAUCCCGAGCCUUUUCCGGUGCGGAUGGCUCUGUAAUAAAAACAGCAAAUAGAGAUCGUGAGAACUAUUAAUCAAUAGUUCCCAGUGGGUAAGCCGCCGACCUCAGCGAAAUACACCACUAGGCUAUGGAGGAUAAGUAGUAAGUUCUAACAUUUAAAUGGAAUGAACAACAUGUAUAUUGAGCAUGAAUAAAACUUGCUAAACUACUAUGCCUCUACUUAGCAUGAAUUUCCACAAAUAUAAAUGCCAUUCUAACAUGAAUAUGCGUAUGUAUAAAUAACAUGAUAUCCACAAGUACAACUAGUAAAAUGUCAUUAUUUACUAAAUUGUCCAAUGACCACUUUGCAUUUUAGUUCAAGUUUAUUCCAAUCAUGUAGGACCUAUAUAAGGUAGUCCGGCUUGCGACGUGCCUAAUGGCCCGUGGUAGUCAACAUUCCCACCCUAGGAAUGAGCCUCUCCCACGGCAUCCCAUUUCGGCGCCCAAUCCCGCACGGGCGAGCUUAUGUCGCGAUGGCUAUUUCCGGAGUACCGGCUUGUAGGGAGUGACCCCCACAAGCAUGUGCGAAUGAACACAAUGGCAAGCAAGCGUAAUCAUCCGUCUCAAGUCCAAUCUCAUCAUGUCUAAAACAUGGUAUAAAAGCUAGUGACCCAAUGACCUUUCACUAUGUCAUCAUGUAGGAGUUUAACCAUUUACUAGGUUGAAUGCCUCUUUAUGGCAUUUUUGUCCACUAUGUCAAACAUGAGUUCUAUGUCCAAGAGCAUGUUAUUCUUAUCAUUUUCAUUACAUGAAACAUGAUUCAAAGCCACAUAAAAGAAUGCUAUUCACAUGCAUGAUUAUAAAACACAUAUCUCUCUGCUAAAUAGAGGUGAUAUUUUUUAUGAAACAUAACACAUGUAUUUUAAGCAUUCUAAAAUUCACAUAUGCUCUAUCUAGCAUGAAUAUGUAUGAAUUUUUAUUUUAUAACAAGAAAAAUAACAUAGGGGGAGUUCACCCAUUUCGGUGAGGUCAAACCCACCAAGAACUCCUUACAACCCUUUCGUUUGCGCGAAGGAAGGUGUCCACAAGUCUCCUAGCUCCCUAAAGAAAAUUCUAAGAGGGUUAAACGAAAUGAAUGAACACUACACGAGUUCAUUUUUAACCAACCCAAGAAAAGGGCAAAGCUUACCUAAAUGUUGGAAAAACCCUCUCAAAUCCCAAAUGGAAGCUAGAGCACUUCUAAACCAAUCUAGAGGAAGGUUCUAAACCAAUCAAAUGAGCUCCAAAAGCUACAAAUCAAAAAUCCCCAAUUAAAUCCUAGAUUUCUCAUUUAUAGGGUUUCUACACAAAAACUCUACCAAAAUAUGAUCCAAAAGAGAGAUCAUAGCUAUUAACCUCUCUUGAUGUUCCAAACCUAGCUAGGAAGGUGCUAGAGUUGAAGUUUUUCCCUCCAACAAGCUCCACACAAAGCUCCAAUGCUUCUCCAAUGGUGGAAACCCAACAUGAAGCAAAGAGGAGAGGAAAAGAGAGAUCAAAACAAGCUAAAACCAUGAGAAAUAGGAGAAAACCAAGGGAGAAGGCCCUCACAUGAGUUUUCCAUGGAUUAGGGCUCAAAAGGGCCAUCCAAGGGGCUGUGGGGGGUUAAAUAGAGAUGUAACAAUCUCAAAAAGGCCCUCCAACAACGUGCAGUCUGCACUGCACUGCGUACCGGUGACAUGGGAAAGAGUACCGGUACCAGGCAACAGCACGUGCAAACCCAAGCCUCGGGUUGGCGAGAAAAUACACUGGGUACCGAUACCAUCGCGAUGCAGUACCGGUACCAGCUCCAGUACCGGUACGGAAUCAAUGCAGUACCAAUACUCUGCCCUGCAGAGGCAAACCCGAGAGCAAUCCAAAUUCUGCAAUUUGGAGACUUUAGUGCUAAGUUUUAACCCUCACUUCUUGGAUGUGAGUCAUAGGUCGGAACACUGUCAACGACCCUCCAGAAUAUCUGAAAAAACUCAAAAUACAGAUCAAACACUCGAACCUCGCAAUUUGGAAAAGUCCAGUGCGUUACAGGACAAGAAUGUACCAACUAGUCAAAUAAUCCACCACCACCCCCAUGCAUCGCAUACGGGUAGACCUCCUCGAUUCACACAAGAGUCCAUAGAGUAGCACUAUACUAUCCUGGCCAUUCAAGAGUCUACGUCACCAUGUACGACUCUUCUUUACACUUACCCUUUCACUAUGGAACUCACUCUGAUUCGAUCACCGACAUUGCUUAGAAGCAAUAUCACGAAUGCAUCGCUCGAUCAUGAGUGCUCCAAUCACACGUGGACUUUUAGCUCUGUAGCGAGAUGGCACACUUCGGGACACCCUCAAAUUCCAGUUCACUUGAGAGCAUAGUCCUCAAUCCUCACGUGGCUUUCCACUAGCUCGUUGUCUCAUAAAGAGCACUUCACUUUACUUUCAUCUGCCACGGUCACUAUCAUGUUGUUCUCGCGAUGAGUUCACACGAACAAUUCGUUCGUGAAUCCAAUUAGGCGAGUGGUAUGACCGAGCCUCCGCUCCUAUAGUCACUAUUCUCAGUUCUCCUAUACACAAUCAAUACUCGCACAUUAUCAGAGCCAUCGGCUAAAUCGCUUACCUUGGUUUAUCAUAGAUGGUCCACAGACCAGAAUUCCGACGUAGGCCUACUACCUAAACCUGUCUCGAUAAUGUGCAACAUCUCUCACUCGCAAGCGUAAACCCAAUCAUCACUGGGCAAAGUCCUCACUUGGGGCUUCGCACACACGCUCCAACUAGGAGCAACCAAGUCCCCAAACCGCUACAAGUCCUCGAGUUGGGUCAUAACUACACCCUCAGUGUACUAUCGGUCACACAAUUUUACACGUGGCGUUCCACGUUCCCGGGUCUCAGCUUGAACUACCGCCCCGACAUGAUCCGUCGGUGGAGGAAGUAAUAUUGCAGUGCCUCCCCGAUGGAUAUAUGAAAUCAGAUUAAAGAGAAGAAAAGAACACAAUAUUUUUAUGUGGAAGAGUCUGUAUAUUAAUUCUCUCUAAACUGGAGUGACUUUACAAGAACCAAUAGUGCCUCUAUUUAUAGCCUUCAGGCUUACAAGAAGAUAAAAACAAAGUAUUUUGAAAAUAACAACUUUAUCUUUAUUUUAACCGAAGUAGUUGGAACCACCUGGAUCCUUAUCCUAACCGAAAUAUUUGGAACCACCUCGAUCCUUAACCUAAUUGAAGAGUUGGAACGACCUCCGCCUUAUCCGUAACGGUUGAAACUUAUCCGAAUGGUUUGAUCGUCCCGGAUCAUGGCUUUCCAAUUUUUGAGAGAAACUAGCACCUGCUGGAUCUAGAACUGCAAGUGAGGAAACUGAGUUUUCCCAGUUCCCCUUGUGAACCACUUAGCGGCACUUGGCUUUUGACCUUUCUGUCCAAUACGGAAGGAUUUACGUUCACCUUUGCGUGUCGUCGUGACCUUGCGUUCUAGGAUAGUAUUCGCGUUUUAUCACGAGAUCUUCCACGGAUGGUAGUACUUCUCCGAGCUCAUCGUCUAGCAUUGAUGGCUCAAAGGACUUUAGGUUUUCGACAGUGACAACCGAAUACAUUUUCAUGUAUGCGAGCAACUCCAAUUGAUAAGCAUUCUCACCAAUUCUGCUUAGGAUCUUGAAAGGUCCAUAACGAAUAGGUUUAAGUUUCUUACCCUCGCCUUUCAAGCUGUCACGCCCCGAGGCCGCUAAUUUGGUCGGUUCGGGCUCGCCGACAAACGCCGAACGGACAACACCUCCCCUGUCCGCCCAAGGCUCUAAUCAACAAGUAUAAUACAAACAGUUAUACUAGGUUUGCACGAGGGCAAACAACAACCAACUCACAUGUGAAAGCAUCGAAACUAACUAAGCAUUUAUCCACAUAUAUGUCAUUUGAUUACAUUUGAAUCAAACACAAGCAACCAUCAUUUACAUUCAUUCUUUUCCAUUCAUUUACAUCACAUUGUCCUUUAACCCAAUAUACAUGAUUUACAUCUUUUUACAUUACUAGUUCAAUAUACAAAAGUUGAAUGUACAUAUAGGGUAUGCCUAUAAACUUCGAGGCCGCUAUCUAUGGCGCUAGCCCCUUGCCUCGAUCCUCCGCCGCCCCGCUCGCGCAUGGAUCUGCAGGGUUAGUGGUGGUGUGAGAACUAAACGAAGUUCCCAAUGGGUUUGGCCGCCGACCGCACCGACUCGCCCACUAGGUCUAUUCAGGCAUAUGUAUUUCAAGAAAGUAGAUAACGAACCAACUAAUGCACUACUAAUACAAUGCCUGCAAAAAAGCUGUCAGCAGAUAGAUAGAUAAUCCAAUACAUGAUAAUUAUGCAUGCAUGUUCAUGUCUCAUUCUCUUUGGCCUUUACCCAAUCAUCCCGGGGUACUCCUAGUUCACCCCAAACUCACAAACCACAAUUUUCGUCUACCGGGGGAGGCUACUAGCACUGCCAACCGAGGGAACGAUGACGGGGUCUCUCCCCAUGGUGUCUACACUCCGGAGUACACCGCUUGAGGAGGAGCUAUCUCCCUCAAGCUAAAGCUAUUGUGAGUACGAUCCAAUCCUCAAUUUGAGGAAGUAAUUGCCAUACCUGUCUCAAUGCCACAAUACAUCAAUGCCAAUGAUAGGUUGCUACCAUCUCAUGUAUACCUCUAUAUCUGAGUCACAAUAGUCCUGAUGCCACAAUGGUUAAACCUUAUUUAGCCGCUUUAUUUUCCAAUACCAAUCAAGUCACUAUAGUCAAUGUCACCCUUAUUUACUAUUGUCAUGGUCUGUUCUCGCAUUCACAUACACAUAGGGUUCUUUCAAACAUGGUUCACAUGGUUCUUUAUCAAUUCACAUAUUCUUUAAGUAUCUAAAUGCAUUACAACCAAGAACGCAUAUCACACUACCCUACAUGCAUGAAUGCUAAUGCCAAUAUGCUCAACAAAGGUAACAUAGACAUAGAGAGAAAUCCGGUGUUUACGGACAGCACCCCCCACUUGUGGGUAUGCUAGGAUGCCGUGGUCCUGUUUUCGUAAUUUUUAGACCUCUACGCCGCAAGCUGCGACGAUCUGUACCAAUUUAGCCUAUUUCCUUAAUAUAUCCGCGUACGCUCGUCGUAUCGCCAAACCGAGCACACCAACGCGUUCGUUAACCUAUCAAUUAGGGUAGAAUGAGAUCAAUCCCAAGCUUCAACCUCAAAAUCCAAAAACCCUAAAUAUAGGUUCCUCAAUAAUGUCAUCUUUCCCAAUAUUUGUCCUUAACAUGAAGAAACAUGGGGAAAAUCACCAUAAGAGCGCCUAGAUGCAAAUACUAGAAGCAAAUACCAAAACCCUAACUCAAAAUCAUGGAAACUCACCUUGGAGUCCAAGCUUUUCCUUCAAAAGCUCUUCACAAUCUAGCCUUCACCUUGGAGAGCUUCUUCUCCAAGCUUUGCUCCUCCAAAUCCCUUCCUUGAUCCUAGUUCUAGAGAGAGAGGAAGAGAGAAGAGAAGGUUUUAGAGAGCGAGAGAGGGAAAGGUCUUAUGUUGGUGUGUGAGAGAAAUGAGCCCUAACACCCAUCCCUCUCACCUAUAUACCCAACUCAUGCCACAAUUGCCCAUAAGCCCCCGACUUUCCAUCUUUCACAUCAGCCCAAACUGGGCAAAAUUCGCAUACGGGGAUCGGUCUCUCCCCGCAGGGACUCGCUUUCUGGAAAAUACUCCAUUAACAGGAUCUCCCGGAACGUCUCCCAAGACAUAGUAGCCGGAUCCAAAGACCGACCAUUCUUUACUCGCGUCUACCAUGCUCGAGCCGACCCCUCUAAACAAUGAGCCGCCAGGCGUACUUUAUCCUUCUCAAGGGUGUAGAUAUCCUCGAACAAUGCCUCCAUCGCUGAAAGCCACGCCUCCAUUAACCAAGGGUCCUUCACAUCACCCUGGAACGUCGGAGGGUUGAACCGCUUAAAGGCCAUCAACAUCACCAACGACCGCUCCUACUCGGCCUCAAGUACCUCCGGGAUAGGAGCUGAAGAACCUGAAGCCGUCGGAGGAAUAGCCGUCAUCGGUGCCGCCGCAAUCGCAGGAGGAGGUACCACAGGCGCAGGCGGGUCCUGAGGUACAGGUGCAGCCGCCGCCGCCUGUCGGGCCACCAACUCAUGAAGCCGUCCUAUCUGCUCCCCUUGCUGUCGCAUAGCCCCGGCCAAAGCCGCUACUUGGGCCCGCAACUUUCGGACUUCAUCAGAUCCAACUUGCUCGGGCACUUCAUCAGGCAAUGCCGGAGCGGAUCGACGCGUGUAACAUCUCGGGGAUAUUAGCUCCUGAAACGAAACACACAUGUUAUUACUCGACACGCGCAACUCUUACACAUUCCAAAUAACCACCUGUGGGUAUGCCAGGAUGCCGUGGUCCUGUUUUCGUGAUUUUUAGACCUCUACGCCGCAAGCUGCGACGAUCUGUACCAAUUUAGCCUAUUUCCUUAAUAUAUCCGCGUACGCUCGUCGUGCCGCCGAACUUAGCGCACCAACGCGUUCGUUGACCUAUCAAUUAGGUUAGAAUGAGAUCAAUCCCAAGCUUCAACCUCAAAAUCCAAAAACCCUAAGUAUAGGUCCCUCAAUAAUGUCAUCUUCCCCAAUAUUGGUCCUUAACAUGAAGAAACAUGGGAAAAAUCACCAUAAGAGCUCCUAGAUGCAAAUACUAGAAGCAAAUACCAAAACCGUAACUCAAAAUCAUGGAAACUCACCUUGGAGUCCAAGCUUUUCCUUCAAAAGCUCUUCACAAUCUAGCCUUCACCUUGGAGAGCUUCUUCUCCAAGCUUUGCUCCUCCAAAUCCCUUCCUUGAUCCUAGUUCUAGAGAGAGAGGAAAAGAGAAGAGAAGGUUUUAGGGAGAGAGAGGGAAAGGCCUUAUGUUGGUGUGUGAGAGAAAUGAGCCCUAACACCUAUCCCUCUCACCUAUACACCCAACUCAUGCCAUAAUUGCCCAUAAGCCCCCCGACUUUCCAUCUUUCACAUCAGCCCAAACUGGGCAAAAUUCGCAUACGGGGACCGAUCUCUCCCCGCAGGGACCGGUCCCCGAGAGCACCACUCUAAGGACUUAGCCAAAUUUUCACAUUUUUGGCUGGCUACGCGCACAGGGACCGGUCUCUCCUCCAGGGACCGGACCCCGAGAGCUGGACUUUUAGAACUGUAAUACACUGGACUUUCGCAAAUUGUAGAGUUCGAGUGUGUGGAAAGAAGUGUGGAACUAUUCUACAUGUUCUAAAUGACUUGGACAAGUUUUUGAACAAGUUAGAGAGUGAUUGGAGGGUUAAAAGUGAGAAAUUGCAUCAAACAGGCGAAAUCAGCCUUUUUCUGCUUGUUGUACCGGUACAGCCAUCACCUUGUACCGGUACAGACUGGCAGAAAUCUGGCAGCAAGGCUAAUUUGGUCAUUUCACGUUUUGAUCCUAUCUAUUUGAACCCAGCACGACCUGGGAUACUCAGUGGAGCCUGCUGGAGUCCAGAGAAGUGUUCUCCCAUCUUUCUCUUUCUCUCUCUCUAGGGUUUUUCUCUCUCUACGUUAAAUUCGCCGAUUUCGCUCGUUUUCGUCGUCGCGUGCGUUCUUCGCGGGUGGCAAGCGUUGCAGAGCCUAUGUGGACGUGUGAGAGAGUAUUUUGGAAGGUUCUUUGCAACUCUGAACCAGUGGGUUGCUGGUUGGAAGCUUGAGAAGGUAACGACGCGAUGUUUUUCCGUUAUCGGCAUUCUAUUCGUCGAUUUGAGUAUUGAGUUUGAGUUUUUGCUUCUAACCGAUGUAAACUGAGAAUUCAGCUAUUAUUAAUGAAUUAUUCAGCUGUGAAUUAAGCUCCUUAGACUAGGGAUGAGCUUCUUUGAAGAUUAAUUGAGAGAAUUAGCCAUUUAUGAAGCUUAAUCGGAACUAUACGCGGAUUAUUGACGCAGUUUCGUAUGAUUCCUUCGCAGCAGGUUUUCGAACCAUCUAGAGCUAAUUUGGUGACCUUGGGGAUUGAUUUAGAGGGUGUUCUAACCUGAGGUAAGCAGGAAUUUCCAUUCUAAAACUGAUUUCGCAAGAAUUCGGCUAAAUUCACUAGUAUACAUGCGCGUUGACGUCGUUUAAGUGAGUUGUGGGCAGCUCCGGUGCAAUCGACUUUGGAUCACUUUCAGUCAUUGUAGUGAGAGCUUUUGGAAGCUUAACUUGAGGUAUUUAUUGAGCCAAAACAGGGAUUUCAGCUAUUACGAUGUAUAAGUGCAAUUGCGCAAAAUCGGACAUUUCGGAUCGUAAUUUUGAUACGAAUAUUUAUGCUUCAUGUUCCAGCAGGAUUGCGACGUAGUGGAGCUGAUACCUUGAGGACUCCUUGACUGAUUGGGAGGCAUAGUAGACUAGGUGGGUUUGACCUACAGAGCAAGUGAAGUCCCCUAUGUUCUAUAUGUAUUUAAAGACGUGGUUUAAUUAUAUGCUAUGGUGAUUGUUAAGCUCGGAAUUCGUCAUCAUGACGUUUAUCAUAUGUGAAAUGAGCGUUAUGUAAAAGUACUUAUUUAGCCAAUUAAGAGUAUUCUUGUUUAGUUCAGUAGAAAACAGGAGAUCAGUUUAUUAUGUUUCUAUGAUAUAGAGAUACAUAUAAAUGAAAGUCAUUUUUUUCUAUUCAUCAGUUGAAUGGGCUUAGAACAAGUGUAAGGAUGCAUUUAUAAGUAGAGAACAAUGACAUUCUCCUGACUCUUAACGUAAAACUAUGACAUGCUCAGUGAAGCUUAUGUUGAUAGUGCAUACUAGUUGGAAAGAUUAUAAUGCUAUGCUGAUUUAGGCUUUACCCCUACAUGUUACAAUCUAGUGGAUAUAGCUUUUGUUACUAUUUGUGUUUGACAUUCGAUAGGAUUCGAGGAGUAUCGAUGGGUGUUGACUUUGCAAUGAAAAUAUGUAAAUUGAGAAUGUGGUAAUGUACUUUGUUGCUUUGCCAUUCGUGUCAUUCGCAACGCUUGUGAGGGUUAGUCCCUACAAGUCGGUCACUCUGCGGAGUUGGCUACGCCGACAGUUGCUCGCCUGUGCGGAUUGGGUUGGAAGUGAUUGCCGUGGAGUGUUUAUAACGGGGCAUUAGGCGCGGCGCAAGCUGGACUACCUUGACGUAGGUCCUAGUGAAUGAAACAUGAAAGUGUUGGAAUAUGAUAAUGAUAGUAAUGAAUGAGUAUCAGUUGUAGUGUACAGUAGUACUUACACUUCUAUGAUUAUGUUUAUGUUCAUGUUUAUAGUAGUUGCGAUACUUCUAUUAUUCAGUUGAUUCAUUACUGCAGAAAUCAUGUUUACAUGUUGAAUACAUGCCUGUUACCGGUUAGCACUGCAUAUUUCUAUAUCAUGCAUUUAUCGCUUCUACUUACUUUCAGUACAUCAUGAGCCUAGUGGUGUAAUUCGCCGAGGCUGGCGGCUUACCCACUGGGAACUAUUGUUAAUAGUUCUCACGCCCUUUUGGUGGUUGUUUUUACAGAGCCAUCUACAGGAGAGGCUAGGGAUCGUGGCAAGGGAGUCGCGUCUAGCUAGACAUUGCUAGGAGCAUGCUAGUCGAUCACCUUGCUACUCGGGCUACGACCGAGGGUGAUGUCCCGUUGUAUAGAGAAACCACCAUUGUACCUAUCCUAUGUUUGUAUACUCGUGAUGUAUAUGUACUACUUGGACCGUGAACUGCAGUUGUGAUACUUCUCUUCUGUCGAGAUUUUGGAUUGUAUUUUUCUUUGUUCUUUUACUGAUAGUAUAUCGACUUGUACAUUGCUCUGAUAUCAGGAUAGGACUCUCUUUGUUUUACUUCCUAUCGACUUGCUUUCUUUGUAGACGCCUUAUAUACUGUAGGUGUAUGGCGGGUCUGUGCACGUACCGGAUAUGCUUUCGCUGGUACCCGGGCGUGACAGAUUAUAGUGGUAUCAGAGCCUAGGGUUGAGUCUUAGUAGACCUAGCAAACCUUAGGCUGGUUGGACUAUAAGGAUAGGCUCGUGAGAGACGAUGUCUAGUCGAGGUAGUUGUUAGCGAAAGUACUUUGAUUGGGUACUUAUAAACUCCGAAUAGUAGGAGUUUGAUUGGGAUAUGCAAUUACUAACUUUGCAGAGGGUCACGUUGGCGGCCGACAACAUGACAUCGGAAGUUAGUAUGCGUUACAUCUCAUUACUUUCGCUUAAUUAGCUAGUUUAUAUCCUCAAUGAGGGUUUAGUUGUAUAGGGUUUAUUGACCUAUGUUUGUUUUUGUGCUGCAGCUUAAGAUGCCGUUGACUCGUUCGCAAGCCGCCGGGGCAGCUGAGGCGGCGGAUGCAGAGGAAGAAGGCACUUCUGUUACUUCAGGAUCUAGUGGGAUCCAUGAGUUACAGGAUCAGCUUGCGAUGUUGACGGAUUUGGUUACUCAGCAGGCUGCAGCAGCACGACAGCAGGUGGACGCUGUGCGUCGACAGGAGGACAGGAUGAAGAGGUUAGAGGAUCUGUUACUGCGGCAGACGACUGACAGAGAGAUUCCAGAUUCUGUACUUCCAGAUUUUGUACCUAUAGCACCAGAGAGGGGUACGACUGCGAGAGCACCGUCACCGGUACCCGAUAUACCCCCAGUAGCCCCGAGGGUAGAGACCCGACAGGAGACAGUGGUACCACCACCAAUGCAUAUGGCAGCAUCAGGGACAGUGUUACCCGAGAUGGUGGGGAUUGAGGAGCGAGAGCGGAUGAUGGAACGACUGAAUGAAUUCCGUCACUGCAAUCCUCGUGUCUUUGACGGGGAGAAAGCAGAUCAUUGGGUGGUCGAGAAAUGGUUAAUGCACAUGGAGAAGUUAUUCUAUGACACCUUUGUUGAGGAGCGGUAUCGAGUUUGGUUUGCGACACACCACCUUGAUGGUGAGGCUUACAGGUGGUGGGUGGACAUUCGUGAGGAUCCCCGUGCUGAUUUGUCUGCUACCACGUGGGACAGAUUCAAGGAAUUGUUAUUGACUACUUACUUUCCUCAGAGUGUAAAGAGACAGAUGGAAAGGGAUCUGAGAAACCUGAGGCAGGGGGACAGGACAGUGGCAGAGUACGAGCGAGAGUUCUCCCGAUUACUGCACUGCGUUCCUUUUGUAGUUCGAGAUGAUGAGGACAAGGCUCGUAUCUUUAAGGUAGGUUUGCGGCCUGCGAUUUUCAGAUUGGUCCAGGCGUCAAACCUCAAUUCCUUUCCUAUUUAAAUUUAGAUGUAAAUAUGAAUAGAAAUUAACAGUAAUAUAAGAAUCCUUAUCCUAAUAUAAGGAUAUAUAUUAUAUACCCUCAAAAAUCUUUUGGGAUCGGCAGUAUAGAGAAGAGAGAAGGUAUAAGAUCGUUCUUUCUGCAAGAAAAACGUUCCCUCGAUCGUGGGGCCACUCCUGUAGCUAGUUUAGUCCUUGGAGCACACCUAUGGAUAUCUCCAGCCUGCGCACACGCCGAAGUUCUCUUGGGCUAAGAUGCUAGUAGUUUAACUCAACUUCUAGAUAGUUGCUUUUUCCAUUUCUAAGCUAGAAUGAAAAGAGGAAAUUAGAAUUUCUUGUACUCCCUAGGAUUAACGCACCAAAAACUUUAACCUAGAGCUCUCAAAAGUUUUUAGUUAAAACAAACUAAAGAAAAAGGCGACACAAAAAUGGUAUGCGUUAAAAGAUUGUCUCCCACGUCCGUUUCUUGGAGAGCCCGUGAGACUUGUUUUCACCGGGAGGACCGGCGUUUCUUUUGUGGACGGGGGUGCGACACCUGUGACACCGCCAUGCACUCCGGGUGGUGUCUAUUAUGUUGCGCCACCAGCUGCUGCGAGUCCACGAGGUGCCCCGCGGCUUCUUGGAGCUGGGGAGCUGACAGGACUGACAGGGGAGCCUAUGAAACCCCCAGAGGAUUUCCUGACGACUGGUGACCAGAGCUGACGUCCAGAGAAGGGAAACGAAGCUAGGUGUUGUAGAGAAAGGAAGUAAUAGAGACGGGGAAAGAGCUGCUAGUUCCGGGCCAAGUGAUGUAGGGCCAUUCACCUNNNNNNNNNNNNNNNNNNNNNNNNNGUUGGUCACGCUCGGUACCCUUGUUCUCUAACAACCACCUGCAUAUUCGCUUCAGUGUCCCCACACUGUCGACUCGAAACUCGUCUACCCUGAAAGGGAAGCGACCUAUGCACCAAUCUCAUCGGAUCAAUCACCGUCCCCGUGAUGAUCCAUUGAUCGGGAGCAUUUAGGAAUUAAUCACCAAUGACACAUGUCUCAAAUUCUCAACACUUAAGAAUAUAUGUCAUCAUCUUAUUAAUUCUUUGGACGAUUCAUGGACACGUACACAACAUGAAUGGAAAUAAAAACCCAAAGUUAUUCAUAAUAUUUUAAAAUCAAAUACAAAAUUAUGUCCUAGAAAGAAUACAUGUGUCGGCCUGGUUGGCUUCUAGGGCAUACAUCUAACACCCUCGUCAGCGACUGCACCUGCAUCUUCAGCUCCGAGCCAGGGGACCCCGACAGUACCCUAUCAGUCUAGGCGACCAUCAGGACAGCGGCAGUCGGAGAGUUCGCAGCAGGAUUCGAGUGGGCGGAUGUAUGCCGCCCAGACCGAGGGCGACGCAGCAGCACAGGAGGUCGUAGCAGGUAUUAUUAUGCUUUAUGAUAUUCGUGUUCGUGCAUUAUUUGAUACUGGUGCUUCGCAUUCUUUUAUUGAUCGGCAGUUUGCCGAGUUGCAUAGCAUUCCUUUAGCACCUACUUUGCAUCUGGGACGAGUGAUUGUACCUGACCAUACCCUAGAUGUUCGUGAGUUUUGCUCUUGCUGCCCAGUUAGGGUAGGCGACUGGAUUAUGCCAGUGGAUUUAUUGGCACUACACAAACUAGGUGAGUUUGAUGUAGUAUUGGGUAUGGAUUGGUUGACACAGUAUUAUGCCACUAUAGAUUGCACGAACAGAACGGUGACCUUUAGGGAACCGGGUCAACAGGAGUUUGUUUAUAAAGGGUGUCAGAGUUCAUUGUUCGCAAUGACUAUUAGCUCUUCGCGAGCCCGACAAUUGAUCCGGAGGGGUUGUGUAGCCUACUUGGCUAGUAUUUCUGUGAGGGGUGGUGAAGCCAUCAAGAUUGAUGAUAUUCCUGUUGUGCGAGAGUUCAGGGAUGUGUUUCCAGCUGAAUUACCGGGCAUGCCACCUGAUAGGGAAGUUGAGUUUGUGGUAGAUCUUGUCCCUGGGACUACCCCUAUUUCUAAAGCGCCCUAUAGGAUGGCACCCGCUGAAUUGAAAGAGCUGAAGGCACAGUUACAAGAUCUUUUAGAUAAAGGAUUUGUUCGACCGAGUGUUUCGCCCUGGGGAGCACCGGUGUUAUUUGUCAAGAAAAAGGAUGGAUCUCUUCGAUUGUGCGUGGAUUAUCGAGAAAUCAAUAAAGUCACAAUCAAGAAUAAAUAUCCAUUGCCUAGAAUUGAUGAUUUAUUCGAUCAGCUGCAAGGAUCGAAAGUAUACUCCAAAAUCGAUUUGCAAUCAGGCUAUCAUCAGUUUAAGAUUAAGCCUGAAGAUGUUUCUAAGACUGCUUUUAGGACACGGUAUGGACAUUAUGAAUUUACAGUCAUGCCGUUUGGAUUGACUAAUGCCCCAGCAGCCUUUAUGGAUUUAAUGAACCGUGUCUUUAAACCCUAUCUGGAUAGGUUUGUGGUCGUGUUCAUCGCUGAUAUCUUGAUAUAUUCUCGAAAUGACAAGGAGCAUGAAGACCAUUUGAGAGUGGUGUUACAAGUACUUCGAGAAAAGAAACUAUUUGCCAAGCUAAAGAAAUGCGAAUUUUGGCUUCGAGAAGUGGCAUUUCUAGGCCAUGUGAUUUCAGAAACUGGGAUAGCUGUGGAUCCCAAGAAGAUUGAAGCGAUUAAAGAUUGGCCUAGGCCGACCAGUGUCACUGAAAUUCGGAGUUUCCUCGGUUUGGCGGGAUACUACCGAAGAUAUGUAGAAGGAUUUGCGAAAAUGUCUACUCCUCUCACUCGACUUACACAUAAAGGAGCUAAAUUCCUGUGGAAUGAAGCCUGCGAAAGAAGCUUUCAAGAGCUGAAGAAACGGUUGACCACCGCCCCGAUUCUGGCUUUGCCUGUUACCGGAGUGGAUUAUGUGAUUUACAGCGAUGCAUCACUGAAUGGAUUAGGGUGUGUUCUAAUGCAAAAUGGCAGAGUAAUUGCCUAUGCUUCUCGCCAAUUAAAGGAUUAUGAAAAGAACUACCCUACACAUGAUCUUGAGUUAAGCAGCUGUGGAUUCCUUUAAAGCUUUGGCGCCACUUACCAUCUACGGCGAGUCGUUGCGAAGUUGUCAUAGAUCAUAAAACCUAAAGUACCUUUUAACACCAGACAGCCGAAUUAAACUGAGCAACCGAGAUGGGUUGGAAUUACAUCAAUGGAUUAUGAUUUGAUAUCCUCCUAUCAUCCAGGAAAAGCUAAUAUUGUAAGCAGACUGCUCUUAAGUCGAAAAUCAACGGGAAAAGUUUGCGAUGUCGAUAACAAUGCAACCACUUUGGUAAAGGAAAUGGAAAGAUUGAAUUUUGGAAGUUCUAGCUCCUGAUAGCCUUGGGAGACUUAUGUCGACUAGCUGUCAAAACCUAUCCCUGAUCAAACGAUUAAAGAUAACAAACUCACGAUGAACUUUCUAACAGAAGAUUUCGAGCGAGACUCACCUAUGAAGUCACAUUGAUUGAAUUCAAGUGGAUGAUUCAGGGACUUUAAGACUUCGCGGCAGAUAACCGAAUCUGUGUGCCUCCCGAUCCAGAUGAUUAACAGAGGGACUUUUAAAGGAAGCACAUCGGCACCUAAACCAAAUCGCGCACCUAAAAAAACAAAAAAGCUACAACCCGUAAAACAAAAAAAAAACAAAAAAAAAAAACCCCCCCUAAAACUUUAAAUUAAAAAAAAAAAACAAAGAAAUAAAAAAAAAAAAAAAAAAAAAAACUAAAAAGAAAUUAAAAGUACUUUACACCCUGGGAGUACGAAAAUGUAUACAGAUCUGAAGCAUCAAUAUUACUUGUGGCCCUGGAAUGAAAAAGGAAGUUGCGGACUUUUGAUAAGUGGCUUAACGUGUCAGCCAGGUUAAAGCUGAACAUUGACUUCUUGCGCGGAAACUUCAGAGCUUACCACAAGUGUGGAAGUGGGAAGGAUCACUAUGGAUUUCAUCUUGUGUAUUACCUCGCUCACAACGCAUGUCACGAUGCAAUUUGGUAAAUUGUCGAAUCCGAGUUGUCUACAAUUGCCACUUUUAUUUCUAUAUUCAUACUGUGUGUCGGGGGGAUAGACUCGCACACAGUGUAUCUUGAAUGAAUCUGUCAUUAUACGCGAGUACCUACUUUCUAUUGUUCACGAUCGAGAACACCCAUUCCGUUCACAUUUCUGAAGAGCUUCCAGAGUGCUAUGGGUACCCCGCACUGAAUUUUAUUACUUGCUUUCCACCCGAGAGCGAUGCAGUCUGAGCCGUACCAUCCAGACCCUUGAGGAUACUUUUGCGGGCUGUGGACUUGACUAUCAGGGCAGUUGGCCACAGUUCUUCGCCUAUGGCUGAAUUUGCUCUAUAACAAUAAGUUAUCAGCCAGUAUUCAGACUAGCAGCGGUUUGAAGCCCUUAUAGGUGGAGACAAGUGCAGAGAUCACCCACUUCAAUUGGAUGUGAAGUGCGGGAGAGAUUUGGUUUGGUCCCGAUGUAAUUACAAUAGUUCAAGCCUAAAGUUCGACUUGCGCGAGAACGUCCUAUGACACGCCCAAAGUUCGACAAAAGAGUCUAUGUCGGACACAACGUACCGGCGAGAAUUGGGGAAUUUUAGUCUGGCGAUCAUCCCGUUAUUUCUGCUGAAGUGUCUUAUCCAACGAAAGGAGUUAAGAGAUUUGGUAUUCGAGGAAAGUUGAGUCCUCAAUUUAUUGGCACCUACAGCUGUUGCGAACGAAUAGCCCCCCGUAGUUAUCGGUUGCCUUGCGGCCCGAACUCAUCGGGAGUCCACGAUGUAUAUUCAUGUAUUCUACCUCUCACGAGAAAUAAUGUUUUUGAUCCAACUCAUACUACGUUCGGAGGUACUCAGUGGAUUGUACACUCGAAGAUUGUAGCUUUCGAGAGCAUCCCAGUAGGAUACUAUCGAGAAGAUAAAACGGCUUCGAAAACCCGAAGAUCCCUUACGAAAUGAUCCUCUUGGAACAACUCAUGCAUGAACGGGAAGCCACUGGGAACUGGAAGAGUGCAAUGCAAGGCCAUCUAUCCUAUCUACCUUCUCGAUGGACGUUGAGGUAUGUGUUUACAAGUUUUGCGAACGAAACUUCUUCCUUAGAGGCGGUGAGACUGUAUACACUGGACUUCGCAAAUUGCAGAGCUUCGAGUGUGUGGAAGGAAGUGUGGAACUAUUCUACAUGUGUCUAAAUGAUCUAUGGACAAGUUUUUUGAAAAGUAGAGAGUGAUUGUGAGGGUUACAAAGUGGUGAGAAAUUGCAUCAAACAGGCGAAAUUAGCCUUUUUCUGCUCUGUUGUUACCGUUUACCAUACUACCUGUAGUACAAACUGGCGCAGAAAUUUGGCAGGCAAGGCUAAUUGGUCAUCUUCACGUUUUUGAUUCUAAUCUAUUAACCAGCACGACUGGGAUACUCAGUGAGCUGUGGAAGUCCAGAGAAGUUUUCUCCCAUCUUUCUCUUUCUCCUCAUCUCUAUGGUGUUUUUUCUCUCUCUUACGUUUUGAAUCGCGAUUUUCGGCCUCGUCUUUCGUCGCCGCGUGCGUUCUUCGCUGGUGCGCAAGCUUUGCAGAAGCUAUGGCGUAGGGACACUGGUGAGAGACGUUAUUCACCUGGAAGGUUCUUCUGCAACUCUGAACCAGUGGCGCUUGCUGGUUGGAAGCUGAGAAGGUACCGACGCGAUGUUUUCAUCCGUAUCGGCAUUCUACUUCGUCGAUUUGAGUAUUGAGUUUGAGUUUUUGCUCUAACCGAAGUAAACUGAGAUUCAGCGUAUCUAUCUGAUGAAUUAUUCAGCUGCCUGAAUUAAGCUCCUUAGACUAGGGAUACUUCUUUGCAAGAUUAAUUCCGACGAGAAUUAAGCCAUUUAUGGAAGCUUAAUCGGAGAACUAUGACGCGGAUAUUGACGCAAGUUUCGUAUGAUUCCUUCGCAGCACGGUUUUCAACCAUUCAGAGCUAAAUCUUAGUGACCUUGGGAUUGAUUUAGAGGGUGUUCUAACCUGAGUAAGCAGGAUUUCCCUUCAAAACUGAUUUCGCAAGAAUCUCGUAAAUUCCAUAGUCAUACUGCGCCCGUUGAACGUCGUUAACUCUGAUUGUUGCGCAGCUCGACGUGCAAUCGACCUUUGGAUCACAUUUCACUCCAUUAUUGAGACGCUUUCUUGGAAUGCUUAACUUGAGGUAUCUCUAUUGAGCCAAACAGGGAUCUAACUAUGUACGAUGUACAAGUGCAUUCGCGCCGAAAUCCGGACAUUUCGAUCGUAUUUUGAUAGAUAUUUAGCUUCAUGUUCAGUCCAGGAUGUGCGACCUGAUGGGCUGACAUUUUUUUUUUCUUUUUUUUUUUUUUUUUUUCGCGGACUCCUUCGACUGAUGGGAAGCAUAGUACUAGGUUGGGUUGACCUAACCAGAGCCAAGUAAGCCCCCUAUGUUUAUAUGUAUUAUAGACGUGGUUUAAUUAUAUGCCUUUGUGAUGUUAACGAGGCUCGGAAUUCAUCAUCAUGACUGUUUAUCAUAUGUGAAAUGAGGUUCAUGCAUAAAAGUACUCAUGCCAUUUAAAGUAUCUUUGUUUAGUUCAGUAGAUACAACCAGUGAGAUCAGUUUAUUAUGUUUCUAAUGAUAUAGAGAAACAUAUAUACAUGGAAAGUAUUUCUUAUUCAUAUUCACAUCAGUUGAAUGGUUAUGAACAAGUGUUAUAGAUGCACUUUAAAGUAGAGAACAAUGACAUUCUCAACUGACUCUAACGUAGAAACUAUGACAUGCUCGAUGACUAUUGUUGAUAGUGCCAUACUAUGGGAAAGAUUAUCAAUACUAUGUGAUUUUAGCUUACCCUCACAUGAUUUACAAUCUACGUGGAUACUAGCUUUUGCUGUUACUAUUUGUUGUAUUGAAAUUUCCGAUCAGGAUCGAGGAGGAUCGAGGGUUUCUGAACUUUGCAACGUUGAAAAGUAUGAAAUGAGAAUGUGCGACUAUGGACUUUGCUUGCUUGCCAUCAGUGCUCAUUCGCACACGCUUGUGAGAGGUAGCUCCUAAAAGCCGGCGACUCCGGAGUUGGCCUCUACGCGACAAGUUGCUCAGCUCGUGCGGGAUUGGGUGCCGAAGUGGAUUGCCGUGGAGUGAGUGUAUACUACCACGGGGCCAUUAGGGCGGCCGCAAGCUGAGACUACCUUUUGAGUUAGGUCCUAGUGAAUACGAAAAUGAAAGUGGAAAAUGGAUAAUGAUAGUAAAUAAUGAAUGUAUCAGUGUGUACGUGCAUACAGUAGUACUUACACUUCUAUGAUUACUUUAUGUUUCAUGUUUUAGUAGUUGCGAUACGUUCUAUUAUUCAGUUUGAUUCUCUAUGCAGUAAUCUAAUGUUCUACAUGUUAAAUACAUGCCCUGUUAUCACGUUAGCAACUGCUAUUUCUAUAUCAUGCAUUUAUCGCUGUCUACUCUACUUUCCAGUACAUCAUGAGCACUCAGUGGUGUAAAUCGCCGAGGCCUGGCGGUUACCACUGGGAACUAUUGUUACAUAGUUCUUCACGCUCCUUUUGUGUUGUUUUUACAGAGCCAUCUACAGGAGAGGCUAGGGAUCGUGGCAAGGGAGUCGCGUCUAGCUAGACAUUGCUAGAAGCAUGCUAGUCAAUCAACUUGCUACUCGGGCUACGCCCGAGGGUGAUGUCCCGUUGUAUAGAGAAACCACCAUUGUACCUAUCCUAUUUUUGUAUACUCGUGAUGUAUAUGUACUACUUGGACCGUGAACUGCAGUUGUGAUACUUCUCUUCUGUCGAGAUUUUGGAUUGUAUUUUCCUUUGUUCUUUUACUGAUAGUAUAUCGACUUGUACAUUGCUCUGAUAUCAGGAUAGGACUCUCUUUGUUUUACUUCCUAUCGACUUGCUUUCUUUGUAGACGCCUUAUAUACUGCAGGUGUAUGGCGGGUCUGUGCACGUACCGGAUAUGCUUCCGCUGGUACCCGGGCGUGACAAGAACUUAGCUGCUGGGCAAUUCUCCAACCUACGGGGACCGGUCUCUCCUCUCAGGGACCGGUCCUUGAGAGCAGAAUUGCUGGGACUUAACCAUUUUCCCAACAAUCACUCUCCCGGGUCCCUACACCUUAUACAUAGAUUCUAAAGCACUUGGAACCCAUUGUAACUUGCUCCAACAUGUCCGACUCUACGUUCCGCUCGUUUCGACGGAACUCGGCACAUUUCUUGGGGAAGUGAUAAGUUACAUUCCCCGCCCCUUAAAAUUAGUUUCGUCCGCGAAACUCAACACGUACCUUAGUUCAUUUGCUCGAACAAGUGAGGAUAGACCUCGCGCAUCUUCUCCUUGAGUUCCCACGUGGAUUCACGCCUCGAGUGAUUACUCCAUUGCACUUUUACAUACGGAAUAGUCCGAUUCCGUAGCUUCCGCUCCUAUCAAGCAAGAAUGCUCGCCGGAAACUCUUCGUAAGUGACAUCCUCGCGCAACUCCACCGGCUCAUACUCCAACACAUGUGAGGAGUUCUGAAAAUACUUGCGGAGAUUCGAUACUUGGAACACGUUGCGCACUCUCACAAGCUUCGGCGGUAAUGCUAACUUGUACGCCACGGGCCCAAUCCGCUCAAGGAUCUCAUAAGGCCCUAUGUAUCGGGGACUAAGCUUCCCCCGAAUACCAAAUCGCUUUACCCCACACAUUGGCGACACCUUGAGAAACACACGGGCGCCAACCGCGAACUCCAAAUUCUUUCGGCGCUUAUUCGCAUAGCUUCGUUGCCGCGAUUGUGCCGUCAAUAAUCGUUGGCGAGCAAGAUGGACUUUCUCUUCCGCCUCUCGCACCACAUCUGGACCAAGGGUGACUCUUUCACCCACCUCACUCCAAUGAAUAGGAGAGCGACACCUACACCCAUAAAGUGCCUCAAACGGUGCCAUCGCUAUACUUUCUUGAUAAUUAUUAUUGUAAGCGAACUCCGCCAUCGGCAAAUACUCAUGCCACCCUCCAUUGUAAUCGAGUACACACACUCGCAACAUAUCCUCGAGUAUCUGAAUUGUCCUCUCUGACUGGCCAUCACUCUGAGGAUGAAACGCCGUACUGAAAUAGAGCCGCGUGCCUAGAGCAUCCUGCAAGCUCUUCCAGAAAUGAGAAGUGAACCUGUUAAGUCCUGUGUGUUGGCAAGUUUCGUGAAGUGAGUCGGAGUCUUGAAAAAUCGAUACGUAUCGUCGAAGAUCGAAGAAUUAAAGAUUUCGAAGAAAUUGGAAAAUGACUCACGAUGUGAAUCACGAUGUCUAGGUAAAGUGUUAAUUCAUGUUGUGGUGAUUCAUACUUAGUUGUAGGCAUUAGAAUCAUAAUACCAAUAUUUACUGGAUUAGAAAGUGCAUCGAAACUUUGCAAAACUCGAAACGGUGAAAAUUUGCAAAGUGUACCGGUACAGCAUCAGAAGUGUACCGGUACAAAAUGUGUACCGGUACAGCCAUCGACAUGUAACCAGUUCCACUGUUUCAUCAGUUUUUUCGUUCCGUCAUCGUGUAACCGGUGACAGCUUAAAGUGUACCGGUACACAGUGUAAAAUCGUAAAAACUUUCUAAUCCGACUCCGAUUGAUUCUAAAACCUAUAAAUAAGCUAUUGGGGUUCUCUAACUUAUCAAGUAUCAUGAAAAUACAUGUUUGAGAAAUCCUAGAGGCUCGGAUUUCAUCUAAAACCUAUUUUCUACAUAUUAGCCUCUUUUAGGUCAAAUCGAGAUAUUAGAAUUUCAUAUCUAUAUGUCGAUUUGAUCUUCGCUUCGCUUGGAGUUCUCUUCCUGGUUUUCAUCGAUACUCUAAGUGAAGGAUCACCAUACACAUGAUGUUCUUCAUAACGGCGUCGUGGAUUCGGCGUGACUGACGGCGGUUCGUGGAUUCGGAUCGUGAGCUUCGUGGAUUCGGAGCGGAGGCGUUUCGUGGAUUCGGAACGUGGCGUUCGUGGAUUCGAACGUGAGAGCGUGGACAACCCGGAGGAUUGCGCGAGAUUCAUAGGAGGUUAAGAGAGGUUAAGUCCGUGGAGUCGGUAAUCAUCUUGUAAUCUUUUCUCUUAGUGAAUUAUUUCUUCGCGUGUUGGUCCCGUGGGUUUUUCUCCAAGUUGGAGUUUUCCCAUGUAAAUGUCGGUGUGAUUUUUAUUUUCCGCAUUUAUUUUUAUCGCAUUGAGAUUUGUGGUUUUUGGCUAUUACACCUAUUCACCCCCCUCUAGGUGUUAGAUACAAUCUAGAUAGAUCCUUGGGCUCCUCAAAACUUACAAUUGGUAUCAGAGAGGGAUCUAGAUAAAUUGUUAUCUAAUGGCCGAAGGCGGAAACAUUAAUCGACCACCGCUCUUCGAUGGGACAAACUAUGCUUAUUGGAAAGUUCGCAUGAGAGCUUUUCUAAUCGCAAUCGAUGAGCGCGUUUGGCAAUCAAUAGAAUUUGGAUGGAAACAUCCUAUUGAAAAAGUCGAGAAUGUUAAAACGCCAAAACCACAGAACAAGUGGACGAAAGAUGAAAACAAGUCAUCUUCGUUUAACGGUAAAGGAAUUAAUGCUUUAUUCAAUGCUUUAUCGCAAACGGAGUUUACUCGUGUUUCGGCAUGUGAAACAGCAAAGGAAAUUUGGGAUACUCUACAAGUUACGCAUGAAGGAACAAGCUUAGUAAAGGUUCAAAAAUUACAAAUGCUAACAAGCAAAUUUGACUCAAUUUUUAUAGAAGAAAACGAGACCUUUACCGAGUACUAUACGCAUCUACAAGACGUUGUGAAUACAUGCGCUAACUUGGGAGAGAAAAUCCCGGAUGCUAAGGUUGUUAGAAAGAUUCUUCGAACUCUUCCCGAACGCUUUUGGGGCAAAGGUUGCCGCAAUCGAAACCGUUAAGCAUCCGGACGAGAUGAAAGUCGAAGAGUUAAUAGGCGCUGUACAAACGUAUGAGAUGACUUUUCCUACUAACCCAUCUUCUUCCAAGUUUUUUUCUAAAAGCACAGGGGUUGCACUCAAAUCAACAAAGAAAGAAGAAGACGACUCGGAUUCUGACGGAGAUAUUUCGCUCGCCGACUUUGAACAUCAAUUGGCGCUCCUCACGAAGAAGUUCCGACAGAAUUUUCGAAAGAAGAACAAUUCGGACAAGGCUUCAUCUUCGAAGCAUAAAUCUUUUUCAAGACAAUCUUCAAGUGCUAAAUCUAAGGAUAAAAAACUUGCAAAGUCUUCGAAAGAAAAAGAUGAAUUUGAAGGCGAAAUUCAAUGCUACAAAUGCAAAGGCUACGACCAUAUUGCAAUGGAUUGUCCUUCAAAGAAGUCUUAUAAGCAAAAGGCUUUGCAAGCUAAGACUUGGGAUGAUUCUUCUUCUAGUGAAUCAUCUUCAAGUGACGAAGAAAAGAGGGAUCACAUUGCUUUAUUUACUAACACUUCUCUACCUUCAUCUAACGUUGUUUGUUUAUCCUCAAUUGUUUCUAAUUCUAAUGUUUCUCUCUCUUCGCAUGAGUUUUCGAGCGACAAUAGCAGAAGCGAGGAGGAAUCAAACGACGAGGAUAUAGCGGAAGCAUACAAUCAACUUCUUAUUGAUUCGAAAAAGAUGACCAAGCUCAAUAAGAAGUUGAGGUGUCGGUUAUUGGACAUUAAAGAGGAGAACAAAAAUGUGAAGACCACGAAUAAAGCUCUUGAGGAGGAAAGGGAAUCAAUAUUGAAAAACAAUUCGAUCCUCCAAAAGAAGCUAGAGAAAGAGGAAUUAACGGUCAAAUCAUCUAAAGACAAGAUUGAAUUUUUGGAGCAUCAAUUUCAGGAAAUUCAUGCAUCCAAUCAAGUCUUAACUAGUCAAGUUUGUCAACUCAAAUCCGAUCUUCAAAAAUUUUCUUCUGGAUCAAAGAAACUAGAUCAUAUGCUCGGAUUGGGUCAAACAAACAAGUUAGGCCUCGGAUAUGAAAGAACAAGUGUUGAGAAGGUUUCAAAAUUAACUUCUAAAGUCUCAACAACUUUGAAACAGAAGGUGUGUCAUAAAUGUGGAAUCAAAGGACACAUCAAAAAGAAUUGCCCAAAUAAGGAAAAGAAGAGUCAAUCGGCAAUGUUGGAACCUCAAUCGGCAUCAUCUACAACUCGGCUUCCCCCACGGAAUCAAAAGAAAAUUCAACUGGGUCGAGUACCUCAAGGGAACCGGACUUCUAAGCCGCAAUGUCAAGUUCAACCAUUCCCACAAGCAAACCGGAAUUCAAAGUUUCAUCAACAAUUCCAACCGAAGCUUCAAGCGACGAAACGACCAACGGUUGAUCAAAACUUAAAGCAAAUUGUGCUUAACGUCGACAAGACAAGACAACGGAAAAUCCGACAAGUUUAGAUUCGGAAAGGUGAUAUCUUUCCUUACUCUUCGUCUUAGUUUGUUUUGAUUGUUUAUGUAAUGUUUUGAUUGGUGCUUGUUGCAUAUUUUUUUUCAUUGCAUUACAUGAUGAUUUCCGUGUGCAAAAUUUAAAAAAAACAAAAAUUUGAGAAAGGAUGUUUGGGAAUUUUAAAAGUUUUUUGAGAAAGGAGACGAUUGAAAAUCUUUAUUUUGAGGAGAUUAGAAUUUUUUCCAAAGUGUUUUUAACCGGAAUUCAUCUUGAAUUAAAUUCAUAUUAAUUAUCGGUUUUACUCCACUUUUUAUUAUUUUGAUGAUAAUUUAAUAUAUGAUUUCUUAAUACAUAUAUUCAACAAAAUUUUGAAAUCAAAUUUGAUCUCUUGAUGAUUAAUCUAUCUCGGUUGUGUGUGUUGGAUAUGAUAGAUGGAUAUUCGCUAAUAGACUAAACUUUGUCAAAAUAUUUUCAAUUGUGAGAUUGUCUAAUUUAGGGGGAGUUUGAAAUUAUUUUUUAAAAAAAAGAGAAAAAAAGGAAACUCCUAUGUUUAAAAGAUGUGCAAAAAGUUACAUCCAAAAGUAGUGUGAAAACUACCACCACAUGUAGGAAAGAGCUACCACCUUGGUCAUUCGACAAGUGUGUGAAGCUACCACAUGAAGAUUGAAUUGAAUAACCGAAAAGGUCGAAAAAAUUGAAUAUUUUAGAAUUUUCGGAGUUAUAUGGUGUUUGUUUGAAAAAGAAGCUCAAAGAGCCACCCCCGGUAUCAUAUUAGUAAAAUCUCUAUUUUGAACGGAUUGCGACAAAUUGGUGUCAAUUUUGCCGAAUUUCUAAAAAUCAUUUUUCGUGAACCGUUACAUCUUUAUGAUUUUGAAACUCGAGGUCAUGUUUGAUAACAAAAUUGUGAUAUUUCGAUGUAUUUUGAAAUCUUAUAAUAUUUUACCUUCAUUAUAAUAAUUUUUGGAGUAAAGUCCUUAAUUUGUAUGAAAUUAAUUUAAGUUUAAAGGGUUUUUAAAUUCAAGUUUUCAAAAUCUGGAAAAGUGUACCGGUACAAAAUCCCGUGUACCGGUACAAAUUACUGUAGCCGCGGAAAUAAAACCGGUUACAGGGCUUUUUUUCUCCUCCAAAUCUAAAUCAAAUUUCGUUCUCUCUCUCUCUCUAAAAUCUCUAGGAGACUUUUUCUUCCAGAUCUACUCGGUUUUUCCAAAAAUUAGUGAGUAUUUAGCUUGGAUUUAAUCGUUUCAUCGCGUUCUUGCCUAUUUUUCGAAAAUAUUCCGAGUUGAAGUUAGAUCUCUGUUUUGAUUCAUUUUUGAUGGAAUUUUUUGCUUCGUUUCAGUUUGUAUGCAUGUAUUCUUGCUUCUAGAACGUUUAGAUCAUGUCAUAAUGCGUUAUUUUUCGCUGAUCUAUGUUCCUUAUAUCAUAAUACAUGGAAUUUCGGGAUUGUUCUUGAAAUAUCAAUUUUUGAUGAAAUUUUUUGCAUGAAUGAGUUUGAAAUAGCGUUAGUAUGCAUUCUAAGAAUAUUAGAUAUUUUUUCGCUAUUUUUACAGAUUUUUUCAAAAUUUUCUUCAUGUAUGGCUCAUUUUAAUGUAGGAAAAUGGUGUUUUCGCUUGUGAUUCUGCAUUUGGUGCUUAUGGCCGCGGGUCGUGGCCGUGGUAGUGGUCGAGGACGUCGCGGGACAUCAAAGAGAACUCGUACUGCUAACGAGUCAUCAGGAUCCGAUCCGGAUUAUCAAGCAAGCUCACUUGAAGCUACUGAAGAAGCUGUUACUAGGGCUGCUAAAGGAAAAGGCCUAGCAGGAGAAUCCUCGCGAGGAGGUGAUUCUCGUGCGUGUGAGAGUCGCUCCAAACGUGCUGCAAAGGCUUCGUCAGAGCGACGGAGGAUAUAUUCGAGCCGAUCAGUUCUAGCUGAGCGCUAUGUCAACUUUACUGAGCUGAUCAAGGAGGUACCAGAUUUUGGUCGAUUGCUGCAGAGGGUCCCUAUUGAGCCCGUAGGACGGGUUCCAGCUCGUGCUCCAUUCUGUGUGGAACUCAUUCGGGAGUUUUACAUGAACGGGAUGAUGCUUGCAGAGGAUGAGGAGACUGGGAUUUAUGUGUUUGAGACAUAUGUGCGUAAGCAGAAAAUUCAAGUCACUCCUUACACGAUUGGAGAGCACUUAGGCAUGCAUGUUGAUACUACCGGCCUUCACUAUACGACAGGGCUUUAUCAGUCUUCGACCCACUGGGAGAUUGUUAUAAAAGCUAUAUGCAAGGAAGGCAUGAGGACAAAUCAUUCAUACGUGGAAUCCAAAGAUUUGCUACCCGAGUAUCAUCUACUCUCCUUGGUGAUGAGCUACAAUGUUCAACCUACAAUUGGAACAAAAAGGAUUCGUUGGGAUCGUCUGGUGCUUUUAUAUCUUCUUGGAUAUCCUGAGGAAGCGGACGGGUUGAACAUCAAUAUUCCCUUUCUGAUGUGGCAAAGAAUGGCUCAUGUCAUACAGUCUCAAGUUCGACGUGAUCUACUUCCGUUUCCGUUGCUGAUCACGAGGAUUCUUCAAGAAUACGGAGUUGACGUGUCGUGUGAGAAGUAUGACAUUGGACUUGGACCGAUUGAUGCUGUAACCUGGGCCAAGUCAAGAAGCACACUAAAGACUUUUCAGCAAACUAAGGGAUCAUCCAAAGGAGCUUCUAGUUCAGCACCUCCACCUCAUACAGAGCAUGAGGGAUCUUCAAGCUCAGGGGGAGUGAUUACUGUAGAAUCACUUCACCAUGAUGUGCGCUCGUUGAAGAAGAAAGUGGCAGAUCUUGCUAGAAAGGUAGAAAUGGGAAUGAAGAGAAUGAUGGAGAAAUUGGAAUGUAGGCAUGAUGAUAUUUUUCCUACUCAGUCUACCUACUCCACUUAUACCAGAUCGACAUCGCGACAUCCACUCAUUCCACUGUCCGGUGAUGCUCGUGAGGCUGGGGGAUCUGGAGCUGGCGCAGGAGAUGAUGAUGAUGAUGACGAUGACAUGGAGUGAUUUCUUCCUCGAGCUCAGUCUUUUUACUUCACUGUGUUUGCUUUUUAGGACGAUGUUUUAGUUUAGCUUUGCUUGCUUAUCUUUCUUUUGCUUUAGGCCUGUAACUAUGACUUGACUACUCUUAUACUUUCUAGUAUGUUUUCUCUCUUUAUAUGCUUUAUCUUUGGCAAUUUUUGCAAAAAGGGGGAGAGCAAUGAUGAACAGGUGUUGAUCGAAGCAGUGUAACUUGUAAGAGUGUCUAGGUUUCAACUUUCUAUAUCUUUUUGGAUAAAUUGUUUUGCAGGAAAUCAAGACUUCAAGACUCCUUGUUGCGUCUAAGUCAUAAAGUCUGUUUUAGGAGUUUUUUAUGUACUUUUGCAUUUCAUAUUGUAUUUGGAUCACAUGCGAGGGGUUCAAUGUUUUGGUGAUGACAAUUGAACUUCGUUUCUUUAAGAUGUAAUUUUUGAGUUUUUGUGUGUUUUGUCAUGAAAUUGCCAAAGGGGGAGAUUGUUAAGUCCUGUGUGUCGGCAAGUUUUGUGAAGUGAGUCGGAGUCUUGAAGAAUCGGUGCAUAUCGUCGAAGAUCGAAGAAUUCAAGAUUUCAAAGAAAUUGGAAAAUGACUCACGAUGUGAAUCACGAUGUCCAGGCAAAGUGUUAAUUCAUGUUAUGGUGAUUCAUAUUUAGUUGUAGGCAUUAGAAUCAUAAUAUCAAUAUUUACUGGAUUAGAAAGUGCAUCGGAACUUUGCAAAACCCGAAACGGUGAAAAUUUGCAAAGUGUACUGGUACAGCAUCAGAAGUGUAUCGGUACAAAAUGUGUACCGGUACAGCCAUCGACAUGUAACCGAUUCCACUGUUUCGUCAGUUUUUUCGUUCCGUCAUCGUGUAACCGGUGACAGCUUAAAGUGUACCGGUACACAGUGUAAAAUCGUGAAAACUUUCUAAUCCGACUCCGAUUGAUUCUAAAGCCUAUAAAUAAGCUAUUGGGGUUCUCUAACUUAUCAAGCAUCACGAAAAGACAUGUUUGAGAAACCCUAGAGGCUCGGAUUUUAUCUAAAACCUAUUUUCUACAUAUUAGCCUCUUUUAUGUCAAAUCGAGAUAUUGGAAUUUCAUAUCUAUAUAUCGAUUUGAUCUUCGCUUCACUUGGAGUUCUCUUCCUGGUUUUCAUCGAUACUCUAAGCGAAGGAUCACCAUACACAUGAUGUUCUUCAUAACGGCGUCGUGGAUUCGACGUGAUUGACGGCGGUUCGUGGAUUCGGAUCGUGAGCUUCGUGGAUUCGGACUGGAGGCGUUUCGUGGAUUUGGAACGUGGUGUUCGUGGAUUCGAACGUGAGGGCGUGGACAACCCGGAGGAUUGCGCGAGAUUCAUAGGAGGUUAAGAGAGGUUGAGUCCGUGGGGUCGGUAAUCGCCUUGUAAUCUUUUCUCUUAGUGAAUUAUUUUUUCGCGUGUUGGUCCCAUGGGUUUUUCUCCAAGUUGGAGUUUUCCUACGUAAAUCUCGGUGUGAUUUUUAUUUUUCGCAUUUAUUUUUAUCGCAUUGAGAUUUGUCGUUUUUGGCUAUUACAUCUAUUCACCCCCCUCUAGGUGUUAGAUACAAUCUAGAUAGAUCCUUGGGCUCCUCAAAACUUACAGAAGCGGGGGUCUCGAUUUGACACAAUCGAUAAUGGAACCCUAUGCCAUCUCACUACCUCAUCCAAGUAGGCUUGUGCUAACUUGUCUCCUAACCACGUGGUGUGUAUCGGCAAGAAAUGAGCCGACUUCGUCAAACGGUCCACAACCACCCAUAUUGCAUCAUGUCCGGCUUGCGAUCGGGGUAGUCCGACUACAAAGUCCAUCGCUAUGUCCUCCUAUUUUCACACGGGGAUUGGUUAGCUCUGCAACUUCCCCGCGAAAAAUCGACGCUCGACCUUCACUUGUUGGCACGUCAAACACUGUGCCACGAACUCCUCAAUGUCUCUUUUCAUGCCCGGCCACCAAUAAUGCAAUUUCAGGUCUUUGUACAUCUUAGUGCUGCCCGGGUGAAUACUAUACGGGGAAUGAUGCGCUUCUUGCAACACCAUCUUACAGAUCUCGUCAUCCUUGGGCACACACAACCGGUUUCUGAACCGAAGUGCAUCGCCGGAUCCCACGCCGAAAUCACCGGCGCGUCCGGCGUCAAAGUCAUUCCGCACCUUUUGGAGAUAUGGAUCAUCAACUUGCCGCUCCUUAAUCCGUUCCAAUAAGGUCGGUCGAACCACUAGCGCCUCCAAGAUGGUCGGAACCUCUGGCGCCACCACUUCCAAUCCAAACCGUUGCAUUUUCUUUUGCAACAACGAUUGACUAGUAAUCGCCGUCGCCAAGUUCUCAACAAAUUUCCUACAUAGCGCAUCGGCAACGACAUUAGCUUUCCUGGGGUGGUAUAGGAUAGUAAGGUCAUAAUCCUUCAACAGCUCCAACCACCGCCGCUGUCGCAUGUUUAACUCUUUUUCGGUGAAUAAGUACUUGAGGCUCUUGUGAUCGGUAUAUACCUCACAAUGCUCACCGUAGAGAUAAUGCCUCCAUAGCUUUAGCACGAAAAUGACCGCCGCUAACUCAAGAUUAUGUAUCGGGUAGUUCUUCUCAUAGCUCUUCAACUGGCGCGAAGCAUAUGCAAUGACUCGCCCAUUUUGCAUAAGUAAGAACACACCCGAGACCAUUGUAGGAAGCAUCACUAUACACCACGAAACUCUCUCCCGGAUGCAAUAAUUAAACUGCUUGUGACCCGAAUUGUGAAGAACCUGGUAGAGCUCGGAAAUGAGGUAAGCUGAAUGUUUAUCCCUGGUUUGAGUGUUUCUUUUGAUUGCCUAAGUUGAAGAAGGCAACAAGCAAUUGAGUUCUGAGCUUGAACUAGUAGCAAAAGUGAAAUUUCAGCAUUGAGAUUGAGUACAUUGAGGCUUAUUGAAGCUACUAUAGUAGUAAUGCAUAUACUACUUAGAGUCGAGAUACAAGUUUCGCUGAGGUGUAUGUAUAACUUCAGUUUAAUCUCUUUUAUUCUCCUAUGAAGGAAAGUUAAAUAUACUCAAAGGUCUAAAUUAAUAUUUCGACAGGUUCUUGGUACGCUAAUUACGAUAAAGCCAGUUAGGCUCUAUUUGCAUCUAGUCGGGUGAUACCUUCGUGGAUUCAGCCCGAGACGUGAGUUCUAAUUGUUAGCAUCACUACAGGUGGGUGGUGCUAUCCGAAGUCUUUGAAUCACCUUUUAUGUCUAUGGUUUUCCAUUGAGCAUAUUACUUGUAUUCAUGCAUCACAGGGUAGUGAUAUUAUGAAAGUGAUAUUUGAAUAUGUGAAUGUUUAUCAAUGUUGAGAAAAUGUGAACUUAGAGUGUGAACAUGGAACCCUAUGAAGGUAUGGACUAUAGCAAUAGUAAACUUGGUGACAUUCAACUAGAGAUUUGGUUAGCAUCGAAAGAUGGAAUUGUGAAACUAGUAUAAAGAACUAGUUAGAGUAAAGUGUGACAGUGUUUGUCAGUUGAAUCCUCUAAAAGGGGGAUCAGAUCAUACUCACAUUUGUUUGGUUCAAGUGGGGUCGCUCCCCCUUGGACGAUGAGCUCCGGAGUAGUCAUCUUUACUGGACCAGGAGGUUGCGUCUCCCCCAGUUGACAGUCCCGUCGGGUGCAGGUUGCGUCUCCUCGAUGUUUGGGAUAGUGUCAGUGAGUUAUUGUUAACCAAGAGUUAACCAGUGAAUUGGGUAAAUUCAAUAAAAGCAUGCAUAUUUACAGUUUUCAUAUAUUGCUUCUUUCAGCUUUGUACAGGCAUUGUAGUAGUUACAUGUUUAGUGGUUACUAUCUGUUUGCUUUUCUUGCCUACAUAUGCCUGAAUAGACCUAGUGGGUGAGUCGGCGAGGUCGGUGGCCGAACCCACUGGGAACUUAUUUGUAGUUCUCACACCACUAACCAUACAGGUUCCAGUGCGAGUGUUGUGGCCGAGGAUUGUGGCAAGGGCCCUGCAGCUUAGCUAGCUGACACCAGAGUUUUAGCAGUUACCAUUUUGAGUUCAUGUAUCAUCUAUUUUGAUGUACUGAAACAUUUAGUUAUAUACAUGCUUUAUAAUACAUACAUUAACAUGUCUCACUGGAACCUUUACCGCGGUCGCUCGCCGGCUCGCUCGGUCCCGGCUCUGUGGAAUAGUGGGUGAGAACUACAACAAAGUUCCCAGUGGGUUCGGUCCCAAUCUCACCGACUUUUCCACUAGGACUAAUUCAGGCAUAAUAGAAAGGAUAAGCAGAAUAGUAGCCAAACUAUAAUCAUGAUGCUAAUAUGCUUGAACAAUAAAGCAGGAAGUAUGCUCAAUGUAAAUCAUGCAAGUAUGCAAGUUCUUUGUUCUUUACGUUUUGUUCUUUAACCUUUGUUCUUUGUUUUUUAAUCUCAAGGCUAACCGGGGGGUUUCGUCACAUUAACUUGCCCACAUUAAAUCCAUCAUCGCGGGCCCUCAGCUGCCUCCCGCUAAGACCGUCCUCGGGUUUACUCCAACCCGUGAUGCAAAAACUCCGGAGCGCAUCGCUCGAGGGGGAGCGACCGCCUCGAGCACGGAACUCAUAGCAAGUAUGAUCGAUUUUUAACUCUAAGGAUAUAUAGUUCAAUCAUUGUCUUUACACUAACUCUAGUGUUCUUUACAUCACUUUAUUUUGCUAACUCUAGCAAUCAUUGUUCUUUAACUUUACUCGUUCUUUAUGCCACUUUCAUUUUCUUUCCCUAUCUCUAAUCAUUAUCAUUGUUCUUUGCGUCACAUUUCUCUUUGAUGCCACACACACUAACUCUAGUGUCACUUUUCUUUACAUUAUCGAAUGCCACUCGAUCUAUAUUUUAUUGUGUCACUUUGUUCUUUCAUCUCAUUGGGUGCUCACAUUAUAUCUCAUGCAUACAUAUAGGGUUAAAUAGGCUCUCAAACAUUUCAAAUAGCAUGUGUACUCACAUCAUGCAACAUUCACAUGUAUAUCAUCACAUCUACCCUAUAAUGCAUGCAACAAUAUAAAUAUAUGCUCAAUUGAAUGACACAUUAGGCAUAGAGGGAAUUCCAACAAGUUUGGAUAGCAACCCACCUCGUAAGCGUACUAGGAUACUACAAUGAUUUUCUUGGGAUUUUUAGCCUCUUAGUUCAUCACCUGCGGCAAAACGAAGUCCCAUUAGGCUAUUUUGCUCAUAUCUUUACAUUGGCUUUUCGUAACGUCAAUCCGAGCGCACCAACGCGUCGGAAAUACCCCCAAUUAGGUUUCUAGAGGGUCAAUUUCGCUUUGAAACCCUCCAGAGCAAAAGCCCCAAAUUUGGGUGCCCUAGCUCAUAGCGUAUCAAAACCUAGGGUUUGAUCUCUUAGAGAAGCAAAAGUAAGCUUCAAAUCAUCUAAAGGUUCCAUUUGAACCAUCCUUAGCUCAUUCAAAACCCAUUUUAGGGUUUCACCAUGGGAGGGAUGGAAGCUUUCCUCUAAGCUUCACCACCAACACCCAAAUCCAUGGUUUUGAUCUCUAAAAGAAGCAAAAGAAAGCUUCAAAUACUUAAUAGGUUCCAUUAAAACCAUUUCUAGGUCCAUUCAAACCCUAGUUGAGCUUUACCACUAUUGGGGUUCAAAGCUUACCUUGUAAGCUUUCCUUUUCCAAGCUAGGGAAGGAGAGGAGGGGUCUUCUUUUCCUCCUUGCCUUCUUCUUCACCUUCUUUCUCUUCUUUUCCUCUUCUUUCUUUGUCUUCUUCUUCUCCUUCUUGUCUUCUAGAGAGAGAAAGAGAGAUGAGAGGGAGUGUGUGAGGGAGAGAAUGAGAGGAAAAAGCCCUCAAAGCCCUCCACUUAACCAUUAGGUUGCACAAAAGCAAAUAGGCCCCCCAACUUUCAUUUUAUUGAACUGCUCAAACUGGGCAGAUUUCGGGUUCGGGGACCGGUCUCCCCGACUUGGGACCGGUCCCAGAGAGCUGCUCCCCGCAGCUGCGCAGGGCUCCCCGCGAUGCAACCGGUCUCUCCCAGGGGGACCGGUCUCUCGGGGAUCGGUCUCUCUCCGCAGGGAUCGGUUCCCGAGAGCUGGUUUUCUGGGACUUAGCCGAUUUUCGGCCUUUCUCAUUUCUCACGCGUUCGGGGACUGGUCUCUCCCACCAGGGACCGGUCCCCGAGAGCACAAAACCUGCAGAAUGCAGAUUUUUGAUUCUUUAGCUCUCGAAAACCUCCCACAACGCACUUUCGGUCAUUUUAACACCUUCGGACUUUCCGAAGUGCACCAUCCUCGGGCUUUGGUCAAUUUGACUAAAGUUCGAUAUUUAUUUUCCGAAUUUUCGGUAUAUUAUAUUCUCCACCCCUUAAAAUAAUUUCGUCCACGAAAUUACGCAUACCUUAACUUGUCGACUCAAAUAAAUGCGGAUACUCUCUCCGCAUGGUCUCCUUGAGCUCCCAAGUGGCUUCUCGCACAGCAUGGUUGUUCCAUUAGACUUUCACAUACGGAAUUCUUUCUUCUCUUUCAAGGAUGCACACCGGGUACUCCUCAUAAGACAUAUCCUCACGUAACUCCAGGGGCUCGUGCUCUAACAUAUGUGUCGAGUUACGAAUAUACUUUCGGAGAUUUGACACAUGAAAAAUAUUGUAAACUCUCGCGAGUCUCGGUGGUAGUGCGAGCUUGUACGCUACUGCCCCCACACGCUCUAGUAUCUCGAAUGGUCCAACAUAACGAGGACUUAGCUUCCCGCGGACCCCAAAACGUUUGACUCCUCGCAUCGGCGAUACUCUUAAUAAUACGCGGUCUCCAACCGCAAACUCUAAGUCCUUUCUUCGCUUAUCGGCAUAACUCUUUUGUCGAGAUUGCGUCGCCGCUAAUCGUUGACGGGCAAGACGAACCUUUUCUUCCGCCUCCCGUACCACAUCCGGGCCAAGAGCCGUUCUCUCGCCCACAUCGCUCCAAUGAAUAGGAGAACGACACUUUCGACCAUAUAGUGCUUCAAAUGGCACCAUCGCUAUACUCUCUUGAUAACUGUUAUUAUACGCGAACUCCGCCAUCAGCAAAAAAUCAUGCCAUCCUCCCUUAUAAUCCAGUGCACACGCUCAAAGCAAGUCCUCGAGAAUCUGUAUUGUUCGCUCUGACUGUCCAUCACUUUGAGGAUGAAACGCUGUGCUGAAGUCGAGCCGUGUGCCUAGCGCGUCCUGCUGGCUCUUCCAAAAGUGGGAUGUGAACCUGGGGUCUCGAUUCGAUACAAUUGAUACCGGAACCCCAUGAAGUCUCACAACCUCGUCGAGAUAAACUUGAGCUAGCUUGUCUCCCGACCACGUAGUAUGUAUCGGCAAGAAGUGUGCCGACUUUGUCAAUUGAUCCACUAUCACCCAUAUUGCAUCAUGUCCGCCUUGUGAUCGAGGCAAACCGGUAAUAAAGUCCAUCGCUAUAUCUUCCCAUUUCCAAACGGGUAUUGAUAGACUUUGUAGCUUUCCCGCCGAAAAUCGGCGCUCGGCUUUCACCUGUUGGCACAUUAAACAUUGCGCCACGAACUCCCUAAUAUCUUUCUUCAUACCCGGCCUCCAAUAAUACUCUUUCAAGUCCUUGUACAUUUUAGUGCCGCUCGGGUGUAUACUAUAAGGGGAUUGGUACGCUUCUUGCAUGAUCGCCCUUCGUAACUCAUCAUCCUUAGGCACACACCAUUGAUUUCUAAAUCGAAGUGCGCCCUCGGCUCCAAUACCAAAGUCUUCGGCAUUACCACUCUCAACUUCACUUCGUACUUUUUGAAGAUAAGGAUCCGAAGCUUGGAGUUCCUUGAUCUUUUCCAACAGGGUCGGUUGCACAACUAAUGCGGCAAGUGUAGCUGACACUCCCGGCGCUACCACUUCCAACCCAAGUCUUUGCAAUAUUUUUUGCAAUAGCGGUUGAGGCGUAAUUGCCAUCGCUAAGUUCUCCGCUGAUUUUCUACUCAAAGCAUCGGCCACGACAUUAGCUUUCCCGGGGUGGUAUAGUAUAGUGACAACAUAGUCCUUUAGCAAUUCUAACCACCGCCGCUGUCGCAUGUUCAACUCCUUCUUGGUGAACAAGUACUUUAGACUUUUAUAAUCCGUGUAGAUCUCGCAAUGCUCACUAUACAAGUAAUGCCUCCAAAGCUUUAGCGCGAAGAUCACCGCAGCUAACUCAAGGUCGUGAAUCGGAUAGUUCUUCUCAUAGCUCUUUAAUUGGCACGAUGCAUAAGCAAUGACCCGCCCUUUUUGCAUUAGUACACACCCAAGACCAACAUAAAAGGCAUCACUGUAGACUACAAAAGUCUCCCCCGGAGUCAGUAAGGCAAGCACCGGGGUCGACGUCAAUCUGCUCUUUAACUCUUCGAAGCUCCGAUCACAAUCGUCGCUCAAGACAUACUUUACUCCUUUAUGCAUGAGGCGCGUUAGUGGAGUAGUUAUUUUAGCGAACCCCUACACGAACCGCCGGUAGUAGCCCGCAAGUCCAAAAAAACUGCGGACCUUUGCUACAUUCGUUGGGCGAGGCCAAUCCUUUAUUGCCUCUACCUUCUUCGGAUCUACCGAAACUCCGUCGCCCGAUACCACAUGACCCAAGAAUGUGACUUCCUUUAGCCAAAAGUCACACUUCUUUAACUUUGCAUAGAGCUUCUCCUGUCUGAGUAUUUGCAACACAGCUCUCAGAUGCUCCUCGUGCUCCUCUUCAUUCUUUGAGUAAACCAAUACGUCGUCUAUAAACACCACGACGCACCGGUCCAAUAACGGCCUGAAGACUCGGUUCAUCAAGUCCAUAAAUGCUGCCGGGGCAUUAGUAAGUCCAAAUGGCAUUACCGUGAACUCAUAAUGGCCAUACCGCGUACGGUACGCCGUCUUGUGCACAUCCUUCGGCCUAAUCUUUAGUUGAUGAUACCCCGAUUGGAGAUCAAUCUUCGAAUACACCUUGGACCCUUGCAACUGAUCGAAUAAAUCGUCAAUCCUUGGCAACGGGUACUUGUUCUUUAUCGUUACUUUCUUCAACUCGCGAUAAUCUACGCAGAGUCGAAGUGUGCCAUCCUUUUUCUUUACAAAUAGCACCAGAGCUCCCCACGGUGACACGCUCGGCCUCACGAAGCCUUUAUCGAGCAAGUCUUGUAAUUGGCCUUUUAGCUCCUUUAACUCUACCGGUGCCAUUCUAUACGAAGCAUUCGAAACUGGUUCCGCCCCGGGAAUCAAGUCAAUGACGAACUCAACUUUCCAGUCCGGCGGCAGUCCUGGUAACUCCGCCGGAAACACAUCCGGGUACUCGCACACUACUCGAAUAUCCCCCAACUCUGGGUACUCCUCCUUUCGAGCAUCCACCAUGGUUGCCAAAUAGGCCUUACACCCUCCUUUGAUCAUCCUCUUUGCCAUUACAGACGAUAUGGUCGCCACGAAGCGCCUACUUUUGCACGCUUGGUACACCAAUUCUUCUUGAUCAAGCUCACAAAAAGUGAUCACCUUGCUUUCACAAUCUAUAACCGCAUAGUACUUGGAGAGCCAGUUGGUCCCCAAGAUAACAUCGAAUCCCCACAUCUGAUCUAGCACCAGCAGAUCAAUCGGCAUAAUCCAAUCGCCUAUUUGCACUGGACACGCCAAACACUCAUUGUGGACACUGAAUGAAUGUUCAGGGACGUUCACCCACCAGUAAUCCUCAUUGUAUAUCAUCUCUAUGCCAUGAGUUUGAGCAAAUGAUCCGCUAAUGAAUGAAUGAGAUGCGCCUGUAUCAAAUACUGUUCUAGCUCUAGUGCCUUUAAUCACAAUUAUACCUGCCACGACGUCAUCGGGUGCUGCAGGUUGUUGCUCCUCCACCUGAGCGGCAAAGACUCGGCCACUAGGCGCUCUUGAUCCCUCCGGCUGACGCAGUGAUGACGCGCGCCCAGCCGACAUUGCUGGUGGCAACCCCGCAAGCUGUCUCGGGGUAGACGGUGAUGAUACCACUGCCGGUGCAGACGACGUCCACGUCGGAUACUCCCGGAUAAGAUGUCCCAGUUGGCCGCACUUGAAACACUUGCCAUCGCGCUGCGGGCAAGUCGACACUCGGUGCUCACCGCCACAAAUAACACAUCAAGGAGGUCUCCAGUUCUUCGACUGCUGUCGGGGAUACCGAGAGGGUUUCUUAGUAUUUGGCCGGCCCCCGGCACCACCCGCCGUUCGCUUCUUGCCCUUGUCCUUGCUCUCGGCCAUAGCCUCCUGUUCUUCACGUACGUGGGCGCUACCGUGCUCCGCCCACAAUGCCCUGUCAAAGAUCCCCGCAAAGGUCGACAAUUUCAGAAUCUGCACCUUUUCAUAGAUCCUCGGCUGGAGUCCUCGCAAGAACCAAUCAGCCCGAUCCCGAUCAUCUCGAACAACAUCGGGAACACAGUCAAUAAUGUGAGAGAACUCUUGCUCAUAUUCCCCCACCGAUCGAUCACCCUGUCUCAACUUGCGGAACUUCUCUUGUAGUCUCCGCUUUACCGUGUCGAGAAAGUAGUUCGCGAAGAUUGCUCUCUUGAACUCCUCCCACAGCAUAAGCGGAAGAUCGGUAGGUCGAUCCCGCUUGACUCGCUUCCACCACACCAUCGCCGCCUUCUCAAGACAAUGGGUUGUAAGGUACACUUUGUCCUUCUCCGAGGUAUUGAGAUCCUCGAAGAGCGUUUCCAUCGAGUCGAUCCACGACUCCACAACCGCUGGCUCCACCAAACCGCCUUCAAAGGUAGGUGGGUCAAACUUCUUAAAUUGAAUAAGAGCUGCCAACGUGCGCUCUCGCUCCGCCUCUAUCGCCGCAUUAUCGGGAUUUGAGGUUCCCGACCCAGCUGGUACUACCGUAACUGGAACAGCCGCUGCUGCCGCUGCUCCCCCGUCUACGCUUGGCACUACCACAGGGGGUGCGACAUGCUCGACACCCGCCUGGGCCGCCGCCGCUUGCUGAUGCUCCAAGGCCUCCUGGAGCCGCUGAAUCUGUUCCCCUUGGCGUUGAACAGACUCCGCUUGUUGCCGCACUACGCCUAUAAGUGCGGCCAUCUGCUCCCUAAGCUCUCCAUCGCCACUCGCUCCGGAUCGCUCGGGCUCUGCAUUCGGCUCUUGUGGCAUCGACCUUGUCUGCGGUCGACCACGAGGUGCCAUUACUUCCUGAAAAGAAGCAACUCGCAUUAGUUACAUAACCAACAUUACUUGACCAUACCCAAUUCGGCGAAAGCAACUUAUGCAUUCGUUCUCGCCCAAAGCAUCAUGUCGUCGGCCGCCCGACACAAAACAAGGAGUAGGAAACAAAUGAAAAUUAAACUUAGCCUCUAAUCACAUUAGAGACGUCCCAACUUAACCCAAUCACAUACUUUCGCUAACUUUGAUUCCACGUCACUCACGUUUUCUAGAUCCUUAAGGUCUUCCAAUCCUAAGGGUCUCUAGGUCCAUUCCUAUUCUUUUACUCUUGGCUCUGAUACCACGAUAUCUGUCACGCCCCGGGACCGAUACCAAUUUGGCCCGGCCCGAGCACGUCAAAUAGACGCCGAACGGUCAGAGUUUCCCCUGUCCGCCCAAGGCUCAUCACAUGUACAUUUUCAAACAAGAAGUGCACUAGCGGAAACAUACAUAAACGGCUUACACGAGGGUAAGCAAUAGCCAUGAGUGAAAGAAAGGAAGCUAACUACUACAUAAGUAUUAUGAUUCAUUUUCGAUCAUAUACAUUUCAUUUCAUCCAACUUGUACAUUCAUAAGGUCUUUACAUUUCUUUUCAUCAUUUCUUUUUACAUCACAUUAGCUCAAAUGAAGCAUUACAUUCUUUGCUUUACAUCACUAGUCAUCAAAUACAAAAGAUGAUCAUAGGUAUACUACUACAAAAUGUAAAACUCGACUUGGUAGUCACUGUCAAAGGCGCGAUACCUUUACCGCAGUCGCUCGCCAGCUCGCUCGGUCCCGGCUCUGUGGAAUAGUGGGGUGAGAACUACAACAAAGUUCCCAGUGGGUUCGGCCCCAAUCUCACCGACUUUUCCACUAGAACUAACUCAGGCAUAAUAGAAAGGAUAAGCAAAAUAGUAGCCAAACUAUAAUGAUGAUGCUAAUAUGCCUGAACAAUAAAGCAGGAAGUAUGCUCAAUGUAAAUCAUGCAAGUAUGCAAGUUCUUUGUUCUUUACUCUUUGUUCUUUAACCUUUGUUCUUUGUUCUUUAAUCUCAAGGCUAACCCGGGGGUUUCGCGACAUUAACUUGCCCACAUUAAGUCCACCAUCGCAGGCCCUCAGCUGCCUACCACUAAGACUGUCCUUGGGUUUACUCCAACCCGUGAUGCAAAAACUCCGGAGCGCAUCGCUUGAGGAGGAGUGACCGCCCUUGAGCACGGAACUCAUAGCAAGUAUGAUCGAUCCUUAACUCUAAGGAUAUAUAGUUCAAUCAUUGUCUUUACACUAAUUCUAGUGUUCUUUACAUCACUUUAUUUUGCUAACUCUAGCAAUCAUUGUUCUUUAACUUUACUCGUUCUUUAUGUCACUUUCAUUUUCUUUCCCUGUCUCUAAUCAUUAUCAUUGUUCUUUGCGUCACAUUUCUUUUUGAUGCCACACACACUAACUCUAGUGUCACUUUUCUUUACAUUAUCAAAUGCCACUCGAUCUAUGUUUUAUUGUGUGACUUUGUUCUUUCAUCUCAUUGGGUGCUCACAUUAUAUCUCAUGCAUACAUAUAGGGUUAAAUAGGCUCUCAAACAUUUCAAAUAGCAUGUGUACUCACAUCAUGCAACAUUCACAUGUAUAUCAUCACAUUUACCCUAUAAUGCAUGCAACAAUAUAAAUAUAUGCUCAAUUGAAUGACACAUUAGGCAUAGAAGGAAUUCCAACAAGUUUGGAUAGCACCACCCAUCUCGCAGGCGUACUAGGAUGCUACAAUGAUUUUCUUGGGAUUUUUAGCCGCUUAGUUCGUCACCCGCGGCAAAACGAAGCCCCAUUAGGCCAUUUUGCUCAUAUCUUUACAUUGGCUUUUCGUAACGUCAAUCCGAGUGCACCAACGCGUCGGAAAUACCCCCAAUUAGGUUUCUAGAGAGUCAAUUUCGUUUUGAAACCCUCUUGAUCAAAAGCCCCAAAUUUGGGUGCCCUAGCUCAUAGCGUAUCAAAACCUAGGGUUUGAUCUCUUAGAGAAGCAAAAGUAACCUUCAAAUCAUCUAAAGGUUCUAUUUGAACCAUCCUUAACUCAUUCAAAACCCAUUUUAGGGUUUCACCAUGGGAAGGGUAGAAGCUUUCCUUUAUGCUCACCACCAAUACCAAAAUCCAUGGUAUUGAUCUCUAAAAGAAGCAAAAGAAAACUUCAAAUACUCAAUAGAUUCUAUUAAAACCAUUUCUAGAUCCAUCCAAACCCUAGUUGAGCUUUACCACUAUUGGGGUUCAAAGCUUACCUUGUAAGCUUUCCUUUUCCAAGCUAGGGAAGGAGAGGAGAGGUAUUCUUCUCCUCUUUGCCUUCUCUUCACCUUCUUCCUCUUCUUUUCCUUUCCUUUCUUUCUCUUCUUCUUCUCCUUUUUGUCUUCUAGAGAGAGAAAGAGAGAUGAGAGGGAGUGUGUGAGGGAGAGAAUGAGAGGAAAAAGCCCUCAAAGCCCUCCACUUAACCAUUAGGUUGCACAAAAGCAAAUAGGCCCCUCAACUUUCAUUUUAUUGAACUGCUCAAACUGGGCAAAUUUUGGGUUCGGGGACCGGUCUCCCCGACUUGGGACCGGUCCCAGAGAGCUGCUCCCUGCAGCUGCGCAGGGCUCCCCGCGAUGCAACCGGUCUCUCCCAGGGGGACCGGUCUCUCGGUGUCACGCCCCAAUCCACGCCAAUUCGGUCUGGUUUGGGUCACGUCAACAGACGCCGAACGGACAGAGCCUCCCCUGUCACGCCCCGAGACCGAUGCCAAUUUGGCCCGACCCGAGCACGUCAAACAGACGCCGAACGGACAGAGUUUCCCCUAUCCGCCCAAGGCUCAUCACAUGUACAAUUUCAAUAAGAAGUGCACUAGCGGAAACAUACACAAACGGCUUACACGAGGGUAAGCAAUAGCCAUCAGUGAAAGAAAGGAAAACUAAACAUACACAAGUAACAUGAUUCAUUUUAGAUCAUAUACAUUGCAUUCAUGUCUUACGCUUUGGAUUCCUUUUCAUUUCAUUACAUUACUUCAUCAUUUCUUUCUUACAUCACAUUUACCUCAAAAUAAGCUUACAUUCUUUUCUUUACUUUAUACAUUAACAUCUUAAAUCAUCAAAUACAAAAGAUGAUAAAAGGGAUAAACUGCUAACAAAAUAUAACCCAAUUCAGGUGGCCUCUGACUAAGGCGCGAUACUUUUACCUCGGUCGCUCGCCGGCUCGCUCGGUCCCGGCUCUGUGAAAAUAGUGGGGUGAGAACUACAACAAAGUUCCCAGUGGGUUCGGCCUCAACAUCACCGACUUUCCCACUAGGACUAACUCAGGCAUAAUAAAAAGGAUAAGCUGAAAUAUGGUAACCAAUCUAUAACAUGAUGCUAAUAUGCAUGAACAAAAGCAAGGAAUAUGCUCAACAUUAAUAGAUGCAGAUUAUGCAUGUUCUUUAGUUCUUUUCACUUUACUCUUUGUUCUUUAUUCUUUGUUCUUUGCUCUUUAAUCAUUAAGGCUAACCCGGAGGUUUCGCCACAUUAACUUGCCUCACGUUAAGUCCAUCAUCGCAGGUACUCACCAGCUAGGACCGUCCUUACGGGUCUACUCCAACCCGGAUGCAUAACUCCGGAGCGCAUCGCCCGAGGGGGAGCGACCGCCCUCGAGCACGGAACUCAACAGCAAGUAUGAUCAUAUCCUUAACUCAAAGGAUUAUAGUUCAAUCUUGACUUUACACUAGCUCUAGUGUUCUUUACAUCACUUUAUGUUGCAAACUCAUGCAAUAACAUUCUUUACAUUCUCAUUACUCUUGCUAACUCUAGCAAUCAUUGUUCUUUGCAUUUCUUUUACUUUUGCUAACUCUAGCAAUCACAUUCUUUACUUUUCUUUUACUUUUGCCAUCUUUAGCGUUCUUGUUCUUUACAUUUCUCGUUCUUAUUGCCCCACUUUACUUUAACUUUACACAUUGUCAUUUUCAUCAUUCUUUACAUCACAUUGGUUCUUUGCAUCACACUAACUCUAGUGUCUCUUUACUUUACAUUUUCAAAUGCCACUCGAUCUAUGUCAUUGUGCCACUCUGUUCUUUUGCUCACUUUGGGUGCUCACAUUUUCUCUCAUGCAUACAUCUAGGGUUUUGACAUUAUUAGGUUCUCAACCAUCUCAUUAUGCAAGUUGUGCUCACAAUCAUGCAAUCAUCACAUUUCAUCAUUACUUUACCCUAAAAUGCAUGCAACAAUAUAUAGAACAUAUGCUCAAAGAAUGACACAUUAGGCAUAGAGAGAAGUUCAAUGAGUUUGAGAAGCACCACCCACCUCGUAGGCUUUCAAAGGUGCUCCGAUGAUUUUCUUGGGAUUUUUAGAUGCUGCGUUCUUUACCUGCGGCAAAACGAACCCUUAUUAGGCCAUUUUGCCCAUAACUUUUCAUCGGCUUUUCAUAACGUUAAUCCGAGCGCACCAACGCGUCGGAAAUACCCCCAAUUAGGUUUUUGAAGGGUCAAUUUCACUUAGAAAUCCCCAUGAGCAAAAGCCCCAAUUUGGUGCCCUAGCUCCAAUGCAUAUACAAAACCUAGGGUUUGAUCUCAUUGGGAAGCAAAAAUAGCUUCAUUAUACUCUAAAUAGUCCAUUAGAACCAUUCUUAGGCUUUCCAAAACCCUAGUUGGGAUUUCACCAUGAGAGGUGGUCCAAGCUCACCUCUAUAGCAAAUCUAGAUUUUGAUCUCUUUAGAAGCAAAAGAAAGCUUCAAAACUCUCUAAACAUUUCACUAAAACUCACUUCUAGGUCAUUCAAACCCAUUUCUAGGGUUUUACUACAUUAGGGUUCAAAGCUUACCUUAUAAGCUUUCCCUAACUUGCACUAGAGAGGAAGAAGAUGAAGCCUCUUUGCUCCAAAAGCUUCUUCUUCACCUUCUUCUCCUUCUUUUCCUUCCUUUCUUUCCUUCUUCUUCUUCUCCUUUGCCUUCUAGAGAGAGAGAGGGAGAGAAGAGAGUGUUUGAGAGGGUGGGAAUGAGAGAAAAUCUCAUUAACCCCCAAUACAUAGCUAUUGGGUUGCAAAAUUGCAGCUAAACCCCUCAACUUUCACUUUAAUACACUGCCCGAACUGGGCAUUCCGCGCAGGCAGAGACCGGUCUCCCCGAGCAGGGACCGGUUCCCGAACGUCCACCCUGCGCAGCCAGAGUCGCUGCGCGCGAUGCGACCGGUCUCCCUUUGAUGGGACCGGUCUCUGGGGGACCGGUCUCUCAGGCAGAGACCGGUUCCCGAGAGCUGAUCUUCCAGGACUUAGCCGAUUUUUCGGCUGUCUCAUUUCAUACGCGUUCGGGGACCGGUCUCUCCCACCAGGGACCGGUCCCCGAGAGCUGAAAAUCUGCAGUUUCGCAGAAUUUGAUUCUUUAGCUCUCGAAAACCUUCCACAACUCACUUUUGAUCAUUUUAACACCUUCGGAUUUUCCGAAGUGUUCCAUCCUCGCACUUUGGUCAAUUUGACUAAAGUUCGACAUUUUUAUUUUCCGAAUUUUCGGUACAUUACAUCCCCUGUCCGCCCAAGGCUCUAACCACAUAUAAUUAGGCAAUUAACAAGAGAAUUGCAUAUAUCAUACAAGGCUUACUCGAGGGCAAGCAACAACAGAAGCGAAAGCUCUAAGCUAAAUAUACAACACACGUGAUAUUUGAUUUCUUUUGAACCAAAUUCAAGUAAGUAAUAAUAUUACAUUCCAUUCAACCAUCAUAUCUUUUUACAUUUAGUCAUCCACCAAUUACAUGAUUGUUUUCACUUUACAUACCUAAAUCAACAAAAUAAAGUUGAUACAUAUAUAACAAAAGGGAAUGACUACAAAAUGCAUAAAGUCCCCGGUGGCCGCUACCUACGGCGCCAAACCCUUGCCUCGGUCCUCCGCCGCCCCGCUCAUGCUAGGACCUGCAGGGUUAGUGGUGUGAGAACUACAACGAAGUUCCCAGUGGGCUCGGCAUCCGACCUCGCCGACUUACCCACUAGGUCUAUCCAGGCAUAAGUAUUUCAAAGGAAGAAAAGUAACCAUUACUAAUGCAACUAAUACUAUGCCUGCAAGGAAGAGUCAGUAGAUAAACAAUUGCAAUACAAAUAUGGAAAUGCAUGCAUGCUCCAAUCAUGAUCAAACUUUGGCUCUUACCCAAUCUUGCCGAUUAACUCUGUUAACCCCAAUGACUCACAACGCAAAAUUCCUUAAUAACGGAGGACUCGAACCUCCCUAGGGACCGUCAACUGGUGGGACUUUACCACGCCCAGUGGUGACCAACUCCGGAGCGCACCGCUCGAGGGGGAGCGACCUNNNNNNNNNNNNNNNNNNNNNNNNNNNNNNNNNNNNNNNNNNNNNNNNNNNNNNNNNNNNNNNNNNNNNNNNNNNNNNNNNNNNNNNNNNNNNNNNNNNNUAUUGUUUUUCCUUCGGGCCCGAGCGAGGGGCAGCCCUCCUUGCUGACUGCUGCUGUUAUGUUCUAGGCACAGCCAGCGACAGCAGCGUUUGCAGCAAGCAGCAGGAGCUGGCAAGCAGCAGCGCAUGUGCAGCAGCCGCAGUGGCCUCAGCUGCAGCUAGCAAUAUUUAUUGCGGCUGCCAGGGCCAGCAAAAAAAAGAAAGAAAAGGAAAGCAAAGAAGGAAAAGAAAGAAAACAAGAGAGAAAGAAGGAAGAGCAAGAAGAAAGAAAGAAACGAAAAGAUAGAUAGGAAUGCUAACUUGAAGUUCUGAUUUUGAAUUCUUGCUUUUGCUCAUACACAUAUAAUCUAGAAGUAAGACUUAUUAUGAGCUUUAUGUUGAAAACUGACCGUCGAUAAUGCACUUUUUGCAGGAUAAAGUCUAACAUGAAAUUACCAGUUAUAAACCUAAUGAGGUAAAAUCAAACCCUAGAACAGUUGGCGAAGCUCAGGUUUCGGCAAUCCUUGUGUAGCCUGACCGGGGGGGAGAGGGAGGGGGAUCCGCCAACGAGGGGGGUGAGUUCCGUCCCCCCCUAUCCCGUGUAAGCGCUGUAGAUGAUUUUCGUCCUUUGAUUGUUUUUGUUUUUUGCUUGUGAUUAUUUUGCUAAAAAACUUUCUUCCUUCUUUAGGUUAAGCUGCGAGACAGGGAAAGUGCUCGGUUGGUUCUAGAGGUUUCUUAAUGAACACUUCGCGAAUAUAUACCUCAUUAAGGGGUAACUUGUGUGAAUAGCUAUAUCUCAUUAGUAGUACAGAAUGGUAACAAAUACGUAUCUACGUAUCUAUUCAGAUUAAGUAGACCUGAAUAGUUUGACUCGCCAAGCUUUUGAGUUAUGCCCAAAUAAGGAUGGCCUACUUUCGUGCAGGUGUAGGCAAAGAGUCAAGUGUCUAAGCCAUCUAAAUUUAAAGUUAAUGUUCUCAUUUCCUAUUCAUUCGUUCUCUGGUGGGGGGUAGGUCAGUCAUUUUCACAACUCUAUAACUUAUAUUUCUUAGCCAUUUCAAUGUUUUAAAGUUAGUCUUUUCACUGUUUCCCUUGAAAUUCUUCAGACCUUGUGGGCGUGAGUGUGUGCGAUUGCUGUGAUCUUUUUAGUCUUUGUUUCCUAUAAUUAUUUGUACGUUAUCCCGGUUGUGGAGUGGGUUGAUCAGGUGGGGAUUUGCCUAUUAUCUCGCCGUGUCUUCCCUUCCUUUCCUUCCCCGGGACAAGCUUAAUUUAGCACUCAGUUAAACUAUAUUGUCUCCAAAGCUGAUUAUAGUUCAUUAUAAUUUUAUGCUCCUAGAAAAGGGAAUGCAAAAAUGCAGGAGGGUAUUGUUGCGUGAAUUAACAAGAUCUUUGAAGGUCUGGUAAAAUCUGUGACCUUAGUGAGGGGAUUUGUUGGAGGGAAUGUAGUGGAGAGACCGGGGAAUACGGCCCAUUGGAUUAGUCAGUACAGCUAAGUAAAUCGCAUUAUAUGUGAUAUUAGGCUUUUUUUUAGUUAUUCGCUUAAUUGUUAUUUAUUCUUUGGAUUUCCUCACACUCAUGCACCGGGGGCGGGCCGACAAAUACCGGGGGAAAAAAACACAUUUUUAUUCCUAACCCCCUUUCGGCCCCCUUUGGCAAAACACCUCCCCAAUAUGAACCCUUUUCUUCGGGGUGCCCUUCCGGUAACAACCCCCCCUUUUUACCCCCAAAGGGUGUUGGGUUUGAGGUGAGUGACUAAAUUAUACAAACCUCGUGUGUAGACCAGUCGUCGAUAGUGCUGCAUAGCAAAAAGCUAUCAGUUCUGUGAGUCUGGUGAGCUUAUUGUAUUUGAUAUUGCUUUUGAGUUCUGUAAUUACCUUGACUACAACCUUAGAUUUCAGGCUAUAACGUUUUUGCUAUCUAUUUUUUUAAACCAUGAUCUGAUAAUUGGUUGGGAAUGAAGGCUGGGACACUUUUAAGCAAGUGGAAGCGUGUAAGAUUAGGCAGAUAAAAGCUAAACAAAACUGACAAUCAAAGGCAAAAUGAUAUAGUAUAAAGUCUACCAUUUUACUCAAUUUUGAUUGUCUUUUGUGUCUAGGAACCAGAAUUUGAAUCUUUGUUAAAUAACGUAAUUUACUUAUAAUUCCGUUAGUUUGGCCAAUAAUAGUGUCCCCACCAAAGUCAGACGGUUCUGUUUUGAUUGGUGUAAUCCUCAGCUCCUUUUUUACUAUUAAGUACACGCGAGCAGUAGUUCUGAUUGGAGGUUUUCCUCAAUUGAGGUAGUCUGACGGAGGGUGGAGUACUAAAUUAGCUGGUCUGCUAGGAAUUUCUUUUUCUAGUCAUUAAUGUGUAAUAUUUCUCUUUUCCUAGUCAUUUUUUAGCUUGAUAGAUUCCAUUCUUGCUCUCGUAAUUAACCUCAGCUUAUAAUAUUAAGUAUUUUGUAUUUCAUACCCCCUUUUGGCUAAUCCUAAUUAAGUGACUGUUCGCUCUUAACGUAAUAUCUCGAGCUUAAAUAUUAAUUAGUUCCAUUCGUGGGUACUUUAUGCUUUGAAAUUAUUUUGAAGCUCCAAUGUCUGAAUUUUUCUUACCAGGUUUAAAUUACCUAUUUUGGUCGUAGAGUUGGAAAACCAUCAAUCGAGAAUAAUUCCAGCUUGGGAGCUUUGAAAAACUGAUGUAAGUGAUUGCUUUUCUCUAGUCUUAGAUCAAUCUUAAAUACAUCAGAAGAAGUUUUUUAAGUGAUUUAAUUAGAACACAUAUAUUGCAUGGUAAUGCUAAAUGUUGUAGCUGACAAUUCCUCAGCCGAUCUCCAGUGCUGAACGCCAUUAGCUAUCUGUAUUCUUUUCUGACUCAUAAAGACUUUCAUAGUCAUCCCUUUCCUCCGUCUUUCCCAUUAAGCUUAUCUUCCAUACUGGAAUCAGAUGACACUUCCUUGCCCUAGUUUAUUAGCACUAUAUCUGCUUUCAUUUAAGACUAAUCUUAGGUAGAGACUUAGAUCUAAGAACCUGAUAUACUACAUAAAGGGAAAUUAGCUACUCAAAAGAUCGAUGAUUGUUCUGGCAAAAACUGUCAGGUUCCAUGACACAUUUCUAUGAUCCAGUUCCACGCCUCCCUAAUGCUGAAUUACAUUGUUUAAUAAAGACUUCUAGAAAUACUUAUAAAGUAUUGAGCUAAGAUCUUGAUAACUCAGCCUAAAGUUGCAUGCUAUUGAUCCCUGAUCUUUGAUUAGAAAACUUAGAAGUUGAUGAGAUUUUUGAAAGUUGUUAAUAAAACUAUGUACAGUUCUAUGCUGUAAGUAGUAUUACACAUAGAUGAAUGUUGAAUAGAGAAGAUCUACUGGAGAAAAUCGGAAGAAGAUCAUGGACACGCAAUGGUAAUCUCUGUUUAUUAACUUUAUAAAUGAAGUUAACAUUCUGCCCAAAAGUUCAAAUUGACAUCUGGACGAGGGCAAAACGGGAACAGUCGACGACGCAAGACGCUAAAUAUUACCGGUAGAGAAUCCAGUUUGUCUAGUCCAUUUGCCACUGAGGUCGCGAAAGCUAUGUUGCUCGGCGCCAUUCGCGAGACGUCGAGAUCUUAGGUGGCAUUUGACACCACUACAGAGGUGGGGAGGGGGGUGUCUCAUCUGUAAGUCUUUUUUGACUCACGUGUUUUAUGCUCUUAUGGGGUAGUAUCAUUGAAGCGCGAUGAUUUACUUGCUGUGGUCUUUUUUCUUGGAUGCAAUAGAAGGGUACGUCUUCGGGAGUGUAGGGAUUGAUGCAGAGAUGAUAUUGAACGGCGGGUUGAUCGUAUGAGGUAGUAAGGGAACAUUGAUGAACUAGAAUGUGCGACAGUGUAGAACCCUAUGAAUGCACGGAGCGGAUAACAAUAGCUGAACUUUGGGGGACAUAUGGACUCGUAGAGGAUGGUGUGGCGGGUUAGCAUCGAUCAUGGGAAUUUAUAAAGACUAGCAUAAGGAGCUAUUGUUAUUAGUUAUUAGUGUGAUCUCCCUUAGUGGGUUUGGUCAGUUGAAAUCCUAAAGGGGCUUCAUCAGAUCGAGCUUGCGACAUUUGUCUUGGGUCGAGGGGGGGCAUCGUAAGCUAGUCGCUCCUCAUAUGAACGAUGAGACUCCGGUAGGUACGCUCAUCUAUACGGGACCAAGAGGAGAGGUGCCGUUCGUCCCGCGCACAGUUCGACCCACCGGGUGGGGCCGGGUCGGCGUGCAGGGUAUGCGAUACGUGGGCCCCGGAUGAUUUAGGGGGAGGGGUAGUGAGCGGGUCAUGUGAGGUCUGGUUGACCAUGGAAGACCCAGAUUAACCAAAAGAUUGAAGGGUUAAAGUUAACAUGAAAAAAGACAUGCCAUGCAUAUUUACAGUUUUAUUACUACUCCUUCAGCUUUGAUAUAAGGCAUUGAUAGUAGUGGAUACAUAUAAUGUAAGAAUUUUACUAUUCUCCCAACCACCCUUUACUGUAUUUCUAUUGCCGAAUAUAUGCUAGUUAGACCUAGUGAACAUGAGGGAAAGGGGCCAAGGGGGGGAAAAAAAAAAAAUAAAAAGGGACUUAAAAAGCGUAUUAAACAAGAGGAAAGGCAGGAAAAAGGAAGGGGAGGGGCGGCGAGUCGUCGAGAAUGGGUAGGUAAAAGACUGAAGGGGCGUACUGUGGGAACUAUUUCUUGAUAGUUCAUACAACUUACCUAUCUAACCUACAAUGUUUCCAUGAAUUUUCGGCUCUCGCAUGCGUCUUGUGACAAAUUAGUUUUGCAAAAGGCCACAAAGAAAAAUCACGAUCCUAGGCAUAAGCGAACACCAGACAGUAUAUAGAAUGUUUAACUAUUAUUUUGUUAUAGUUCUAUUGUUUAUCAUUUUUAUUUCUUGAUUAUGUAAAUGUUACUUAUUUUUUUGUCAAAACUUUAUGAAUGUGCUUAAUAAAGCAUGUAAUAAACUAAGAUAGUUUUUAAGUAUUAAGUAAAGUUUUAAAUACAAUGGAUUAUCAUGUUUAGUUAGACUUACUAUCACGUGGUUGUGCUUGUCUUCGUGCAAGCCAAAUGUAUAUUUGAUUAAUGUAUAUUCCUUUGGUAUUUUUAUUUUCUUAUAGUACAUGCUUAUUUUCUCUUUUUGUUAUUUUUGAGUUCCAUUUUGGUUCAAAUAUAACGCCGAACAGAGGAAAGUGACUGUUACGAUUUCAAAAUUAGGAAAGAUCUCGUGUCCACCCAGCGAAGGCCCGAGGACCUUUUGUUUAACGACAAUCUGUUUGCUGGUUUUAGAUAAAGCGGGACGUGACAGGAUGCAGUGCCAGCUAGAUAGCAUGUCGUAUAGGACGACGGUAUAAGGUAGUUGCUUAAAGAGACCACGAUUGCCAUGGUGUUACCAUUUGUGAAAGACUUUGUGGAGCCUAGAGCCACCCAAAUAAAAAAGCCUUGCCUUUUUGUCGGGUAGGGCAUCUCAGUCAGGCUGGUUGAAGGAGUGACAGCGCACCCGCAGACCACGGGACGGGGUAAUUAGUGGCAGUAUUGUUAGUUUUAUCUUUAACCAGGUACAGAAGAAACUUUGUGUUGUUUAGUCCGUUAGUGUCUUUUUAGUAUCCUUUGUUUCUUUUUUUUCUUUUCACGCGUUGGAUGCUACCGUGUUUUAGAUCUUUUAAUUGAGAUUGAUGAACACAUGAAGAAUGAAUUGUAGAAGACCUCUCACUAUCCCUCAGAGGAACUGUGGAACGUGGUGUAGGUUGGUGAGUCUUGGUAUGCUCCUAGAUUGGAGUGACUUGGGCACCUACCCUUAAAGUGUGUGAUUUGUCGUAUAUUCAUCAAAUGAGAAUGAUCGCCGAUGAAUGAUUGGUCUACGAACCGAACGAGAAGCGCUAUGCAUAGAUAUGCGACAAGUAUGGGCUAGAUUAAGCCUACGUAGGACUGUUUUUUAGUAUUUGGACCUGUGUCUCCAAAAAUUCAACCAAUUGAGAUCAAGUAUUUUCUUGUCUUUAUAAAAAGGAUAGCAGGGUGGCCAUUAUCAGAUGAGUUAUACAGCGUGUGAUUCGGGGGACGAAUUAGUGUUCAGUAUGGAAGUCGAAUUGCAAAGAGCGAAUGAAUUGUUUAAGUAAGGAUGGCGGUUGUUUUAGUAGUCUACUAACGCCCGACUAAGGCGAAGUAAAGCUUGCGUCUCGUUUUUGUUGGUUACUAUCUUUUCGAGUAUUUCUUUAUUAUAUAGUCUCCAUUGUUCUUUUAUGAUGUUAUUGUGUGGAGCGUUUGUAGUAAUGAUUUGCCUCCUUUUUUAUGGAAUUGAGAUCCCCAUGAUUGUAUUGCUGUUAGAGGUUGUGGCAUUCUCGUUUUUUUAUCUUUUGUGAGCAUAGGAUUUCUAGUUCGAGAUUUUGAAGCGACUUCUUGCUGGUGUUUAAAAAACAACGUUUUGUGUUCGAUUGCUUUUUUUUUAUUAUUUCUCAUUUCUCGAAAUUGCUUUUUCUUAAGCAAUGCCGGUUAUUCGAAUUUCGGAGGAAAUUCAAACUGGGGGUCCACCUUCAGGAUUUUUUUUUUGAAGGUGAGUAGUAGAGGUCGAAAGAAGCAGUUCCUGAUUGUAAGCACGUGAUUGGUUUUACUUGCGAUAUGGCAUAAUAAUACUGAAAACUAUCUAUGCUUCUUUUAUCAUUCUUUCCUUGUUUUCCCUUGUGUGUGUUCGUUUCUUUUUUUGGUUGUGGGCCACUGGUGUAUUUGUAGUUUUCUUCUAAUUUUGUGGUAUUAAUUUAGGGCACACCCUCUGACAACCUUUAUGUUUGGUUCUCGAUGUCAUUUGGAUAUUGUUUCCCUGUGUUAUUUGUCUCGAUAUAUGUUUCCCUGUGUGAUUUCUUUUUUAAGGAGUGUAUUUUUUGAGUUACUUAACACCAUAGUACUCUGUGUGUGUUCACGAAAAUUCUUUUAUUUAAGCCUGGGCUUUUUAGAGAAAUGUAAGGGUGUUGAAUGUUUAAAUAUUAAAUACCGACUCAAAAAUCAUGAAAUUAACGCUGUCCAUUUGGAUUGGAAACAUAACAUUGAUUGAUUCCAGGUAAGCGUUGCGGUUGAAAUGUAACAAUUAGUACCGGAUUUAAAUAAUAGAAAAAUAUAGAAAUAAAUAAAAAAUAGUAUGGUUAGAUACUAUUUUUAUUGAAUUUAGAGAAGAUGAAAUAUAAGUGGCGAAUGACCUGCUGCUGAAAUCGGAAUAAAACAGAAGGAUUUAGAAUUUUCUGUUGAAACGGGCAGAUAAGUUGAUUAGCAUGUUAAUAAAUGCACGCUCUCAGAAAUAUGAAAAUUGAGGUAUAAGUCAGAAAUAUUUGUUUAUGAGGGGCUAAUUUAGCGUUUCAUAUUUUCUGACACCUGUAAUGGAGAAAUAAAAAUCCGAAGAGCUAUCUGAUAAGAUUGCAGUCUUGAUUACCAAAGAGGGGGAGGGGGUACGAGUGUGUUCAGGGGUGGUGAGCCAGGGGUCGGGGGGGGGGGAGUCAAUAUUAGUUAACCAAAACACAGACGAAGAAAGUUCAAAAACUGAGCCACAUAGAGUCGUACAAGCUUGUAAGUAUACGAUAUAAAACCGAAGCAUGACUGUCAAGCUUUGAUCUCAAACGGUAAACAAUUAUCAGGAGGAAGUUCGGCGAAAAGAUAUCGGCAUUUCAAAGACUGCCCGGGAAUGAAUAGUGUAUUGAGGGGGUUCGUUAAUAUAUAGAAGAUAAGCAACAACUUCUUCUCCCCCUCAACCGUGCACACCCAAGAUUCACACGCACACACGCAUGAGAAUGAAGGAGAACAGAAAUGUCCCUCCUCUCUCUAAGAACCCCUUUCUCCUCUAAAAUCUCUUGCCAAAGAUGUGAUGGAUUUGCGUGGAGAAGCUAAGCUUGGAAGGUUGAUCCUUCUAUCACUUCAUCUUCUUCCUCUCCAUUGGAGCAUACUGUUGAAGGUAAGCUAAUCAAAAAACUCCAUGAUAAUGGGGCGGGAUUUCUCUAUUGCUUGGGUUUUAAGCUAGAAAAACCGAAAAAAGGAUAGUAUGGCUUUCCUGAAUUCGCUAAAAGAUGAUUGUAUGGCUUAGGUCCAUAAGUUGUAAUGUGUAGUUUUACCUAUUUGAACCAAGAGCUCAAAAAUGAAAGGCUUAAAACUGCGUAGAUCUCUAAGAAUAGUCUAAUCUUGGAAAUUGGUUAUAUAAUAACCACCCACAGUGAUGGGUCUUAGAUUAGAAUGGUUUAAUGCUUUGAAUUUUCUUUAAAGUAAUUUUUAUUAUGUAUAUUCUGCAAUAAGUUUGAUAUAAAACUAGGGACUCAAAAUGCUAACUUUCAAUAAUUUUGUUGUUGUUUUUUUUAUUCUCUUUUUUUAUACUCUCUUUUCUGCUUAAUACAUUAGUUGCGUUUUAUGGUAGUUUUAAGGUAUACGAAAAUACGCUAAAACAAUGUCAUUGUUUGUCCGCUGAAGAACUCGUUCUGCAAGUUUUCCGACGACGCGCUUACAAAUUAAUUAAAAGAAACGGACGUUAGGCUCGGUUUCCGCCUGGAGCCGAUAUUUGGCUGUACGAUCAGUAAAAUCCUGACAAACGAAGACAUCAGAAGGCAGUGGCUGACAAGAAACGAAGACUGUUAAGUAUUUCGAGAAGUAUUGCGGAAUCGAAAGGCGUUUAAUAAAGUUUCAUAAGGCUGCAAAAGACAAGCGGAUUGGAUGCAGAGGGGUACCGAACGGCGUAGCUCGGCGGCGUGGGGAAUCAUGCAGGCCGAUUAGCAAGAGGUGGACGCAAAGAGCGAGCUUUAAUUCGGAAGCGCUGCUAUUUUUGAAUCACAGGUUAUUUGGUGUUUUCUUGUGUGUGUUUUAUAUGCCAUCACGAUAGUCAUCGGGCUUCUCCUAAAAAAUAAGUUUUUUUGUUUCAUUAGUGCUUAAUCCUCCUCCCUCUCGUUUCAUUUCAUUUGGUUAGCCCAUAUUUGUUAUGUUUGCUUAUGCACUUUUUUUAGGGAACGACAAUACAUGCAUAUGCCUAUUCCUUAUAUUGAAGUUUAAUAUUUUUAUGUUGAUCGGAAGAUAAUAUUUGAGUAGUCGGUUUAUUUAUGAUUAUUAUAUGGAGUGUUUUCUUAAUAUAUCUUGUAAUGGAUAAGAGAGAGUAAUCAUAUGACUUAUUCGUAAAGCUGUAUGAUGAAUAUAAAUGAAGAGAAUGAACCUAGUUUGUGUAUUUAAAGACAUAUUUACAAAAGAAUUUAAUUUGCAUUUUUGAACUUAUUGUUAUAGCUUAGAAAAAUGCAACAUGACUUUAACUGUAGUAAUGGAUUUUGGUUAAAGAAAAAACAAAAGUGGCUACUGGGAAACUUCUUAUUGUUAACAUUUUUGAUACAAGUUUAUUUAAUUAAUUUUCGUUAUCCAUAUUGGAAAUGCGCAGGGGAGUGUAAAAUUUAUUAAAACAUAAAAGUUAUUUAAAGUUUUUUUUUGUACUUCGUGGUCAAAUUGUAUACUAUGGUCUCUCUAUAGGACAAAUAAUUAAGGGUCAGAGGUUGUUAGUUGUUCUUUUUGUAGAUCAAAUAACAUUAAUUUGUUUUUUCUAGUUUAUUGACCCAUUGAGAUUGGAACUUAGUGUGUGGAAAACCCUAUCAAAGUGGGGCAAAAAUGUUUGAUGAUUAAUGUGAGUUUAAACUAGGGGUACAUUAGCAGAAAUGACAUUAAAAUCAUAUGAAUUUUUGCUAUAUUUUGUUUAUUUUAUUUGUCACUUAUUUGUUGUGCAAUAGAAUAGAAUAUAUGUUCACAAUGCUCAUAUUGCAUGUAGUUAGCUAACAGCUUAAAAUGAUUUGAUUCAUGAAUCUUUAAGUAUGCAUAGAUCGUGUCAUAUUUAUAUGCUAUUUGUAAUAUACUCAGGGGCUAUGAGUUAAAGAUCUCUGACCUAUGUUUUAAUUAUGUUUAUUUUUUUUUAAUUCUUUUUAUGUUAGCUAAAGAACUAGUAUGAGUGUAUAUUACUUACAAAAUGGUAAAUGUAACUGAGCCUCCAAAUGAACGAAAUUUAUUUGUUUCAUUGGUCAUUUCUAAGUUUUUUAGAUUAAUAUCUUUAUGUAUGUUUAGUUGUGUAUUUAUUUUGAUUUGGUUAAUACCUUUGACUCUUUGUAGAAAACCUUUAUGUUGUUAUUGUUGUAUUUAAUUCACUUAUGUUACAGAUGCCCCCUUUUUAAUUUUUCUGGUUUUGUACAAUUGAUAACAUCCUUUGAUUCCUAUGUAUGAGUGAUUGACCGCUUAUUAAGGGUGGUUAUAGCUGCUUGUUUAUUUUUUGUCAUCGGGAGAAUGAAUUCUACUUCUUCCUAUUGCCUAGUCUGUGCUGUGGGGUUCGCUCCCUCCAGUUUGGCGCUCCGGGAGUUUUGGUCUUACUUAGAGAGGUUCAACCUUGCUUGCUCUUCGGUAAGCCCGCUUGUUAUCCGCAGGCGUACUCGAGGGAUCGACCAACUAUGGCAUCUCUCUUAGGAGAUGAUAUGUGACCUUGCUGUGAACCUUGUGUUCACCACCGAGAUUGUGUUACCUAUUGAGUCAUACCCGAUUAUUCUUUUGUUAUGAUAGCUUGCUUUCCAUUAGUGUUGUUGUUGUUCAUAAGUAGCUUACUAGUAGUAUGGUUAGGGUUUUUACUUAUUUUUUUUUUGCUCUAUUCCUCUCAUGCAUAUAAAUAUACCAUUUCACCUAAGAAGAUUGGCCCACUGUCUGGGAGUAGCCUAUUGCAGUCACUCACUCAUAUAUUGUUGUUCAUGAUAGUUGCUUCCAUAGUUUUUGUUCAUUGUUCACCAUAUGAGAUUUGAGUAGAAGCUAGCCGGCGGGGGUUCAACAGGUUGUAUCUAGUAAGUCGAGAUGGUGAGUGGCCAAAGUGCGGGUAGCCUUUGCUUAGGAACCUUGACAUUGAGUCGGCGAGGGGCGAGGGCGUAGCUCUUUGCCUGGGACUCACGAGAUUGGGUCAGACCUUUGAGAUAUGAGUCGAGUAGAGACAGAGUGAGGUAGCUCUUCACCUAUAGAUUUGAAUCUUAGGCAAGUUAGCAGCGGAUUGGUAAUAACAUGAAUAGCAUAAGAGAUUGCAUUCAUACCUUGAUUAGACAUAGUUGCAUGGUGCUCAUAAACUUAUGUUGUUGUAUGUAUUUAUCUUCACUGUUGAGGCAUAUUAGAUGAUAAGAUAGCUUGUGCUUAGAUGAUGUUCCAUGAACUUUGCAUUUGCAAUAGCCAUUAGUAGAUAUAAGUCGUGCAGACUUUCCAUAUAAUGGUGUCUAUCUAGUCGUAUCUGGGGUGGGGCGUUGCCAGCUUAUGGAGAGCCUAGUGGGGAGGAUCGGGCUAAAGGCUGGAGAUGCGGCGGCGAAUCCACUGGGAACUAUAUUAUAUAUUCUCACCCCGUUUGUUUUGGUUGUGCCUACAGCGUUUAACUCACGGGAGAAGAAGCGAUCGGCACAGAGAGAUCGCGUUAUGGCUUAGCGCCCUCCAGCCCCCGCCUUCUAGUUUGAUCUAGUUUUUUACUUUUUCCUUCUAUAUUGCAUUAGAGUUACCUAUUACAUAUAAUUAGAAGUAGAUGAUGUAUAGGAUGUGAGUAUUUUAGAUAAAUGGUAAACUAAGUUUAUCUCUUUGAAGAAUAAUGUAAGCUUAUAUUCAUAGUUUGGAAAAGAAUGCAAGUUGUAAUUAAAUGUAUCGAGCUGAAUGGUUGUAAUAGAAUAGUUAAGUAUCUCUCUUUUGUUUCACUUGUAUGUCUUCUACUUGUGACGCUUGCUCUUGUAUUGUUCAGCACUGUUUGUGCUCUCGCUGUUGUUGCAUGAUCAUGUAUGUAUUCAAGUUGAUUUCCUGGGGACUUGUUGUACAUGAUCUCGUUGUUUAGCCUUGGGCGGACAGGGGAGGUGCUGUCCGUUCGGCGGUCCGCCUGCCGCGCCCGAACCGUGCCAAAUCGGUAGCGGCCUCGGGGCGCGGGGCGUGACACUAGCGAAGUGCUAGAAGUAAUCUAUGGCGAGAAGUGAGACUCGCGGUAGAGAUAGAAGUGGCGAAACGACUCUCAGAGCAAUAUGAAUAAUAAAUUGCGAGAGUUGAGCCAUGAUGCUUAUGAGAACACCCGAGUGGCCCGAAAAUUUCGGAUGUCAUUCCGGUAGAUUGAACAGUGAAGGUAGCAUCACUGUUGAGAGAACGGUCGAUUAGUGGCCAAGUUUGAGCACGUGGGCCUAGUAGUACCUCAAUGUGAGGUAAGAGGGUCGUGCUUGUGUAGUUGGCGUACAUAGGCAAGAACUGCCUAACACUAGACUUAGUGUGGAACGCUAUAGAGGCGUAUGACGUUCGAGUAUAGGUACUCGUGGAGUGCGGAUAUGGAUCAGCCGAGUGAGUGUGUUGGCAGUAGCACUUGAGCAUUGCUAGGUGUGAAGCGUGCCAUGGAUCACUCGUGGGAUUGGGUCUUGUGACAUAGAAUCCUAUAGCGGCAUAAAGAGCCGAACUUGGACAUAGCCUAGUAGAGGGGCGUUGAACUAGUGUAGUAAAAACACUAAACAAGAACGAGUAGCAUGUCAAUUAGCUAGAAAACUUACUACAAUGAUCAAACGAGUGGCAUUGAGUCUAGUAUUGUAAACUUGACAUGAACUUAGGGAUAGUAGAGAUCCCGGCAUUUAGUAUGCAUUGUAUUUUGUGCAGCAGAGACACAUUGAUCCUAGUAGACAGGGUAUCCUCUUGUGAGGAUUGGAUCAUACUCACUAGUCUGUUUUUGCUUGUCGGUGGUCGCUCCACCGAGGCACGAGUCUCCGGAAUACUUCACUAGGGGCAGAUGUAGUUAUCCCGCAGACGGUCUCGGUGUGCGAGUGCAGUUUCUCCUCACCUAUGAGAUUGAGAGUGAGUCGAGGGUUUAACCUACGGGUUAACCAAGUAGAUUGGGUAAUAAACAUGAAUGCAUGGUAGACUUGCAUGAUUACCUUGAGAAGACAUAGUGUAUGUUGUAGUUUGCAUUGCUAUAUACUUUUCUAUACUCAUGACAUGGUACUAGCAUGAUAGUAGUUGUUGCAUGCAUUACCAUCAUUGAUGGCAUGAUAGAGUAGUUGCAGUUCAUUUCUAUAUAUAUCUAUCUAUCUCUCUAUCUGUGCCAGCUUAGACCUAGUGGGAAAACCGGCGACGUCAGCGGCCGAACCUACUGGGAACUAUAUUUAUAUAGUUCUCACCCCGUGUGGUUUUGGGGUAUAGGUACACACAGAGGCGAGUCAAGCGAGGACCGCGGCAAGGGCGUAGCGCCCUAAGUGAGCUUAGUUAGUAGCUUUUCCUUUAUGCAUUAGAGUACCCUCAUGUACUAGAUGAUGUUUUGGAUAGAUAUGGGAGAGCUACUUGUAUUUUGAGAAAAAUAUGUAUUUACAUUUUGGAAGAUGAAAAAUGUAAUGUAAUCAGAUGAUGUAACUAUUGAAUAGUUGUAAUAGUUAGACUAUCUCUCUUUAUAUACUUGUAUAUCACUUGUGGUUCUUGCUCUUAGAUGUAUUGCACUUAUGUGCACCGUAUUCGAUCAUGUAUGUUAUUUAAGCAAAUUCCUAGGUGCUUAACUGUACAUGAUUUGGUUGCUUAGCCUUGGGCGGACAGGAGAGGUGCUGUCCGUUCGGCGGUCCGUCCGGCACGCCCGAACCCUGGCCAGAGACCUGAACUCCCUGGCCAGGGGCUUCCAGGUCUUUUUGUCGUAAAGGUCUGAAUCGGUUUAAAAGUCGAAAAAGUGGCAAAAGCGAGGCAAAAGCGAGCAAACUGGAGGCUAAGCAAAGUUUAGCUUGGUUCUGAGAGGGUUGUACAAAAGUUCGUACAAAAGUAGUAGAAAAGUAGGUACUAUUACGACCUAAAUUAGGUACCUGGUUGUACCGGAAAGUCGAGGGAAAAUCACGGAUGCGCGUGGCUUAGCGGGCCUAAGAGGGCUUGAAGUGGCCUUGGAAAGUUUACCGAAAGGUUAGCUUCUAUGUGGUAUUGAAGUACCAAAAUCUUCAGGCCAUGGAAUGUGUUAGAGUGGCUGAAAAGGUGAUCCUGAUUGAAUCCGUAUUAUCUUUCCUAUUCGUCUUAUCAUUGGUUGGAUAUUAGUACUACGAUUAUACGGACUUGUUAUUUCGUUCUUUAUAUGAGUUGCAUUUAGUACGUUUAUACGUUUAAGAAACCAGAAAUGGGAAAUAAGAAAUUCGAAACAAGAAACAAGAAAUUAGAGUGCCGAUUGGGCCCCCAAAGCGGUGUAAUUGAACGGGUGUAAUUCAGGUAGUAGCGCCUGGGAGUCGACGGAGGGCGAUUAUGGCAGGAGCCUAAAUGAGAUUGGGCACUACGUUUUGAGGCCUCGCGUAGCGAGCUCCCCCUCGCUGGCGGGAGCUCGUGCCUUGAGUAUCGUUCAUACUAGCUAGGAAUUGAGAUUCCUAUGUAUCAAGUUAGUAACAGAAAUGUGAUUGAGAUCACAAGAAAUGUAGUGAAAUAAAACGAUUGAGAUCGUUAGUAGCAAGAAAUUGAAAUGAGCAAGAAAUACGGUGAAAGUAAAAGAAAUGAACAGAGAUUAGUAAUCACAGUGCGGGGCGGGGUUUAGGUGAUGGUUAAACCGUGNNNNNNNNNNNNNNNNNNNNNNNNNAAGGAGGAGGAAGCUGAAGAAGACUUCAUCCUCAUAUCUUCUUCCUUGGCCAUUGGAGAAGCUUGUUUGAGGUAAGCUUUACACCCUCUAAUGGUAGCUUCUAGUUUAUGGGUUUUUAAGCUCUAGAAAUGGAAUUUAAUGGUGAUUUAGAGACUGUUAAUCUCAUUUGUUGCAAGAUCUAUAGCUGAUGUUGCUCUUGCCACACAUGAGGAGUUAGAGCUCCAAAUGAGAGCUUUAAUGUAGAUCUCUAGGGCUUGGUCUUAUGCUCUAGAAAUGGAUUUAGUAGCCUUCCUAGAUGCUAAUUAGAUGGAUUGUGUUUAGAUCCAAAGUUCUAAUGUGGGUUUUUGUCUAAUUGCGACCUAGGCUCCAAAAUGGGGUUUUUUCAAAUAUAAGGUUUGAUCUCAUUUGAGUGGUCAAAACCUAAUUGUUAUGUCUCCGAACGCGUAGGAAGCGACGGUUCGUCGAUUCGUUGAGCGGGUGCGACGUUCCGGCUAAAACAAGUGUUGUAGGUUCGUUUCUGCCUGGAGGGCCGAGGCGACGUCGUAAGGUCGUGAAAAUGGAUUCGUGGCAUUCGUGGCAUCAAACCGAAGACCUAUAAUUUCGGAGGCUGCGAAGGGAACACGAUUGAGGCGCGGUUGCAAGUAUUGGCCUGAACCGGGUCACGGGUGCCACGGGAGGCCGAUUGCAAGUGACUACGAGCAAUCGAACUCGAUGACAGGUGGGUUUGUGUUUUACCGAAGCGACUAGGUCGCCUGCAUGUCAAAGUGUAUUAUGAGUUCCUGUUGACGCAUAUGUAUGAGCAUAUUGCUAGAUGAUAAUGCAUAGUAACAUAAUGAGGAAGCAUAUAUAUGCGUAAUAGUAGCAUGUGAAUCAUAAUAGUGAUGGUUGAUUAUGCUAAUUAGAAAUUGCUUGUUAAUGCAUCGAAUUACAUGCUAGGUGAUGACAUGAUAUAGAGAUGCUAGUAAAGUACUUAAUUGCAUGUUGAUAUACAUAUGCAUAGUGAGGUAUGUGCUCGGGGUACUUAGCAUUAUGAUAUCAAGCAUAUGGCAAUGUGAGCAUGUGCAUGAGAUUAUGUGAUCGUAGAAACUCGAUGGGAACAAUUGCUAGAUUAUGUAAAUAGAUCGAGUGGCAUUACCUAGUGUCAUGAACAUAGGAUUGAGCAAGUAAACCUAGAAUCAAGAUCUAGGUAGAAAUGACAUUAAACCUAGUGUUGUGAACUUAGGUUGUGGAUUGAACCUAGGUAAAUGGCAACCUUGUGAAUGUGUACAAGUAGUGUGUUGAGAACGAGUGGCACCUAGUUAAAUUUAAAUAACUUGACGAGUGGCAUGACAAGUAGAGUAUAAGUGUAAACACUUGUUGUACGUUGAACUUAGAAGUGAACUAGUUCCCAUGUGGAUGUCUAGAGUGUAGAUAUCCUCAAUGAUGGGAUUUGAUCAUACUCAUAUGUCUGUUCGAAGCUUGUGCUGGUCGCUCCCACAAGACAGUGUACUCCGGAGUUGUCACACGAUAGGGAUAGCCUUUUUGGGUCCCGAGGGGUUAGCCUUUUUGGGCCCCGCAGACAGUCUAGGGCGAGUGAGCUGAUCCUCCCCAUGUGAGUCAGAAGUGAGCUGAUCCUCACCUGUGAAUUCAGAUUGGUUGGGUAUUUGUGUGAGUGGGGGAGUGAGCGGAUCCUCCCGAAGUGUUUAGAAUUGUGAGUCGGGCGAGUGAGCGGAUCCUCCCCGUUGUGAUUAGAUUGUGAGUUGGGUGAGUGAGCGGAAUCCUCCCCGAAGUGUUUAAAUUGAGUCGGGCGAGUGAGCGGAUCCUCCCGUGUGAUUAAGAUUGUGAGUCGGGCGAGUGAGCGGAUCCUCCGACCAGUGUUUGGAUUGUGAGUCGGUGAGUGAGCGGAUCCUCCCCGUUGUGAUUAGGUUGUGAGUUGGGUGAGUGAGCUGAUCUCACCUGCGAGAUGAGUCUUAGUGGAUUUGUUCUAUACUAGACAUAGUAUGUUGAAUAGAAACCUUAGAGAGUAGCUGAUGUAAUAGAAAUAGUAUCGAAUGAACUACUUAGUUGAUUGCAUUGCAUGAAUUGGCAUGUAGCAUGGCAAUUGUUGCAUUUGUGAGGCAAAGCAUGGUAAUGUUAGUUGCAUAUUAUAUAUAUCAUAUCUAUCUGUUUAUUAAACUAACCUGCAGUUUGAGGCCUUUGAACCUGUUGGUGAGCUUUUCCCUUGGUGCCGUACCCAUGGAACCAUAGAGUGGUUCUCACCCCACUUGCUUUGGGGUGUUACAGGUUCGCACGUGAGCGGCGCGGCACGCGAGGCGAGGGCGUAGCUCCGUAGAUAGCACCCUACUCCAGAGACCAGAGAUAGUAGUACCCCCGUCUCCAUAGCUUAGGGGUAUAGAGAUGAAAAGAUCCAAUGUAUCAAAAUUUGUAAAGAAUAAAUGAUGUAAUAACUCAGAUUGCAUUUGGAUGGAAAGAAUUGUAAUUGAGAUGUAAAAAAUGUAUGAAUAUGAAGCAUGUAAUAAUUUAGGAUGUGUUAUGUUGUUGAUACCUUCCUUUAUGCAUUCAGUGUAUAAUACUGUUCCUGCUUGGAACCUCUUGUAUUAUACUGUUUGUUGAGCCUUGAACGUACAGGGGGAGACUCUGUCCGGUACAGGGGAAUCCCCGUCCAUUCGGCGCUGUCGGCGGCCCACCCGCCAAAUAGGUAGCGGGUCGCGGGUCGUGACAGGAGAUGGUAUCAGAGCAUAAAGUAGAGAAUGGGCAAUAUUUGUAGACAGACCUAGGAGAUCCUAGGAUAGUGAAACCAUAGAGGCUAAGGCUCGUGAGAGAUGAGGCUUGUGAUUUUUUGGCGAAAAGAAUUUAUGAAAUUGGGUUGUGUCGUGAACCUUUAAAACUGAUGUUAGAGGUAGAUUCAAUGUGUGGUGUAUUCUCAACCGAGAUGAUCAUGUUGGGUGGCAAACAACAUGAGGCCGAGAGAUGAGAAUAGACGCCCUGUGUAACUUUCGCACCGAUUUGAGUCGAUGUCGGUUGUUUCGUACUUGACCUAGAGGGUCGAGAACGUCGAGUCGUUUGCGUUUAAGGACGCGAUGGUGCCGGCGUAAACGAUCUUUGUUUAGAUCGGCACGGGAGGGGACAGGUGAUUCCCUGAGGCAGUCCGAGGUUCGGAUGUUAUUCCGUUGAAUGAACAGUGAAAGCAAGAUCACUGUAGUAGAAGUGUUUGGUUAGUGUAAGUAGGGCAGGUGGGCCUAAUAGUACCUCGAAUUGAGGUGGGCGAGUCGUGCUCGUGUGGGUCGGUGACUGUGGUUCAUUUGUGGAAACCGAGGUGAUGUUUGGCCAAUAACUCUGUCGAGGAGUUUGGCUUGAUUUACGAACAGAGUGUCAUUGUGGGUUUUGUUUGUAGGGCUAUUUGCAGUUGGAAAAUGGCAAUUGAAAGAUAAGGUAAAGUGGUCUCUUGGAGACACUUGAAUAGCAGAUAGCCACGUGAGAGUUGGAGUUGAAGCUCUCAGCGAGUUGAGCUUGAGGGUAAGCUCUUUUUGGGUUAACAUUCGAGAUGCUAGAGUGGACCAUCUCGUGAUAGAGGUAAGGAUCUAGUUGGAUAGAAGCACUCCUGACUUGAUCGAUGCCACCAAUGAAUUGCUUCUAGGCAAUGCCGGUGGUCGGAUCGGAGUGAGUUCCCCGAUUGGUGGCGUAAUGCAAGGAGUAGUUCCUUGUGAGCCAGUAGUGCAAUUUUGAUGUACACUUAGUGAAUGUGAGUGGAUCUAGUCUUAUAUCCUUCGUAGUGGGCCUUUGGAAAUUCCGAUUAGUGAAUGGCCACGUCCGAGAAAGAAAAGUGGCAAUUGGAAUCCCGAUCUAGAUAAAUCGAGUUACGUGUGAAUUGGAUUGGAAGUUAGUUGAGUUUCGAGGCAAACUCUUUUAAGGAGGGGAGAAUGUAAGGUACCGCACUUCUAAAACCAUGAAGUUAUGGUGUAUCUUCGAUUGAAAGCCAUUUGAAAGGUUCCGGUGAAGUUCGGGAGAAUCCGGCGAUUCGGUGCGCGUAGGCGCUAAAAAGGGAGCCGAAAGGCCCAUGUUUGGUCCAUGGAUUAAAUCCAGCAUUAUCAUGGAUGGAAAAGAUGAUGAAAACAUGCUUGAAAACAUGUUGGGAGAGUCUUUGGUUCGAUUUGAAACGAAUCCGGGUACAACGAGCGAAAACGGAGCGAAACACAGGUGAAAAAACUGAAAAUUUGGCUAAGUCUGGAAAUGCUGUUUUUCUGGACCUUCGGGGACCGGUCCCUCAAGUCCAGAGACCGGUCCCAGCACCCGAAAAUGGCCCAGUUUGGGCUGUGUGUGACUCAUUUUGUUGAGGGACCUUUGUGCAAUUGUGCAAAGUGUAUAGAGGGUGUUGGAGGCUUAUUUCUCUCCUUCUCCCUCACAUUGGCAACCAAGUAGACCUCUCUCUCUCUCUAAGCUCCCACUCUCUCUCUCAAGAAAGAAAAGAAAGAGAAGGAGAAGAAGAAAAAGGAGAAAGGAGGAAGAAGCUUGAAGAAGACUUCAUCCUCAUCUUCUUCCCUUGGCCAUUGGAGAAGCUUGUUUGAGGUAAGCUUUACACCCUCUAAUGGUAGCUUCUAGUUUAUGGGUUUUUAAGCUCUAGAAAUGGGAUUUAAUGGUGAUUUAGAGACUGUUAAUCUCAUUUGUUGCAAGAUCUAUAGCUUGAUGUUGCUCUUUGCAACAAUGAGGAGUUAGAGCUCCAAAUGAGAGCUUUAAUGGUAGAUCUCUAGGGCUUUGGUCUUAUGCUCUAGAAAUGGAUUUAGUAGCCUUCCUAGAUGCUAAUUAGAUGGAUUGUGUUUAGAUCCAAAGUUCUAAUGGUGGGUUUUUGUCUAAUUGCGACCUAGGGCUCCAAAAUGGGGUUUUUUCAAAUAUAAGGUUUUGAUCUCAUUUGAGUGGUCAGAAACCUAAUUGUUAUGUCUCCGAACGCGUAGGAAGCGACGGUUCGUCGAUUCGUUGAGCGGGUGCGACGUUCCGGCUAAAACAAGUGUUGUAGGUUCGUUUCUGCCUGGAGGGCCGAGGCGACGUCGUAAGGUCGUGAAAAUGGAUUCGUGGCAUCGUGGCAUCAAACCGAAGACCUAUAAUUUCCGAGGCUGCGAAGCGGAACACGAUUGAGGCGCGGUUGCAGUAUUGGGCUGAACCGGGUCACGGGUGCCACGGGAGGCCGAUUGCAAGUGACUACGAGCAAUCGGAACGCGAUGACAGGUGGGUUGUGUUUACCGAAGCGACUAGGUCGCCUGCAUGUCAAAGUGUAUUAUGAGUUCCUGUUGACGCAUAUGUAUGAGCAUAUUGCUAGAUGAUAAUGCAUAGUAACAUAAUGAGGAAGCAUAUAUAUGCGUAAUAGUAGCAUGUGAAUCAUAAUAGGUGAUGGUUGAUUAUGCUAAUUAGAAAUUGCUUGUUAAUGCAUCGGAAUUACAUGCUAGGUGAUGACAUGAUAUAGAGAUGCUAAGUAAAGUACUUAAUUGCAUGUUGAUAUACAUAUGCAUAGUGAGGUAUGUGCUCGGGGUACUUAGCAUUAUGAUAUCAAGCAUAUUGGCAAUGUGAGCAUGUGCAUGAGAUUAUGUGAUCGUAGAAACUCGAUGGGAACAUAUUGCUAGAUUAUGUAAAUAGAUCGAGUGGCAUUAACCUAGUGUCAUGAACAUAGGAUUGAGCAAGUAAACCUAGAAUCAAGAUCUAGGUAGAAUGACAUUAAACCUAGUGUUGUGAACUUAGGUUGUGGAUUGGAACCUAGGUAAAUGGCAACCUUGUGAAUGUGUACAAGUAGUGUGUUGAGAACGAGUGGCACCUAGUUAAAUUUAAAUAACUUGACGAGUGGCAUGACAAGUAAAGUAUAAGUGUAAACACUUGUUGUACGUUGAACUUAGAAGUGAACUAGUUCCCAAGUGUGGAUGUCUAGAGUGUAGGAUAUCCUCAAUGAUGGGGAUUUGAUCAUACUCAUAUGUCUGUUCGAAGCUUGUGCUGGUCGCUCCCCACAAGAAGUGUACUCCGGAGUUGUCACACGAUAGGGAUAGCCUUUUUGGGUCCCGAGGGGUUAGCCUUUUUGGGCCCCGCAGACAGUCUUGGGCGAGUGAGCUGAUCCUCCCCAUGUGAGUCAGGUAAGUGAGCUGAUCCUCACCUGUGAGAUUCAGAUUGGGUUGUGGUAUUUGUGUGAGUUGGGUGAGUGAGCGGAUCCUCCCCGAAGUGUUUAGAUUGUGAGUCGGGCGAGUGAGCGGAUCCUCCCCGUUGUGAUUAGAUUGUGAGUCGGGCGAGUGAGCGGAUCCUCCCCGAAGUGUUUGGAUUGUGAGUCGGGCGAGUGAGCGGAUCCUCCCCGUUGUGAUUAGGUUGUGAGUUGGGUGAGUGAGCUGAUCCUCACCUGUGAGAUUGAGUCUUGAGUGGAUUUGUAUUUAUACUAGACAUAGUAUAUGUUGAAUAGAAACCUUAGAGAGUAGCUGAUGUAAUAGAAAGUAGUAUCGAAUGAACUACUUAGUUGAUUGCAUUGCAUGAAUUGCAUGUAGCAUGGCAUUGUUGCAUUUGUGAGGCAAAGCAUGGUAAUGUUAGUUGCAUAUUAUAUAUAUCAUAUCUAUCUGUUUAUUAAACUAACCUGCAGUUUGCCUCCUUUGAACCUGUUGGUUGAGCUUUUUCCUUGGUGGCCGUACCCACUGGGAACUAUGAGUAUGGUUUUCACCCCCGUUGCUUUGGGGUGUUACAGGUUCGCACGUGAGCGGCGCGCAGGCGUGAGGCGAGGGCGUAGCUCCGUAGAUAGCGCCCUACUCCAGAGACAGAGAUAGUAGUACCCCGUCUCCAUAGCUUAGGGGUAUAGAGAUGAAAAGAUCCAAUGUAUCAAAAUUUGUAAAGAAUAAAUGAUGUAAUAACUCAGAUUGCAUUUGGAUGAAAAGAAUUGUAAUUGAGAUGUAAAAAUGUAUGAAUAUGAAUGCAUGUAAUAAUUUAGGAUGUGUUAUGUUGUUGAUACCUUCCUUUAUGCAUUCAGUGUAUGAAUACUGUUCCUGCUUGGAACCUCUUGUAUUAUACUGUUUGUUGAGCCUUGAACGUACAGGGGAGACUCUGUCCGAGGUACAGGGGAAUCCCCGGUCCAUUCGGCGCUGUCGGCGGCCCAACCCGGCCAAAUAGGUAGCGGGUCGCGGGUCGUGACAGGAGAUGGUAUCAGAGCAUAAAGUAGAGAAUGGGCAAAUAGUUUAGACAGACCUAGGAGAUCCUAGGAUAGUGAAACCAUAGAGGCUAAGGCUCGUGAGAGAUGAGGACUUGUGAUUUUUUGGCGAAAGAAUUUAUGAAUUGGGUUGUGUCGUGAACCUUUAAAACUGAUGUUAGAGGUAGAUUCAAUGUGUGGUGUAUUCUCAACCGAGGAUGAUCAUGUUGGGUGCAAACAACAUGAAGCCGAGAGAUGAGAAUAGACGCCCUUGUGUAACUUUCGCCCGAUUUGAGUCGAUGUCGGUUGUUUCGUACUUGACCUAGAGGGUCGAGAACCGGUCGAGUCGUUGCGUUUUAGGACGCGAUGGUGCCGCGUAAACGAUCUUUGUUUAGAUCGGCACGGGAGGGGACAGGUGAUGUCCCUGAGCAGUCCGAGGGUUCGGAUGUUAUUCCCGUUGAAUGAACAGUGAAAGCAAGAUCACUGUAGGUAGAGUGUUUGGUUAGUGGUUAAGUACGGGCAGGUGGGCCUAAUAGUACCUCGAAUUGAGGUGGGCGAGUCGUGCUCGUGUGGUCGGUGACUGGUGGUUCAUUUGUGGAAACCGAGGUGAUCGGUUUGGCCAAUAACUCUGUCGAGGAGUUUGGCUUGGAUUUACGAACAGAGUGUUCAUGUGGGUUUGUUGUAGGGCUAUUUGCAGUUGGAAAUGGCAAUUGAAAGAUAAGGUAAAGUGGUCUCUUGGAGACACUUGAAUAGCAGAUAGCCACGUGAGAGUUGGAGUUGAAGCUCUCAAGCGAGUUUGGAGCUUGAGGGUAAUGCUCUUUUGUGGGUUAACAUUCGAGAUGUGCUAGAGUGGACCAUCUCGUGAUAGAGUAAGGAUCUAGUUGAGGAUUGAAGCACUCGUGAUUGAUCGAUGCACCAAUGAUAUUGCUUCUAGGCAAUGCCGGUGGUCGGAUCGGAGUGAGUUCCCCGAUUGGGUGCGUAAUGCAAGGAGUAGUUCCUUGUGAGCCAGUAGUGCAAUUUUGAUGUUACACUUAGUGAAUGUGAGUGGAUCUAGUCUUAUAUCCUUCGUAGUGGGCCUUUGGACAAUUCCGAUUAGUGAAUGGCCACUCCGAGAAAGAAAAGUGCAUUGGAAUCCCCGAUUGCUAGAUAAAUCGAGUUACGGUGUGAAUUGGAUUGGAAGUUAGUUGAGUUUCGAGGACGAAACUCUUUUAAGGAGGGGAGAAUGUAAGGUACCGGACUUCUAAAACCAUGAAGUUAUGGUGUAUCUUCGAUUGGAAAGCCAUUUGAAAGGUUCCGGUGAAGUUCGGGAGAAUCCGGGCGAUUCGGUGCGCGUAGGCGCUAAAAGGGAGCCGAAAGGCCAUGUUGGUCCAUGGAUUAAAUCCAGCAUUAGCAUGGAUGAAAAGAUGAUGAAAACAUGCUUGAAAACAUGUUGGGAGAGUUUUGGUUCGAUUGUUGUUAGAUUCGAUCGGAGGUAAACGAGCAGAAACGGAGGCGAAACGGUUGAAAAGGCUGAAAAAUUGGUAAGUCUGAAAUCUGUUUCUGGCUUCGGGGCCGGUCCCUCAAGGUACAGAGACCGCGUCCAGCACCGAAAAUGGCCGUUGGGCUGUGUGUGACUCAUGUUUGUGGAGGGCCUUGGGGUUCAUUGUGCAUAAGUGUUAUAGAGAGGUGUUGGCAGGUUGAUUUCUCUCCUUAUCUCCCUCACAUUGGCACAAGUAGACCUCUCUCUUCUCUAAGCUCCCACUCUCUCUCUCAGAAAGAAAAGAAAGAGAAGUAGAGAAGAAAAAGGAGAAUGGAGGAGAGCUUGAAGAGAGUUCAGUCUCAUUUCGUCCCUUUUGCCAUGGAGAAGCUUGUUGAGGUAGCGUUACACCUCUAAUGGUAGCUUCUAGUUUAUGGGUUUUUUAGCUCUAGAAAUGGGGAUUUAAUGGUGAUUAGAGACUGUAAUCUCAUUUGUGAAGAUCUAUAGCUUGAUGUUGCUCUUUGCUAACAUGAGGAGUUAGAGCUCAAAUGAGGCUUUAAGUAGAUCUCUUAGGGGCUUUGGUCUUAAUGCUCCUAGAAUGGAUUUAGUAGCCUUCCUAGAUAGGCUAAUUAUGAUGGAUUGUGUUUAUGAUCUUGAAAGUUCUCAAUUGGUGGGUGUUUUUGUCUAAUUGCGACCUAGGGCAUCCAAGAAUGAGGAGUUUUUUCAAAUAUAAGGGGGGUUUGAUGGCGUGAUGGGGGGGUGAGUGGUCAGAAACCUAAUUUUAGUCGGGGGCGAACGCGAGAUAAGCGACGUUCGUCGAUUUCGUUGUGUGUCGUGGGGGGGUGCGAGGUUCGGCUAAAACAAGUGUUUUGUAGGUUGUUUCUGCCUGGAGGCCGAGGCGACGAUGUAAGGUCGUGAAAAUGGAUUCGUGAUCGUAGCAUCAAACGAAGACCCUAUAUUUCCGAGGCUGCGAAGCGGAACACGAUUGAGCCGUUGCAGUAUUUGGGUGAACCGGGUCACGGGUCGCCACGGGGGCGAUUGCAAGUGGACUACGAGCAAUCGGAAGCGAUGAACAGCGUGGUUGUGUUUUACGAAGCGACUUUAGGUCGCCUGCAUGUCAAAGUGUAUUAUGUUGAGUAUCCUGUUUGACGAUAUGUAUGAGCAUAUGUAGGAUGAUAAUGCCAUAGUAACAUAAUGAGGAAGCAUAUAUGCGUAAUUAGUGCAUGUGGAAUCAUAAUAGUGAUGGUUGAUUAUGCUAUUAGAAAAUUUGCUUGUUUAAUGCCAUGCGAAUUAAUUGCUAGGUAUGACAUGAUUAGAGAUGCUAGGAUCUUAAUUCGCAUUGUGAGUAUAAUAUCAUGUGACGGUAUGUGCUCGGCGGUACUUAGCAUUAUUGAUAUCAAGCAUAUUGCAAUGUGAGCAUGUGCAUGAAUUAUGUGAUUGUAGAAACAUCGGGAUGGGAACAUAUUUGCUAGUUUAUGUAUAAUAGAUCGAGUGCUUAACUGUGUCUCAUGAACCAUUAGGAUGAGCAAGUACACUAGUAAUCAGAUCUAGGUAGAAUGACAUUAUAACCUAAGUGUUAGUGAACUUAGCGUUGUGGGAUGGAACCUAGGUAAAUGAACCUUGUGAAUGUGAAAGUAGAUGUGUUUCGGAGAACGAGUUUGAGACACUAGUUAAAUUUAAAUAACUUGACGAGAUGGCAGACAAGUAAACGUAUAAGUGUAAACAUUGUUGUACGUUGAACUUAGACAGUGAACUAGUUCAUAGUGUAGUAGAUGUCUAAGAGUGGUUAGGAAUAUCCCAGAUGGGAUGGGGAUGUUGUCAUCUCAUAGAAUUGUCUUUCGGAGUUGUGCUGUUCGCUCCCAACAAGAAUGCUACUCUCGGGUUGUCACACUGAUAGGGGAUAGGCCUGUUUGUCGUCCCGAGGGUGAGCUUUUGGGCCGGAGACAUCUGGGCGGGUGAGCUGAUCUCCAUGUGAGUCAGGUAAGUGAGCUGUAUCCACUGUGAGAUUCAUGAUUGGUGUGGUGGUAUUUGUGUGAGUUGGGUGAGGUGAACGGAUCCUCCCGAAGUGUUUAGAUGUGAGUCGGGCGAUAGUGAGCGGAUCCUCCCUAAUGUGAUUAGUUGUGAGAUCGGGUAGUGAGCGGAUCUCCGCGAAGUGUUUAAUUGUGGAAGUCGGGCGAGUGAGGGAUCCUCCGCGUUGUGAUUAGAUUGUGAGUUCGGCGAGUAGCGUAUCCUCCCGACAAGUGUUUUGAUUGUGAGCUCGGAGCGAAUGUGAGCGGAUCCUCCCGUUGUGAUUAGGUUGUGAGAUGGGUAGAGUGAGCUGAUCUCACUGUGAGUGAGUUUUGAGUGUGUUUGUAUUUGAUAUAGAACAUUAGUAUAGUUGCAAGGGUAGAAACUUAUGAGAGUAGCUGAGUGAAUAGAAAGUAGUAUCGAUAUGAACUUUAGUUGAUUGCAUUUGAUUGAAUUGAUGUAGCAUGGCUCUGUUGCAUUUGGGAGCAAAGCAUGUAAUUGUUGAGUUGAUUAUAUAUAUAAUCAUAUAUAUUUGUUUAUUAAACUAACCUCCAGUUUGCCUCCUUGAACCUGUGUUGGUUGAGCUUUUCCCUUGGGUAGCCGUCACCACUGAGGAACCAUAGAGUUUGUUCUCACCCGUGCUUUGGGUUGUUAACAGGUUCGCACGUGAGCCGCGGCAGCGCGAGGCGAGGGCGUAGCUCCGUAAGAUAGCCCCUACUCCAAGACCAGAGAUACAUACCGUCUCCAUAAGCUUAGGCUGGGUAUAGAGAUGAAAGAUCAUGUAUCAAAAUUGUAAAGAAUAAAUGAGUGUAUAACUCAGAUUGCAUUGGAGGAAAAGAAUUGUAAUGAGAUUGUUAAAAAUGUAGAGUUAAUGUUAAGAAAGGUAGGUUUACGUUAGACUCAAUAAUGUAGUAAAUAAGAAAUGUUUAAAACUAUGUAACCUAGAAAAGUAGAGAUAUGGGGAUUCGAUACCUCUGCCCCAUGAGCCUUGAACGUACAGGGGAGACUCUGUCCGAGGUACAGGGGAAUCCCCGGUCCAUUCGGCGCUGUCGGCGGCCCGACCCGGCCAAAUAGGUAGCGGGUCGCGGGUCGUGACAGAUUGGGGCCGAACCCACUGGGAACUUUGUUGUAGUUCUCACCCCACUAUUCCACAAAGCCGAGACCGAGCGAGCCGUCGAGCGGCCGUGGUAAAGGUAUCGCACCUUAGUCAGAGGCCUCCCGAGUCGGGCUUUACAUUUUGUUAGUAGUAUACCCUUUUAUCAUAUUUUGUUAUAAUACAUUGAACUUUUGCAAAUUGCGGAGUUCGAGUGUGUGGAAUGAAGUGUUGAACUAUCCUACAUGUUCUAAAAGGUUUGGACAAGUUUUUGAUCAAGUUAGAGGAUGAUUGGAAAGCUAGAAGCAAGAAAGUGCAUUGAACUGGCGAAAUUCAGCAUUUUCUGCAUUGUGUACCGGUACAGUCAUCACCCUGUACCGGUGCAGCAAGCAACAGCAGCUGCAGCUGCGUGGCAGCAAGGCUAUUUUAGUCAUUUCACUUCAUCUAUCCAUCCUUAUCCCUCCCAGCUCGACCCUGAAGAUGCUUAUCACUUGUAAGCUCAGAGAAAUAGGGUUUCUAAGCUCCCCUCUUCUUUCUCUCUCUAGAAUUUUCUCCCUCUACGUAGAAGUUGUCGUUUUGCACCGAUUUCGCGUCGCGUUCGUGGCUCGCAGGUUCGGAGACUCAGAGGAUGUCUUUGGUGCGUGGGGAGAAGGAUUUUUGUUGAAUUUUCUGUGAGUUCACAGCAGGGAAAGCUGAUUCUCAGCUUUAGACAAGUAAUUAACUCAAUUUCUCUCUAAUUUACAGUUUAGUAUCCGAUUUUGAUGCGUUUCGGUUUCAUUGCUCCCAGCUGAGUUUGAGAAGGAUUCUAGCAGCUUGAGAGGAGUUAGUUAGUUGUGAUUUAACUAUCUGGGACCAGGGUUAAGCUACUUCAAGGCUGGACAAAGGUAAUUAGUCAACUAUGACAUAGAUUCAGGAUUAUAUGAAGUUUAAUUGAGUAAUUGACGCAGUUUGGAUUGAAUUCUUCGCAGCAGGUUUUUAAGCCUCUUUGAGCUGAACCUGUGCUCUUGAAAGCUGGUUUGGGAGGCUAUUUUAAGCAAGGGUAAAUAGAAAUUUCAGUUCUAAAACUGAAUCCAUAGGAUUUCGGCGAUAUUAACUUAUAGUUGAGCCUUUUGAUGUCAUUUUGAUGUUGUUCGCAGUAAGAGCGCGAUCGAGCCUUGGAUUAUCUUCAGUGGGCAUUGGAGAGCAAUUGGAGACUUAAUUUGAGGUACUAAUGUGACCCAAAACAGGGAUUUAAGCAUGUACUUUGUAUGAAGUGCGAAUUGUACCGAAAUUGGAUAUUUCGGUUAUAAUAUUGAUACGACUUUCGUGCCUUAUUUUUCAGCAGAGCUGAGACCUUGUGGAGCUAAUUUUGAGACUUCCUUUGGACUGAUUGGAGCCUAGUAAUAGGUGGGUUUGACCUAACCAGAGCAAGUGAAGCUCCCCUAUGUUCUAUAUGAUACUAUAGAAAUAGCAUAUGAAUGCAUUUUGCGUAACUUGGGAAUCGACAUAGAUUCAAGACAUUAUUACAAUUAUAGUUGCUAUAUGUAUGUAUAGUGAACUGAAACCUCUCUUAAGUAGAGGAAUUCAUGCAUAGAAGUAAACAUGUUUAUGUUUGACUUAGUUGAAUGAAUCAGGGACAAUCUAGUAUGUUCCUAAAGUAGAGAACAAUGACAUGCUUUGUGACUAUAACCAUAGUGCCAUGAUAGUAGAAAGCUUCUAAUGCUAUGUGUAAAUUAGCAUUACUCUUACAUGAUUACUAAUCUAGUGGAUACUAGCUAUGUUCAAUAUCUGUUAUAUUGAAAUUCUGAUCAAAGGAUCGAGAGUGAAAACAUUGUAAGAUAAAACAUGAUGAUUGAAAUGUAUUGGAUUAUGAACGUUGCUUGCUUGCCAUCGUGCUCAUUCGCACACGCUUGUGAGGGUAACUCCCUACAAGCUGGCACUCCGGAGUUGGCCUACGCGACAGUUGCUCGCCCGUGCGGGAUUGGGUGCCGAAGUGGAUUGCCGUGGGGAGUGUAUACUACCACGGGGCCAUUAGGCGCGGCGCAAGCUGAGCUACCUUGGGUAGGUCCUUAUGAAUGAAAUGAAAGUACUAAGUGACAAAUGACAGUAAUGAAUGCUCAUCAGUUAUAGUGUAUAGUAUUUACUUACACAUCCAUGUUUAUGUUCAUGUUUAUAGUAAUUGCGAUACUUCUAUUAUUCAGUUGAUUCAUUACUACAGAAAUCAUGAUAAUAUGUUGAUUACAUACCUAUUGCCUGUUAGCAUUGCCUAUAUAUAUAUCAUGCAAUUACCAUUUUUACUUUCAUUUAGUACAUCAUGAGCCUAGUGGUGUAAUUCGCUGAGGCUGGUGGCUUACCCACUAGGAACUAUUGUCAAUAGUUCUCACGCCCUUUUUAUUGUUGUUUUUACAGAGCCAUCUACAGGAGAGGCUUGGGAUCGUAGCAAGGGAGUCGCGUCUAGCUAGACAUUGCUAGGAGCAUGCUAGUCGAUCACCUUACUACUCGGGCUACGGCCGAGGGUGAUGUCCCUAUGUAUAGAGAGACCUCCAUUGUACCUACUUUUUGUAUACCCCGUGAUGUAUAUUUACUGUCGAACCAGAUAUUAUAGUUGUGAUACUUUCUCUUUUAGUUGAGAUUUUGGAUUGUGUACCCUUUGUUCUACUGUUGAUAGUUUUAUUGACUUCUACUAUGCUCUGAUAUCAGGAUAGGAUUCUUUUCUGUUUGUCUCCUAUCGACUUGCUUUCUUGUAGACAUCUUAUAUACUGCAGGUCUAUGCACGUACCUGAUAUGCUUCCGCCGGUACCCGGGCGUGACAUUUGUAUUUGAUGAUUUAAGAUAUUGAUGUAUAAGGCAAAGAAAGAAAAGAAUGUAAUGUUUAUUUUGAGCAAAUGUGAUGUAAAAGAAAUGAUGAAAGCAAUGUAAAGAAUCAUGAAUGUACAAGUUGGAUGAAAUGGAUACAUGUAUGUGAUCAAAAGUUGAAUCAUAAUACUUGAGUAGAUGUUUAGUUCCCUUCCUUUCACUCAUGGCUAUUGUUUACCCUCGUGUAAGCCGUUUGUGUAUGUUUUCGCUAGUGCACUUCUUGUUUGAAAAUGUACAGGUGAUGAGUCUUGGGCGGACAGAAAAUACUCUGUCCGUUCGGCGUCUGUUUGACGUGCUCGGGCCGGCCCAAAUUGGUAUCGAUCCCGGGGCGUGACACUAGAUAUGUGCGUGAGAUGCUAGAGGCAUAUGUAUGUGGACCCAUUAUGAUAAUUGGAAAUUAUUGCAUAUGUAGCAUAUCCUCACUCAUGAGAAUGGUAAACUUAUGGCAUUAUGUGUAACACACUGAACUUUAACAAAUUGCAAGGUUCAAGUGUUUGAUCUGUGUUUCAAGAUUUUUCAGGUAUUCUGGAGGGGCAUUGACGGUGUUCCGACCUAUAACUCACAUCCCAAGAAUUGAGAAUUAAAACUUAGUACCAAAACCUAAAAAAUGUGGAUUUUGGAUUGCUCUCGGGUUUGCCUUUGUAGGGCAGAGUACCGAUACUGCAUCGGGUUGGUACCAGUACCCAGUGUAUUUCUUCGCCAACCCGAGGCUCAGGUUUGCGCAGACUGCUGCUUGGUACCGAUACUCUUUCUCGUGUCACCGGUACGCAGUGCAGUUCGCAGACUGCAAUUUUUGAGGGGUGUUUUUGUUAUUGUAGCAAUACUAUAAAGCGCCCCACGCCCCUUCUAGGGCUCCCUAAGCUUGGAAUAGUGGAGAACCAGGUAAGGGACCCCUCCACUUUCCCUCUUUGAUUUCCUUCCCUUUUUCUUGGAUUUUUAGAGGAUUAACCACCUCUUUUGCUCCCUUUUGGCAUGCUGGUGGUUUUUCCUCCAUGAGUGAAGCCUUGGAGCAUUGUUUAGAGCUUUUUUGAAGAGGGAACUUCAACUCUAGCACCAUCCUAGGUAGGUUUGGUGUAAUAUAUGGAAGCUGGGAGUUACGAUGUCAAUUUUGUUAUAAAGGAUCAAAGAGAAGUUUGGAUUAAAUGUACAUCUUUCCUGAGUGAUUUGUGAUGCAUUGGAAUGAAUUCCGAAGAUAAAUGAGUGUUUCGGCGCAAAUUGGGCGCGAAACGAAAUAUAAAGAGAAUUUCCGGGUUCCGAUGCUAACUUUGAUUAAAAGAACCAUAGUGAGGUUUGGGGAUCAUUAACCAUGAGUUUGGAAGUAUUUUGGACGUGUUGGAGCAAGUGGGAGUGCAAAAAGGAACUCCAAGUGUUGUUGCUGCCAUGUCAAGUAUUGGAGCUUAAGCAUGUUGUUAAUCUUGAACAAAAUAAGCAAGAUAGUGCAAAAAUGUAAUUGGGUUGUUCCAGGAUUAAUUUGGAAGCUUAGGAAUAUUAUUUGGCUUGUAUUGGAAGAAGUUGGAGGGUUUCGAAGUGAACCGAAAGCGCGAAAAGGCUCCGAAGUGAAGUUGCUGCCAUGAAUGGAAUUGGAGCUUGAUUUCAUUGCUAAUCCGGCUAAAAUGAUGCAAUAGAUGAAAUUGGAUUGCUCCCGAAUUAAAUUAGUAGCUUGUGGAGGUUCAUGGGCAUGUAUUGGAAGGGUUUAGAGAGAUUUAGGAUGAAGUGACUGCGUGAAACGAGCUUCGAGAGAAGCUGCUGCCAUAUAAGGUUGUUGGAGAUUGAUUAUGUUGUUGAUCUUACUCACAUUGGUCAAGAUGAUGUUAAAAUGAAAAUUAAUUGCUUCCAAAUUAAAUUGGCAGCUUGUAGAGGUGUAUUAGUAUAAUUUAGAAGUGAUUAGAAGUGUUCGCAGCGAACUAGACGCGCAAAAAGAUCUCAAUUUGCUGCUGUCAGGCUGAGGUGUAGUGCAUGGACUGAACUGCGAACCUGCAGGAACUGAUUUGCGAAUUGCUGGAAUGCAAUGCAAUUUUGCAGUUUUGAGGGGUCUAAAUGCAUUUUGUUGAUCUGAUCACUUAAACCCAUUGAUCCUCCACCUGUGGGCAUACGUAAUUGACUCUCUCUUUCUUUCUUUUCUCUUUUCUUUCCAUCUUUUUUUCCUCUCUCUCUCUCUAGCUGUAUGAAGGAAGGUUGGUGGAGUUGGUGCUCGUGGCUGGGAGGAAGAUGGAGAAUAGAGUAAUACUCCCUUCCUUCUCUUUUAUUUCUUUCCUUCUUCCCUUCCUUCUUGUCUUUCUCUUCCUUUUUCUCUCUCAAACUGAGAGGAGUGGGAUGUGUUGAAGGGAAAGUGGUGAUGGUGCUGUUGGAGCUGAGAAGAGGUUUCGGCAGUGGGGAAAUUGGUUGUUGGAGCUUCAAAACCUGAGGUGAGAUUAAAUAAUCUCUUGGUUAGGGUUGUGUUUUCAUGAUAGGGCUGAUUCUAAUCAACCUAGGAUGGAGUUGGCUUGGUUUCUUGAUUAUCAAAGCAUGUUUACCAUGAAAAUUCCUAAAGGGGCUGGAUGUGGACAGCACAUGUAUAUAUAUAUAUAUAUAUAUAUAUAUACAUGUGGAUUGGUUAUAGUAAUAAGUUAUUAUUCAGAUUUGGGUGAGAGUUUGAUGUGAAGUCCUCUAAACUGAUUGUUUUGAGGUUUCUUGGGCGAGCAAAGAGUUGAAUUGCUCUAUGUUCUUCAUGGAGUUGUGUAUUAGCAGGUUGAUUAGAGAAUAGUUUUAUGUAUAGAACCUGCAUAAAGGUUUGAAUAGUGAUAGGUUCAUUGAACCUAAGCUCGAUAAUGCGCUUUUGCAGGAUUAAAGUCCUAACUUGGAAUUGACCGCGUACAAACCUAAUUGAGGGUAAAACUGUCACGCCCGGGUACCAGCAGAAGCAUAUCCGGUACGUGCACAGACCCGCCAUACACCUGCAGUAUAUAAGGCGUCUACAAGAAACAAGUCGAUAGGAAGAACAUAGGAAAAUCCUAUCCUGAUAUCAGAGCAAAGUAUAAGUCCACAAUACUAUCAACAGAGGAACAAAGAGUAACCAAUCCAAAAUUUUCACAUCAUAAAGAAAUAUAAAAACUAUAAUCUCUGGUUCCAAACAGUAAAUAAACAUCAUAGACUACUCAAAAUACAUAUACAAUGGUAGUCACUCUAUACACUGGGACAUCACCCUCGACCGUAGCCCGAGUAGCAAGGUGAUCAACUAGCAAGCUCCUAGCAAUGUCUAGCUAGACGCGACUCCCUUGCCACGAUCCCUAGCCUCUCCUGUCAAUGGCUCUGUAAAAACAACCAUAAAAAGGGCGUGAGAACUAUUAACAAUAGUUCCCAGUGGGUAAGCCGCCAGCCUCGGCGAAUUACACCACUAGGCUCAUGAUGUACCGAAUGAAAGUAAAAAGAGUAAUUGCAUGAUAUAUCUACAUUGCUAAUAGGUAACGAACAUGUAGUCAGCAUGUAAUCGUAAUUUCUACAGUAACGAAUCAACUGAAUAAUAGAAGCAUAGCAACUACUAUAAGCAUGAACAUAAACAUGAACAUAAGUAUGGAUGUGUAAGUAAAUACUGUGCACUAUAACUGGUAAUCAUUCAUUACUGUCAAAUGUCAUUUAGUACUUUCAUUUCAUUUAAAGUUUUCCUUUCAUUCAUCAGGACCUACACAAGGUAGUCCGGCUUGCGCCGCGCCUAAUGGCCCCGUGGUAGUAUACCCUCCCCACGGCAAUCCACUUCGGCACCCAAUCCCGCACGGGCGAGCAACUGACGCGUAGGCCAACUCCAGAGUGCCGGCUUUUAGGGAGCUACCCUCACAAACGUGUGCGAAUGAGCACGGUGGCAAGCAAACAAGGUCCAUAGCUCAGUAUAUCUUAAUCAUCGUGUCAUAGUACACUAUGUUGUCACUCUCGAUCUAUUGAUCGGAAUUCUCAAUAUGAUAAACAAUGAAACUUGCUAGUAUCCACUAGAUUAGUAAACACAUAAAAGUAAUGCCAAUUUACAUAUUGCAUUAGAAACUUCUCACUAUUAAUAUACUAUCAAUAGGGUCAAGAGAAUGUCAUUGUUUUCUAUUUUGUAGAAGCAUAAUACACUUAUCACUUGGUUAUUCAACUGAACUAAACAGGAAUACUUUACUGCAUGAAUACUUUAUGCAUGACUACUCUCUACUUCAUAGAGGUUUCAUUUCAAUUGUAUCAAGCAUUGUGGCAAGAUUAUUCCGAGUCCUUUAUCAUUCACAUAAACACAAUAGCGUACAACCAAACCAAUUCUAUAGUAACAUAUAGAACAUAUGGGAGUUUCACUUGAUCUGGUUAGGUCAAACCCACCUAUCACUAAGCUCAAACCAGAUCAACGACGUCCCGAAAUUCAGCUCUACUAGACUUCAGCCCUGCUGAAAACAAAGCAUCAAAACAGCGUCGAGGCGAUUACUUAUACAUAAGAAUCCAAUUUCGGCAAAAUUCUCAAUUAAUACAAGGUGGAAGCUUAAUUCCCUGUUUUGGCUCCGUUUAAUACCUCAAGUUAAGCUUCCCAAAAUCCCUCACGUAUCAGUCGGAGAUAAUCCGAAAGUCCAUCGCAAGCCUGCUGCGAACAAUUUCCAAAACGGCAUCAAAACGCUCAAAUAUAAGUUAAUAUCGCCAAAAUCUUGCGGAAUCAGUUUUGGAACUGAAAUUUCUAUUUACCCUUGGUUAAAAUAUCCUCGAAACCAGCUUCCAAGAGCACAGGUUCAGCUCAAAGGAGCUCAAAAACCUACUGCGAAGAAUUCAUUCCAAACUACGUCAAUUACCCGAUUAAACUUCAUAUAGUCCUGAAAUUAUGUCAUUAGUUGACUAAUUACCUUUAUCCAGCUUUGAAGCAGCUUAUCCCUGGUCCAAGGUAGUUAAAUCACAGCUAAUUAACUCCCCUCAAGCUGCUGAAAUCCUCCUCGAACUCAGCUGGGAGCAAUAAAAUCGAAACGCGUCAAAAUCGGACACUAAACCACAAACUAGAGGGUGAUUGAGCUAAAAACCUCUUUAAAGCUUUCUUUCAGCAACUCCCAGCAAUAGACAUGAAAAGCACUACUGAAAACACUUCACUUUACCUUUUAAAAGCUGACCCCAAGUCCACCCAACCAGCAAACGUUGAGCGGGACGCGAAAACGGCGCAAAACGGUGACUUUUACUCUUAGAGAGAGAAACCCUAGAGAGAGAAAGAGGGUGAGAGGCAGGGCAGCUUCUCUAAGCUCCAGCACCAUCUAAGAAGCUUCAAGGGUCGAGCUGAAGGUAAGUAGAUAAGUAUAGAAUGUGAAAUUACCAAAAUAGCCUUGCUGCCACGUUUUUGCCAUUGUGUACCGGUACACAAUGAUGGUUGUACCGGUACACCAAGCAGAAAAAUGCUAAUUUCGCCAGAUCAAAGCACUUUCUUGCUUUUGGCCAUCCAAUCCUUCUCUAACUUGUACAAAAACUUGUCCAAGCCUUUUAGAAUAUGUAGGAUAGAUCCACAUCUCAUUCCUCACACUCGAACUUCGCAAUUUGCAAAGGUUCUGUGUAUUACAAAAACGAACGUGUUGGCGAAGUCGGUUUAGCAAUCCGUCGAGCCUACGCGAAGAUAUCACCAAAAGGACAUUUUCGACUACAAUUGUAGCGAGCGCGGGCCGCGAUUCAUGGAAAAGUGCGGGAAGUCGAUUUCUCGCGUUCCGGUAUCAAGUAAAGGUGGGUUGUGCUUACCGAAGCGAUUAGGUCGCUUCCGUGCCAAAGCAACGUAUGGUUUUUCAUUGACGCAUAUAUGCUUAGCGGUAGGUUAUGAUUAAUAAAAUGAAGGCAUGAAUCAAAUCAUAUAAAUUGCCUGCCAUUGGAACAUGCACAUGAGUAUAAUGAUAAUCUUGUUGAAUAAUGGAUGAAUAUUGAUAUGUGAUAACCAUGCUAGAUGCAUAUGAAUGCAUGAGUUGUGAAUACUAGAUGCAUAUGAAUAUGAAUGCUAGAUGCAUGUGAAUGUAUUAUGGUUAAAGCUAAAGCAUAUAUGGACUUUGACAUAUUGUGGACGUGAACCUAGUGUAUUAAACAUAGGUUGGAUAUUUUAUAGAUCGAGUGGCAUGACCUAGUGUUAAUAAACAUAGGUCGGACAUAACCUAGUAUCAUUAAAUAUAGGUUGAAUUAGUAAACCUAGAGUCGAAAUCUAAGUAAAAUGACAUAGAACCUAGCAAGUGAACCUAGGUUAUGAUGUAUAGUGAAACUUAGUGUAUUUGAACUAAGUUGUGGAUUUUAGUGGUAGAAUGACCACUAGGAAAUAAUUGGUUUAGACCUAGGAAGGUCGUCAACAUAAGGUAAAGUGAGUAAACCCUUAAGUUGUGGAAAUAAAUUCCGGAAUCCCAAGACCUAUGAUGACCUUGGUAUCAAGGCUAGGGCGUGUGCGACGAUUUCGCCGCCGAGAUUGAUACCAAGGGAGGAAAAGAGGGUCUGUGCGCAGAGUCACCACUCGGAGGCUUAAACUAUUACCCGGCGUGUGUGAUAAUUUCGCCGCCAGAUGGUUAAGCCGGCUUGUGGGGCAUGCCAUAAAACAAGUGAAUCAGAACUACGGGAUCGACGGUUCUCCUCUCCCGGUAGUUAUUCAACGGGAUCGACAGUUCUCCUCUCCCGGUAUGAGCUCAGCGGGUUUGAUGGUUCUCCUCGCCCGUUAAGCUUGAGCGGCGUAGGGUCACGAGGAUCGACGAUUCUCCUCUCCCUGUGAUUGUACCUAUUGUCGCGUGGACUUAGGGCUGAGGUGCUUGUGAGACGUCCUUCACCUCGAGCCUGACUUGACGCGGUACUCCGCGGAUGAUUGACUCGAGACCGAGUCGGGUGGAUAGCUUGAUUAAGGUAGAUGACACCUUAGAAGCUAGUAUGAUAUGAGCUUGGAUAGCGAGAUAGAAAGUAGGAUCAGUAGAUCUACUUGUUACUUAGUUGCAUAAUUUGCAUAUUGCAUAUCGUGAGGCAUACAUGUUUAAAUAUCUGCAUAAAUUAUUGUGAUUAUCUGUUGGACUAACAUGUUACAGUGCCUCCUUUGGACCUGGUGGGUCGAGCUCUUCCCUUGGGUGGCCGUACCCAUUGGGAACUAUAUUUAUAUAGUUCUCACCCCCGUGUUGUUUUUGGGGGUACAGGUUCACACGCGAGCGGCGCAGCGGCGUGAGGACAGGGCGUAGCUCCGUAGAUAGCGCCCCACCACUGAGACCGAGAUAGCAAUACCCUGAAGAGGUCUAGCUCAAAGUUCAGAUUGAAAGAAACAAACUUGUAGUAAAUUUGUAUAAGUUGUAAUAACUUAAAGGUAUUUGUAAUAUUGUAAAUGUAAAAUCUUGAGAUGAAUGCUUGUACUAGCAUAGUUAGCAUUUUAUGUUUUUGAUACUUAUGCAAUCUGUGGUUGAAUACAGUUCCUGGUUGGAACCUCUUGUAUUACAUUGUAUAGAUUGUGACGCCUAGAACGUAUAGGGGAGGCUCUGUCCGUUCGGCGGUUUGUCGGCAUGCCCGAAUCCGACCAAAUAGGCGGAGCUCGAGGCAUGACAUUUGGAGCAUUAAGAGAGGUUAGUAUCUAUGAUCUCUCAUUUGGAUCAUAUUUUGGUAGAGUUUUUGCAUAUAAACCUAGAAAUGAGAAAUCUAGGAUUUAUUUGGGGAUUUUUUAUUUGUAACUUUUGGAACCUAAUUUAUUGGUUUAGAACCUUCCUUUAGGUUGGAUUUGAAGGGUCCUAGCUCUCAUUUGGGAUUUGAGAAGGUUUUUCCACUUUUAAGGUGAGUUUUAACCCUUUUCUUGGAUUGGUUAAAGAUGAACACUUUGGGUGUUCGUUCGUUUCGUUUAACCCUCUUAGAAUUUUCUUUAGGAAGCUAAGUGACUAGUGGACAUCUUCGUUGGCACAAACGAAGGGGAUUAGUGGAGUUCUUGGUGGGUUUGACCUAACCGAAAUGGAUAAACCCCCCCUAUGUUAUUUUCUGCAUUGUAAAAUAAAAAUUCUUGCAUAUUCAUAUUAGAUAGGGCAUAUGUGAAUUUUAGAAGCUUAAAAUACAUGUGUUAUGUAUCAUAAAAAAUCAUCUCUAUGUAGUAGAGAAAUAUGAGUAUAGUAUUCUUACAAAUGAGAAGCAUUCUUUCAUGUGAUUUGGAAACAUGUGUUAUAUAGUUAAAAUGACAAGUAUAACAUGCUUUUGGACAUAAAACUCAUGCUUGACAUAGUGGACACAAAUGCCAUAAAGAAGCAUUCAACUUAGUGGACGGUUAAACUACUACAUGAUAACAUAGUGAUAGGCCAUUGAAUCACUAGCAUUUAUACCAUGUUUUAGACAUGAUAAUAUUGGACUUGAGAUAGAUGAUUACGCUUGCUUGCCAUUGUGCUCAUUCACACAUGCUUGUGAGGGUCGCUCCCUACAAGCCGGCACUCCGGAGAUAGCUAUCGCGACAUAUGCUCGCCCGUGCGUGAUUGGGCGCUGAAAUGGGAUACCAUGGGGGAGGCUCAUUUCAAGGGUGGGAAUGUUGACUACCAUGGGACCAUUAGGCACGGCGUAAGCAAGACUAUCCUUGUGUAGGUCCUAUAUGAUUGGAACAAAGUUAAACUAAAAUACAAAGUGGACAUUAGACAAAUUAGUAAACAAUGACAUUUUACUAGUUGUACUUGAGGACAUUAUGUAUUUAUACACAUGCAUAUUCAUAUUAGAAUAGCAUUUAUACUUGUGGAAACUCAUGCUAAGUAGAGGCAUAGUAGUUAGUAAGUUUUAUUACAUGCUCAAUAUACAUAUUGUUCUUUCUAUUUAAUAUUAGAACAUACUACUUAUGCCUCCAUAACCUAGUGGUGUAUUUCGCUAAGGUCGGCGGCUUGCCCACUGGAAACUAUUGAUUAAUAGUUCUCACGCCCCCUGUUUUGUUUUUUUUUUUUACAGAGCCUUCCACACUGGGUGAGGUUAGGGACCGCGGCAAGGGUGUCGCCACUAGGUAGUCACGAGGGGUCUUUCUUUUAGGUGAUUCACCUCUCUUUUUGUUUUACUUGGAGAGGAUGAGAGUUUUGUACUCUUAUGUAGAGACCACCAUUUUUGUUUAUCUAAUCUUGUAUUUGAGAUCCUAUCUUGUACUACUUUAUUGUUUACAUUAGGGGAUUAGCUCCUUUUAUCCUGCUUGUCUUUAGAAAUCUAGUUGUGUAUGCUCUGAUAAUCUAUUAGAUGCUUUAUUUAUCUUACCUCUUUAUACUGUUGUUGUAGACGCCUUAUAUGUUGUAGGUAUAUAGCGGGUCUGGACACGCACCGGGCAGGCUUCCGCUGGGUCCCGGGGCGUGAUAGAUUAUUUUGGUAUAAGAGCCUAGGGUUGAGUCUUAGUGGACCUAACAAAUCUUUGACCAGUUGGACUAUAGGAAAUAGGCUCGCGAGAGACGGGGUCUAUUUUGAUUUGUAAGCGAAAGUAUUAUAAUUGGAUUUUAUUAUAACUCUAAAAAGUUGGAGUUUAAUCGAAGUGUAUAGCUUCUAACUUCCCGGAGGGUUACGUUGGCGGCCGACAACGUAACAUCAGGAGUUAGUAGUAAAGGACACUUCCUUACUUUCGCAUGAUUUGAGUAUUAUUUACUUGAGUAGGGUUGCGAUAGCGUGAGUUUUACUAACUUGCCCUUUUAUGUUGUUGUAGUGAUAAUGCCAACUACUGGCUCUAAAUCUGUUGGGGCAGAGAACGCGGCAAACCUGGAGGAGGUGGAGACCUCCGCUACUUCCGGGUCUAGCGAGGUCCGUGACCUGAGAACUCAGCUUGCGGUCCUCAUUGAUUUAGUGGCUCAGUAGGCGGCGGCGGCUCAGCAACAGGCCGAUGUGGCGCACUGGCAGGAAACGCGGAUGAAGCAAUUGGAGAACUUGCUUCUUCAGCAGGCGGCUACUAGGGAGGCCCAGACUUCCACACCCCCCGCGCCGGCCAAGGUGGUGGCACCGAGGGCGCCGUCUCCCGCUCCCGGUACUUCGCGCGCGGCGCCCAUAGUCGUACCUCGAGAGGAGGAUGUCGCGGCACCACCGAUUCAGGUGCCUCCGGCGGGGGCAGUUUUUCCCGUGAUGGUCGAGGGAGCGGAGCGGGACCGGCUCAUGGAUCGCCUCAAUGAGUUCAGGAGGUGCAAUCCCAGGAUUUUUUAUGGAGAGAAAGCCGACCACUGGAUCGUGGAGAAGUGUUUGAUGCACAUGGAAAAGCUUUUUCGCGACACCUUUGUGGAAGAGAGAGACCGAAUUUGGCUCGCCACUCAUCACCUGGACGCUGAAGCCUACCGUUGGUGGUUGGAUAUCCAAGACAACCCCAACACCGACCUUUCAGCAAUUACGUGGAAGAGGUUCAAGGAACUUCUGUUGGAGCACUACUUCCCCGACAGCGUCAAGAGGCAAAUAGAGAAGGACUUGCGCGGCUUGCGCCAAGGGGAUCGGACGGUAGCCGAGUACGAGAGAGAGUUCUCUCUGCUUCUGUAUUGCGUGCCUUUCGUCGUGCGUGACGACGAGGACAAGGCCCGUAUUUUUUAAAGUGAACUUUGACCGUCGAUUUUUUGGUUUGUGAAAUCGUCAUAUCUGCAAACCUACCGAGAUGUGGUGAACCGCGUUCUCAUUGUGGAGAGGGGCUCGGCGGAUGUGCAAGAACGGAGAGAAGGCUUGGACAAGGGAGAGGGAAAAAGGCCCGCGGCUGAGGGUUUGAGUCAGGCGCACUCUAGGAGGCCGCCGAAGCACCCUAGAAGCGAGUCGAGAGGGCGUGGCUCAUUUGCACAGAGAGAAGGUUUUGAUCGACGCCGACCUCCCCAGUGUGUUAUCUGUGGUGGUCCUCACAUUCCACCGCAGUGUCCACAGCGGGGAGGCAUGUGCUUCCUUUGUGGCCAGGAGGGCCACUUCCGAACCGAGUGCCGGAGAAGUUCGUUACCGGCAUCGUCAUCUGCAUCGGCACCGACAUUGCCAGCUGCCAACCAAGGGACUCCAUCGGCACACUACCCGCCUAGGGGGCCACCCAUCCAGCGAUAGACUGGUACCUUAUCGGACUUCUAAAAUUAUGAAGUUACGGUGUACAUUUGGUUGGAAAGCCAUUUGAAUGGUUCCGGUGAAGUUCGGUGAAGUUUGGGAGCAUUCAGGCGUUUCGAUGUGCGUAGGCGUGAAAACGGUACCCAAAAGGCUAUGUGUCACGCCCCGGGGUCCAGCGGAAGCUUGCCCGGCACGUGUCUAGACCCGCCAUACGUCUGAAACAUAUAAGGCGUCUACACAAUUUCGAUAAAUAAGACAAUAGUACAAAAAGGUCUAGUAAUAUCAGAGCACAAAACAACUAGAUUUUACAACAUAGUAGGUAAAAGAAAAAGUAAAUCCACUAAGAUAAAACAUAACUUAGUAAAAAGAAAGCCAACUACAAGUACAAGGGAAGAUACAAUGGUGGUCUCUAAACAUGGUAACAAAACCUCUCUCUCACAAAUCUCAAACAGAGAGAAGAACCACCUAGGAUCAAAACUGGCUCCACCACUAACUAAGCGAUCCCCUUGCCACGAUCCCGUGCCUCCACCGGUGCUGAAGGCUCUAAAAAGAAAUCAUAAAAUAGGGGGCGUGAGAACUAUUAAAUAAUAGUUCCCAGUGGGCAAUUACUGACUUCAGUGAAAUGCGCCACUCGGCCCAAACUGGAGGAAGGUAAGUAGAUAAGGCAAUACUUAAAGCAAAAGCUACCACAUAAUCACUACUUGGCAUGAAUUGCAUAAAUAAUAAACUACCCAUGAUCUCUACUUAACAUGAUUGGCAUAAGUAAUAAAGCAACUAUAUCAUGAAUGUACAUGGAUGUAUAGGACAUGCAGAAGCUUAGGAAUGCAACCAACCCGAUGUCCUCAAUGCAAAAAUAGUAAAGAUGUCAUUGUUUACUAUUCUAGUCCAAAUUCACUUUAAUAGUUUUAAAGUUCACUUAGCAUGUUCUGUCACUAAGUCCCAAUCAUGUAAGACCCGCCCAAAGGCUGUCUGGCCUGCGCCGUGCCUAGUGGUCCCAUGGUAGUCAACAUCCCCACUCUAGGAAUGAGCCUCCCCCACGGCAAUCCAUUUCGGCGCCCAAUCCCGCACGGGCGAGCAUAUGUCGCGAUGGCUAUCUCCGGAGUGCCGGCUUGUAGGGAGCGACCCUCACAAGUAUAUGCGAAUGAGCACAAUGGCAAACAAGCAAUGAUCUAUCCAAGUACCAAGUCCUCAUGUCUAAAAUAUGGAAUACCAGUCAACUGUAUCGAUGGCCUAUCACUAUGUCAUCAUGUCUAAAACAUGGAAUGUAAUAACUGUCUCAAUGGCCUAUCUCUAUGUCAUCAUGUCUAAAACAUGGAAUAUAGCAGAUGUCUAGGUGGCCUAACACUAUGUCUCCAUGUUGCAGUUUAACAAUUUUCUAGUUCGAGUGCCCCUUUAUGACACUUUUGCUCACUAAGUCAUAGCAUGGCAAUUAUGUUCAAGAGUACAUGAUUCUAGUCAUUUUCCACGUAAGAGACAUAUUUUGAGUUGCAAAUAAAGACCACAUAGCACAUGCAUGCAUACUACUCUUACGGCUCUACUACAUAAAGUGAAAUUAUCAUGAUACAUAAUACAUGUGUUUUAGGCGCUCCAAAAUUCAUAUAAAUUCUACUUAUCAUGAAUAUGCAUGCAUUUAUAGUAAAUGAAGACAAUAAACCACAUAGGAGGCAUUUUCUCCCUAUAUCAAAGAAGCCAAACCCACCAACGACAACGGAACCCUUCGAUUGCUCCGACGAGGGUGUCCACCACUCUCCUAGUACCCUAAAGGUAUGGAAACAAGUGUCACAAGAACCAUACAAACAACACUUAGCUCAAACAUUAAGCUUUUCAAGCUAAGGCGGGGAAAACUCACCGAAAAUGGUGAAUAUCUCUCUUGAUCUCCAAAAGGAGGCAAGAAUCCUUCAAAACCAACCUAAAGGAAGGUUCUAAUAAGAUCAAUCAAGAUCAAAAAGCCUCAACUCGAAAAUCCCCAUUUCUAACCCUAAAAUUCAAAAUCUAGGGUUUUCUCUAACCAAAUCCAACAAAACAUGUAUCAAAUAAAAAAUACAUGUCACUAACCUCUUAAAUAGUCUCAAACCAAGUCCAAAAUCAGCUAGGGUUGGAGGUCUCCUCACAAACAAGCUCCUCUCAAAGCUCCAAGUCUUCAACCAUGGAGAAAACCCAACAAAAAGCAAAGAAGAGGAGAAGGGAGAGAUCAAAACACCAUAAAAUCCACCAAAAAUGGAGAUCAAACAAGGGAAGGGGAGACUCACCUUGAUCUCCACUGGUUAGGGCUCAAAGAGAGCAGCUAAGGGGGCUGGGGUCAUCUAUAUAGGUGUUGUAACAAUUGCAAAUACACCCCUCCCCGAAACAGCCCAUUCUGCACUGCGUACCGGUACACGGGUUUGUGUACCGGUACACAUCCCACGAACCAGCCCAACCCGAGCUUCGGGUUGGCGCUCUGGCUGCCAGGGUCGAUGGCUGUACCGGUACAGCCAUCACCGCGUACCGGUACGCCACCCUGCAGAAAGCCACCCAAGAGCACACCAAUAAUCCAAUUUUUUUGGGUUUUAGUGCCAAGUUUUAAAUCUCAAUUCUCGGGACUCGAACCAUAGGUCGGAAUACUAUCCACGACCCUCCACGAAGUGUGGAAAAGUUCGAAACACAAGUCAAACACUCGGACCUCACUAUUUGCGACGGUUCGGUGUGCUACACUAUGUUAGACCAUGAACUAAAUCCGGCAUUAGCGUGGAUGGAAAGAUGAUGAAAUUACGCUCGAAAAUAUGUUUUGAGAGUUUCGGUUCAAUUUGAAAUGAAUCGGAGUUCAAACGAGCGAAAACGAACGAAAACGGAGAAGAAAGCUGAAAAUGCUGAAAAAUUGGCUAAGUCCUAAAAAUGCUGAAAUUCUGGACCUACGGGGUCCGGACCCUGGCUUCAAGGUCCGGACCCUGAGCCCGAAAAUGGCCCAGUUUAGUGCAGUUUGCAUAGUUGAGGGGGUUUCUUGCAAAUAGGGCAUAUGGGGGCUAUUAGAGAGAGUUAGAGCCUCUCUCUCUCUCAUUCCCUCACCAUUUGCAACCCAACAAACACCAUCUCUCCCUCUCUAAAGUGUCUCUCUCUCUUCAAGAAGGAAGGCAAGGAGGGGGAUUGGUGGAGGGUGAAGCUUGAAGAAGGAUCAUCAUCUUCUUCUCCUUCUUCUUCACCUUGGAGCAAGCUUAAAGAGGUAAGCUUCAUGGAGCUUUAAUGGUAGAACCUUAGGGCUUUGCUUAUAUGCUCUAAGAAUGAUUUAUAUGGAACUCUUAGAUGCCAAAUAGAUGAUUUGUGCUUGAAUCUAGAGAUAUAAUGGUGGAUUUUUACCUAGUUGUAAUCUAGGGCUCCAAAUUGGGGUUUUGAGAAGUUGUGGGAUUUGAUCUAAACUGAACCUCUGUAAACCUAAUUGCUAGGUGUUCUGACGUGUUGGCGAAGUCGGUUCGGCAAUUCGUCGAGCCUGUGCAAAGAUAUUGAAGAAAAGGCCUGUUGAGGUACAGAUUGCCGCAGCUCGCGACGAAAGCUUCCUAAAAUUACAAGAACGGAACCCUAGCCUCCUGGCAGCAUUAAAAGGUGGGGGGUGUCCAUCCCAAAGCAACUGGGCUUCCUUCUAUGUCCGAGAUAGAAUUGUUGAUCAUGUUUCAUAUAUUAUUCUUAUACAUUAUAGGAUGAUUGUUGUAGUUGCAUUUCUACUUCCUUGCAUGCAUGUCUAGUAGUGUAGCAUUGUGGGGCUCGACACUUAAACCUAGAAUGCAUGAGGAUUGGGUCGGGUGACAUGAGAUCCUAUAGUGAUAAGAAUAUGGUGAACUUGAACUUGGUAAUGAGAACCAAUGGAUUGUGAACUAGUGUAAUAAAAACACUUGAAACUUGGACGAGUGGCAUGUAAACAAGAGACACUAUAACAAGAACGAGUGGCAUGUCAGUUUAGUGUAUUGAGACACAUACAACAUCAUGACAUAAAUGAGCGGCAUCAAAUCUAGUGUAGUGGAACACUAUGGCAUUUGAACCUAGGGAUAGUAGAUUUUUUCCGAUUGUCAUGUUGUGGAUAUUAUGCAUUUGGCAUUAGUGCAGUUGAGGCAUUGUGGCCCUAGUAGAUAGGGUAUCCUCCAGUGCGGGGAUUGGAUCAUACUCACAUAGUCUGUGUAACUUUGGCGUGGUCGCUCUACCCAAGUAGUGAGCUCCGGAGUAAUAGUCGCGUUGGGGCAGACAUAGUUGUCCCGCAGACGGGUCUCGGGUGGGUGUAGCACAGAGUCUCCCCACUAGCGAGAUUUGAGAUGUGAGUCGAGGUAGCAACCUUUGGGUUGGCCAUGAGAUUGAUUAUCGAGGCAUAGUUGCACGACGCACUAUAUAGUAGCUUGUACAUCUUGAUUAUCGAGGCAUAGUUGAACGACGCACUAUGUAGUAGCUUGUUCAUUCAUGUGAUUAUCGAGGCAUAGUAUCAUGUGUAGAGACAUUACUAUGUAGUAGCUCAUUUCCUUAUUGUUCAUUGAGGCAUAGUAGCAUGUGUAGAGACAUACUAUGUAGUAACUCAUUCAUGUAUCCAGCUUUGAGGCAUAAUAUCAUGUGUAGAGACAUUACUAUGUAGUAGCUCAUUUUCUUAUUGUUCAUUGAGGCAUAGUAGCAUAUGUAGAGACAUACUAUGUAGUAGCUCAUGCAUUUCAUUGAUUAUGAGGCAUAGUAGCAUGUUGCAUAUUUUCUACUAUGUUGUAGCUCAUUUCAAGAUAUCUAUCUAUCUAUCUAUCUGUUGCUCAUGCCUGCUUAGACCUAGUGGGAAGAUCGGCAGAGUCGGCGGCCGAACCCACUGGGAACUAUAUUUAUAUAGUUCUCACCCCACUUUGUUGCAGGGCCUAGCGAGAGAGUACGGGCAGAGGACCGUGGUAAGGGCAUAGCGCCCUAGUUAGCUAGCAGCUUCCUUAUGCAUUAGAGUACCCUCGUGUACCCGGUUGACAUGAUUAGUAAAUAUUGUAUUUUGGAGAGCUAGCAUGUAUGAUGAGAGAACAUUAUGUAUCCACAUUUUGGGAGAUGAAAAUGUAAAUUAAUUAUGCAAAUGAUGUAAAUGUUGAAUGUCAAAUGCGAUGUAAUAGCUAGAACUGUCUCUUUUUAUGCACUUGUAUAAUUACUUGUAUCUUGCUCUUGUUGGUAUAGCACUUGUGGUGCUUCGUUGAAUCAUGUAUAUUAAUUGAGUUUAUUCUGGGCAACUCUUGUACAUGAUCUUGUUGUUGAGCCUUGGGUGGGCAGGGGAGGUGCUGUCCGUCCGGCGUCUGUUCGACGUGCCGGGAUUCGACCAAAUUGGCAAGUCGUGGGCCAUGACAGAUAAAGUGGUAUCAGAGCGUAAAGAGCAAGUAAAGAGCAAAUAAAGAUAGAGUCUAGGAUGACCUAGGAGACCCUAGGACGGAAAACUUAAGGAUAUAGGUGUGUGAGUGAGACGUGGACCUAUGCGGGUGGCGGAAGUUGAAUCGAUUGGGUCAAGUUUUGUAAACCUCUAAGACGGAUGUUAGAGGUAGACUCGAUGUGUGGUUUAUUCUCGACCAAGUGCGUUCAUGUUGGGCGAUCAACAACAUGAAACCGAGGGAUGAGAAUAGACGCUCCUGCGUGACUUUCGCCGGAUUUGAGUUGAGUUGAUGUUAGUUGUUACGUGCUCUACCUAGAGAGUCGAGACUGACCGUGUUGUCACGGUUCAGGAAAUGAUGGCACCGCGUAGGCGAUCUUUGUUUAGAUCGGCACUGGAUGGGACAAGUAAUGUCCUUGAGCAAUUCGAGAUGAGUGGAGACUUGGGACUUCGCGAGCGGUUGGCCACUAGUGGGAGUCGCGAGGCAACGAGCCGAAUUGGUGCUACGACAGCAGGAGGCUGUCAUGCGCCAGGAGGAGCGGAUUAAUGGACUCCAAGAAACGGUUGAUCGAUUGGUGACCGUGCCAGUUUCAGCUCGUCGAGCGCGGCCGGGAGUCGCGGCGGAGGUGUUUCCGUCGGGGUCGGGCAAUCCGACUUCUAGCACUUCAAAGGUGGUGGUGGUGAGGGAGCGAGCCUUGGCGGCCCUCAUGAUUUUCAAGGAAUUUGAUCCGCCUACCUUUGAUGGAGAGGAUGUAGAUCCGUGGAUUGUGGAGUCGUGGAUUGAUUCCAUGGAAACUCUGUUUGAGGAUCUGUACUUUGUGCGAGCAGGAGUUCUCCCGUAUCGUGAGUUGUAUCCAGAAUGUGGUGCGGGAUGACGGGAUCAAGCUGAUUGCUUGUACGAGGACUUCGGCUGGAGAUUUCCAAAGUUGUGUAUACUCUUAAGUGCAAACUUUUGCCAAAAUUAAGGAUUGAGCGUUGUGGGCGGCCGUGCUAUUCGCAAGAUGAGCGCCGCUGAGGGGAUGACCAGACCUUCGCAUUGGCGACUGCCUUCUCCUUUCUGAGACAGCCUGCGGGUGUGCCAUCUGUAGCAUGGUCGGGAGAGUGAGUAGUGAGGACGUGGCGACCGGAGGGUCCGCGGCGUGUGUACCGAGUGGCCAUGAGGACGCGACCCAGGUCGAUGAGCAUUGCAUGCAUUGUCGUGGUCAGUUGCUACUAUUUAUGCAUUAGUAUAGUAGGGACCAAUGGACGGGUAGGUGAAGAUACCUUGGCAUGCUUGUGUGUGAGAGUGUAGCACCUGCUUGAACAGGAAGAGAGCUAGACGGCACUAGCAAAAUGCUAGUAGUGGUUCUUGGACGAGUAAUGAUACUCGUGGAGUGCGGAUUUGAUUCAACCGAGGGAGUGAGAUGGCAGUAGCACUUUAGCAUUGCUAAGUGUGAAGCGUGCCAUGGAUCACUCGUGGGACUGGUGACUCGCACUAGGUGCAUAGUAGCCGGUAGUAGUGCGUGUGGCUCGGAAGAGCGUGUUGUGUAGGACGACGACGGCGGGUGUUGCUUGGGGACGACCCGUGCCUGGACCAUUUGUGGACUGUAGAGCUUGGGCCCAUUGGGCAGGCGCAGUUAGCUGUGAGUGACAGCGGCCCGGUACCUACGGGUAGGGCAGAGUUUUGGUCAGAGCGGUAGUCCGAGCUUACACCCAAUAUAUAUAUACACACUUUGAAUUUAAAAAUUCAAAUUUGAAUUUCUUUUAUUAUCAAAUCUCGGAUAUUACACAUAUGAUGGGUGUGGGCUUUGACGAGUAUUCCAUGACCUCCACUCAGCUGGGACUAUACAAUAGAAGGAUUGUAUUGUACAGUAACUGCACGUAGAGGUUCAGUCCGAUAUGCAUUUUUGACUGGAUUGCCACUACGUGCUGCUAGGUGUCACUGGUGGAUUAUGGGAACCAAUAGGAAUAAUUAUAGAUAAUUAAUUAUUCUAUAAGGGUGGAAUCAAAAGAGUUUGAACUAUCAAAAGGAGUUUCGAUGAUGAUGUAGGUAGGGAUCGCAUUAUAUCUCACUAUCAGACAUAAUUGAACCUAUUAGGUCACACACAUAAGAAAUCAUGCAUGAUCGAUAUUUAGGAAACGAUAAAAGAAGUUUAUCAGAUGGUUUAAUUGCAAUUAUAAUAUAGUUAAAUACUAAAGUUUACUAAUUUAUUAGUAAAAUGACUAAUUUGCAAUUAUUGUAAAUUAGAGGUAUUUAUGUGUAAAAGAUGCAUGGUGUAUUUACUAAUCAUUAGAAAAUAAUAUGAGGACUUAUAUGUAAAUGUUACACACGAAUCGAAUUGAAAUUCGGAUUCGGUUAAUAUUAUAACCAGCUUGACGGUUAAUGGAUAAUCCAAUCAGACUAGGGUUUCGAUUAGGAUUAGGAUUAGGCUUAGGGUUUUCUCAUUAUAAAUACAUGUCAUAUAACAUAUUAAAAUUAAAAUAAUACAAGAUAAAUAGAAAACCCUAGACGUCAAUCCUCUCUUUCUUCCUUAAGUCCUCCACAAUUAAUCUAUCGGUUUCAAUCUUCAAAAAGUUGCUAGCACAUCUAAAAGAUUGAUUCAUCUUUCUUAAAUUGACGCAAGAGUUAAUUCGUGAUUGGAUCACGGAUCGAAGUGGUCGUUUAAUUCGAUCAAGGGCGUGAUUUCGUGUGGACGCGAAUAGAGGCCAGGCGCGUGCGCGGCUAAGCGAGGACGAAUAAUUUUUACUAACAAUUGUCAUCUUCACGGUGAUCUCAACCCACGCAAGGUGAAAAACUAGAUCCUAUUUGAUUAGAUCAAUUAGAUCAAUUAUUAAUGAUCUAAAGCGAAACACAAGGAGAUCUUUGGUUUUGGAAAAUUUUUAAUUGUGUUAUUUUCUUCCGCUGCGCACACAUAAUGUCACGCCCCGCUAUCGCCAAUUUGGUCGGUUCGGGCACACCAACAGACGCCGAACGGACAGCACCUCCCCUGUCCGCCCAAGGCUCCAACAACGAGUAUAAUCAAGCAAAUCAAACAACGAGAUUGCAAUUAUACAAGACUUGCUCGAGGGCAAGCAACAACCACAAGUAGUGAAAGCUCUAAGCUACUACAUACAUCAUACAACUAUACACAUCAUAUUUGAUUACUUUUAAACCAAAUACAAGUGAACUAAAGUUAUUACAUUCAUUCUCUUUGCAUUCAUGAUUAUACAUCACCUAGUCAUCCAACAAAACAUAUGAUUUACAUCUUUAUACAUCAUUUCUUUUCAACAUACAAAAGUUGAAACAUAAACAUAAGGAAUGACUAUAAACUCCGGUAGCCGCUAACUACGGCGCAAUACCCUUGCCCCGAUCCUCCGCCACUCCGCUCGCGCUAGGAUCUGCAGGGUUAGUGGUGUGAGAACUAAAAGAAGUUCCCAGUGGGUUCGGCCGCCGACCUCGCCGAUUUGCCCACUAGGUCUAUGCUUAUAUGUAAUUCAAGAAAAGAUAGAUAGCAAACCAACUAAUGCUACUACGAAUACAAUGCCUGCAAGAAAGCUGAAUCAACAGAUAUAUGAUCAUAUGUAUGAUAAAUAUGCAUGCAUGUUUUUCCACAUUCACUUUGGCUUUUACCCAAUUAACCCGCUUAACACUUGUUAACCGCAAAACUCACAGCCCAAAAUCCCUCUCAAUCAGGGGACUCGAACCGCCCGAGGGACCGUCUUCGGGGACCGCUCUCCCCGUGGUGUCAAUUCCGAAACGUACCGUUUGAGGGGGAGCUACCUCCCUCAAGCCAAGACUCAAUGUGAGUAUGAUCCAGUCCUCAAUUUGAGGACGUAUAGCCACACUUGCUAUCUUGUCACAAGCCACGAUGCCAAAAUGCACUAACAGGUUUUUACCUUGUCAUAUAUAAAUCACUCUCUAGGCUACACUUGCCGUAAUGCCACAAUGGUUUAACCUUGUUUAGCAAUUCAUCUCUCGGUGCCAAUCUUGUCGCUAAUGUCAAUGUCACCUUUGUUUACUAUUAUCAUAGACCAUAUCACACGUUCAUAGGGUUCCAACAUACAUGGUCCAUUACAAUUUAUAUGUUUUCUAACCUAGAAGCAUACAAUUGUUUUCCAACCAUAGAUACAAGUCACAUAGCCCUAUAAUGCAUGAUUUCUACUAUACAUAUAUGCUCAAACAAAGGCAACAUAGAUAUAGAAGGAAACUCAGAGAUUUCGGAUAGCACCCCCACCUUGUAGGAAUGCUAAGAUGCCACGAUCCAAAUUUCGUGAUUUUUAGACGUCUAUUUCUUCCGACUUCGGAAAAACUGAGCCAAAACAGGCUUUUUCCACGAUUUCUCCGCGUACGCUCGUCGGAUUGCCGAACCGAAUUCGCCAAUGCGUUAGAAUACCUAGCAAUUAGGGUCACAUGAAAUCAAUCCCAAGCUUAGACCUCACAUUUACAAAACCCUAAAACAUAGCCCUAGGUUUCACCUAAACCUCAUAAUAUCCACCAUUAAUGGAUAUUAAUACAUUAACUACCCACAAUAACUCCUAGAAGCACAUGCUAGAAGAAUUACAACCAAAACCUAGCUUGGAAUCGAGAAAAUCAACCUUUAGAUUCAAGCUUUCUCCAAGCCCCUUGUACAAUUGCAAGCACCACCCUCCACUUGACCUUCUUCUCCACCAAAGUCCCUUCAAAGGCCUUUCUUGCUCAAGCCCUAGAGAGAGAGAAGGAGAGAGAGGAGUUUUAGAGAGAGAGAGGGAAGCCCUAAAUGUGUUGGGGUGAGAGAAAUGAGAAGAAAACCUCAUUUCUCAAACAUAUACACACCCACACUUACACAUUUGCACAUUAGCCCCUCCAACUACACCAAUUCACAGCAACCCAAACUGGGCAGAUUUCGCCUAUGGGGUCCGGUCCCUGGACAGGGUCCGGACCCCGAGAGCAUGAUUUUUCAGCAUUUUGCUGAAAACUCACCAGCCAGCUCUCCUGGGUCCUCUAACCUCUAUGCAACUCAUUCCCAAGUGUUUUAAACACUUUGCGGACCGCUCUAACUAGUCCGACUCCGCGCUCCGGUCAAUUUGACGGAAGCUCGGUACAAUUUAUCGGGGAUACGAUAUGUUACACAUAAUUUUCUUACAAGUACGGCAAGAACGAACUCCGAGAUUGUCUCAAUCUAAUAAGGAUCGUGCUCGCCCCAAACGCCUCAGUCCUUCUCGAGUUCCCCAUGAGUGCCGUAAGAAGCGCACACUUGGGAAAAGGAUGCUGCACAGGAGCCCGUACCUCCUGUGGUUGCGCUGCGGACGGAGGAGCAAACACGACUUCAUCAGCUCCGACGUAUGUAACGUACUUAUUAUUUUACAUUCUCAGUAAUAGAGUUUGUAGAAUAAGGAGGUUGUCAUUGUAUCACUCUGACUUUAAUAACACUAAGUCUCUUUCUUUCUUGGUGCAAACAUAGGAGUAAUAGUGCAAAAUCUAUUCAAGUAGUGUAAUAUGCAACCGCAUCUAUUUAAUGUAGGUUGCACCACUGAGAGAGUGCGCGCACCCUCCAGUAGCUAGCGAUUCCCUUUUGCGAUCGUUCAGGCGAAAUGAAGAAAUACUCCAAGUAGAUGACCGUGCAACGGCGUCUUUGUUAGUUGAGGAUGUGUUACUGGAAUGCGAAGGAGUAUGUAAUCGUGUAGGUUUGAUGUAAAUAGUGUAUCUUUUUUAGUAAUAAAUCAAUUGACCAUACUAUUUUACACAAAGCAGCUGCACGACGUUGUCGUCCAAAUUUGUGAGGACGUCGAGCCAUUAUCUUUGGUAUGUACAGUGGAUGCGUCGGCGAAAGAAGAGUAGGCCACCGAGCCGAUAGCACCGGUAGUGUCGGAAUCGAAGGUCUCGGCCGAGAAAAAAGAGAAGCCUGCUGAGACGGUGGCAGCCGCACAGCCGCCACCAAAGGUGGCGGCAGAAGAAGAGAAGCCCGGCAAGGUGGUGGAUGCCGCACCACUGGAACGAAGGCCCGCCCAGCCGAACCAAUACCUAAACGGGAAGGUGAAUGUUGCAACGCUACUUAUAAAUAGUAUAAUAUGCAUCAAGCCGUGUUAAAUUUGCUAAGUAAUCAUGUAAUUUUCUAAAUUUUGCAUUCUUUCAUGAAUUUGUGAAUAGGCCCCCGCAGUGAUCGACAUUCCCCCCUGGGAAGAGAAGAAGCCCACCGAGACGGUGGCAGUCGUACCGCCGACACCGAAGGCGACGGCGGAAGAAGAGAAGCCCAACGAGACGGUGGAUACUGCCCAGUCAAAACGAAGGCCCGCCCAGCUGAAAUCAAUACCUAAACGGGUAGGUAAAUGUUGCAACGCUACUUAUAAAUAGUGCAAUAUUCGGCAAGCCGUGCAAAAUUUGCCAACUAAUCGUGUAAUUUUCUAAAUUUUGCAUUCUUUCAUGAAUUUGUGAAUAGGCUCCCGUAGUGAUCGACAUCCCCCCUUCGAAAGAGGAAAAGCCCGCCGAGGCGAUGGCAGCCGCACCGUCUGUUAGAAAAUUGCGUACGGUAAAAACGCAGCGGAAAAAGAAAUCAAACAAAUUUGAUUUUGAAAACUCUCGAGAUCCAAUCUCAAAAACCACGNUUCUCUAACAACCACCUGCAUAUUCGCUUCAGUGUCCCCACACUGUCGACUCGAGACUCGUCUACCCUGAAAGGGAAGCGACCUAUGCACCAAUCUCACUGGAUCAAUCACCGUCCCCGUGAUGAUCCAUUGAUCGGGAGCAUUUAGGAAUUAACCACCAAUGACACAUGUCUCAAAUUCUCAACUCUUGAGAAUAUAUGUCAUCAUCUUAUUAAUUCCUUGGACGAUUCAUGGACACAUACACAACAUGAAUGGAAAUAAUAACCCAAAUUUAUUCAUAAUAUUUUAAAAUCAAAUACAAAAUUAUGUCCUAGAAAGAAUACAUGUGUCGACCUGGUUGGCUUCUAGGGCAUAUAUCUAACACCGUCGCCACCGAAGGUAGCGGCGGGAAAAAAAAGCCCGACGUGGUGGUGGACGCCGCACCACCGGAACGAAGGCCCGUCCAGCCGAAACCAAUACCUAAACGAGUAAGUGAAUGUUGCAACGCUACUUGUAAAUACUGCAAUAUUCGUCAAGCCAUGUAAAAUUUGCCAAGUAAUCGCAUUCUUUCAUGAAUUUGAAAAUAGGCCCCCAUAGUGAUCAACAUCUCCUCCUCGGAAGAGGAGAAGCCCGUUGAGGCGCUGGCACCCGCACCACACCGAAAUAAAAGCAAGCCCAGUCGGAACCUAAACCUAAAAGGGCUAAACGGGUAUGUGAAUGUUACAACGCUACUUACAAAUAGUGCAAUAUUUGGUCAAUCCGUAUAAUAUUAGCAAAGUAAUUGUGUAUUUCUCUAAAUUUUGCAUUCUUUUAUAAAUAUGCCAAUAGGCCCCCGUAGUGAUCGACGUCCCACCCUCGGAAGAAAGGAAAAAGUCAAAAAAACAAACGGUCGCAAGGAGUAUUGCAAAAAUGGGGUUGAAGUACUAUGAUAAGGGCGUGCUACUGACAGAGGACUAGAAUUUAAUAGAAAAAUUCAUUUUUAGCGACACCUCCGUGGUACGCGUGCCCUUGAAGAACAUUGACAUAGGUCGAAAGGAAUUAGUGGACCUUAGUAGCCACAUGGCAUUCAUCAACUCUGACUAGCAUCUCUUGGAACAUUGACAUAGGGUCAGCGACGACGGCACGUUGGUAGUCGCUGGAGGUUGGGCAUGGCCAUAGGAGGGGGCUAAAGGUGUGGAUCACCUAGGGAUGGUCUACGGCAGAGGUGAAGGAUGCAUGGUGGAUAAAAAUGGUGGAGGAGAGGCCAUCAAGCUUUUCCGGCGGCCGGGGAAGCUUGUCGGCGGUCGAGGUGCGCGCACGGCUAGGGCAGUGAUCUGUUUAUGAUAGCUAGGGCGUAGCUGGGGGACUAGGUCGGCUAGAUCUAGGGUUUUGCGCAAAGAAACCCUAUAUGCACUUUAUAUAUAAUGCGCAAUUUGCAGAAAAGUCCCCACAAGCUAACUUAUUUAAGCUGAGUCCCUGCUAGGGAGUGUAACUUGCGCGUAUGCACCUCGAUGUUCAAAACCACGCAAAACGAUACAUAAAAUAUACGGAGUUUUGCAACUUUUCCGUUUUGCCACUCUCGACCCCUCAGCUAACAUUUCACGAUUCUCGGAGAUCCGUCCGUCGAAUUUCCGAUCGGAUCACGCCAGUGCGUUCAGCACGACUGGGGCAUCGAAUAUACCAUUUCGUUUCGUCUGAAUUGGUUGUCGAUUCGCAACGAAACUCAUCCCCUCUCCAAUAUUCCAAACACCAUAGAUCUAUCUAUAUAUAUAUACAAAUCUAAUAAACUCCAUUUUUCUCGAAUAUCGUGCAUCAAAUCUAAAAUCCGUCCGUACCAUUGGUUCCAGAAUAGCCGAACCGUUCAAAACGAGAUAUUGGAUUGCUAUAAUCGGAGUCCAAUACGCACCAGAAACCAUCUCCACUCGUUGGCUUCUCCGAAAAAUCGGAGUUACUGUUCACUUUAAGUCAUUACUAAAGUUCGCGUAACUACUCCAUCCUAACUCGUUUUCUCUUGAAAUUUGACGAGUGUUUAUAUAAUUAAAUUACACAUAAAAAUAUCAUCAACACAGAGUUUAUCUGUACAGCAAAAAUCUCAAUCCUUACAGAGAGAGAAAAAGAGGAGUUCAUUUUUUUAAUAUGUUAUCUCUUGGGAAGGUAAAAAAAUUUAAUUUUUUAAUAUAUUAUUUCUUAGAAAAGUGAAAAGACAAAGAGAUCUUUUGGUAGGAGAGAGAGGUGUAAAGAAACAAAUUUUCUCUUGGAAAAGUGAAAAGAUUUAUUUUUUUAAUAUAUUAUUUUUUGAGAAGGUGAAAGAUAAAUAGAAAAUUUAUUAGUUAGAGAAGAAAGAGGUGUAACAUGGAAAGUGAAACUACUUUUUGUCUCUUGGGAUGGUAAAACGAUUUAUAUUUUUUAAUAUAUUAUUUCUUGGGAAAAUAAAAAGGCAAAGAUAUCUUUUCGUAGAAGGGAGAGAAGUGCAGAAAAACAAAUUUUCUUUUAAGAAUGUGAAAAGAUUUAUUUUUAAUAUAUUAUUUUUUUAAAAUGUGAAAGUUAAAGAGAGAAUUUGGUAGGACAGAGAGGAUUAGAGAAAAAAGAAAGAGGGGUAGAGAAACUCAGGGAAGAGAGACAUAUAGAUAGAGACAAAUAAGAUUGUAGGGAUGACAAAAGAAAAGAAAGGGAUCUCAUAUGACGUGGAGGCAGAAAAAACUGUCACGUGGAUAGAAGGAACCAUUAAAUUAUAUAUACUAGUGAAGGCCCGCGCUUCGCUGCGGAAGAUUUAUGCAUUUUUUAAAAUAUUUUGAACAAACUAAUAUAUUUCUAUAUUUAUGUUGUUAUCAUUUUUAAAAAUUUAAAUUUAAAUUUUUUAAUUUUCAAAUCUAAUUUUAAAUUUUAAACUUUAAAAAAUUAAAGAGCUAAAAUAUAUAUAUAUAUAUAUAUAUAUAUAUAUAUAUUUAAAUAGAGAGAAAUAAAAAAUAAUUUGAAAAUUGCAGAGAGCAGAGAGGGAAAAAAACAAAAAGAGCAUUGUCCGCGCCGCGCCGCGCCCCGCCCCGCGCUUCAGCGUGUCCGCGCCACACCGCGGGCCGCCUCACGCUCCUGCGUUUUUUUAUUUCAUAAAUUAAGAGAAAACAAUUAAAGAAAAAGACACAAAAAUACAAAAAAAAUUAGAAAAAAGAUUAAUUUUACAUUAAAAAAAAAUAGUAAUUUUGCUCUUAUUUUGGGCUUUCGUAAAAUAUUACUAUUCAGGACCAAUCAAAUUUGAAGGGAACUAUUAUUAUCUCUCAUAAUUUUUUAUCCAAUAAUUAAAAAGUUGAAAAUACCGACCGCUUUAUGCUUUCGAUAGCACAACAACUUUACACAGAAAUAUAUAGAUAGUAUUUCAUAGAUGCCACCAUAUAUAUUAGUAUACAUAAUAAUUAGCAGUUUAACAUAUAUAUAAAAAUUUUGGCUAAUAUUUCAUCAAAUACAGAGAGAGCGAGAGAGAGAGAGAUGUAUAUAACCCGCGCAAUUUGAGAUCGCAAUCAAAACUCUAAAAACAAUGACAAAAAAAAUAUUUUGACAAUUUGUUUAAUUUUCUAACAAAAAACUCCAUUAAUUAUUGCGUUAAAACUAUAAAAGGUUUGAGACUUAAGGUACUGUUGUUUGAAAAAAAAAGAAAAAGAAAGAGAAAAUAGAUGAGAGUGAGAGGUGCUUCACCGACCUCUUGCAUGAACCGAACAGAGAUGCCCGAGUUGCAGCAUCCUUUGCUUGUGGAGAUCUCAUAUGCGGCCUCCACUCCUCUCCCUUUCUCUAACCCAUUCUCAACUUUGUUUCCACUCUUUCUCUCUCGUUGUCACACACACUCUCUCUCUCUCUCUCUCUCUCUCACGUUUACCCAAAGAGAGAGAGAGAGACCACAAAAGAAGAUCUAGCAAAAGAGAGCUACUCCAAGGGUAUAUAUAUAUAUAUAUAUAUAUAUAUUCUUCUCUCUAUCAAUUCUAUAUAUUUUUUAUAUUCAUUAUGCACGUAAGUGAAGAUGUUAAUAUAAAUUUCUGGAUCUGUUUCUGAGUGGAUAUGUUUAUAUAUAGGAACAAUUGCUUAUAUACCCCUGAAAAGUUCCCGACUUUUCAAUUUAUCCCUCUUAGAUGGCUAAUAUUGAAAAUACCUUUUUUACGUUCCAACUUAUUUCUAAUAUAUCCCUAGAGUUAAAAUUUGUUAAUGAACUCUGUUAUUUCUGUAAAAUUACUAUUUUGCCUUUUCAAAUAUAUCAUUUUACUAUCACUGGCUUUCUUAUUUGCUCUUAAAGUCAGGUGCACUAAAAGUAUUUUGAUUUUUGGUCUUUUCCAAUAUACUUCUCUACUGUUACCAANGAACUUAAGUUCAGGGUGGAGCUCUUAUUCAGCAAUUAUUGGUUCAAUUCAGAUAAAUUAAAAGAGAAAUCUGGUUCAAAGAUAGAAAUAUAUAGAGCAAUUGGUUUGGUUCGAUCUAAUGAAGUUGACCCGCUUCAGUAUUAUUGGUUCGGUUCAGAUAAUUAAAAAAGAAAUCUGGUUCAAAGAUGGAAAUAUAUAGAAUAAUUGAUUCUGUCCAAUGAAGCAAGUUGAUCUGGUUCGAAUCAAGCACAAACAGAGAAAAAUUAUAAAUUAUUUGAAGAACUUGAGCCAGUUCAAGAUGGCACCCAACAACCCGAUUUGGUUCAAACAAAGAAAGAGAAAUUGGUGGAGCCCACAUUUAAUUUAACAAAGAAAGAGAAUGAUACUAUGUGGCAAAGUUUAAGAAAAAUAAUGUAUAGAUUUGUAUGGAUAGAUUAUUAAUUUUAAAUUUUUUAGACCAACUUAAUAACAAAUCUCAGCUUAUUUUUGAAAAGAUUUGUCUAUAUCUAUACCUAUACCUACCUAUACAUUAUUUUUCUUAAACUUUGCCACAUGGCAUCCUUCUUUUUCUUUGUUAAAUUAAAUGUGGACUCCUCCAAUUUCUCUUUCUUUGUUUGAACCAAACCAAAUUGUUGGUUGCCACUUUCAGCCGGCUCAAGUCUUCCAAAUAAUUAUAUAAUUUUUUUCUGUUUAUGCUUGAAUCGAACCAGAUCAAUUUGCUUCAUUGGAUCGAAUUAAUUAUUUAUAUAUUUCCAUCUUUGAAUCAAUUUUUUUUUUUAAUUAUCUGAACCGAACCAAUAAUAUUGAACCGAGUCAACUUACUUCAUUAGAUCGAACCAAACCAAUUGCUCUAUUUUUUUCUAUCUUUGAACCAGAUUUCUCUUUUAAUUUAUCUGAACUGAACCAAUAAUUGUUGAAUAAGAGUUUCAUCCUGAACUAGCUCAAGUUCUCUUCUUUUUUUGCUUGAACUGAACUAGAUUUCUUUUUCUUUGCUUGAACAAAAUCGAUGCCCUCUUUCUUGCUUGAACCAAGCUCGGUCAAAUAUAUACCAUUUUCCUCUUCUCUUUGUUUUUAUAGAAAUUCUCAUUAAGGAUUUUUUUUAGAAAAAAAAUUAAUUGAUAUUUGUAUUAAUUUAUUAUUAAUAUUGAUAUAAAAUAUGAUGAUAAAGUAUAUUUAGCAAACAUAUAAUGUCUUUAUUUAUUUAUUUUUUAACUGUUGAUUCAUACAUAUAUUGUUUACACGUUUGAAUAAUUUAUAAUAAAUAAAUAUAAAUUAUUUAAAAUAUUAUGAAAAGAUAUAUUAUUAAUAUUUUAAAUUUUUUGUUUUGUUUUGGUUUUUUUUUUUUGUCGCAUCGCACGAUUUAGUAGUUUACUAGUGUUGAACCCGCGCUUCGCUGCGGCCAAUUUUGACACUAAUAUUCUAAUAUAAAUUUUAAAAUAAUUUUGAUGCCAAUAUUUUAAUAUGAAUUAUUAUAUAUAAUCACAAAAAAGACAAUACAAUCAGGUAUAUAAGCAAGCAGAAUAUAUAAAAUCUGACAGCCAAAUGUACUGAUUGAUAUACUCAAAAAGAAAGUGAAGCUUCUUCACGUGCAAAAAUUUUAUGAACACUGUGUUCAUAUGAAAUUAUUUGGGGAUAUUUUGGAUGGACGCCAUGUGGCACUACGGCCACGUGGGACAUCAUCCCGCUGCUCUGCCUGUUAGGAGAGCAGUGGAAUUUUUUUCGAUGCACCAGGUUCACCUCUUUUUCUUUAAAAUUUUAUUUUUUAUUUUUAAAUAUAAUUUAAUAUAAUAGAUAUAUAUUUUAUGAUAUCUAAAAAUAUAUAUGCAAAAGGAUUUUAAAUCAUAAACCAUAAAUUCUUUUACAUAUAUUUUUAAAAUAUCAUAAUAUAUAUUAGAUUAUAAUUAAAAAAUAAAAAAUAAAAUUUUAAAACAAAAAAAUGGUGCACCGGGUGCACCAAAAAAAAAGCACUACUCUCCCAAAAGCAGAGUAACGGGGCGUGGGGAGGUGUUACGCGGCGCCCAUCGGAGGCGUCCGAGUGCCACGCGGCGGCCAAACGCCGUAUCCCCAAAUUUCUUUCUAUGGGCACAAUGCCAGAAAAUUUUUGCCACUUCUUCACCCCCUUUCACCACCAUUUUUCUCUUUUAUGCUCCCGAAGCAGACCCUUUUCCCCUUUUAUGCUCCCAAAGCAGCGGGAUGGUAAAUAGGCUUCGACUCGUCACGGGCAAAGGGUAUAGAUCAGGCUCGGGUCGUCGACGAUGGACACAGCGGCGGCAACGGCUUGGACGGCUUGGGCGGUGGACACAGCACCAACGACGGCUUCAGCGAUGACGACGGCAGACGCGAUGGCGGUGGCGGCGGCAGACGCAGAGGACAGAGCGAGCGCAGUGGCGGCCGCAGGCGUGGUGGGCGCGGUGGUGGUCGCGGAUGCGAUGGACGCGGUGGCGGCGACUUCCUGUCAACUGUAAAUAUAUAUGUAUAUUUUUUUAAAUUUGUAAUUUUUUUUUUAAUCCUUCUCUUCUUCUCCACUCUCUUUCUCUUUUUUUUUUCUCUCUCUUUUUUUUUUAAACUUCUUCCUUAAUGUUCACAGUACGCUCUUUUUUUUUUUUUCUAUUUUUUUAGUUUUUUUUAAGUAUUGAUGAAGCCUCCUCUUGUGCCGUCCGCGGAUCCUCCGUGUGAUUCCCCCCCUGCUCGAGCUUCUUUCUCAAGUUAUUUAUAAAGCUCAAGUAUAAAUUUUCAAAAUUUUUUCAUAUCUUAAAGAGAUUUUUAAGAUAUUGGGAAAUAUGUGAUCCCGGAUUUUUCGGGAUCUUGUUGACUGGGUAGAGAUGGAGGUGGAGAAGAGAGAGAUAGAGGGAGGAGAGAGAGAGAGGGAGACCUAGGGAGGAGAGAUAAAGGGUCACAGGUUCCUAGAAAGAGAGAUGGAGGAGAAGAGAGAGAUAAAGAGACUUAGUGCACAGGACCUAACAAAAAAAAUGCAUGACGUGGGAGCACAAAAAAGUGCCACGUAUAUCUUUAGAGACUGUCAAAUUAUGUAUUUGUUAAGGAUAUUUAAAAUUUCAACUGUUGUAUUAAAAACUAGCGGAUGCUAUUGCAUCAACUUUCACUUUUUCCCUUCCUAACCCUAAAUUCCUCUUUCUUCCAAACCCUAAUUCCACUUCCCUGUUUUUCUUCACGCCUCACACACACAACCGACUCUCUCUCUCUCUCUCUCUCUCUCUCGCUCUACGCCCGAAGACUCCGGCAGCGCUCUUCAAUCGUCACCGUUCGCACACCCCCGGCAGCGCACUCUUCGCCGUUCGCAUAUCCCGAUGGAACUCCGGCAGCAGCGCUUUCAACAGGUUCGUUCUUCGUUUUCCAUUGAUCUUCAUCAUUUUUUUUUAAAAUUCUUCUUAUGGUUUUUUGAGCAGAAUGUGAGGGAUUUUCUUUCUUGAGCUUCUAAUUAGAGUUUGAUGUGAUUUUUUUUUUUUAAAUUUUGAAGUACAUUUCGAAUUGUUGUGAUGUAAACUUGUAAUGCAUUUUUAUUUGGACAAUGUGUUAUGUAGUAAAGGAGUUUAUGUUGUUGUGUUUACUUUAAAUUAUUGUGAUUUGCUACAGAUUAAUUUUUUUUUUUUAUAUUACUCUUUGUUGUUCACGUCUAUUGCUUAUAAAAUGUAUUGUAAUGUCUAAUCGAGCUGUGAGUCAAAUAUGAGCACGAGAUAACGAGCCGAGUUACGAGCUAACGAGCUAACAAGUAAGGUAGCAUUGAAUAGUCAAGCUAACGAGCCGAAAACGAGCUAGCUCAAAUAAAUUGCGAGCCGAUCACGAGCUGGACAUUUCGAGUUUGUCACGAGCCCGAGCUGAACACGAGCUGACCUUGAAUACUUUCGAGCCGAUCUCGAGCUGGCUCCAGCUCGUUCGUGUUCGGCUCGUUGAUAGCCCUACCUAACAACCUCACAAAAAAUCACACAACCUAUAAAAAAAUAAUAACAGUCUAAAAAUGGUGAAUUACUCACAACUUUCUAAUACUAGUAAACGAUUCACUAUAUUUCUCAUUUCUGUGAGUCAGUAAAAGGAAGGUAGAUUAGCCAAAUAAAAUUUUGAAAAAAAUAUUUGGUAAAUUAAAAUUUUUAUAAAGUUACUGUAAAAAAAGUCCCCAUUUUGUAUUUACCGAUUUAGCCCAAAUUCUUGAGUAUAUAUUCAACAGAAACACAUACAUCUUUUAGGUACUGUUAUAUUUUGUUAUUUUUUGUUGAUUAAGAAAAGGGCACUGCAGACGAAGUUGGAUACUAUUGAAAAGAUGGAACCUAUGGAGAAAAAGGACGCAGAGAUCAGCGGUGUUAUCGCCCCUCCGCCGCCCGCCGCUGCCGCCGGUGGUGCUACGCCCACUGAUGCCGAGUCCGAAGUGGAAGACUACGAGCGCCAAGCUCGCGAGCUUAAAGCCGGCCUUCAUCCCUUGAAGGUUUUUUUUUUCUUUUUCUUUUUUUUAUUCUUUUUGUAAUCCUUCUUUUUCUCUUAGAUCUUUGCUUCUCCUGAUGCACUUUAGGGCAUAACCAAUCCGUUCGAGGGAUUUGAACCCCCUAGAGAGAUAGUAGAAGGAAAGGGGGAGGAGGGAAAAAGAUAUUGGAGAAAGGCAGUUUAUUUCAUUCACUAUUGAUAAAACCCUUACACUACAUAUUUGUAGGCUCUAUGACUACGAAUAGAUAUUCUGAUUGAAAAUGAGCAAAAUACCAUAAAGUUUCUCCUUUGUUUUGUUUCUGUCUAGAUGGAGUUUUGGCUCGAAAAUUUUCUUUUAUUUUGAUUUACAAUCUAUAUCUUCCUAGAAGGCGCUGGAAUUACAAUUUUUUUUUUUUUUUUCUAUUUCUGCAUCUGAUUAUUCGGUGUUUUGUGAACUUCCUCAAUCUAUAGAUUAGACAUAAAUAAUUAUCGCUUGUGGGUGUGGUGAAGUUUGCAAUUAUGGUAUUUUUCAUACGAACUUGUGGCGGCUGGGAAAGAGUAUUGUGAUGGGUUAGCAGAUUAUCUUUUCGUAUACCUGAAGAUAGUGGUUAGUCAGUGAUUGGGAAAGUAUCAUCACUAUAUGGCAAAGUUAAUCAUUUGCCUGGAGCUAGCAGUUACUGCACAAAAAAGCUUUAAUUUUGGCUUCUUUAUAUUAUAUGCGUACUGUAAUAGUUGAUUCAAAUGAUCUGGUGAGAUGUUGAGAUGUUGAGAUGUUAUGAACGGUUGAAGGGAUUGAGUCUUGUCGUAUUUGUUUCCUUCUCUUGAUAUUUAUUUAUUUAUUUAUUUACUUAUAUUUUUAUGAUGGCAGCAUAAGUUUGUGUUUUGGUACACGAGACGGGCACCUGGGGUUAGGUCACAGACAUCAUAUGAGGACAAUAUUAAGACACUAGUGGACUUUAGUACGGUAUGAUACUUUUCAAACUAUAAGUAGAUGAUCAUAUGAUAAUUAGUUUUAUUUUAUGCUGUUAUGCAGUUUCCACUAUUGGAAUACUGAAUUUGCUUACUGAUGUGUAUAGGUUGAAGGAUUUUGGGUUUGCUAUUGCCAUCUUGCACGUCCUUCCUCUCUCCCAAGUCCAACAGAUCUGCAUCUUUUUAAAGAGGGUAUUCGCCCUUUAUGGGAGGUACACUUUUAGUUGUGUGGUUCUAUUCGUUUCUAACGUGUCUAAAUAAAGCCAUCAUUAGAAAAGCCAUUUUAGAAAACUCAUUAUGUCUUUAGUUAAUAAAGGAAAUGCACCUAGUUGUUACCUAAAGAAAGUUUAUCUGUAGGAUGCUGCAAAUUGCAAUGGUGGGAAGUGGAUAAUACGAUUCAAAAAAAUUGUUUCAGGCCGUUUCUGGGAAGACUUGGUAAGUAUAUGGGUUCUUUCAGCUAUUGAAGUUCUGUUAAUGCUAUUAGCCUCCUGCUUGACUACAUAGCACUCUUCCCAUCUUUCUUCUUUUUUUUUAUGAAUACUUCUAUUGUGAUUGUUGAUGUUUACUUUAUUGUUUGCACUAUGUACUUGUUGUUGUUUUAUUGAUAUAUCUGUCAAAAGUAAAUGAGCUACACGUAUAUCGGUAUAUAAGCAAACUGAAUGAGCACUAAAAUAUGAUAGUUUUGACAGCUGUAAUGUGAUUUAAGAGAUACAUGGACAACUUAAUUUAUAUGUGAAAUAAAUGCACCUCUACAUCUAAACAAUAUUGUAGAAUUUUUGAUAAUGAGUAAUUAAUCAUCUAAGCUACUUGUUAUGGCUUAUUUAAAGUCGUUUGAUGUCAUGACUUCAUUUCUGGGUUUCUCUUCAUUCCUGCUUCAUAUUUUUAAUUGCAUAUCUUUGUCUGAAGAUUGAUUCUUUUAUCUUGUAGCUGAAGUAUAUCUCUAUCAAUGUAACUAUCAAAUAGAAAGCGGUUAAUCAUUUUCAUCUGAGAAAACACUCUUAUUGAUAACAAGCAAGGAAAUACGUUACUUGCUUCUAUAGCUUAUGAAAAAUCAUUAAUGUCUAAAACUAGAUUGGGAGUUAUUCUUCCAAUCAUGAUUUCUUAUUUUAGUUAAAUUAUUGUGUUACUGACUGUUGAUUUUUACGCUUUCUUUUGUAUCUUGUAUUUCAGUAUCUUUCAGUUAAAAUAUCUGUAAUGUAGAGAGGGAUUAUCCAUUUGUACUUUUAGACUUGAUGAAUAUGCAUUACACAAAUAGAACAGGAUAGCUAUUACUUUUUCCUUGAUGUGCUAAAUCUACUCACACCUUAGGCGUACUGCUAUCUAUUCACUAUUUGUUUAUUUAGGGCCUUUUCCUUAGUUGAUCCAAAGUCCUGUGUGCUAGAUUAACUUAUAUACUUGUUCCAUAGCUCGUAUAGUCUUGGAAGCCGCGCGGGCUGCUUUCAUAAACAAAUAAAAUAAGAUGAUUCAUAUUGUAACAUAUCUAGUAUGUGGAUCGCCUGAUUGCUCAAUUCUAACUAACCAACUAUGACUACUGUCAUAGUGCUAGUGAAAGUUAAUUAUAUUGUUUCAUUAUUAACCAAUGAUCUUGCCGGCCUCCGCCCAUCUUUACUUAUCCGAUCAUAUUUUUCUCGGUAUCUGCAGACUUUGCGGCCCUUUCCCUUAAAUUUGGGUUGCAAAAGUAAAUUUAGGAUUCAAAAAGUCUGAGAUGGGCUCAGUGCUCCUAGUAUGAAGAGAACUAGCCAGUUGACUGCUUGGUUGACUGCAAUUAUUAUAACAAUAGUAGAAACAGAGAAACCCCUUUUAAUUUCCUUAUCAUAUUAUGUCCAACCCUUUAGAGCUUCUUUUUAUUAAAUAAUUCUUUAGUUUAUAUGAAGUCACAUUAACUAUUGGCACAUGCAGAUGAUAUUUGGGAUUUAAUUGGAUCAUAAUACUUUUGUCGGGAGUAGAUAAAGCUACCAAAGAAUGGGGUUCAUACGUGUAUAAGAUAUAUAAACCUAGUAUCCUACUUGAAUCCCAUGGGAAAUUGAAAGGAGAAUGUAUAUUUUUGUACUCUGUAGGAUCAACUCAUUCCAACAGACACCUAAUAUACUAAUAAGUUUAAAAACUUGGUGAUUAUUUCUUACUUUGCAACCUUGGUUGUUUUUCUUUUUCAAUUUCUCAACUUAUGUAAAUGGUUGAUUAGCUUGUAUGUAUAACCUUAAUACAGCGUAUCUGUUGUUUUCUAACAAUAUAUGUGUACUUGGGACCUGUUGAUGCUCAUUAAGUUAUGUUGAAUUUGAAAGUGGAUAUUUGAAUUUAAAAUCUAAAUUUAAAAUCUUACGGUUUAAUUGUAAAUUUAAAAUUUCAAAACUUAAAAAUUUAAAUUAAAAAUCUAAACUAAAAUUUAAAAUUUUGAAUUUGGAAAAUUUUAAAUUAAAAUGUGAAGACUUAUGUUUGUGGAGAAAACAUGAAGUUGAAGAUGUUAGAAAGCAGUUAAACUCCGACAUUUCAACAUUUCAACAUUUUAAACUAUAUUUAUUAAUUUUUAUAUGACAAAAAUUGAAGAAGAAUAUAAAACUGACACUUAACACCUUCAAAAUAGGCGUCAAAAUAAUUAUGUAAUAGAUGACAAUGUAUUAUUUCUUAUUGUUACUGUCGCGCCCCCGCCCCGGAACCCCUACCAAUUUGGUCCGGUUCGGGCGCGGCGGACAGACGCCGAACGGACAGGACCUUCCCUGUCCGCCCAAGGCCAAACAACCUGAUCAAGUACAAUUAAGCGCCUAGGAAUUGCUUAAAUAACAUACAUGAUCAAAUACGAUGCACACAAGUGUAAUACAACUAAGAGCAAGAACCACAAGUAAUGUACAAGCAUAUAAAGAGAGGUAGUCUAACUAUUACAACCAUUCAAUAGUUACAUCAUUUGGUUACAUUACAUUUUCAUCUUCCAAAAUGUAAAUACAUGUUUUUUUUCUUUCCAAAAUACAUCAUAGCUCUCCAAUGCCUAUCCAAAAUAUACAUCUUUUAGUGCACGAGGGUACUCUAUAUGCAAAAAGGAAAGCUACAAACUACUCACUUAGGGCGCUAUGCCCUUGCCGCGAUCCUCGCUCGGCUCACCCCUGUGUGUACUUGUCCCCCAAAACCACACGAGGUGAGAACUAUAUAAAUAUAGUUCCCAGUGGGUUCGGCUGCCGACUCCGCCGGUUUUUCCACUAUGUCUAAGCAGGCACAGAUAGAGAGAUAGAUAGAUAGAUAGAGAAAUAAACUACAACUACUCUAUCAUGCCUCCAACAAUAGUAAUGAGAUUACUUAUGCAAUAACUACUAUCAUGCUGAUAUGAUGUCAAGAGUAUAUAGGGUACAUAGCAAUGUAAUCUACAACAUACACUAUGUCUACUCAAGAUAAUGAUGCAAUUCUACUUUGCCAUUUAUGUUUAUUACCCAAUCUACUUGGCUAACCCGUAGGUUAAGCCCUCGACUCACGCUCAAUUUCAUAGGUGAGGAGAAUCUGCACUCGCACACCGAGACCGUCUGCGGGACAACUACGUCUGCCCCUAGUGAAGUAUUCCGGAGACUCGUGCCACGGUGGAGCGACCACCGACAGCGAAAACAGACUAGUGAGUAUGAUCCAAUCCUCACGAGAGGAUACCCUAUCUACAAGGGUCAGAGUUCCUCUGCUGUACCAUAUACAAUGCAUCCUAGAUGCCAGGAUCUCUACCAUCCCUAGAACCAUGUCACAUUUACUACUCUAGACCUGAUGCCACUCGUUCGAUCAUUGUAGUAAGUUUUCUAGCUAGUUGACAUGCCACUCGUUCAUGUUUAGUGUUUCUACUACACUAGUUCAAUGCUACUCUACUAGGCUAUGUCCAAGUUCGGCUCUUUAUGUCAUUAUAGGAUUCUCAUGCCACAAGACCCAAUCCUCAUGUUACCCUAGUCCAUGUGUUCGACUCAUAAGUUACACUAUUAAGAAGCAUGCAAGGAAAAGAAAAUAUACAUCUAUUAAUCUUAUAAUGUAAUAUGAUCAACAUAAGUAACUUAGACAUAAAAGGAAACCUGAAUGCUUCGGGAUGGACACCCCCCACCUCUUGAGGAUAUGGAGGCUUUAGAAAUGCCCUCCAACGAACGUUACGAUGACGUCUCGGCCUCUUAGGUCGAAAUGAAGCUUGGUUGGCCUCGUUUCGCCAAUAUCUUUUCGCCCGCUCGACGAAUCGAAAAUCCGACUUCGCCCUUGCGUUUAGACACCUCUAUGUUAGCUUCAAAGAGAGAAGAGAGGAAGAGGGAGAGGUCCAAAAGCCUUCCUAGCUUGAUCUCCUUCUUCUUCUCCUUCCUUUUCCUCCUUUUUUUCCUUCUCUUUUCUUCUUCUUCCUCUCCUUUGUUCUUUCCUUUCUAGAGAGAGAGAAAGGGAGAAAGAGAGUGUAUGAGGGAGAGAGUGGAAUGAGAGAAUGAGAGGGAGAGAGGGACCCAUAAGCCCUCUAAUGUAACAAUAUCCAGCUGGCCCCCUCAACUUUUAAUCCUCUGCACAGCCCUCACUGGGUAGUCUGCGUGCGGAGGGAACGGUCUCCCCGACCUGGGACCGGUCCCCGAGAUUGGGACUUCCAGGACUUAGCCAAUUUCUGGCUUUUCUCGCUGGGCUCGCGUUCGGGGACCGGUCCCUCCCUUCCAGGGACCGGUUGCAUCAAGAAUCCCUGUAACCCCCAGCCUCGGGGUCCGGUCUCUCCCUGCCAGGGACCGGUCCCCGAGAGCAACUUUUGCCCAGUGUAGGUUUUACACUAUUGCUCUCGUGGACUCGACUCUAAGGCUCUUUUGGUGAUGUAGACCUCUUCGGCCUUUCCGAAGGUCACCAACACGACCCUUGGUCGUUUCUAAACGAAGUCUAACCCUCGUAUUCGAGAAUUCACUUCCUCACAGUUACGCAGCGAAUGCAUGUUACUUCUUUAAAAGGGAGUUAAAACUCCUACAUUUCAGCAUUUUAUACUAUAUUAAUUAAUUUUUAUAUGAUAAAAAUUGAAGAAAAAUAUAAAAUGGACACUUAACACCUUUAGAACAGGUGUUCCAAAUAAUUAGUAGAUGACAAUGUAUUAUUCUUAUUGUCAGGCAAUGAAUGCAUGUUACUUCAGCAGAAAGUGAAUAAACACCUAUAUAGUGAAAAAGAAAUUAAAGCAUGAAGCAGGUUCACCACGCCACCGUAGACCAACCACUUAAUUCAUCCAUGGUAUCUCUUUAAACCUCUAACUUAAUUUUAAAGUUAUAAAAUAUUAAAUUAUAAAUUACUACUAUGUAACUCGUGAACCAAUCAGUAAUUUAAGUACUUUUUGGGUCCGGUCACUAUACGAUGACUCCCCCCCCGCCACCGUAGACCAACCACUUAAUUCAUCCAUGGUAUCUCUUUAAAUCUCUAACUUAAUUUUAAAGUUAUAAAAUAUUAAAUUAUAAAUUACUACUAUAUAACUUGUGAACCAAUCAGUAAUUUAAGUACUUUUUGGGUCCGGUCACUAUACGAUGACUCCCCCCCUCCCCCUACUGUUAAUUUCUAAACUAUGUAAUGUUUGAUAACUUAUGUAUAAAAAUGUUUGGAUUAGAAAAAUUAUUUUUAUGCAUAAGUAGCUUCAAUUAUCUAACUUUUUAAGCUGGUCUAUGAUUCAUUAGGCUCACCAAAAGUUUCGAAAGGAGAAUUCAUUUUCAUCACGUAAGUGAGAAAAAAUAAAAAAGUUGAAUGAACUGAAUGCAUAAAUAUAUUCUAUAAAUUACACGUAAUAUUUAAUAAUUAAUAUUUAAAAAUAAAAUAUGAUAUGAUAUAUGUGAUAUACAAUAUUUAAAUAACUUGUAGUACAAAAUUUUUUUUUUUAAUACAUUUUAGAAUUGGUCUACAAUAGAUUGGGUGCAUGGAAAAUGUUGAUGAACACAUCUUUUUUUUUUUUUUCUCUGUUGACACUCUUAAUGAAUGAAGGAAACAAGGAAGUGGGAGAGGUGCACGUGUCGAAAUGACAAGCUCUCCCACGCCCUUUAAUGAAUAUUUGUAGAUAUAGAUAUCAAGUUAGUGCUCAGGCACGUUGAAUUAAAUUUUGCGUCAACACAGAGGAGAAACUAGGAUUUCAACAACAUUUUUGGCUUGGUUUAGUUUGUACUCUGAAUAACUUGGAGCCGUAAUUUGUCGUGCAUAUAUUAUCUGUGCUUUCUUGUACUAGUAUUUUGCUUUUGUUGUGCAUGUCUUUUGCCUCACUUUGUUGUGUGAAUAUUUUUUCAUUGAGAGAAUUCUUUUCCUAGAGCCCAAAUCUAAAGACUAAAUUCCAAGUGGAGUAAGUUUCCUUUUCUCUUCCUUUGUUCUUCCUCUGCUUUGCAACUUCCUUGGUACCUAAUUACUCUGUAUUGUUGUUGGUGGGUCUUUCCUCUUCCAUUCAAGUCCUUGGCUGUUGCAUAAUCUUCUCCUCCUGUCCUCUGUUGUGUCAUCGCAAGCCAUAUAUUAUGCCCACAAAUGUGAACACUAUUCGAAGGAUAGCUACGACCGGGUUGUUUUGUCAUGCAAAUUAUCAAGAGUUGAAGGCCACAAUUGAAGGAUUGAGCAUGGGGUGGCCACACCGUUCUGAAUAAUAUCUAUUUUGUCACCAUUGUUGUCAUUCUUUUGUUGCUUCCUCAUUCUCUUUGAAACCUGAAAAAUGUUUUCCAAAAAGUUCUUUGUACUAGACACAUCUAAUCACAAUAAGUAGCUACUUCUUCCGUUGAUUACUUGGAGAAGUAUAUUGGUAGGCUUCAUUACUUCCAUUGUCGAAUUUGCAAUUUAAUUGUUCAAUCCAUGUUUCAGUUUUUCUUGCAUUGCUUGUUGGCUAGAUUACAAACUUGGGAAAGUACUAGCCGGACUUUCGACUAAUAAUAGUACAAUAAUUGGUAUUUAUUCAUUUGAUGCGCAAUUGUAAUUAGAUUUAAGAAAGCAUUUAGUCAAAUAGGUAAUUGUCAUCUAAUGAUUUUGAAUUUUGGAUGAAGCUAUGUCGUUGGAGCAAAACAUCUCAUUUUGGUUUAGUGCGUCAUAACUAGUGUCUCAAACCAAUUUGAAUAUGGAACAAUUACUUUUUCUUAAUUACAAUUACUCCAAAGAAAAGAUUUAACUUUAUACAGUCGGCCCAAAUAAGCAAAACCUGCCUAUAAGGCAAAGUUUGAUUCAGUUUUGAUAAAUUUGUCAUACUUCAUCUCUUUUACUAAAGGGCAAUUGGAAGUUUUUCUUUGCCUUUUGGAAUAAUAGAAGUAUUAUGCUUCACUUUAGUGCAAAACAUUUGGUGAAAUCUAGUUUUAUUAUGAUUACUUGAGCUCUCUUAGAGAGAGCGAGAGAGAGAGAGAGAGAGAGAGUCCGGCUUGAGUUGUUUCGAAAGCAUGGAAACCUCCAUGCUUUCAAGUUGUUUUCGAUGAUGAGACUUUUGUAUCGACGUCCGGGUCCGUUAGACUUGAUCUUAGUGUAUUUCAUAUACCUGGGAAACAAAUUUCACGAUUUUUCGAUAUCAUUUACCUAGUGACCGAAAGGGCUCGAAAUCAACAAUUGUAAUAGUUAAGGUGAUCCAUUUGCAAGUUUAACGGUGUAAAAAUAUCCAACUUAGGCAAAAUUUUGAUAGAAAAUUUCUUAUACUAUAUAAAACAAGAUCAAUAUCUUUGAUCUAAAAUUUCAUAUGAUCAUUAGUUUCUAUGAGAUUUUGUGAGAGAUAUAACGCUCAAAUUUUAUAUCAAAGAUAUUGAUGCUGUUUUGUAAAGUACAAAGAAUUUUCUAGCAAUAUUUCACUUGAUUUGGAUGUUUUUACACCGUUAAACUAGCAAAUGGUCACCUCAACCAUUAAAAUUGUUGAUUUUGAGCCCCUUAAUUUUUAGGUAAAUGUUAUUGAAAAUCGCAAAAUUUGUUUUUCAAGUACUUCAAAUAAUCUAGAUCAUCUAAGGGAGUUGAUCGCUAAUUCAAAAGUCCCAUCGGAGGCCUCCAUGUUUUUGAAAUCAUACUAGCCCAAUUAUAUAUAUAUAUAUAUAUAUAUAUAUAUAUAUAUAUAACUAGGCUGGAAUACUAUCAAUAGCACCAAGCUAUUGGUGCUAUUAAUUUUUUAUCCCUUGGAUUGAGAAAUGUGUGGUUAGGAUGAUGUGGGCCCCCUAGGGUUGAGUGAGUGGUUGGUUGAAUAGUAUAAUCUAACGGGUAAAAUUAAUCAAAGGGUUAAAUCUAACAGUAAAAAAGUUGAUAGCACCAAAUCCUUGGUGCUAUUGAUAGUAUCCCAGUCGGACUAUAUAUAUAUAUAUAUANCUCUCUCUCUCUCUCUCUAUAUAUAUAUAUUAUAUAUAUAUAUAUGUAUAUGUGUAUGUAUUAUAUAUGUAUAUGUAUAUGUGUAUGUAUUAUAUAUGUAUAUGUAUGUGUGUAUUUGUAUAUGUAUAUAUACAUAUACGUAUGUAUAUAUGUAUACAUAUAUGUAUAUAUGUAUGUAUGUAUGUAUGUAUGUAUGGGGUUUAGGGUAAUAUAUGUAUGUAUAUAUGUAUAUAUAUAUAUGUAUGUAUGUAUAUAUAUAUAUGUAUGUGUGUAUAUAUCUAUGUAUAUAUAUAUAUAUAGAGAGAGAGAGAGAGAGAGAGAGAGGGAGGGAGCAGAACUGCUGUGCUCUUAGUAGCACGGAGGCCUUCGUGCUCCUGAGCCAUUUUCGAUGAUGGAAUUUCCGAAUCGACGAUCGGCUCCGUUAGACUUGAUCUAGCGUAUUUAAAGUUUCUAGAAAAUAAUUUUUACGAUUUUUCGAUAUCAUUUACCUAACAAUUGAAAGGAUUUAGUAUCAACGGUUGAAAAUAAAAAUCCUAUAAAAAAUAGUGAUAUAGCACUAAAAUUUUCGAUUAGAGAUAUUGAUCUUCUUGUAGAUAGUAUAAAGAAUUUUGUGUCAAAAUUUCAUCUGAUUUGAAUGCUUCUACACCGUUAAACUUGAAAAUGGCAGACAUCAACCAUUAAAAAUGAUUGAUUUUGAACCCUUUCGAUCACUAGGUAAAUGAUAUCGAAAAAUAGCAAAAAUUAUUCUUCAGAAACUUUAAAUACGCUAUAUCAAAUCUAAUGGAGCCAAUCGUCGAUUCGGAAAUUCCAUCAUCGAAAACGGCUCAAGAGCAUGGAGGCCUCCAUGCUCCUAAGAGCACAUCAGUCCUGCUCUCUCUCUCCCUCUCUCUCUCUCUCUCUAUAUAUAUAUAUAUAGACCAAUUGCACCAAGCUAUUGGUGCUAUUAGGUUUUUAGCUCGUAGAUGAAAAAAUGUACGGUUAGGAUGAUGUGGGCCCCCUAGGGUUGAGUGAGUUAUUAAUUUAAUAGUAUAAUCUAACGGGUGAAAAUAGUCAAAGGGUUAAAUCUAACGGCGAAAAACUUGAUAGCACCAAACGCUUGUUGCUAUCGAUAGUAUCCCAGGUGGACUCUCUCUCUCUCUCUCUAUAUAUAUAUAUAUAUAUAUAUAUAUAUAUAGAACGAGGCUACUAUACUAUCUAUAGUACCGGAGCUCUGGUGCUAUAGUCUCGUUUUCGAUCUUUGGGUGUUCAAAUCAACGAUCCAGACCAUUAAAUAUGAUCUAGGGUAUAUGAAGUUCUUAGGAAUAAAAUUUUAAUUUUUUUUUACAACUUUUACUUAGUAAGUAAACAAUGUCAAAUAUGAAUGGUAGAAAUUGAACAAUCUUAAAUUUGAGGAUAAACUUUUGAAUUCAAGAUCAAGGAUGCUGACCUUGAUCUAGAUAGUUAAAAGUAUUUUCCAUCAAAAUUUGAAUAAAUGUAGAUUCUUCUACACUGUUAAACUAUAAACUCGCCAUAGUAGCCAUUGAAAAUUGACAAUUUUGAAAUGGUUUGAUCAUAAAGUAAACUAUGUCUAAAAAGUAUAAAAUUUAAUUCGUAAAAACUUCAAAUACCCUAGAUUAGUUUUAAUGGUGUGGAUUGUUAAUUUGAAUAUUUUAAGAUUGAAAAUGAGACUAGUACCGGAGCUCUGGUACUAUACAUAUUAUAGGAGCCUAGCUCUCUCUCUCUCUCUUUCUAUAUAUAUAGAGUCCGGCUACUAUGUUAUCAAUAGCACCAAGCUCUUGGUGCUACCAAGUUUUCCGCCAUUAGAUCUACCCUUUUGACCAUUUUCACCCGUUAGAUCAUACUAUUCAAUCAACCACCCACUCAAUCCUAGGGGACCACUAUCAUCCUGACCGCACAUCCCUCAAUCAAAGGGCCGAAAACCUAAUAGAUGGAAAAUACUUUAAACUAAAUAGAUCAAGGUCAAAAUAUUAAUUAAUGAAUGGCUAUCCUCAAAUUUAAGAUAGGAAUCUUAAAUUUGAACAAUCUUAAAUUUAAGAUAGGAAUCUUCCCCAUCAAGUGAACACAAAAAUGAAUGGUUGAAAAUGAAUAUCCUCUAAAAAGUGAUGACAGGAAUCUUGUAAUCAAGAUCGAGAGUAUAGAUCUUGUUCUAAAUUGUUUAAAAAAUUUUCUAACCAAAAUUCAAUUGAUUUGGAUAUCUUUACACCGCUAAACGAGAAAACGCCUUAUAUUGACCAUUAAAAUUACAAAUUUUAAAACCCUUUGAUCAUUAGGUCAAUAAUGUCGAAAAAAUUUGAAAUUUAGUUUCUAGAUACUUAAGUGGUAUAGAUAAUAUUCAACGGUGCUGAUCUUCGAUUUGGAUGCUUCAUCAUCGAAAAUAAAUGGGUAGCAACGGAGCUUGUUUGCUACUGAUAGUAUUCCAGCUCAACUCUCUCUCUCUCUCUCUCUCUCUCUCUCUCUCUCUCUCUCUCUCUAUAUAUAUAUAUAUAUAUAUAUAUAUAGAUAUAUAUAUUUAUGGGGAAAGGGGAGGGAGAGAGUCCAACUAGAAUACUUUUGGAUGCACGGAGGAUACCACAUAUUUGAAAGCGUUGAGGUUUUUCGACCAGCUUCUAAAUCAAACUUGAUGUUGUUGAAACUCUAAUAAGUAAUUCAAACUUAAAUCUUAGGAGGUUGGAUAGACAUUGAUUUUGAGAAUUAUAUUUUUAUGUGCAAUUGACAACCCUAUUUACACACUUCUUUGAGCCAUUAGAUUUGGAAACAUGUUGUGAAAAUGCAGGAAGAAGAAUUCAUAGGAUUCAAAUACUAUAGAUUUUGACUACCAACAACAUAACAAAGCGAGAUCAAUUUUUGAAACCAAGCAUAGUUGCCUCAUUUGAGCUGUAUUUUUGGUUUUCCUUGUACAGUGAAAUAAAUUAUUGAGAUAAAUUUUCCCUUGAAGAGGUUGUCAACUCUUUUCACGCUGGGCGACUAGUUUGAAAAGUUUUUUUUUUCCCCUGAAAAGCUCUAGGUUUUUUUUUUUCUUUUUUGACAACUCAGUAAUGCAAUUCAAACUUUGGUCAAGGCGUGAACAGAUUCAUCACAUGCAGUGUGAAUUUCUGUCCACAAACAGUAUCUCCUAUACAUGCACGGCAUUUGGAUACUAAGGCUGCGUUAGGUUCGGGUAUAAGUAAGAACUGCUUAUUUUAGGGAUAGGUACAAGUUCAGGUAUAAGCAUGAACUAGGCCAAUUUUGCGUUUGGAUGAGAAUUGAGUUGUUUCUGAGAAUAAGGUAAAUAGUAUUUUGAUGGUUAGAUUGAAACAAGAGGAAUAAGAAUUAUAAUUUUAAACUAAAUAGAUUGGAACAUUAGGAAUAAGAGUUAUAAUUUUAAAUUAAAAAUAUUUUAUCUAAUUAAUUAACGUCAAAAUAUUAAUUAAAAAUAAUUUAAUAAAUUAAUAAAUUCAUUAGCUAUGAAUAUUGUAUAAGACAAUAAAAAUAUAUUAAUUAAUUAAUUAAAUAUAAAGUGUGAUUUAACUUUUUAAUUAGUUAGUAAAUUAUUUUAGUUAGAUAACUAGUAAAAAAAAUUAAUUAGAUUAAUAGAAAUAUUAAUGAUUGAUCAAUAUAAAUAUUAGUUUAUGGAUAAACACAUUAAAUUAUUAAUAAUUAAUCAUCUAAUUAAUUAUAAAUAAUAAUUUAAUUAAUUACUUUAUUAUUUAAGCAAUGGAUAAUGAUUUAAAUAUAUUAACUAGAUUAAUUAAUAAUAUAAUACCAUAAUUAAAAUUAAAUUUAUACUUUAAUUAACCUUGUUCCCACGUGGGAACAAGCUUGUUCCAGAGAAAAAGAUGGAACAACAGUUCCAGCUUUAUACCGAAUUAUACAAGCUUAUUCUAGGCACUCGAGAACUAUUGUUUUUGGGUGCUAAACACAGCGCUUGGGAACAAAGUGGGGAACAAGGGCUCUUAUCUCUACUUUUGUUCCUGAACCAAACGCCACCUAAGGAUACAAAAUAUUUGACCCAGAAAGUAUGUAAGACUUCAUACCAUAACCACGUCAUUUAAUCAAUAGUACAAUUGUACAAGACUCACAUAACUUAUUCUGUAGUAGUGGUGGUGAUUUUUUCCCCCAAAACCGCACUAACAUAAAUCCCUCCAUUUCUCUGCAGUACAACAAACAUAAUCCCACUCGUAUCUCAGCAAUCAAAACAAUAUUCUCUAAUUUUUAUUUUUAUGAAACCAUUUUGAGAACAACGAUCGAUGCAGAAGACUUACAAUUACAUUUUUAAACGAGAAAAGCCACUGGAGUACUUUGAAAGCAAACCGAAAAUCAUCACAUAACCAUCAAAUUACAGAUUGUCACAGUAUAGGCGUCACAGACAUGGACGCGGUCACGAACAUGGACAUGAGAUACGAGAUACGACACGAUUUGAGCAUGGCGAAUAGGCAGCUUCCAAAAGUUAGGACACGAACACAGUAUGUACACCGCUAAUAAAUAUAAUUAUAUUAAUAUUAUAAUAUUAUUAUAUAUAUUCGAUAUUAAUUUUGCUAAAUUAUUGUUAUAUUUUUCGUGCGAAUGAAAGUUAAUAAAAUUUUCAUUGAUAGUUCAUAUAUUUUAAGGAAAGAAAUUCUCUGCCAUACAAUUUAUAUUAUCCAAAAAAAUUUGUACAUAUUAAUAAAAAAGCCAACUAUCUAUUGUCUUAUAUAAUUUAUGGAUAAAAAAAGCAAAAUAAUAUAUAUGUAUUAUGUAUUAUUUUAAUGGAAUGCCGUGUCAAACAUGCGUCCAUGGCGUGUCCGCAUCGGGCACGAGUCUGAAAUGGACGCGUGUCUGACACAGACACGAGAGACUUAUAGAAGUAACCGUGAUAUAUAGUCACAACACAUAAUGAUAGUUCUGUAAUAGUCAUCCAAGCAUAAACCAUAGUAACUAGAAAUAAACAAGUAUCAGAACUAGACUAUUUGGGAACUCCCCAAGCACCAGGAUUGAGCUAAGAUGCGAUCUAACUUUCGUGUCCUAACACUGUGUCCUGCGCCCCACCACCCGGAGUACCUGUAAAAAGGGGGGUGGACGAGAAACAUACAAGUUGUUUUUCAGUGAGUACAAUGCGGGUCGAGGGCAAGUUGCAUCUACUAGUAAACAUUAUAGGUAUACGAAGGCAAAGUAGCAGGAACAGUAAGCAUAGGUACGGUAAUCAUAAUAGCUGAAACUAAAAUGAAAGUUGUGCUACUGUAGAAAGAAUUGAGCAUCUAAAAUUAUCAUGGCAAGGUAUUGAUCUAUCAAUUGGAUAUGCAUCAAAAGACUUGAGGGAAUCAACACCCAAUCAUCACUCACUAUCACAGAUCUCGGCCAGCCCACUGUCACAUGGAUUUGAGGCAAGUGUGCAGCAGCCAGUGUUUGAAAAGGCGCAAGGCGCAAAAAGGCGCAAAGGCCUUAUGGAGCCUAGGCGUGAGGCGCAUUGUGAGGCGUGUGCCUCAAGAACGUGAGGCGCAUAUCUAAUAAAAAAUAAAACACUCUUAACAAGCCUAUUUUAAAUAAAUGUUUUAUGUUAAAAUAUUCUAAAAUAGCUAUACAAAAACAAAAUAACCAUAAAAAAGUAAAAAAAUCGUAUGCAUAAAUGUUCUCAGCCUAAAAAUAAAGAAAUUAUGUUUCAACUUUCAACUUAAAAGUGCUUGCUGCUGCUUCUUGCUUCUUGUCGCUGCUACUUAUUGCCAUUGGGGGGUGGAAAAGAGAAUGACUAAGAGAAAAGGGAAAAAAAUGUUCAAGUAGAAAUUUACUUGAAAUUUUUUUAAAAAAAUUCUCAACAUUUUAGAAUAUAUUGAAGAAACUCAAAACCCGAAAACCCAAACCCUAGACACAUUAAAAGUAAAUAUCAUGAGGCGUGUCUGAGGCGCGCGCCUCACUCCUUGAGACGAGGCGUGUCUGAGGCGCGCGCCUCACUCCUUGAGGCGUCGAGACUCGCGCCUUGCGCCUAGGCGUUGAGGUCAGGCGCGCGCCUUUUCAAACAUUGGCAGCAGAUAACAUGUAUCUCGUCAUAUACAAACCUAGGCUCACGGUUUUCGAAAAAGAGCAUCAUUGGCCUGGGGGUGGAUCAGACUUUUGCAUCGGUGUUUGCAAAAUGUGCAGCAAGCAGCGGCGAUGGCCAUAUGCGACAUGCUCAAUUUAUACUGUCCAACAACGAUUGAUCAGCUGAGAAACUCCAAGGAGUGUCAACGAGUUCAAGCAGAGCUAUAGGUCAUAUGUAUGUGUCCGAUAACAAAUAAGAUACUCAAAGGCUCUACAUCUCAUGACAUCAUACAAGGCAGUAUGGCAUAUACGAAUAAACAGCAGGCAUGAAACCAACUAGAUAAUAACAAUAACAGAUGUAAGCUAAUAUGAACAUGUAUAGUAGGUGUGAGUAAACGAAUCAUAAUAUUGUAAGGAACAGGGAAGGGAAAACCGAAUAGGCUUACUACAUCGACACUAGAUCGAAGUGCCCACCUCAAAUUUGUGUACUUUAGUCCUCGACUCGACUAGCCUCUCUUGUUAUCGCUGGAAUCUAGACUAAUCAUAUAAAUGUCAAAACCUGUUCCUAAGUGUAAAAUCGGCUAUAGAACGACUCAUUUGGGUUAAAACUCCCAUAAUAUGGCUUCCGAAACCCACACCGGAGCUGUAACCACAACUUGGUCAAUUGGCUAAUCCUUAGGCAUCUCUAUAGCCCCUAGACUGUCUCGAAAGGCAUUGCAAAGUGUGAGUGGAUAGCAGCGCAUAUCGCGCUCUAGACCGAAGACUACGGCCUCGUAUCAUGCCGUAAUAGGUUCCAAUUUACAUCGAUUUUGGCGUAGGAGCCACUUCUAAAAUUGUCCUGCUGGUGGUUACGACCAACAAGGACCUAUGAAACAACCUUCAAUGUGUUUCGGAGUUCAUAAGGACCAACUGCACCGUGCUGUGGAGAUAAAUCUCCUCGGUAAGCCCUGAAACUGCUGUUUAUAGCUUCGCCACUGCGGGGCAGUAAAACAAUUCACGUUUAGCCCUGAGAGGUUGAUUUCACACGUAACACAACGCCAACGAAGCCUCAGCUACCGGCGAGCGCGAUCAAGAACUCCUUGCUGAUCGGUUUGGCCAUAACGACCCGAAAAAGACAUUCCGGUACUGUUUUGGUGUUGAAACAUGCACGAAAUCACGUUCAGCCUAGUAGGGGUCUCUGACUCAAGUUUUGAUGUGUUGGGAUAGUGAGAGAAUCACAAUGCGUGACCGCAGCCAAUGGUGCGUCCGAAUCAAAUGGCACUAGGCAGCACAAACGUUCUGAUCAGCCCCUUGCAGUCUCUUGCUCACCAUUUUGAUGAGCCAGGAUAGCGAACGACGAACUAAAAUGGAUAGCCACUGGGAUAAUUGUGACUGAUGAAUCACACGAUCAGUUGCAGAUUACCUUGCCAUUGGAUCCGUGCCUCAAGACUCUACCAUUGGGACUUGGUCAGGAGAAUUUACUGUGGUCAUCUCUACCCACCUUUGUUCAUUCUAACCCCAACGAGCCAUGACAAGGCUGAAUUUAUUAGAAGAACCCGUUGUUGGUUAGAAAGACCGGGACCUGGGAAACAUGCUUGAUGCAUUUUGACAUCCUAUAGCUUCGGCAUAUCGCUUAGCCCCGUUCAUCUUCGGCACAAGAGCGCUCGAUCAGUGAGCUAUUGCGUACUCUUUCAAGAAUGACUGCUUCUGGGCAAACCUCUUGGCUGGCUCUGCAUACCUACCUCUUUUAUGACUGAGCGGUCAUUUAGGGGCCUUAGCUGGUGAUCAGGGCUGUUUCCCUCUCGACGAUGAAGCUUAUCCUCCAUAGAGUGGGACAGCAAGAACACAUUCACGGCCAGCUACAACCAGUGGCUCGCUAAAACCCAUCUCGAAAUUCCAAUUCUCGUCAAAAAAGCAUCAGAUUUCUGCGCACAGCUCAGUCUCCAAAGCGCAUAGUAUAGCACACGCGUAUCCUUCAACCCCUAAAGGAUCUUGAUCAUUGAAAGCACGAUCAAGAUGCACCUCAGCCUGCACUAGGCCCACACGUCACAACCCGAACAACAACCAAUGCCCAAAAACAUCCGAUUGCAUGUAAAGUAAACGAAAUGACGGUGGUGGGAGAUCGUUACCUCGAUUCGAUGUAAAUAAGUGGACUUGGAUAUGGAGGGGGUUGUUUUGUUCAGAUCCAAUAGGGAGACGCACGUCCUUUUGGGUCGUCGGAUAUCGUGACUAAAGGGAGGCUCUGCUUGGGCUUUCUUUUUUCUCUACUGCAUGUUGGAGAUGCGGUUGGAUAGAGGGCUGCUGGGAUGAAGGCGGCGGCCGGGAUGGCUCACUAGCGUCGAGCCACUUGAAUGGAGGUGCGGCUUAGCCGAACCAUGCCGAGAGAGAGAAAAAGAGGGAAAGACGGCCGGGAUGGGAGCCACUUGGUUAUGUGUUGGUGACUUGGCUGUGCGUGUGCUCUGUCGGUGUUGGAAAGCCCGAGGAAAGCCUGUUUGGUCUGGGUUGAGUCGGGAAUGAUAGGACUAGAGAGAGAGGGGGAGAAGGAUUUGGUUGGGGGGGGGNGGGGGGGGGGGGGGGGGGGUGGCGGCUAGGGUAAAAACCCUAGGAUUUUGUCUGCUCUCUAAAGCUGGGGUCAUAACAAUUGGGUGAUCACCUUUGGCUUCUUAGUGCUGUGCCAACAUGCCCCUCUCGUAUGUUAAAAUUACACAAGAGUCCUCUCAUAGCGAAGAUGGACGAGGAAUCCUCUAGAAUUCGAACUUCCACCGCAACCCAAAAUUGCGCAUGUGUAGGGCGAAUUCCAAAUUUCGUAGUUUCACAAUCAGAAUUCUAAUCUCGAUGAAACUUAGUUUACUGUGUUCAUCUCUGUGUGUACUUGUGUGUAGGACUUCUGUUUUCAAAAAUUUCAAGAAAAGUCACAUGAAAUGAUUACUCGAUCACAGUGAGAUCCUAUUUCCAAGUUUUGUUUGUGUUGCAACGAAAAAUCCCAAAACCCUCCUAUUUGUAGUAUUUGAUGCAUCAAAUAAAACUUUUUUUAAUUUUUGAAUGCAAUUUUCUUUUAUUUUGUAAAUUCGUGUUUGAUUCAAGCUUAAAUCAUUUAGUUUUAAUUGGUUUGGCUGACCCAAACUCCUUUUCUCCAAUAAACACGGAAACAAAUCCAAAAAGACCUUUCAGCUUCCCAAUAUUGCCUUGUCUUCUAUGCAUGACCCUUGGGGGGUCGUGUUGUGUUGAAAACGAAAAGAUAAGAAUUUAUUAUCGGAUAGGCUCUUUACACUAGAAAUGCUUGGUUUUUGAUACUUUGAGGAGCAGAUUUGAUGAAUAGAAAUUUUACAUUUAUUCAUAUCCCUUGCAAUGGUGUUCUUCUUUUUGGUGUGAGCAUUGACACUUCUUCCUUGCACUGAGAUCGUCUUCGUCAACUUGAUCAUUGUCGCUUCUUGCUGGUGGCAAGAUUGGCUUCUGCUCUGGCCCUCCUUUUCUUUUGGGUUCCUGACUCUUUUUUUUCUUCCUCGUUGCCAAAGUUCUACUAAUGGUAUAUCGCUCUCGUAGAUCAUGGAUCCCCCGCAAUCGUGCGAUUGGUGCACUUCUUAUAUCUUCUCUCUCAUCUCUUGAUAUCCAAUUAGCCCUUUCAAUCUAGCCUUCCAUGAUAAUCAACCAUUUUUGCUAAAACAGCCAAAUCUAAAAGUUUUAAGUCCAAUAAAACCGAAUUUGCUUCUUUGGAAAUGUGAUAUGUUUUUUUAAUUGCUUCUUAUUAUCUCAUAUAUUGAAGGUUUCUCCCUAUCUUAGUAUUGCUUUAGUUUGAUUUUAAUUUUCCGUCUUGCUGAAAUUUUUUUUUUGCUUCCUCGCUUUACUUUAAUUUCAGUAAAGUUCACAAAAAAUCAAUAAAUUGAACCUAGUUUAUUUUAAGAAAUACCUUUAAACGAAAACAAAGUUGAAAAUUCAGAUAUGGCUGCUCUUCGGUUUGCAUCAAUUGGUAUCAGAGCAGGUCAGAGCAGGUUCUUUUCGUGGGAACAUUUGUUUUGAUCUAAACAAUUAUUCUUUGGUGCUGAAGUUUCUCUUUCUUCUUCUUCCUUUUGGGCCAAAAUAUUAAAAAAAACAAAAAACAACAUCCCUUCAUUGAUCAAUUUGGAAGCAUUUGAUAAUGGCAGAUAAUAGUGAAAAUUCUUGUGAUUGGAGAGAAGAAUAUGAGAAACCACAAGAUUCUAUGAGAAACAUAUAAAAUCAAAUAAAUAACAUUCAAUAACUGUUAGAAAGAUUAACUAUGCAAUAACAAUAUGCGGUGGGAGAAGAUUGAGAGAGUGACACAGAUUUUGACAAUUGUACUUUACCUGCGAAAAGAAAUCCUUUUUUUCAAAAUCAAGGAAAUAUACUUCGAUGGUAUCAGGGCAUUGAAAUAGACGUGAAUGAGUUCGAGGGUAAAUUACAACCUGAAAAAAUUGUGGAGUACACAAAAUGGAACAAAAUUUUGAAUGUAAAAAAUUACUUAGAAAAGAAAGUUCAAUUGAAAGGUCAUGGCUUAGUGUGGUGGAAACAAAUUCAAAACGAUAGGGUUAGAAAGGGUAAGGAAAAGAUUACCUCCCGGGAAAGAAAACUUGAUAGCGCUAUACAUGACCUUGGUAAUUUGAUCAUAGCGCUAUACAUGAUGGUAGGGAGAACACUUACAUAGUCAUAAAGGACCAAAAAGGUUAGAUUGGUUCCCCUGGUGAGAAUUGAUGUCACAAAUAAUUUUUUUUUAAUUUUUGAAUGCAAUUUUUUUUAUUUUGUAAGUUUGUGUUUGAUUCGGGUUUUAAUCAUUUAGUUUUAGUUGGUUUAGCUAACCUAAGCACCAUUUAUCCAAUAAAUAUAGAAACAAACCCAAAAAGACCUUUCAACUUUUCAAAAUCACCUCGUCUUCUAUGCACGACACUUGGGUGAUCGUAUUGUGUUGAAGAUGAAAGGACACGAUUUUAUUAUAGGAUUGACUUUUAACAUUAUACAUGGUUCUUCAUGCUCUAAGGAGCAUAUUUGAUGAAUAGAAAUUUUUAAUCUUAUUCUUUAUCCUUGCCAUGGUGUUUUCUUCCCGGUGUGAUCAUCGACGUUUCUUCCUUGCGUCUAUAUAGUCUUUCUCAACUUGAUUGUUGUCGCUUCUUCCUCGUGGCAAGAUCGGCUUCUCCGACCUUUCCUCUUCUUUCGGGUUGUUGCCUCCUUUUCUUAUCCUUGCCGAAGUUCUACUUGUGGUGUACCGUCCUCCUCGCCGAUCGUGGAUCCCCGGCAAUCGUGUGAUCGAUGCACUUUGUGUAUCUUAUCUUAUCUUAUCUCAUCUCCUGAUGUCCUAUUAUCCUUUUCAAUUUAAUCUUCCACAAUUACCAACUGUCUGCCAAAACAAUUAAAUCUAAAAGCUUAGAGUCUGAUAAAACCAAAUUUAUCUUUUUGGAGUUACUAUAUGUAUUUUCAAUUGGUUGUUGUUAUCUCGUAUAUUGAAGGUUUAUUUCCAUCUUAGUAUUUCUUCAAUUUGAUUUUAAUUUUCUGUCUCGUUGAAUAUUUUUUUCUUGCUUCCUUGCUUUAACUAAAGCUCGUCAGAAUCGAAUUGCAUCUAAUUUAUUUCAAGAAAUAUCUUUAUAUGAAACAAAGUUGAAAAAUUCAGAUUUCGUAACCCUCGAUUUGCAUCAGUAUCACUCAGAUUUCACAGCAGGCACCAAGAGUACUAGAGACCGUCAAUUGCCGCACAAAACUUGUAUUAAAGGAGUAAAAAUUACAUUAGGUCUAUCUGUUAUUAUAACAACAUAAUGAUGCUUCUCUAUGGAUUGGAUAAACUGUAAUUUGCCUUCUGUGCCCUUGCAUCCAACUCCCUUUCAUAGCAAAUAUCUGGUCUUGUUGUUUCAAAUGCAUAAUCUAGGACAACCAUUCUUGGUGCACAAAAGUUGAAGCUUCAAUUUCUAAAAAAAUAUUCUUCUACCAGCAUGUUAUUUAUUUUUUGGCCAACAUAGGAGUAUUUUAUGUUGUUGUAUCCAUCAUGUUGCACCUUCCAAUCAAGAAAGCCUUCUAUAUGACUUUUCAAGACCACAGCAGAUUAGGAGAUACCUCAAUUAGGCAACUUGUUUGGUGAUCUUAAGAGUAGCUGUCAUGCAGAAUCAUUUUAGACUAGAGAAAUUAGCGGGUAGCUUCCAGUUUUGAUCAAAUUAAAACAACCAAAGAAUAAAAUAACAGUAUUUAGAUUGCCUUACCUAAUUAUCAAAGCUGUCAAAAAAUUGGGAAGCGCAUAAAAUGCAUGUAUCCAGAAAUCAGAAAUGGGCCUUUUAAUUUGAAAACACACAGUAUCAUUACUAUAUAAAACACUUAAAAAACAAAAGUGGAACUCUUGAUGCUUCUAGAGCAUAAAUCUUAGUAAUAAAACUUGGACAUAUAUUGUUUUCUUCUUUCUUGUUCCAUUGACAUGUAACUUUUAUACAGAGUGCAAAUCUUUGAAAUCACAAUUAUAUAUAUAUAUAUACAUAUAUAUAUCUAUAGAGCUAGGCUCCUAUGCUUUUGAAAGUACGGAGGCUUCCGUGCUUGUAAAUUGUUUUCGAUGAUGGGACCUCCGAUUCGGCGAUCAGUUCCGUUAGUCAUGGUCUACGCUAUUAGAACUAUCUAGAAACCAAAUUUCAUAAUUUUUUGACUUCGUUUGUCUAGUGAACGAGUAGCCUCAAAAUGAACGGCUGAAAAUGAAAAUCUUAUGGACUCAAAUUUCAAAUCAAAAGUAUUGAUCUUGCUAUUGAUGUGAAGUAAAAUUUUUUAUUAAAUUUUCAUGUAAUUUGGAUACUUCUAUACCGUUGAACUUAAAAACGUGCCACAUCGGCCGUUAAAAUAGUCAUUUUUGAGACCUUUUGAUCGGUUGGUAAAUGAUGUCAAAAAUUAUAAAAUUUGGUUUCUAGAUAGUUCCAAUAGGAUAGAUUAUACCUAACGGAGAGAAUCGUCGAAUCGGAUGUCCUAUCAUCGAAAACAAUUUACAAGCACGGAGGUUUCUGUGCUUUCGAAAGUACUAGAGACGUACUCUAUAUAUAUAUAUAUAUAUAGAGUUGAGCUAGAAUAUUAUCGAUAGCAAACGGGCUCCGUUGCCACCCAUUUGUUUUCGAUGAUAGAGCCUCCAAAUCGACGAUUGACAUCGUUGAACAUGAUCUAUACCACUUGAAGUGUUUAGAAAUCAAAUUUUAAAUCUUUUUGACAUCAUUUGCCUAAUGAUCAAAGGGUUUCAAAAUUUGUAAUUUUAAUGGUCGAUAUGAGGCAUUUUCUCGUUUAACGACGUAAAGAUAUCCAAAUCAAUUGAAUUUUUGUUAGAAAAUUCUUUAAACUAUUUAAAACAAGAUCUAUACUCUUGAUCUUGAUUACAAGACUCCUAUCAUUAUUUUUUAAAAAAUAUUCAUUUUCAGCCCUUUAUUUUUGUGUCCACUAGAUGGAUAAGAUAACAAUAUUGAAAAUGUAUGAAUUUUGAUUUCUAAACACUUCAAGUGGUAUAGAUCAUGUUCAACAAUGCCGAUCGUCGAUUUGAAGGCUCCAUCGAAAACAAAUAGGUGGCAACGGAGCCUGUUUGUUGUUGAUAGUAUUCUAGCUCAACUCUCUCUCUCUCUCUCUCUCUCUCUCUCUCUAUAUAUAUAUAUAUAUAUAUAGAGUCCGGCUACUAUACUCUUAUGAGUACGAUCACCUUCGUACUCAUAAGUUGUUUUUGAUGAUAGAGUUUCCGAAUCGACGAUCCAUACCGUUAAACAUUAUCUAGAGGAUUUAAAACUUUUAGAAAUUAAAUUUUAUAAUUUUUUGAUAUCAUUUACCUUACGAUCAAUAGUUCACAAAAUUGACAAUUUUUAACGGCCGGUAUGGGAUACUUCCUAGUUUAACGGUGUAAAAGAAUUGGAAUAGGUCGAAUUUUUAAUAGAAAAUUCUAUUCACUACCUAGAUAAAGAUCAAUAACUUCGAUCUUAAAUUGAAGGAUCCGAUCAUCUAUUUUUAGGACGUUGUUCGAUUUUGACCGUUUAUUUUAUGCUCGCUUGAUAGACUUUAUUAUGAUUUCGAAAAAUUACGAAAUUUAUUUUCUAGAAGUUUCAAAUACUCUAGAUCAUAUUUAACGGAGUGGAUCGUCGAUUCGGAAGCCAAGUCAUCGAAAACAACUUAUGAGUACGAAGGGCCCUAUACUCAUAAGAGUAUAUAUAUAUAUAGAGUAGGGCUACUAUACUCUUAUGAGUAUAGGGCCCUUCGUACUCAUAAGUUGUUUUCGAUGACUUGGCUUCUGAAUCUACGAUCCACUCCGUUAAAUAUGAUCUAGACUAUUUGAAACUUCUAGAAAAUAAAUUUCGUUAUUUUUCGAAAUCAUAAUAAAGUCCAUCAAGCGUGCAUAAAAUGAACGGUCAAAAUCGAACGACGUCCUAAAAAUGGAUGAUCGGAUCCUUCAAUUUAAGAUCGGAGUUAUUGAUCUUUUUUUAGGUAGUGAAUAGAAUUUUCGAUAUUCUAUCGAAAAUUCAACCUAUUCCAAUUCUUUUACAUCGUUAAACUAGCAAGUAUCUUAUACCGGCCGUUAAAAAUUGUCAAUUUUGUGAGCUUUUGAUCGUAAGGUAAAUGAUGUCGAAAAAUUAUGAAAUUUGAUGUUUAGAAGUUUUAAAUGAUCUAGAUAAUGUUUAACGGUAUAGAUCGUCGAUCGGAAGCUCUAUCAUCGAAAACGACUUAUGAGUAUGAGGGUGAUCGUACUCAUAAGAGUAUAGUAGCCGGACUUUAUAUAUAUAUAUAUAUAUAUAUAUAUAUAGAGCUAGGUUGGUAUAUUAUCGGUAGCACGGAGGCCUCCGUGCUAUCAAGUUGUUUUCAAUGAAGGCGCUUCCAAAUCGACGAUCGGCUCCGUUAGACUUGAUCUGCACUAUUAAAAGUAUUUGGAAACUAAAUUUCAUAAUUUUUCGGUAUCAUUUACCUAUCAAACGAGUAGUCUAAAGAUGAACGGCUGAAAGUAAAAAUUUCAUAAAAAAUGAUGAUAAAAAUCUUGAAUUUAAGAUCAGAGGUACUGAUCUUACUCUAAAUUGUAAAAUGAAUUUUCUAUAAAAAUUUCAUCAGAUUUGGAUUGUUUUACACCGUUAAAUUUACAAAUGCAUCACAUCUACCAUUAAAAUUAUCAAUUUUGAGACCUUUUGAUCACUAGCCAAAUGAUGUCGAAAAAUUAUGAAACUUAGUUGCCAAAUAUUUUUAAUAGUGUAGAUCAAGUCUAACGGAGCCGAUCGUCGAUUUGGAAGCCGUAUCAUUGAAAACAACUUGGUAACACGGAGGUCUCUAUGCUAUCGAUAGUAUACCAGCCUAGCUUAUAUAUAUAUAUAUAUAUAUAUAUAUAUAUUAUAUAUAUAUAUAGGGUCCUACUAUACUAUUAUGAGUACGAUCGCCUCGUACUCAUGAAGUUGUUUCGAUGAUGGAGCUUCCGAAUCGACGAUCCACACCUGUAAACGUUAUUUACGGCAUUUAAAACUUCUAGAAAUCAAAUUUCAUAUAAUUUUCGGACAUCAUUUACCUUACGAUCAAAAGCUCACAAAAUUGAUAAUUUUUAACGGCCGGGUAUGGAAUAUUGCUUAGUUUAACGGUGCAAAAGAAUCCGAAUAGGUUUGAAUUUUUGAUAGAAAAUUAUAUUCACUACCUACGUAAAGAUCAAUAACUCCGAAUCUUAAAUUGAAGAAUCCCGAUUAUCCAUUUUUAAGAUAUCAUUCGAUUUGAUCGUUCAUUUUAUGCCCGCUUGAUGGGCUUUAUUAAUUUCGAAAAGUUACGAAAUUUAUUUUCGAGAAGUUUCAAAUAUCUCUUAGAUCAUAUUAAUGAGUGGAUCGUCGAUUCGGAAGUCAUCAUCGAAAACAACUUACGAGUACAAAGGCUCCAAACUCAUAAUUAGAUAGUAGCCACUGCCAUAUAUAUAUAUAUAUAUAUAUAUAUAUAGAUAUUAAUAUUAUAUAUAUUAUUAUAUAGAGCAGGAUUGCUGUGCUCUCAGGGAGCACGGAGCGCUCUGUGCUCCUGAGCCCGUUUCGAUGAUGGAGUUUUCGAAUCGACGAUCGCGCUCCGUUAACUUGAUCUAGCGUAUUUGAAGUUUCUAGAAAAUAAUUUUUGCCUAUUUUUCGAUAUCAUUUAUCUAGCAAUCGAAAGGAUUCAAAAUUAAUAAUUUUUAAUGGUUUGAAAAUAAAAAUCAUUAUAUAAAAGUGAGUGUAGUAUAUAGCAGUUUAAAUUUCGAUCAAAAUAUUGAUCUUGUUGUAUAUAGUAUAAAGAAUUUUGUAUCAAAUUUCAUCUGUUUGAAAUACUUCACACCGUUAAACUUGAAAACGGCAGAUAUCAACCUAUUAAAAAUAGGAAUUUUGAAUCUUUCGAUCACUAUGUAAAUGAUAUGAAAAAUCGCAAAAAUUAUUUUCUAGAAACUGUCAAAUGCACUAGAUCAAGUCUAACGGAAUCGAUCGUCGAUUCGAAAAUCCAUCAUCGAAAACGCUCAGGAGCAGCUCUGAGAGCACAGCAGCUUGCUCUAUAUAUAAUAUAUAAGAAUUAGGCUGGAAUACUAUUAAUAGUAAAACGUCUUUUUGCUAUCAAAGUUUUUAACCCUUGCAUGAAAAAUUGUAGGUCAGGAUGAUAUUAGUCGUGAGAUGAAGUGCCCCUAGGGUUGAGUGGGUCCUCAUUGGGUUAUAGUAUUUAAUCCAAUGAUUAGAAAUAAUGAAAAGAGUUUAUCCAAAGGCUAAAAAUUGGUAGCAACAAUGGGAUUUUGCUACUAAUAGUAUCCCAGUCAACUCUCUCUCUCUCUCUCUAUAAUAUAUAUAUAAUAUAUAUAUAUAUAAAUGAGCUCCUAUGUUUUUAAAGUACAAGUGAUUCGUACUUGUAAGUUUCGGCCCUUGGAUUAAGGGAUGGGCGAUAAUGAUGAUGUGCGGACCCCUAGGGUUGAGUGUGGGUAAUUGGUUAAAUAGUAUAAUCUAACGAGUAAAAUUAUCAAAGGCGUAGAUCUAACGGUAAAAAAUUUAUAAGCACCAAGUGCUUGGUGCUUUUACAAGCACCAUAGGCCGGAUUCUAUAUAUAUAUAUAAUAUAUAUAUAUAUAUAUAUAUAGAACUAGGUUACUAUACUAUUAAUGGUACCAGCGCUUGGUGCUAUUAGGUUUUUGGCCCUUAGAUGUAGGAUGUGGGAUUAGGAAGAUAGUGUUUCCUAGGGUUGAGUGGAUGGUUGGUCGAAUAAUAUGAUCUAAUGGGUGGAAAUCGUCAAAGAGAGAUUUAACAGUAGACACUUGAGGGGGGGGGGGGGGGGGGGGGUAGCCCAAGCUGGUUUGGUACUCGCAUUAGAAUAGUAGCCGGACUCUCUGCUCUCUCUCUCUCUCUCUCUUCUCGCUCUCAUAUAAUAUAUAUAUAUAUAUAUAUAUAUAUAUGUUCUGGCUACUAUACUCUUUUACGUACGAUUGCCUUCGUACUCAUCAGUCGUUUUUGAUUAUAGACCUUCCGAAUCGAUGAUGCAUACCAUUAAACGUUAUAUAGAGCAUUUAAAAUUUCUAGAAAUUAAAUUUUAUAAUUUUUUGACAUCAUUUACCUUACGAUUAAAAGAUCUCAAAAUUGACAAUUUUUAACGGCCGGUAUGGAAUACCUGCUAGUUUAACGGUGUAAAAGAAUCGGAAUCGGUUGAAUCUUUGAUAGAAAAUUCUAUUAACUAUCUAGACAUUUUAUGCCCGCUUGAUCGACUUUAUUAUGAUUUCGAAAAAUUACGAAAUUUAUGUUUAGAAGUUUCAAAUAUUCUAAAGCAUUAUUUAACGGAGUAGAUCGUCGAUUUGGAAGCUCCAUCAUUGAAAACAACUUAUGGGUUGUACGAAGGGCUCUAUACUCAUAAGAGUAUAGUAGCCCUUCUCUCUCUCUCUCUCUCUCUCUCUCUCUCUAUAUAUAUAUAUAUAUAUAGCGAUAUUCUUGGUUUUCGGUCGAGUUUUUCAUUACUUCUAGAAGUAUAAAUCUUUCGCAGAAGAUGCAUACUUUUUUGUAUUUCUUUAAUAUUUGGGUUUGUGUAUGUAUACGUUUGCCUGGUUGCAUACAUACAUAAGUUGGUGUUUUAUAGAACUUAAGAGGAUGGCUUGCGGUGUUGCAUGUCUCCUAUACACGAGGGCUUACUCCCUCGUUCAUUCACUUCCUCAGCUUUAUGCAUCUUAUUAUUAUUUCUAGUAUGUCCAUUUAGAGUCGUUAGAUGCUUCAUCCUGUGUUCUCAUCGCAGCAGCAACACAUUAUGAGAUGUUUUGGAUGUUCUUGUGGCAGGUGCUGGCGUUAGUUGGUGAUCAGCUUGACUACGGGGACAAUAUUUGUGGUGCGGUGCUAAGUAUUCGUUUCAACGAGGAUAUAUUGAGUGUGUGGAACCGGGAUGCAUCGGACCACCAGGUUUGGAGCCCCACAUCCCUUUCGAUUUGUAUAAUAUAUUUACUUUGAUUUGCAUGCGCCUCCAUCAAUACUGAUGUAGAUUCAUUUUCUUUUUACUGCUUCUAGGCUGUGAUGGCUUUAAGGGACUCAAUAAAACGACAUCUGAAGCUGCCGCAUAGCUACUUGAUGGAGUAUAAGCCGCAUGAUGCAUCUCUACGCGAUAACUCGUCGUAUCGGAAUGCUUGGUUGAGGGGAUAGAUCGAUGGAUGGAGUUGUGUGUGGGUCGUCCUUCUAUGUUGGAGCAACAAAUGUUACUGGAUUAUCUGUUAUCUGCUUUGUAUUAUAUUAAGACUUUCAUUAUGACUGCUGCUAACUCGCUAUGGUGUGCGAAUUUCAAACAUGUGAUGUGACGAGUACGGUAGCUUCUAUGGUUGUUGUAGAAUGUACGUAGGCAGAAGGACAAUGAGCCGAACAGCAUAAUAUAACAUGGAGAUCUGAUUAGGAACGAUAACAUAUAUGGAUAACAUAUAUGUUGUGAUUAGCAGUAACAUAAGUAUUGAAGUUGACUACAAUAUUUCUAACGGUGCGGAGGGUUUUUUUUUUUUUUUUUUUUUUUUUUUUUUUUUUUUUAAUCCUUAUUUUGAUGAUAUAGCAUUCAAAUCAGUAAUAACAUUGUUAUAUAGUGUAGGGCUUAUGCUUUGCAGUGGAUAGAAAUCAAGACAUGCCAAUAAUAAAAAUAAUAUCAAGCAUUCGCCAACGGAAAAAAAGUGAUAAUAUGUAAUAUACCUUUCGGAACUUAAAAUAUAUGUAAUAAAUUCUUGGUAAACUAAAUUGUCCCUAAUUGAUUUUCAAAUAUUGAUUCAAAUAUUUCCAUACUUUUGGGAUUUACUAAUAGGAUUUGAGGUUCAAAAGAGUAUUUUAGUGAAUGCCGGGCAGCUUUGAAAAUUCUGAAUAGUUUUUAGAGGUAUCUGAAUAGUUUUAGAGGUAAAUAAGCAAAAGAGGGAAAAAAAAAGUUUAUAUUCAAGCCCAAAGGAUAUGAUGUUUAUUUUAAUAUGCAUGUUGUAGGGAAAAAAAGAAACACAAACAUCAUUAUAAAAUAUCAUACUUAUAAUAGUUUCAGCUGAAGAACUUGUUGGAUCGUCGUACUCGUCUUAUAGUCUCUUAGAUUUGCGACUAGUUGGAUCGUUGUAUUUGUCUUAUCGACUAUUGGAUUUGCAACGCCUUUUUGAAUUUUUGAUCAGGCGUCGUGUCGUGAUCUCUAUGCUUGAUAGUCGUGGAAGGUUACCUGAGUCUCCAGCAAUCGUCCAGCCUCCAAAAUUCUGGAAAUGUAGGUAGAAAUCCUAGAGUGAAAAUAUAGAGGGGAGAAAGAGGCCUUUUUUUUUUUUUUUUUUUUUUUUUUUUUUUUUUUUUUUUUUUUUUUCGUACAUCAAAAUUGAGAGGGUUUCACAUAUAUAGGUUAUCAGGAUCCCUUAUCCUGAGUCUCACAUCGAGAUAAGAAUAAGAAUAUCUAUUAAAAUAAUCAUUACGGAAUAUAUUUAUUAAUUAGUAAAAAAUAUAUAAUUUGUCCUUAUACUUAUUAGAAUAAAUUCUGAUCCAAAUCACACGUGGAUUGGGUUGAGUUAGAACCAAUUAAUGUGGACAUACAACAUGACAGGAAUCUACUACAUUGGCCAAUUUUCUCUCAUAUGUUAUACUUUUCUACAUGUAAUGGCGCAUGCGACUUGACGAAAAGCGUAAUGUAGGGGUGCUAUAUUAAGUUCAUCAAACUAACAAAGCACAUCACUAAUUAAAUUCGUUUAUUCCCUAAAAUAUCGCAACACAUCGUAUCAAAUAUCACAAAUCCCUUUCGUGUAAUGAUAGGGCUCAACCCCAAAAUUAUUUUUUUGUAUUUAUGAUUAUCUUAAGUAAUACAAUCAAGAUUACCACCCAAGCAAUGAAUCACAUAACUUACAUAGUUUGUUAUUGCAACAUCUCCCUCAGUCCCUCACAUUACUCAAUAUAGGUCCAAGCACUUUAUUAGACAUGUUCCACGAGAUCAUGUUUUCUUAUGACCCCGAGAUAUAUGCUAAGUUAGUCACAUCGGACCUUUGUUUCAUAACUUGCUUCUAAGUCCAGGGCAUAAAAGGUUUAGUACUCCCACAGUGACAUAAAGAGAAGAACAUAUGUCGCUGUACUGAUUGGUCGAUAAGUACAUAUAGUAUAAUAUAUAUGCUAUGGCAGAGCUCCCACUUAAUGAGUCGGAUCACACUCUAAAAAAAUACCAUACAAGUCUAAAUCUACGUACCACUUAGGCGCUUAACCCAAUUCAGGACCAAACCUAAAUACACAAAUUCGGUUACAGUAUAGACUCGAUAUGGUAUUCACAAUAUUAUCCACAUCCUAUAAUAUACUGGAUUUUGCCAAAUUGAUAGAAUUACAAUUUGAGUUGCUGGUUAGCAUGUUUUUAAAAUGCUGGAAUAAGUUAGAACCAUUUUGGCAUGAAAUUGACAUGAAAACAGAGUUGGAAUUUGAAAUCUAGAUGAUUUUGAGGUUUCUGUCACUUUCUCUACGCUAGGAAAUGGUUUGGACUGCCUAAAAUUACUAUGCGGACUGAUGUGAAUUUGGACCCUAUGUUGUGGGUGCCCAGUUCUAUCGAAAGAGGACCCAGAUAGGUUACGGGCCUUGUUUCGAAUGCCCAAUAUUAUUGCAGCAGUAUGAAAUUUGUUGUAUAUGUGACUUGAUUAAGGCGGUUAAUGGCGAGUCAACAUGCAGACUCAUUGUCUUUUCGAAUGCAGAACUGUGUACCCGUAAAAAACAUUUCGGGCGGAGCUAUAUAGAAUCGGACUGUAGAGUGCAAUUAGUGUCAUACGAAACACUCGAUUAUAAGGUUUUGGAUACUUGAAUGAUGGUCUCGGGUGCCCAAAACUAUGAAUUUUGGUUGAGAAUAGGAUCUUCAAAAUUUUGUGAGCUUUGGUGCAAUUGUUACAUUACAUAUGUGAACAGAGGGGUGGUUGUUUGACUCUUUUUCUCCUUAGUUCUCCUGCACGUAUAGAGACCAAGAGAGAGAGAUCGAGAGAGUGACCGAGAGAGGAAAACGAAGAGAAAGGAGCGUGGGGGAAAUCGUGAUCGAGGAGAUUAGUUGAAAAAUGCGAUUUUGGAGGUAAGUAAAAUGUAUAAUUGGAAACUUGAUCGAGGUUUCUGUAACUAUGAUUUUACAGUAGAUGAUUUUAGCAUCUUAUAUUUUAGGAGGUGAUUUUUGAUUGAGGUUUUGGUGACGCUGGUGUGCUGAGUUCUCUUUUUUUUCAAUCUCCAUUUGGGGCAUCUAUCUAGGCAGGUUCAUUAUCGCUGAACAUGGCGAGCUAACUCCUAUGGCUAUUUUUCCUGCAUAUAUAUUAUAAUUCAAUGAUAUCUGUCGGUAUUAUUGUUAUAACGAUAUCUUAAUCUGUAUAUACAUGCACUCAUGUAUGGUGACAAUUGAUUUGACGGCAUGAUGAUUCCUGUAUAUUAGAUUCUCUUUAUAUCUGUUGCAUAUUAUCACUAUGAGAAAGAUGAUUAUAGACAGACAGUGGGACAUAUGACAUAGAAUUAUGCCUAAAGACAUUUGGACAAUUUUUAUUAUGAUCUGUUUGACAUUACAUAUGAUCAUAGCCUGCAUUGUUGGAUUUGAUCUGUUUCACAUUACAUAUGAUUAUAGCCUGCAUUGUUGGAUUGAGCUCAAUUGUGAGCAAUGUGAUAUGAUGAUACUCGACUGGGUCGCACCCCACAAGUGCCCGUUUCGAGCUAUGGCAGCAAAUUAGAUGUUCUAGAUGUACGCAUACGGGCUAGACCGCUAGGUGAGGGUUGGUUACCGAGCAUGCGUCGGCGCAGGCUUGACUGAACCUAUGAUGAGCCAACCAGUGCGAUUGGGUCUUACGACUUUGCUUAUUAGAUAUCGAGUUGAUGCGUGAUAUUUCUUUGCUACUACACUGAUUUACAUAGAGAUAUGAUUAUGGUAGAGGUAUUACUACUAUUCAUUCACUUCCAUCACUACAAUAGAGGCAUGAUAGUUGCUAUAUUUAUCAGUUUAGUUUAUAUUAUUAUUUACUACUUUUGCCUUUGACAGAGCUAUUGGUGUAGGUCGUCACCUCUGGGAUUAUAGUUCUCAUGCCCUCUUUUGUUGAUUCUUUUUCAGAGACUUCGGCACCAGCUUUUGAUCGAAGUAAGGGAAUAGCGAGUUAGAUAACAUCUCCUAUCCAGACAUGCGACAGCUAGAGGAGGACCCUGUGGAUUGUUUUAUAUAUAGUAGCAUUGUAUAUGAUGUACCGGCGAGGCUAGCAUGAGAUGUAUUUAUAUAUAGUAGCAUUGUAUAGUGGAUAUGUCAUACAUAUACUGCUAUACCUGUUGUCUGUUUUAUAAUGCUCUGGUACUUGUUUAGUUGCCAACUUCUAGGACCUGUCAUAUGCUAGUUGUGGACACCUAGGAUUGUUGACUAGUUGAUAUUUCAUAUGCUUCGGGUGUACAUGGUGCGCCUUGUGCAUCCAACGAGUCAGUUGACGGCCCAGAGGCUUCUAUUUCAACUCGGGGCGACAUAUUGUGAGACCCCGUUAAUUUUAUAUAUAAGAUAUAAUAGGGCUAAACUAUUAACCCAGUUAUAACAUUUUGGGCUGUAGUUAGACCCACUAGGUUAAGAGAGUUAAGCUUAUUAGGGCUAGAGUUGUCCUGAGAUGGGUUACCCCUAGGAAGUGGGGCGUUACAAUUAGUAUCGGAGCCAAUUAUUAGCCGGAAAUGUGAAUGAGCCUCGGCUGAGCCAGAGUUAGUCUCGGCUGAGCCAGAGUUAUAUAGUGGGGAAAGCGAGGCUCACAUGCUCAUGACUAUUAUGGUUAAAGUGUGGCUCCGCCACAAGGUCGGUUAAGGCUAGAGAAACGAGUCUCACAUCGCCUGGUACUUGUGAGUCUGAGCCUGACGAGGACGUUAGGACUUAAAAGAGGGGAGAGUGUGAGACCCUGGUAGUCCUAUAUACAAGAUGUAACAGGGCUAAACUCUUAACCCGGCUAUAAAAUUUUGGGUGGUGGUUAGGCCCAAGAGAUUAAGAGAGUAAAGCAUGCUAGGGCUAGAAUAGUCCUAGAAUAGGUAAACCCCUGGGAAAUGGGCGUCACACAUAUUUGACUCAUUGAUAGUCUUAUCUUAAACUAAUUAAGGCAACUUUCAAAUUUUUUGACUCCAUUCUCAACAAUACCAAUGCGCCAAGUAUCAAUUAUGCAAUUAUAUUGAAGUUUAAACAAAAUCCUUUAUUACUAAGAAAAUAUAUGAUACAUAAUUAAAACAAUGUCCAUACAUCAAAUCUUUCAUAGACCCAUACUACGUACAUAGCUUUGGAACACAUCCCUAGCUAUCGACUUGCUUAGUAGAUUUAUUACCAUCCUAGUGGUGGAGAUGUGUUGAAGAGGGGCAUCACCAAGCUUAAUCACAUCUAGAAUGUAUGUAAGGUACUGGACUUCUAAAAUAAUGAAAUUAUGGUUUAUGUUGGUUUGGAGAACCAUUGGAAUGGUUCCGGUGAAGUUCGGAAGCAUUCGGGCGUUUCCGGAGCGCGUAGGCGUAAAAAGGGGACCCGAAAGGCUAUGUUGGACCAUGAACUAAAUCCAGCAUUAGCGCGGAUGAAAAGAUGAUGAAAACACGCUCGAAAACAUGUUUGGAGAGUCUCGGUUCGAUUUGAAAAGAAUCGGAGGCCAAACGAGCGAAAACGAGCGAAAACGAACCCCAAAAGCUGAAAAAGCUGAAAAUUUGGCUAAGUCCUAAAAUGCUGUUUUUCUCGACCUACGGAGACCGGUCCCUCAAGUCCAAGGACCGGUCCUUUAUACAAAAAAUGCCCCGUGCUGGCUGUGCACAAAAAUACAAAGUUGAGGGGGUUUCUUGCAAUUUGGUGUUAAUAGAGGUUAAAGGGAGGUGAUAUGAGCCCUUCUCUCUCACUCCCUCAUAUUCUAAACACCAAAACACUAUCUCUCUCUCUCUAGAUUAGCUCUCCUCUCUCUCUAAAAGGGUGGGUUUUGGAGGAGGGAUUGGUGGAGAAGAAGGCAAAGGAGUAGAUCUUCAUCUUCAUCUUCUUCUUCCUUGGAUUUGGAGCAAGCUUUGGAGGUAAGCUUGAUGUCCAUUCAUGGUGAUUUCUCAAGGUUUGAUUUAUAUGCUCUAAGAAUAGUUUAGAUAGAAUCCUAGCAUGCUAAAUAGACGGAAAAUACUUGAUUCAUGAAUCAAUUUGGAGUAUUUUGCUAUAAUUGCAUCUAGGGCUCCAAUUUUGGAGUUUUUGGAAAUAUGAGGGUUUGAUCUCAAUUGACCAUCCGUAAACCUAAUUGGUAGGUAAACGAACGCGUUGGCGAAGUCGGUUCGGCGAUUCGUCAACCCUACGGGAAGAUAUCGAAGAAACGGACGUUCGGAGCUUCGUUUUCGCCUGGAGGGCCGAGGCGACGUCCAAAAAUUAUGAAAAUGGAUUUGGAGCACCGUGGCGGCAAACCGUAGACCUAUAAUUUCCGGAACUGUGAAGCGGCGCACGGUUGGUGCGCAACUGCAAGAUCGGGCCGUGUCUGAUACGGGUGCCGCGGGAGGCCGAUUGCAAGUGACUACAAGCAAUCGGAACGUGAAUCGAGGUGGGUUGUGCUCACCGAACGACUAGGUCGCCUCUAUGUCUAAGAGGAAUGUUGCUAUUGAUGCAUACCUGUGUAGUGUAGGUUGCAUGAGAUAAUAUGGAUGCAUGAACCUUAUUAUGCUUGAUGUUUAUUACCUACCCUUGAGAAAUGCAUGAUGACAUAUUGAGGAAAAUGAUAGGUGGAUGCAUUAUGAUAUUGUAUAUGCUAGAUGAAAUGCAUAGUGACAUAUUAUAGAUUAUGUUAGAUAACAUAUGCCUAUUGAACUCGAGGUUUAUGUAGCGACAUGACGAGUGGCAUGUAAACAAUAUUGAUAAUAGAACGAGUGGCAUCUAAUGUAGUGUAUUAUGACACUAAUGGUAUGUGAACUUAGGGAUAGAUGGAUUCCCUAGUGAAUGACUCGUGAACAAAGAACUUAGUAUAGCUAAGCAUUUAUGCAUGAAUGUCGGAAUAGGUGAGUUCCGAGAGAGUUGUUGGCCCUAGUUCGUAGGGUGUCCUCAAGUGGAGAGGAUAGAUCAAGUUCACGGUCUGUUAUUGGGAUGGUAUAGCCAUCCGGGGUGGUAUAGCCAUCCAUGUCGUCGAGUACUCCGGAGUGUCGGGCGAUCGGGACAGAGUUGAUGUCCGCAGACAAUCCCGGGUUCGAGAGCGAGUUGAGUCUCCUAACCCUACGGGAUGAUGAUGUGAGCUGUAAGCGAACCCAAGGGAUUCGCCAAGGAUUGGGUAAAUAAGAGAAUAGCACUGUUUAUUGAACAUUUGCUCAUUGGACAUUGUUAGUGGAUUUGGUAUCCCAGUUGAGUGGAUCUAAGGCUGAGAUGCAUGUGAGACGUCCUUCGCCUCGAGCUUGGCUUUGCGUGGUAUUCCGCAGAUGAUUGACUCAAGACCGAGUCGGGUGGAUAGCUUUGUAAAGGUAGAUAAAACCUUGUGAGCAAACAGUAAAGGUCAAUGAAACCUUAUGAUCAGAAUGGUAAUUGACAUGAAUCCAAGACAGAGGAAAACUUAGAAGUCAAUUGGACGAGCUAUGAAUAGCAGGAUUAAAAGUAGUAUCGAUUGAACUACUAGUUGGUUGCAUAGUUGCAUAAAUAGCAUGAUUUUCAUAUUACGUAUUGUGAGGCAUGAACAUGAUAAUGUUAGUUGCAUAAAAUAUAUGAUGAUAUAUAUAUAUCUGUUGGAUAUUUGUUGGACUAACAUGUUGCAGUGCCUCCUUGGACCUAUCGUUCGAGCUUUUCCCUUGGAUGGCCGUACCCACUAGGAACCAUGGAGUUGGUUCUCACCCCACGUUGUUUUGGGGUGUUACAGGUUUGCACGUGAGCAGCGCGGCGGCGGCGCGAGGAAAAGGCGUAGCUCCAUAGAUAGUGCCCUAACCCAGAGACCAGAGAUAGUGGUACCCCGAGUCGGCAUAGCCUAGGGGUAGAGGGAAAGGACAAAGAACAAACUUGUAAUAAUCUUGCGAUCAUUGAUUGUCUUUGGCAAUAAAGGUAAUGAAAAUGUAAUGUAAUAAUGCAAGUGUGAUGUAAAAAUGAAUCUAAUGGGAAUCCUUGUAAUAACAUAGGAUGUGUUAUGUUGUUUGAUACCUUCUUUAUGCAAUCAUUGUAUGAAUACUGUUCCUGUUUGGAACCUCUUGUAUUGUACUAAUUGCAACGCCUAGGACGUACAGGGGAGACUCUGUCUGUUCGGCGGUCUGUCGGCGUGCCCAAACCUGAGCAAAUAGGCGGGGCUCGCGGCGUGACAAUGUAGUAAAAUCGUAUGUUGAUGUGUCUUAUUUUGCGAUGAUAUUUAGGAUCCUUCAUAUACUCUUAAGGCAGCCAUACUACCGAAUAAUAUCUCUUCUGGCACAUCUGUUUUAAAUGCAUCAUUGAGGUGCCUAAGAAAUCUCCUCGACCAUACUACCUCUUGAAAAGCUAAGGAACAAGCAGCAUACUUGCCUUCAUCAUUGACAAGGUAAUGCAGCCCUGCCUUUUGUUGCAACAGGAAACUGCCUCCACACCCAAGCAUAAACACAUAGCAUGUGGUAUACUUUAACUCAUCUCUAUCACCGCUCCAAUCAAUAUCACUGAAUCCUUUUAAUCAAUUUCAAGUUCUCACCUUGAAAGUAAAUAAUAAGAUCACUUGUUCCUUUUAAAUAUUGAAAGAUUAUCUUAACUGUUUGCUAAUGAGUAGGUAUUGGGUUGCUUUCAUAAUGAUUAAUGAAACCAACAAUGAAGCAGAUGUCUGGGCGAGUACACAUUAUAGUGUACAUCAAGAUAUACACCAACUACAUUCGCAUAAGGACCCCUACUCAUCCGUUUUUUCUUUGUCUGUCUUAGGGCAUUAAUCAUGGCGCAAAGUUUGAUUUUUCAACAGGAGCAUCAACUAUUUUAGGCUGAUGUAUAGGAAACUGUUCUAAAACUUUCUUGAUGUAAGUUUCUUGAGACAAACCAACGAUCCUUUUAGAACGAUCUCGAAUAAUCUUGACUCCGAGCACAUAGCUCACCUCACCUAUGUCCUUUAUCUCGACAUUAGAGGAUAACCACUCCUUGGUGGAUAGGUUGUCAUUGAUAUAUAGUGAUAGGACCAAAAUCCCUUCAUCCAUUUUAUUCAUGUAUACAUAGUGGUCUUCCUCUAUCACAUGGUGUAAGGACUGAGAUUUUGGUAGUAUAGCUAAACUCUUUGUUGACGAUGUUUUUAUGUGUAAUUUAAUUACAAAAGCACUCGUCAAGUUUCAGGAGAAAUCGAGUUAGAAUGGAGAAGUUACGCGAUUAAUAGUAUUCACUUAAGUGAAUAGUAACUCUGGUUUUCCGGAAAAGCCAUGGAGCAGAGUUGGCUUCUGGUGCAUAUCGAACUCCGUGCAUAGCGAUCCAAUUAGGGGUGGAAACGAGCCGAGCUCGAGCGAGCUUACCUCCGCUCAAAUUCGGCUUGAAAUUAAUUUCGAGCCUAAAUUUAGGCUCAAGCUCAGCUUGAAAUUAAUUCGAGCCGAGCUCGAGCGAGCUCGAGCUCUAAACGAGCCACUUGAAAUUCUCAAUAUCGUACGAUCAAUAGUUUAAUUUGUUUAAAACAUUACCUAUAAUUUGAUGCAAAAGUAUAUCUAAUAAUUCAAAAUACGGAAUAAUUAUAUAAAAUACGAUAUUAUAAUAUAAAAAAAAAACUUAUGAGUUGAAUACUUAAUCUUUUCAGCUUCGCAUGUCUUCUCUUCCGUUUUCAAUCUCCAUAUUAUUUUUUUAAUCUAUGAGGUCAAAAAAUGAAUAAAUUAUAUAGUCAAAUAUUGGAUUAAACUAUCUAAUCAUAUAUAACUAAAAUUAAAAUUUUGUAUAAAUNAAAUAUUGGAUUAAACUAUCUAAUCAUAUAUAACUAAAAUUAAAAUUUUGUAUAAAUGAUAAUUUUUUAUUUUAAAAAUAUUUUAUAUAUUUUUUCAAGCAUACAAUUAAUGACAUUCCUUUUUACUAUAAUGUAAAAAAAUAAUAUCAAACUAUAAUUUUUUAAGAAAAUGAGCUAAGCAUAUUUAGAUAAAUAAAGUAUUUUUGAAAUUUUUUACUCACUUGAUCCAAUAUAUAUUUUCAAAGUAAAUGUGCAAGAUUUAUGAAAUAAUAUCAAUAUCUAGCCAAAAUUUUAUAAAAAUAAGACAACAAUACAUAUAUAAUAAGAAAAAAAUACUAAGUGAUCAUAUCGAUAAAGAUAACAAAUAACAAAUAUCAUAAAAGCAACAAUUCAAAAUAUUUAAAUACACCAAUAUAAAGAGAACUUGGGGGGCUUGAGGUUUGACCCCUUGAAGUGAGAGAUAAAGAAAAGAGAAAGAAAGAGAUUAGAGAUUUAGGGCUCUAUGAAAAAAAGAGAGGGAGAGAGUGUAAAUUUAGUAGGAAUUUGUCUUUUUAUUGGCCUGUUUGGGUUUAUUUUUAUGGACCAGCAAUAUUAGCUAAUUUUAACUAAAAUCAAAUUACUCACUCAGUCUAUAUAUAUAUAUAUAUAUCUCAAAAUAUAUAUAUUAUAUAUAUAUUAUAUAUAUAUAUUAUAUAUAUAUAUAUAUAUAUAUAUAAUAUAUAUAUAUAUAUAUAUAUAUAUAUAUUUGAGCUUUUCGAGUCUAAUUCGAGCCGAACGAGUAAUACUCAAGCUCGCUGAAAUGAAUUUCUCGAGCUAUUUUUUUUUUUUUCAAGCUCGGCUCAUUUAAUUUCGGUCGAGUCUCGCAGCGAGCCGAAUAUCGAGCCGAACAACGUCGAACGCGAGCCGGCUCGCUCAUUUGCCAGCCCCUAGAUCCAAUAGCCUCGUUCGACCGGUUCACCUAUUCUUGGAAACUAAUGGCAUUGACGGAUUUUAAAUCUGACGCACGAUGUUUGAGAAAUAUGAAAAUACAUGUGUUAUAUGUUAUUUGUGCGUAGUUUUGAUUAAUGGAUGAGGGAUGGACUUCGUCACAAAUCAGCGAUCUUAUCAGGUGAAACGAAAUUGCGAGUUCAAUGCCCCAGUCGUGCUGAAUGCGCUGGUGUGAUCCGAUCGGAAAUCCGACGGACGGAUCCUCGAGAAAUGUGAGAAGUUCAUCGAGGGGUCUAAGGUGACAAAUCGGAAUUUUCGCAAAUGCCCCUAUAUUUUAUGUAUCGAAUCGCAUGAGAUCGGACGUGGAGGUGCACAUGCGUGAAAUAUACGCGCCGUGAAGGACUGGAAUGAAAAUAUUCAUUUUUGGGGGACAGUUAUGCAAUUUGCACAUUGUUUAUAAAGUAUAUCUAGGGUUUCUUUGCACGAAACCCUAGAUCUGGCCGACCUUGUCCCCCAGCUGUGCCCUAGCUAGCUUCAGCAGGUCCCUGCCCUAGCUGUGCGCUCACCCCGGCCGCCGGCAAGCUCCUUCGGCCGCCGGAAAAGCUUGGGUGGCCUCUCCUCCACUAUCUCCUCCACUUAUCCACCUCUCCAUCUUUGCCCGUGGACCACCAGGGAGAUCCUCACCCUCAGGCUCCCUCCCUCGGCUGUGCCCCACAUCCGGUAGCCUCCCUGCCGGUCGCCGCCGCUCUCGCGGGCCGGCAUUGCCGGUAUGGGAAGCUUGCGGCCAGCCUGCACAGGCUUUGGCCGAGAUCAGCACAGCCGCUGGUCCACGCGCUGCCGCCGCCUUGUGACCGCGGUGCCAUCUCCCUCCGACCUCCUCCAGGCUAUCGCCGCCUACCUGCGCCGUCCCUGCGCUCCGCCCGGCCGCUUUGGGUAGCUUGCGGGCGCCCCAGGCCAGCUCGGGCCGAGGCUGCCCCAGUUCCUAGCCCUAGCGCCGCCGUCGCCUUGGGACACCUACCUUAUCCUCCUUCGGCCUCCGGCGCUCCCUCGCCGUCGCCCGGAGCUCCCCCGGCCGUCGCCGUGGCCGCCGCUACUCUCUGAGCCCGAGCUAAGCUCGUGCUGGCUCGAGAUGCUUCACCGCAGCCGCCGCUGCCUUUCGCCGCCGGCCAGCGUGAGCGACGGCUCCGCCUGGCCGGCCGCACCCAUCCGCCGCCGGCCACCCCGCCACCGGAGCUGCCUGUCAACCGGGCUAAGCUCAUGCUCUCCUCGGGUUGUGCGGCUAGGGCAUCAAUGCCCGCCGCCUUCGCCGCCUUCCGUGGCCGAAUGACACGCGCCCUGGCCUCCCCACACUGGCAGCACCCUCCUCUGGCCGGUUAUCCCAUCGUCCGGCCGCCGCCGGCCGCCCCGUGCCUCACCUUGCUCCGGUGAGUUAUUUAUUAGCUUUGUGCACCUUGUCUUGGGGUUCCGAUCAUUGUUUCGGUGAACCGAAGCCACUCCGAGUCUUCUGGAGGUGAGCACGAUGAUCCUUGUUCAGUGCCGAUCAUCGUGGCCUCCUCCGUUUGGGUCAAAGAUGCCCCGAUUUGCGUGUUAGACGCGAUUUAGGCGCUGUGCGCGCUGUUCCGCUGAAGUUUGCAUCGCUCGUGCGCGUGCCACAGUGGCCGGCAGUGCUCCAAAAGGUGAGCACGGCCUCCGGCACGCCGAGACCUGUCAGCGGGUGCCCGGCUUGGCUGAUUGACUUCCGGUUUGCAUAGUCGGACCAUAUAACCGCCGAAAUCACAUAAAAUAAUAUGAUUUCGGGUAAUCAGGAGGACUUUUGUGCAUUUUGGUGCAUCCUGGCUGCUGUUGGCAGCAAGUACGGAAUGUGGGUAACCUCUGGACUGGUCGUCCAAGGCCCAAAGCCUUUGCGGAAAUCAUAAAGUGAUUUCCGGAGCAUUUUUCAACGAAAUCCGCUGGCGGAACGCGUUUACGGUUCGGAAUUUUUCUGACGGUGCUUCGUGAGCUAUUGUGUAGUCGUUGAGCCUUAUUGGCUGGUCACUCGCGUCAUUUCGAGAGUUCAGAAAUGACGGGUGAGCGACGGUGGGUUUCGGUGUCGAAAUUGACAUUUUCGUGAACCCGGAUCGAAACGAUUAUCCGGCGGUAAUUGUUUCGACGUGAGGAGUUGAGUUUGCUGCCAUGAGGCACGAUUAUUUAUGUUUAGUGGCAGUGGGUGACUCGUAGCACGAGUCGGUGUGUUCCGGGACAGUUCGUGGGUCUCGGCGGAGUCCCGGUGCGAUUUUUGGGACUUCCGGCGAGUUACCGUAAUUGGAUUCGGGAAAUCGAUCUUCAUGGGAUUGUUUGUGGAAUUGUGAUACUGUGGUUAUUUGUGACGCACUGGACCUCGCAAAUUGUGGGGUUCGAGUGAUCGACUGUGUUCUGAACUUUUCCAAACUUUCUGGUGGGUCGUUGACAGUGUUCCGACCUAUGGUUCGAGUCCCGAGAAUUGUGGUUUAAAGCCUUGCACCAAAGCCCAAAAUGAUUGGACCUUGGUCAGCUCUCGGAUAGCCUGCAGCAGAGCUUGUACCGGAACAAGGUUGGUCUUGUACCGGUACAAGGUUGAUGGUUGUACCGGUACAGCCAUCGGGCUUGUACCGGUACAGAGCCGCAGACCCAGCAACCCGAGCCUCGGGUUUGCAAUUUUGUCGGCCUUGUACCGGUACAAGAGCCCGUGUACCGGUACAAGGAGGCAGUUUUGUGCAGAAUGAAACUGCAGGGGGUUUUGUGCGUUUGUAGCCUUCUAUUAGUAACCCCACGCCCCUUAGGGCUUCCCUGAGCUUCACAGCAGCAGGAGAAGAGGUAGGGGAGUUCUCUACGCCCUCCCUCUCUAUUUCUUUUAUCUUGGUUGAUUUAAUUUAUGAUUUAAGCCUCUCUUUUUCCCUCUUUUUGCUUCUUGGUGUUCUCCCUCCAUGGAAGGAGCUUGAAGCUUGGUUUUGGAGCUUGUUUGAGGGGAGAUUUUCAGAUUUUGGGGACUUGGACACUUGUUGGAGGCUUCCAAAGAGGUUAGAAGCUUAAUCUUUUCCUUUGAUCCUUAAUUUAUUGGAUUUCUUGAGUUGAAACCCUAGAUUGUGAUAUUAGGGUUUAUUUUGGGUAUUUUGAAUCUAGGGCUUUUGAAGCUAGAUUGAGUGGAUUAGAGGCUUCCAUUUGGUUGGAUUGGAUGAGCUCUAGCUCUCUUUUAGAGCUUUAGAGGAGAUUUUUGAACUAGAGGUGAGUUUUCCUCACCUAUACUUGAUUAGCUUAAUGAUUGAGUUAGGUAUUGUUCGUUUGGCUCGUAUGACACAUGUUUCUAUACCUCUAGGGUACUAGGAGACUAGAGGACACCCUCGUUGGAGCGCACGAGGAGUUUCGUUGUCAUCGGUGGGUUUGGCUUCGUGGAAAUGGGGCGAAAUGGCCCCUAUGCUCUUUCUACUUGUUGUAAAAUAUUUUUAAAUUCAUUUCUAUGCUAAAUGGAAUUUAUAUGAAUUUUAGAGCACUUAAAAUGCAUGCCUUGUGUAUUAUGAAAAUUUCACUAUAUAGUAGAGCUAUAUGAGUAGAAUGCAUGCAUACGGGAAAAGUGUUUAUUUUGCAAGUGAAAAAUACAUCUCUUAUGAGGAUUAUGACUUGGAAUAUGUACUUUGGAACAUAGUUGCCAUGUUUUGACAUAGAGAACAAGAGUGUCAUAAAGGGGCACUUGAAACUAGUAAACUAUGAAACUGCAACAUAGAGACAUAUUGAUAGGCCACUACAUAUCUGCUAUAUUCCAUGUUAGAGACAUGAUGACAUAGGGAUAGGCCAUUGAGAUACUUGACACAUUCCAUGUUAUUAGACAUGAGGACUUGGUACUUGCGACAGAUCGUUUGACUACUUGCCAUUGUGCUCAUUCGCACAUGCUUGUGAGGGUCGCUCCCUACAAGCCGGCACUCCGGAGAUAGCCAUCGCGAUUCAUUUUCGCCGUGCGGGAUUGGGCGCCGAAGUGGAUUGCCGUGGGCCAGGCACAUUCCUAGGGUGGGGAUGAUGACUAUCACGGGGCCAUUAGGCUCGGCACCGGCCAGACAGCCUACGGGUGGGUCUCAGGGCCAUAGACAGCCUUCGGGUGGGUCUCUUCAGAUUUGACUUGAGUAUUCAUUAUGACAUGUGGACAGAUGAUGACUUGGAGUAUUACUUGGACAUUGACUAGAAUAGUAAACAACAAAAUUUUACUAUUUCGCAUUGUGAACAUUAUGAUAGUUGGAGACUUUUACUUCAUGCAUAGUUGCUUUCAUACUUAUGCUAUUUAUGCUAAGUAGAGAUAUCAUGUUGUAGUAAGUUACAUUGUUACUUACCUUUCGCUUUUCUACAUUUAUAGUUACUGACAUCUUUUGUAGCUUUGGGCUUUGUGGUGCAUUCACUGAAGUCAGUAAUUGCCACUGGGAACUAUUUUUAAUAGUUCUCACGCCCCCAUUUUAUGGUUUACUUUUCAGAGCCUUCGGCACCGACGGAGGCACAGGAUCGCGGCAAGGGGAUCGCUUAGCUAGCUAGCGAGGAGCGGUACUUUGCCUAGGUGGUUUACUCCUUCUUUUGUAGUUGAGAGAGUGAGAGGUUUUUGUAUCCAUGUAUAGAGACCACCUAUGUAUCUAUCUAUAGCACUUGUAUCUGGGAUUUUCUUGUAUCACUUUAUGUCUUAUUUAGUGGAUUUACAGUUUCAUCCUUAUCCUUUGUUGUAGCAUUUAGACAUUUACUAUGCUCUGAUACUCCUAGAUGUCUUUUACUAUUGCUUUUAUUAUUAUUGUUUUUAAACGCCUUAUAUGUUUUAGACGUAUGGCGGGUCUGGGCACGUGCCGGGCGGGCUUCCGCUGGGUCCCGGGGCGUGACAUUAUUAGUUAUGGGUUAGGUACUAACCCGGUGGACCUUCCUUAGGUCCAGUUGACGUUCUUUUGCAGUCAGGAGACAUGCGCGACAUCCUUAUAGGUGGGUACAUCAAUCCGAAGUCGGUAUAGUGUUGCACGCUCGGUGAUGGUUUCUUACCCUUACUCUCAUUGUUAUUUGGCAUAUAUAUAUCUUCAUAUAUAGUGUUGAGCCUAGCACCCAUGUUGUUUUGGUUAUACUCUACUCAGAUGUUUCCAUACUUAGUACCAUGUGUAGGAGUAGAGUAGUUACUUGUAUGUGAUAUCAGUGAUCUGGUUGGUCGGUUCUCGUACUUCGUAUCAGUGACCUGGUUGGUCGGUUCUCGUACUUCAUAUCAGUGAUCUGGUUGGUCAGUUUUGUAUCUUGUAUCUGUGACCUAUUCAGUCGGUUCCUUGACUUCUGUCGUUCAAUGACCAUUGAGGUCGGUAUACCCUGAGGGGUUGUAUUGUCGGCUAGUGGCUGACGGUAGUUCUGGAUUUCAGUGAUACAUGAUGUGACAUUCGUGUGACCUAUUGGUCGGUUCUUGAGUAUACAGUUAGUUGACAUUGAGCAGUACUUGCAUAUAUUUGAGAAGAUGUUGAGUUGUUCCAUCCUAGUUGACCUGAGUGGUCGGUUCUAGUGCUUCCUUACAGUUUGAUGACCUAUUGGUCGGUUUGCCCCAAGGGGCAGUGAUUGUCGGCUGGUUGCCGAUGGUUGGCUUUUGAGCAUAUCAGCAUUGAUCGCCCGAGACUCGUACGCAUUUCACGAACACCAGCGGUCUAAUCCACGCAAGAGGGUGUUCUUUUCCGGAAAAGUGGUUGUGUGUGCCAACCCGUGAGCCCAUAGUCUACCUCGGGUUAUAUGCAGCCUGUGAGCCCAUAGGCUACCUUGGGUUAUACACAGGUGGAGUGGCAGUGGCAUAGGCUUGAGGUCUGCCGUGCAGACCAACAGGGCCAAGUUUUCAGAUUGGGUAUAUUCGGACUUCUCGUCCGGUUGACGGAUAUAGCUAUAGUAGCAGUUGUCGCAUGUAUACUUACAGUUUUUCUUUACAGUUGUCUUGCUACUAUAGUUUUGAUAUCCUGGUAUGCUUUCAGUUCUUCAUUACAGUUGCGGUAGUUGUUCUUUCAUAUAUAUAUCUCAUUCGUUCAUUAUCGUUGCUACUGUAUUUCACUUACCCAUAUUAUUUAUCUCUUUCUGAUCUGGUGAGUACUCCUCGCCUUCUUCGGCUUGCCGUACCCACUGGGAAGGGAGAUAUAUUUAUAUGUUCUCACCUCCCCCAUCCUAGUUCUCCCCAUUGGGAGAGGAGACAUGUUGUUCCAUCCUAGUUGACCUAAGUGGUCGGUUCUAGUGCUUUCUUACAGUUUGAUGACCUAUUGGUUGGUUUGCCCCAAGGGGCAGUGAUUGUGGGCUGGUUGCUGACGGUUGGCUUUUGAGCAUAUUAGCAUUGAUCACCCGAGACUCGUACGCAUUUCACGAACACCAGCGGUCUGAUCCACCGCAAGAGGGUGUUCUUUUCCGGAAACGUGGUUGGGUAUGCCAACCCGUGAGCCCAUAGGCUACCUUGGGUUAUAUGCAGCCUGUGAGCCCAUAGGCUACCUUGGGUUAUACGCAGGUAGAGUGGCAGUGGCAUAGGCUUGAGGUCUGCCGUGCAGACCAACAAAGCCAAGUUUUCAGAUUGGGUAUAUUCGUACUUCUCGUCCGAUUGACGCAUAUAGCUAUAGUAGCGGUUGUUGCAUAUAUACUUACAAUUUUUCUUUACAGUUGUCUUGCUACUAUAGUUUUGAUAUCCUGGUAUGCUUUCAGUUCUUCGUCACAAUUGCGGCAGUUGUUCUUUCAUAUAUAUAUCUCAUUCGUUCAUUAUCGUUGCUACUGUAUUUCACUUAUCCAUGUUAUUUAUCUCUUCCUGAUCCGGUGAGUACUUGUCAUGUCCGGGUACCAGCGGAAGCAUAUGCGGCACGUGCACAGACCCGCCAUACACCUGCAGUAUAUAAGGCGUCUACAAAGAAAACAUGUCGAUAGGAGGGAAACAUAGAAGAAUCCUAUCCCGAUAUCAGAGCAAAGUGUAAAUCACUAAUACUAUCAACAGAAAAAAUAAGCAAAGAGUAUACAACCCAAAAUCUCAACAUCACAGGGCUACUCAAAAUACAUGUACAAUGGUAGUCUCUCUAUACACGGGUACAUCACCCUCGGCCAUGGCACGAGUAGUAAGGUGAUCACCUAGUAAAACAGCAAGCUAGGUCUAGCUAGACGCGACUCCCUUGCCGCGAUCCCUAGCCUCUCCUGUAGGUAGCUCUGUAAAAACAACAAUAAAAAGGGCGCGAGAACUAUUAAACAAUAGUUCCCAGUGGGUAAGCCGCCAGCCUCGGCGAAUUACACCACUAGGCUCAUGAUGUACUAGAUGAAAGUAAAAGCAGUAAUUGCAUGAUAUAUCUACAAUACUAUCAGGUAAUGAACAUGUAAUUAACAUAUAAUCAUACUUUCUACAGUAAUGAAUUAACUGAAUAAUAAAAGCAUAGCAAUUACUGUAAGCAUGAACGUGUAAGUAAAUAAUGUACACUAUAACUGGUAAUCAAUCAUUACUAUCAUCUGUUAUGUAGAACUUUAAUUUCAUUCAUAAGGACCUACACAGGGUAGUCCCGCUUGCGCCGCGCCUAAUGGUCCCGUGGUAGUAUGCACUCCCUACGACAAUCCACUUCGGCACCCAAUCCCACACGGGCGAGCAUCUGUCGCGUAGGCCAACUUCGGAGUGCCGGCUUUUAGGGAGCUACCCUCACAAACGUGUGCGAAUGAGCACAAUGGCAAGCAAGCAAAGUCCAUAGUUCAAUAUGCCUCGAACAUCGUGUCAUAGUAUGCUAUGUCAUAAUAUGUCGUAGGGUAGUUCCACAUAUCAUUCUACACACUUGAACUUUGCAAUUUGCUAAAGUUCAGUGUAUUACAGUACUCCUCGCCUUCUUCGGCUUGCAGUACCCACUGGGAGGGGAGACAUGUUUACAUGUUCUCACCUCCCCCAUCCUAGUUAUCCCCAUUGGGAGGGGAGACAUGUUGUUUCAUCCUAGUUGACAUGAGUGGUCGGUUCUAGUGCUUCCUUACAGUUUGAUGACCUAUUGGUCGGUUUGCCCCAAGGGGCAGUGAUUGUCGGCUGGUUGGCGACGGUUCGCUUUUAAGCAUAUCAGCAUUGAUCGUCUGAGACUCGUACGUAUUUCACGAACACCAGCAGUGUGAUCCACCGCAAGAGGGUGUUCUUUUCCUAAAAAGUGGUUGGGUAUGCCAACCCGUGAGCCCAUAGGCUACCUUGGGUUAUAUGCAGCCUGUGAGCCCAUAGGCUACCUUGGGUUAUACACAGGUAGAGUGGCAGUGGCAUAGGCUUGAAGUCUGCCGUGCAGACCAACAGGGCCAAGUUUUCAGAUUGGGUAUAUUCGGACUUCUCGUCCGGUUGACGCAUAUAGCUAUAGUAGCGGUUGUUGCAUAUAUAUUUACAGUUUUUCUUUACAGUUGUCUUACUACUAUAGUUUUGAUAUCCUGGUAUGCUUUCAGUUCUUCAUUACUGUGAUGCACUGGACCUCGCAAAUUGUGGGGUUCGAGUGAUUAAUUGUGUUCCGAGCUUUUCCAGACUUUCUGGUGGGUCGUUGACAGUGUUCCGACCUAUGGUUCGAGUCCCGAGAAUUGUGGUUUAAAGCGGUGUACCAAAAUCCAAAAAGUUGAAUUUUUCGUCAGCUCUCGGGUAGCCUUCAGCAGGCUGUGUACCGGUACGGGCUUGGUGUCUAUACCGGUACGGGGUUGAUGGCUGUACCGGUACGGGACCGCGUACCAGUACACAGACGAUUUUGAGGCAAACCCGAGGCUCGGAUUUGGCCAUUUCGUGGGUUGUGUACCGGUACACAAACCCGUGUACCGGUACACAGUACAGAUUUUGGCUGUUUUGUUGGGGGGUGUUUUUGCAAUUGUUGCAACGCCUAUAAAAGUCACCCCAGCCCUCAUGGCUGCUCUUUUGAGCCCUAGACCAGUGGAGAACAGGUGAGAACUCCUCCCCUAUGGUUUCUUCUCCAUUUUUGUUGGAUUUUUGCUAGUUUUGAUCUCUUUUCUCUUCUCCUUCUUGCUUUUUGUGGGUUUUCCACCAUUGGAGAAGUGUGAGAUCUUGGUUGGAGCUUGUUUGAGGAUCAACCUUCAACCCUAAAGGACUUUGGAGCUUGGUUUGGAGCUUCUAAGAGGUUAGUAACUAUUUCUCUCCUCUAGAUUCGGAUUUUGUUGGAUUUUACUAGAUCAAACCCUAAAUUUUGGAUUUUAGGGUUAGAUUUGGGGAUUUUCGAUUUGAGGGCUUUGGAACCAAAUUGAUGGGUUUAGAACCUUUGUUUAGGUUUGAUUGGAAGGACUCUAGCUCCCAUUUGGAGUUUGAGAGGCUCUCGCAAUCGGUGGUUUUCUUCACUAGCCCGAAAUGGUUAAUUAAUUGAGAAUCCGUUACUCGUUUUGUUUGGGUAACACAUUGUUCCUACAUCCUUAGGAGUACUAGAGGCUGUGACACUUUCGUUCGUGAAAGGAAGAGUUCGAAAAAUUGGUGGGUUUGGCUUGUGGAAUGGGGCGAAAUGCCCUAUGCUCUUUCUACUUGUUGUAAAAUAUUUUUAAAUUUAUUUCUAUGCUAAGCGAAUUUAAUGAAUUUAGAGCACUUAAAUUGUAUGCCUUGUGAUUUUGAGAAUUUCACUAUAUAGUAGAGCUAUAUGAGUAGAUGCAUGCAUAGGGAAAGUGUUUAUUUGCAAGUGGCAAAUACAUCACUUAUGAGAUUAUGAUUUGAAAUAUUUACUUUGGAACAUAGUUGUCAUGCUCUGACAUAGAGACAAGAGUGUCAUCAGGGGCUUGAAACCAGUAAACUAUGAACUGCAACAUAGCAGACAUAUUGAUAGCACUACUUAUCGCUACAUUUCCAUGUUAGAGACAUGAUGCUAGGGAGGCCGUUGAGAUACUUGACACAUUCCAUGUUAUUAGCAUGAGGAUUGGUAACUUGCGACAGAUCGUUUUGUCUACUUGCCAUUGUGCUCAUUCGCACAUGCUUGUGAGGGUCGCUCCUACAGCCGGCACUCCGGAGAUACCAUCGCGAUUCAUAUUCGCUGUGCGGGAUUGGGCCGCCGAAGUGGAUAAAUGCCGGUGGACAGGCUCAUUCCUAGGGUGGGGAUGAUGACUACGCGGGGCCAUUGGCUCGGCCGGCCAUAGAAGCCUUACGGGUGGGUCUCAGGGGCAUAGCAGCCUUAACGGUGGGCUCUGUUAGAGUUGACUUUGGUAUUCAUAUGGCAUGUGGACAGAUGAUGGUAUUAGUGUACUCUUUGGACUUUGACUAGAAUAGUAAACGAGAGGAACUUUUUAUAUUUCACAUUGUGAAUUAUGAUAGUUGAGACUUUAUACUUCAUGCAUAGUGUGCUCAUAUUACGCUAUUUAUGCUGAGUAGAGAUUUUCAUGUUGUAGUAAGUUCAUAUUUUACUUACCUUUCGUCUUUUCUACAUUUUAUAGUACUGACAUUUUGGUAGCUUUGGCCUUGUGGUAGCGAUUCAGCCUGAAGUCAGUAAUUGGCCCUGGGAACUAUUUAUUAUAGUAUUGCUCCCAUUUUAUGGUUUACUUUUCAGAGUCCUUCGGCCACGGGGAGGACGUGAUCGCGGCAAGGGGAUCGCUUAGCUAGCUAGCGAGGAGCGGUACUUUGCCUAGGUGGUUUACUCUUUCUUUUGUAGUUGAGAGAGUGAGAGGUUUUUGUAUCCAUGUAUAGAGACCACCUAUGUAUCUACCUAUAGCACUUGUAUCUGGGAUUUCCUUGUAUCACUUUAUGUUUUAUUUAGUGGAUUUACAGUUUUAUCCUUAUCCCUUGUUGUAGCAUUUAGACAUUUAUUAUGCUCUGAUACUCCUAGAUGUCUUUUAUUAUUGCUUUUUUUAUUGUUGUUGUUAGACGCCUUAUAUGUUUUAGACGUAUGGCGGGUCUGGGCACGUGCCGGGCGGGCUUCCGCUUGGUCCUGGGGCGUGACAGUUACAGUUGCGGUAGUUGUUCUUUCAUAUAUAUAUCUCAAUCGUUCAUUAUCGUUGCUACUGUAUUUCACUUACCCAUGUUAUUUAUCUCUUCUUGAUCUAGUGAGUACUCCUCGCCUUCUUCGGCUUGCGGUAACCACUGGGAGGGGAGACAUGUUUACUUGUUCUCACCUCCCCCACCAUUUUUUAGGUAUUGCGAGUAGUGAGGGUUGAGACUAGACGUGAGACACGUUCGUAGUGAUCGAUAGAGCUUCCGACCUGGUUUGUUGGUUUAGUUCCUAUCCUGUUUACUUUUGUUAUUAAUAGCUUUGAUAUUUCAUGGUUCAGUUGGUUUAUGUUAUUCGAAUUCAUGUGGUUUUGAAUGAACUAUAGAACUUGUGGAUUUUGUGAAAAGAAAAAAAAAUGGUUUUCUACCCCUCGUGGUAGUGUGUUUUAAAAAGAAAAGGUUUCGUGUGGGAAACAGCUUUCAAAAGAGUUUCUCUUGUGGUUUUAUAUUUAAACACGGAAUAGUAAAUAUCAGGUGAAUGGUGAAUGAAUGAGAAUUAUUGUAUAUUCAUUAUAGUGGUUGUAUCCUGUUUGUACUCUUGUACUUGUGUGACGGCGUGCAAAUACAGGGGAAACUCUGUCCGUGUGAACAGUAAAUUUUCUGUAUUUGUGGCGGAUCUGACAUACCCUAGGGGUCAGGUUUUCAAAAAAAAAUUUGCUGUGUUUUUACAUAAAAAGUGACCCCGGGGCGUGACAGAUUAAAGUGAUAUCAGAGACAAGUUACAACCACAACACAAUUCACAGGUCGUUUUGAAAAGUAAAUAAAACUGAACCAUUGGUUAGGUUGACCCAUAGGAAGACCUACGAUAUAUAGGCACGUGAGUGCGGGGUUUGAACUUGUGUCCUUGUAAUACACUGGAUCUUAGCAAAUUGCAAGAUUCGAGUGUUUGAUCUGUGUGUGGAGCCUUUCCACAGUUUUUGGAUGGUCGUUGAUAGUGUUCCGACCCCUGGCACGCACCCCGAGGAUGUUGGUUUGAAGCUUGGUACCAAAAUCCCAAAAUUCUCAUGGCGAAUGAAGCCUUUUCCAACAAAAUCCUGCAGCUUGCCUCAGCUCCCUCAGCUCGGCUGUGCCAGGGUGCCAUCCUAUUAGGGUGCCAUUGAGCAUAUGGGUAGCAUAAGUCCCAUACAGGCGACGAGACUUCACCACAAACUCAUCUCUCUAUCAGAGGCACUACCCGGGUUUAGCCUCAGCUGCGAAACCAUCUGGAACCUCCCGCCACCACGGAAUAUUCCUCGAUCCUAAGGAGUCACCCUGCCACUCAGCACCACACUAGACCAAAUUAGCGCUACCGCAAACCUCUGAUCUGAAUCAGCUGCCAUAGCUCGAGACCGAGCUGAUCGUACAUCGCAAACAGCGAACAACCGGGAUCAUCAACAUACCACGCUCAGCCUGCCCGUUCUCUAAAAGUUAACCGUGCGAUUCUUUGCAAUCUAAUGUGGCAUAAAUAAAUUUGGAACGAAUCCAUGCCCACACACAAAGACCCACAUCAAACCGGCCCAGCUUGGCAAGCUAGCAGAUCUAAUAGGCAUGAUCCAAAUCUCCCUACUCCGGAAUAGGGCAACUGCGGGCUAUACUCUUAUAUAUCCAAUAAUGUAGUCAGGCAUAACUUAAUUGUCCCCGUACUGCAACAAGGAACUAACAGCGUGAUGCCAUUGCAACUCGCAAAACAGGCCCGAUCUAUGAAUGAAUCGAUGCACAGUCGGGACAGUAUCAAUAUAAAGCCACAACUCUAGAUGCCCCUCAAGUAAAAUUGAUCACCUGCAACCAAAUCUCAGUGUGUCUGCCUGCUCCUCAGUCUGAGCGGUCAUAAUACGCCCACUUCGGGGUCCUGUCGCAGAAUCCUCCCUCUGGCGCUGGAAACGGGUGUGCCGCCGCAGGCUGGCAUACGCCUGUGCCGACGAGUCCCCUGGCCUUAGCGGCUAAGCGGCCGCCCGAGUGAGUCGAUCGUACAGUCGAUGGUGCCGAGAUCUGAAGAACAUCCUUCAUCGGCACUCGCGUACGCAUCGUGCCCUCCUGGCCAGUGCGAAAACACUGCCCGCCCGCGUAGACACUGGCGUGGUAAUGCGCGACCACCGCGAAUCACACACGAGGGAGGCGGGCGAUCGGCAUACCUCCUCGAUACGCGUUAUGGUGACCGCCGCGCCACGCUCUGGCUCCUCGGAUGCUUUCGCGCGCCUCCUGAGUGCGUCUGCGCUCGCACCCUCAGCGAGCGCCUCUUGCGGCCCUUGUACUCCUUGUCCAUAGCCUCUCGCUGUCCUUGACCUUUGCCGCGUCGCUUCACGAUGAACGCGCCGCAUCAACCACUCCCGGUAGGUGGGGUUUAGAGAUUGCCACAAAUCGGAGACAAGCAUCGCACGGAUCGCACCCUCGCCUUCGAAAUGCGAGGCUUGUCCCUCGUCAGUCCGCCAACGUGACGAAGGCGCACCAAGCAGAACCGAGUAAAAUCCCUUCGUACUGACUACAAGUGUCAUUCACCUUGGCGUAAGCUGCGCAAAUCCUGUUCCAUCUUCCUCUUGACGCUCGGUCUGCUGCAAAGCUUAGUGCGCAAUAGAAGCUCCUGAACCUCUACCAGUGAUAGCAUGCCAAGUAUGCAUGGGGCUCCUGGAGAAUCCAACCACAGCGGUAUCCUCGCAGUCCAGUCUGUGAGUGUAGCGAGCAAACUCGAUCCCUCUCAUCACUGAAAGUAUGCGGAGAGCAUUCUCAUAUGCCAUCACACCCACUUCUCCACGAUCAGAGAUCGACGCUUCUCCGCCUCGAAGAUUCUCGGAGCGCUAGCACCUCCUAAACUCAUUGAGCCGCGUCCAUAGUCUAUCCGCUCCCCCCCCUUCAAUCCAAAUUAAGAAAGCUGCUCCAAACCGGGGCCUCAUCACAUGCGGUAUCUGCCACAAAAACCUCCUCCUGGGACGUGCUGCCGCAGGCGCCGCCACCGCGAAGAACUGGGCGCAGGGGGACGCGCUCUCGGUACAACGUCCACAACUGGCGGGCGGGCGGUUGUGGCCCUGAGUCUCCCUAGAGCUGGUCGUGCGCUUUCAACAGUUAGGUCCUUCCAGCGCCUCAUCCGCGUCCUCCUGUCGUUGCGCGGGCCUCAGUCUCCUGUCGGGCCGCUCCGCCUGGCGGAGUUGACCGAAUAGUGAGGGGGCCGCAGCAUGGCCCCUCAACUCACGGACUACGCUGCGAUCGGAGUCGUAGCGAGUCUCGACCGCCUCGAGUUGCGCCGCACUCGUCCGCCUCCGGGCACUGCUAUGGGAGCGAGAAUCGGCAACUCAAUACAAAAAUUAAAAGCGCAAGUUAGCAAACAUUACGCUAUGCAUCCCCGCUCAAAGACAAACCCCAAUCAAUGCAGAAAGUAAAGAAGUGUUUCAAUACAAUCAAAAAAGAAAAUCCCGAUGUACGUGCUCGGCCACCAACGUAAACCUCCCGGCCAGAAGUUUAGGAGUUAAUAACUUCGUUUAACCUCACUUUUUAGAGUUAUUCACGAUACCCAAUCUAGAACACUUUUCGCUUACAAGCUCAAUAGACCUCCGUCUCUCACGAGCUAUAUCCUUUAGUCAACCAGCUUAAGAGUUGCUAAGUCCCUAAGCUCAAACCAUAGGCUCUGAUACCAAAAAUUAAGAUCUGUCUAUCGCCCUGGAACCAGCGGAGCACCGCCCGGCCGUGCCCUGGACCCGCCAUAUGUCUACCAACAUAUAAUGGCGUCUAAAAACACAAUAAUAAACCAGCAAUAAUACUCAGACUCUAGUAUAUCAGAGCAUAAUAAAAGUCUAAAUGACAACAAGAGGAUAAAGUUAAAACUGUAUAAUCCACUAAUAUAUAAAACAUAAUAAAGUAACUACAAGAGGAUCCCAUAAACAAGUGCUAAAAAGAGCUAACUUGGUGGUAUCUCUUAUUAAGGGUACAAAACUCUCCUUCUCCCAAAAUAUAAAAAAUGGAGAGAGAAUAACACCUAGCAGCAAAAUGAAACUCUCCACGACUAGGCUACGCUACGACCCUUUGCCGCAGAUCCCGUCGGCCUCCCGGAAGCCGAAGGCUCUGAUAAAGAUAAAUCACAACACGAGAGCCCAUGGAGAACUUGUAAAAUCAGGUUCCAGUGCGCAGAUACUGAUUCAUUUGAAUGCACCACAGGCCCAAAGCUACACAACACAUGUCAGUACUAUAAAAGUAGAACGGGGCGGGAGACACGGUAACGUUAAAUAUAUAACCUACUACGACAUGAAUCAUUUCUCUACUUGCCAUGAAUAGCGUAAGUAUUGAAAGCAACUAUUGCACUUAAGUAAAUGUCUCCAACUAUCCUGAUGUUCACAAUGUUGAAAUAGUAAAGUUCCGUAUUUUACUAUGCUAAUCAAUGGAUCCAAGUAGUACACUAAUUCAUCAUCUGUCCAACAUUGUAUAAUGGAAUAGAAAGCCAAUCUGCAAGAGACCCACCGAAAGGCUGCUCUAUCGGCCCUCGGAGACCCACCCGCUUAGGCUGUUCUGCCGGUCCGAGCAUAAUGGCCCGUUAAGUCAUGCAAUCCUCACCCUAGGAAUGAGCCGUCAGCCCCGCAAUCCACUUCGGCCCAAUCCCCGCACGGACGGACAUAUGCAUCGUGCGUAUGCCCAUCGUCCGAAAGCGCUUGUAGAGCCGACCCUCAACAAGCAUGUGCCGAAUAUGAGCACAAUGGCAAGGAUUAAAGCGACUCCGUGCAAAGUACCAAGUCCUAGUCUAAUACAUGAAUGAUGUCAAGGUAUUCAAUGGCUAUCCCUAUGAUAUCAUGUCUCUAACAGGCGAAAUAAUAGCAGAUAGUUGAAUGCGAUAUCAUAGUAUGUCUCUUAUGUAUCAUGGCCCAAGUUUCAUAGUUUUACUAAGUAUCAAGUGCCCCUUGUAUGACACUCUUGCUCUCUAUGGUCAAAACAUGCAAACUUAUGUUCCAGUGUACUAUUGCCAAUUAUAAAAUCACUCAGAAAAGAUGUUAUUUCACUUGUCAAAAAUUAUACAUUUUCCAAUGACCGUACAUUCUACUCAUAUAGCUCUAUAUAUAGUGAAACGUUUACCUAAAUACACCAAAAGACAUGCAUUUUUAAGUGCGCUCUUUAAAAUUCAUAAAAUCCCAUUACAUUAGAAAAAACUCAAAAAUAAUUAUAAUCAACAAGCUAGAAAGAGCAUAGGGCCAUUUCGCCCCAUUUCCACGAGAGCCAAACCCACGAUGAUAAACGAAAACUCCUCAGUGCGCUUCCCACGAGGUAUCCUAUACUUCCUCAGUACCCUAGAGGUAUGAAACAUUGAGUCAAUCAGAGCAACGGAACAAAACUUAGCUCAAAUCAUCUAAGUAAUCAAGCAUAGGGUGAGGAUAAACUCACCUUUAGUGCAAAAUCUCUCUCAAGAGCCUCAAAAUGAAGCUAGGGCUUCAUUCCAAAUCCAACCUUAAUGGGCUUCUUAAUCCACUCAAUGUAGCUUCAAAGAGCCCGAGAUCAAUAUAUACCCAAAAUAAUAACCCUAAUAUCACAACUAGUGUUUUAUCGUCAAGAAAUCCCAAAUUAAAAUUCAGAAAUCUAUAGUAGGAAAGAUCAAAGUAAUGACUAUACCUAACUUAGAUACUUCAAAUCAAGCUGCUAAUCCUUAAUUCAAAGAUCUAUUCCGUCCACCUCUAGCUCCAAAUCAGAGCUUGAGCUUAUCCAUGGUGGAUAAUCCAGCCAAAGAGGCAAAGAAGAAGCAAAAAUUCCAUCAAAAAACCAAGCAAAAUGGAGUAUCAGAAAUCAAAUGGGACAAGACGGUGGAGUCUCACUCACAUUCUUCUCCUCUGGUUCCAGCACAAAUAAAAACCUAAGGGGACGUGGGUGCUGUAUAGAAAAGGCCCACAUAUCCAGACGGGAAAAAACCCCCUGCCAGAACCAACUCAACGAAAUCUGCCUCCUGUGCUACCGAUACACUAGGUUCUUGUACCUGUACCAGACGACGGAACAAUGCAAACCGAGGCUCGGGUUCGCGCAGUUGCCGCGACUCUGUACCGGUACAAGCCCGGAUGGCGUUUAUACGUACGACCUCAAUCCUGUACCGGUACAGGGUCAGUCUGUCCGGGGUACAAGCCCUGCUGCAGGCAUCCCAAGAGACUGACCAAAAUUCUNNNNNNNNNNNNNNNNNNNNNNNNNNNNNNNNNNNNNNNNNNNNNNNNNNNNNNNNNNNNNNNNNNNNNNNNNNNNNNNNNNNNNNNNNNNNNNNNNNNNAAGAAAGAGGAAGUGGGGCAGCGGGCGAACACGAUGCUUGGCAGCUUGAUAGGUAACUCUUCCUGUCCGGCUGCCCGAAAUGUGAUAACCGAGCGGCAAUCAUCGAUUACAUAUAUGAGAGCCAAUCUCAUGCCAAUUAUGAGAUCGAAUUCUUCAACUUCUUGAGCACAAAACAAGUCGGCAUACCCAGUCGUUCACUUGACUGGAUCAUAGCCAAGCAUCGCUUCUAACCAAUAAAUGCCGGGGCCCUCAACUGCCAACAUUCCCCAAGACGAGUACUCAUAUCAUGCGCCGAGCAAAUGAUCGACUAUGAAAUGAAUGUGAACGCGCUGAUAUCAAAUAAACUCGAGCUCGAACAUCUUUAACGAAAUUAUACUCCACAACAUUGCGCUCAAAUCGCCGCGAAGGCUCCUCAAGUGUGACACGUGCAGCAUACAUCUCCUCGGCGCGAUGUGCGCCUCUGUGGCGUGGCGCCGCCGGCUCGCGCCAGUAGAUGCUGCAGGAGGGGGCAAUAGCGAUAGCGACUGGAACUGCCGGGCCGAUGCAUGUCGACAUAGGCGGGUGAAGCUCCUCGGCUGAGGGACAAUCCUGAAUCUGGUUCCCUGCCCGCACUUGAAGCACCUCCCGUCGGCGUUGUUCACAAGCACCGGCCGGUGGUCUCCGCCUCAGAAGAUACACCGCCUGCACCACGACCUUAGCUGAGAGCGUGAUAUCAGGGGCCGUCCUGGAACUAGACCUGACCACCCGAUCACCACUUGUCGUUUCUAUGCCCUUGUCCUUGUCCUUAUCGAACGCGCUCACGGUCCGUCAACCUCGCAAGCGUCCCGUGCCGACCAUAGCGCAGACCAAUGCUCCGCCAGAAGUGUGGAACUUAAAAGGCAUGCACGCAAUAAAAACUCCGGCCGAAGACCUCGAACAAAAACAAUCGCACCGUCCUGCUCUGUUCUCGCCAGAUCCGGGACGCAGCUCAGGAAAUGGGCUGAACUCCCAGCUGUACUCCCGAACUGUAUCGUUGCCUUGCUUGAGCUUGCAAAUCAUUUCCCGCAUCUUUCUCUUCCUCGCUGUCGGGGAAGUACUCGGCGACGCUUGAAGAACUGGAAUAUUGGAGGUGAUGAGAGUGUGGGCCGGCUGCCAUCGAUCGGGUGAAGCUCCGAGGAUCGGUCAUAGCUUGACUUCCGCCACCUAAGUCUGUGGGGCGGGCACGCGCGAGCACUGAUAAACAUUUCGUUUGGCUGCAAUCGGAAGUAUACACUUGUCGCUUCUGCCAUAUGUGAAUAUAUGGUCAUCUCAAGAGCAUCGAGAUCUCCAAUAUGGACCGGUUUUUGUUUGGCAUCUUUCAUGUUCUAGAAGUAUCUUUGUCCACUAAUUAGAUUUUAUUUAUGAUAGAGAUUAAGCAUGAUUUCGUUCCGAGUGGAUAUUUUAUUGUUUUUUUUCCGUAGCUGUUGAUUGUCACUACGUCAAUACUUCAUUAUGCAGUUAAUUGAUGAGUAUUUCUGCGUUCGAAAGGAUAUUGUAGGCUCUUGAUUGCCGAAUAUUGAGACUGUACUGCUGGAAGAUACCCUAUUUCUUGUGAGCUUGUCGAUAACACAUUUCAGUCUACGCUCAGCUGUGUGUUUGGAUUUGUAGAUUCGGAUAUUAUAUUGAUUUGUGUUUAUGUGUUGCGUGUGUUUUUAUUUUGGAUUUAUUUGAGUGGUCGAGUUUUUCGUGCUGUUGUCCGCCUUUCCUCAGGGGGUGCAGCGCCAACAUAAGAUUUUUGUUAGUGUGAGAACAUUCGAACUCUGUGCCGAGGUUGGGAUAUAUAUUCUCAAUUUUUUUGAUCAACCGUUAGGUGUUGCUCGGCCGAGCGCGAUGAUACGCUAUAGAUGGUGUAUUGAAUAGAGUGAAUAUUGUGGACAACCAGCUUCUCCUUUGGAAUCUCUCUUUACGACUCAGUGUGGUGUAUCUCUCCUUGUCAGGUGCGAAGCGGCUGAAUAAGACGCCAGUGACUGCAGACCAGUAUACUGAGAGAUUAUUGUUUCCGCCCAUCGCUCGUCUAGUGUUUUAUUUGAUAUUGGUUGAUGCAUGGUGUGAGAGUUUUUCUGUUCGUUAUUUUUUUUUCUUAUUAUUCGUGCUGGAAGCGCCGCUCUUUGUUUUUGCUCCUUUUUGCGAAUUUAGUGGUUCAGUGUUGACGAUGGUUUUGAUCUGUCGGGCGUUGAAUUGUGCGGCCUUGCUUCGCUGCCAAUUCCUUGCAUAUUUUCUCCUCGGAGCUACAUCAGACAGAUCUUGAUUUAUUCCCAGUUUGAGGAUAGCGUCUGCAAGGCUUGCAGGCUCUGGAGGAUACAUCCGCUGCAUUGGCAGCGAUCCGAUAUGCGAAGUUUUAAGGUUUGUUUCGUUGCAGCUAGGAGCGUGGCGGUGGCUCACUGAAUGAUGUCACUGUUGUCUCUGGGUGUCAGUUAUGCCUGUCAUUUGUUCCGGUGAUCGGAGUUGAUGCUGUGUUGAUUAUUGGAUGUCGUAUUUGUCGGUUCCAUAUGCCACUGGUAGAUCUGUACUUGCUAUUGAUUGGUUUCGCAUAUUGCUGCUGCUGUCUCUCUUGAACGACAGCAAUACGCGUUCUUGUGGUUAUAAUCUAGAAUUAUAACGGCUAACAAAUGUCAUUCGUCUUGUAGAUUGCAAACAUAGAUCCUUAUGCUUCACCACACAUAAUAAUCAUUGGUCGUGUAGCUUGACAAGUGAUAUUUAGUUCUCAAGCUCUCUACCUGCAUUCGUUCGGUGCGCUGUUUUCGAUACAAUACAGCGAGUUGAGUCACAUUGACUGAGUUCUGUGAGGUCACGCAUUUCUCGAGGAGAUGGGAUGCUUAUGAUUUGAUUGAAUGUUGUAGUUUGGCUGUUUGAGAUUCUUCAAUUGUCUUUUUCAGCGCUGGAUUCUUUUGUUUCGUAGCGUGAUUCAGUGCAUUAUGUUUCGCCUUCUUGAGGGUCUCAUUAUUGGUACCUGUGACGAUGGGUCUAUUAGUCAGCAUAAUAUUUGCUUUUUCUUGUGGAUUAUUAGCUCGGUUUCUUGUUUUCACUAGAUUUUUUUCCAGUCCGGUCUCCACAAGUGAUAUAUCGAGCACUACGUCUAUGAAUCUUUUCUCAGUCCAUUAACCAUAUGAGGUAACAACACUCAAACUCCUUCGAACGGCUCCAAUCCAAGUGUAACUUCGCCUCCCUUCCCGAUUGUUCAUCAGGCUUUUCGGACUCCAGGAGCCGCGAAUUCACUCCAGCCUUCUUGAUUUGGGAGAUUUUUGUUCAUUUUGGUCAUGGUUCUGGUGGGCUUAGUUUUUUUUCGCAUUUUCGUGUUAUAGAUAUAGCGUUAGGUUAUUUGUGCUGAUUGUGCCUUGUUGCGCUGUGAUCAGCCGUGGUAGGUAUUUCGGUCGGGUCUCAGCUUAGGUGUGUUAAUACCAAGCUCCUAGUAGGUAUCCAAUAGGUGCUAUUGAGUCGCAUAAUCUGACUUCUGAUCUUCUUUUACUUGUCUUUGAUAACUGUGUGAGUUCUGCCUUGUUCUUGAUUACCACUUAUAUACCUCGUUCCAUUGCGACGUGUUUGCGCGAACUAUGAAUCCGUUUCAUUGAUUUCUCGAUUUGCGCGGCCGAAAACGGUACCGAAUAUUGGUCCGUUCGAGGCGGUGGCGGCGACGGGCAGGAAUCGGACGGAGUUUUCCCCCAGUUCCCGCCAAUGCUAAGCAAACAAUGUGUACGACAAAGGUCCCAGGAAUUACAACUUGACAAUACAUACACAUCACAACGAUAAAACGAGAAGCACCAAACACGCUAACAACCAACUAGAGCCAACGAUAACAAAUAAAACCAAUACAAUAUACAAAUAGAGAAAACUUAGCUAAUUUGAGACAUUAUUGGAAAUAUUUAACCUCUUUCAUUUCACUUUAACCUUAAAGCAAAUUCUAAUACAACUUGCAUUCUUUUUCCAAAAUGAAAUAUACAUCAUAACUCUCCAAAAUUUCAACCCUAAUACAAAACACUCUCAAAAAAAUAAAUAACAAAGUUUACAGGGUAAGCAAUGCAAGUAGUAAAGGUAACUAUCACACACUGCUAAUGCGCUAAGCCCUUGCGAAUCCAUCGAUGAAUGGCCCCUGACCUGUGUACCUGUACCCCCAAAAGCCACACGGGUGAGAACUACGAAUAGUCCCAGUGGUGUAUCGACGCGUCCGGCCGAUCUACUAACCCACUAGGUCUCAACAGGCAUAGAGGAAGAUUAAUAUAUAUAUGCAAUCAUAUAUAAAACUAAGGCUGAAGCGAAAGCAAAGUAGUAAAAACAACUAUAUCAAAGCUAAAUCCUCCAUCUGGAAUCAUAAAUGCAUGAACAAUCAAAAUAAGCUGGGUAAGUAAAGCAACUAAUCACAUCUACAACACUAUCAAUAGUAGAGCUAUAGAACAUCAACUAGGAACAAAUAAGCUGAUAUGAACAACAAACAGCUACUAUGAGCAUCAAUCAUCGGUAAGACUCAAUGGUAACGCCAAUCUCCAAAAUGAAACAAGGUUACACAAAGCAGGCUCAUCAGUAUCAAUCUCCUAGGAUGUCGAGCUGUGACUAUUCCCCGAGUACGCCUGCGGAUAAAACGGCUAUCCGACACGAGCACGGCUGCCAUCUCUAAUGACAAACCCGGAUAGCAACAACCUGGGGAGGCGACCCCACCAAGCCGCAGACAGCAAUGUGAGCAAAGAUCAUCUCACGAGCAACAACAAACAACGCCCUUGAGGGUAAUAUGCAUCAAUAAAGCAAAGGUAUAACAUGUACCCAAUCUCUAGUGUCCUCAACUACACAAUGUAGAUCAAGAUCAAUCAUUAAAUCAAAUGCCACCCGUCAUACGUUUUCUAACUAGAUGCAACUCGUCAAUUAACUCAUGUCAACACUCGUUUCAUCAUACUAGUUCUUUGCACAUAAGCCAUUAAUCAUCUCAAUAGGGCUAGGUUUUCUGCAAGCAACCAUCAUGCAUACUAGAAUCAUAAUACUAAACAAGCAAGAUAAUCAUAUUUAUUAACUACAAGUAUGGGCGAGUAUAACAACAAUAAUCAUUUUCUAACCCUAUAUGUUAUCUGUGCCACAUAUGCAAAUAGAUCAAUUAAAACUUAGACGUAGAAGUGGCCCGAUGAACUUCGGGAUGGCACCCCCCACCUUGGUGAAUUGCCGCAAGCACUGCGAGACCUUCUCGUGCUAGUCUUGUCGCUGGCUUAAUUUUGUUGGUUAACUUAACGCCUUAUAGCGCAUCAAAUUGCGAUAUCUCGCACUCACUAAUCGGAUCGACGAAACCGUCUUCGCCUACCGGCGUUUAUAAGCAUAAGAAAUUUAGGUUUCUAACCCCCUCAAAAAGAGAUCAAAUCCCUUAUUAGAAAAUCCCCAAAUCUAACCCAUAGGUUAGCAACAUAGAGAAAAUCAUGGUUUCAAGCUCCAAAUUUGGAUUGAACUUCUCUUAAGCUCCAAUGGUUUCCCAUUGAACCAUUCUUAGAGCAAUAAAACCUUUCUGCAAAAACCUGUUUAGCAAUAAAUCGGAAAACCAUGGGUGCAGACUUCAAUGUUAGGCCUAGAUCCAUCAUCUGCUUAAACUCAUUAGGUUCCAUUUGAACAAAUACAGAGGCAACAAAAAUAUCCAACCCUAGAAAUCCAAAACUAGGGGUUAAGGCUUACCUCUAGGGUUUGCUCCAAAGAAGCCCUAAGCCAAGGAUGUGGUAAGAAGAGCUCCAAAAACCUUCUCCCUGGUUCUUCAUCCUUGCCUUUUCUUACCUCUCUUUUUCCCUUCUUUUCCUCUCUUUUCUUUUUUCUCCUUCAUUUAUCGCUUCUUAUUGGUUAGAGAGAGAGAGGGCUAAGAGAGGGUAGCGGGGAGAGUGAAAGAGGAGAGAGCUGAGGUGAGGGUUAUCCCGGCAAUUGUAACAAUGCUUAAAUGAAGCCCUCCUUUUAACAAUUUUUCAACUUAACUCCGCUGCCUGCGCGCCCUUAUACCCGUACACGGGCCUUGUACCAGUACAAUGGCCGAACCUCAACCCGAGCGCAAACCGAGCCUCGUGUUUCAUCUGUUUCGCUAGAGCUUGUAAUACGGUACAAGCAGCCUUGUACCUGUACAGCGGCCUGAAGCGCUUCGAACCCGAGAGCUCCUGCGGCAGUCUCUGGCGAUGGUUGUACCGGUACAACCAUCAACACUUGUCCGGUACCACAGCUCUCCAGAAUGCUGUUUUAACUCAUUCGGGGCUCCGCUUCGCGCCCGAUCCGAUGUCUCAAACUAUUCAACACCUUUAGAAAUUCAUUUUGCUCUCCAAAGUUUUGGAAUAUACCGAAAUGAACUUGUCCAAAUGCGUUCAGGAUCGCCUACUUUUGCCGCAUUUGGUCAAAGUUAGCCAAUAAUCGCCGAAUUUCGUAUCUUGACCAAUCGGCAUUACUAAAUAAUUGCGACCAGUGAUUUCUCCCAGCAAAAGAUACAUAUGCUAUUGAGAACAUAUAAUUAUAACGCAGGCACCUUUUCUCAAGACUUUUCGAAAUGAAGAAAUAUAUAUUGUUGGACUAUUUGACUAUAUACUUAUGACAUGUCUGAUGCUUAAGUAAAAGAUAUAAUUUUAACUAUCUUUUGACUUUUGUCGAUUUGCUCAAAUUUCUAACUACUACUCUUAUACUCCCUUAUUAUAUAUAUUUUACCUGAUUAGUGUUUGUGUUUGCAAUAUUUUUUUUCACCUUUUUUUUUUUCCUGUUAGUCGUUUUCUUACUACAAGUCUUAGCUGAUAUUCUCUUAGCUUCUACUUAACCAUUGUGCUUGUUGCUUUUUCAUUAUUAUGUCAUUAUAUCUUUUCGAUUGUUGGAGAUGUUCUUUUUACUUUUAUAAUUAUAUUUUCGAAGUUUGUUACUUCACUUGAUCUUUGUGGCUACUAUUGUUUCAUCUUAAUAUAUAAUGUGUUAAUUCAUUCUUUUCUCUAUGUGUACAAAUACUUUUAAAUUACCUUCAAAUUUAUUAUAUAUAAUUCUUGACGAAAUCAUAUUUUCUUUAGUCCACUGUGAAGUAUUUCUCUUAAUUUGGGCAUAUAUACUUCUAAUUUAAUUCCUUUUUUUUUUUUGUCGACAUAUAGUAUUUCCUUAUAUUUUGGGCUUUUGUGGCGAAUACCUGUCAAUUUUAACUAUCUAGUUAAUUAGAUUUGUAUGCAUGAUUGUGUAUAACCAUAUCGUUCAACUUAAACUUAAUCUAUCGUGCCUUAACUUAUAUUUUAGCAAAGUAUAUAUUAACAGGAUACAAUCGCCAAAAAUAUUGGCAACCAGUUGUUCUGUAUAUUCUAUUGUUUUUCGAUUUGUUGUGAUGGUGUUUUCUUACUAUCUGUUUAAAAUAUUUGACUAUAAUGUUCUGCAACUUAUAUAAUUUCUAAUUAAUUUUUGUAAGUUUGCUGCUUCACUUGAUCUUGUAUUACUGCAAUUGCAUAUUUUUUUAGACCGCCGGUUAGUAAACUAUUUUUUAACCAUUUUUCCUAAUUAGUUUCUAUUCAUUUUUUCUUUAAUUCAUUUACUGAUUCUUGCGUUUUCUUUCAGCUAACUCUUACGCUGCUUCUUCGACUCUAACAACUCUCAAUUUUUAUUGUAUCUUAUGGUCACUCCUCGCUGUUGUUGAUUAACUGCUUAUACUUAUUAUUUAUUGUUAUCAAGAAUUCUUUAAUUCCUCUUAAUUCUUACUAAUUUCGUCUUUUUUUAGCUUUUUUAUUAAAAUCUCAAAAUAUUACUUAAAGUUUAAAAUCUGUGGCAUCUAAAUUUUAUUCUUCAGUUCUAAUUUUUCUUACUCUUUUUGUAUUCUCUCUACUUUAUUUUACAAAAAUUUUUUGUUAAAAAAAACGAAGAAUAAAUAACUAAUUAUAAGUUAAAUAUCGAAUUAUUACCUAUCCGUUUCGAUCGCGCGGUUACACACUAGUGUAUUCUUAUGAUACUAAUCAGUUAGAGAACCAAAUAGCUUAUUUAUAACUUAGAAUCAUAAACGGAGUAGGGAAAAAAUUAAAAGUUUUCUUUUCAAAAUCACACAAUUGUAACGGAACAAAAAAGCUGUCCAGGUACAAGCGAUGACGAAGAUUUUCUUGCGAAGCUUCUGUACCCAAUGGCAGACCUGCAUCUUGUACCGGAACAUGGGCUUGUACCGGACAGCCGUGAUGGUUGUACGGAACUAACCAUCAAACUUCUGCCGGCAAACGUGAUGCUGUAUCCUGGACAGAAAAACUCUUGUACGUACAACAAUGCACAUUUCGCUGAAAAGCAUUGUUUUCGAGUUUACGAAAGCUCUAGAAACUUUCUAAUGCAAUUAGCGAACUUGGAAAACAGUGCUUGAUUCUAAAAAUCUAUAAUAUAAUAAAUGAAUCACCAUAAGACAUGAUUUAAAGCUACCUAGAAUCGUGAUUCAUGAUUUUUACGUGUUUGCGUCCUUUUCUGAUUCUUCGAAGUCUUUGGAUUCUUUUCGAUCUUAAUACUUUCCGCUCCGGACUUCCAUUCAACUCCGACUCGACCCAGUGAAACUUGCCAAACACAUUAGGAACAUAACAAGAACUACCCCGCUCCCUUGCCCGAUCAAUCUCGAAGUCGCUAGGCAAUUAACCUCCGCUCCUCGCCGCGUCUCGAAUCAUCGCUCUACUAAGUAGAGCUGGCACAUAGUAAUGGAAUAUACACAUGCUCUAGGCCUCUGUAACAUGGAAUGCAUGAACAAUAGCAAUCGAUAUUCUAGCUAACAUGAAAUAUUAUGGCUUCAAGAACAAUAGAAUGAGGCUACUACAUAUGAUGUAUCUAAACAACAUGCUCUACUAGUCCUCAACAAAUAAAGAAAAUGCAGCUACUACAUAAGUGAUGUAUCUACAACAUUCACUAUAUCUCAACAAUAAAAAAUGACUUACACAUAGUGUGUCUCUACACAUACUACUUAUGCCUCAAUAAUAAAGAAAGAGCUACUACAGCAGUGAUGUCUCUAAACAUCUACUAUUGCUAUGCCGCGUCAAUAAAUCCGAUAUGAACGACUAACUACAUAGUGAGUCGUGCAACUAUGCCUCGAUAGUAUCCAAUUCUCAAUGUCAACUCCGAAAGUUGCCACCCCGGGUCAAACCCGACUCUAUCGUCAAUUCAUAGGUAGGAAAUCUGCACUCGCACUACCGAACCGUCUGCGAGACUAACCCUAUGUGAUAUACUCGGAGACCACUGCUUUGGUGAGGCGACCACCGACAGCGAAACAGACUAGUGAGUAUGAUCCAAUCCUCACAAGAGGAUACCCUAUCUACCAGGGUCAAUGUGCCUCUGCUGCACAAUACCAAAUGCAUAAUCAAUGCCUCAAAUGCACUAAUGCCAAAUGCAUAAUGUCUACAACAUGACAAUCGGAAAAAUCUACUAUCCCUAGGUUCAAAUGCCAUAGUGUUCCACUACACUAGAUUUGAUGCCACUCGUUUAUGUCAUGAUGUUAUAUGUGUCUUAAUACACUAAAUCGACAUGCCACUCGUCAAUAUUAUAGUGUCUUUGUUACACUAGUCCAAAUGCCACUCGUCUAGGCUAAUUACAUGUCCAGUUCAUCAUCAUUCUUGUCACUAUAGGAUUUUUGUCACAAAACCCCAUCCUCAUGCAACCUAAGAUCAAGUGUCAAGCCCACAAUGCUACACAACCUAGGUAACAUCAAGGAAUGGAAAUGUAAUCAUCUACUAAUCCUAUAAUGCACAAUAUAUCAACAUAUAGGAAUAUGAUCAAGAUAUAGAACUUAGACAUAAAAGGAAGCUCAGUUGCUUCGGGAUAACAGCCCCCACCUUUUAAUGCUACCAAGAGGCUAGGGUUCCGAUUUCUUGAUUCUUGGAAGCUUUCGCCGCGAGCUGCGGCAAUCUGUACCUUAACGGCUUCGUUCUUUAAUAUCUUAACGUAGCCUCGUCGUAUCGCCGAACCGACUUCGCCAAUGCAUCAGAAAACCUAGCAAUUAGGUUUAUACAUGAUCAAUUUAGAUCAAACCCUCACAUAUUGGAAAAUCCCAUUUUUGAGCCCUAACAUACAAUUACCCUCAAAUAAUCCAAAUUAAAUGGAGCAACAUGCUAAGAAUGCUCAUUAGAGGCUACUAGAACACUUAAGGCUAAGGAUUAAGCCAAAUCCCAAAAGUUUACCAAAAUGUGAAUGCCGAGACGGAAGCACGCCGCUCCAACGGGCGCACGAAAGCUCGAUCCGUUGCUCCCAACGCGUUCGCAAGCUCGUUCUCCGCCAACGCCGCGAAUUUGGGCGAAAGAUCUAGAGAGAUGAGAGAGUUAUUUAGAGAGAGAAAGUGAGGAUUUCUUUCACUACCAUCAUGAACGUGUGGUGUUGUGGAGGUGGUGGUGGCUGUGAAGAAGAAGAAGACUAGAAGCUUCUACUUAUAGUCAACACCCCAAUAGUAGCAUACACUAUUCACUUUCAAGCAGCUCGAAAUCUGAUAUCUUUCGCCGGAGCCCUGUGAAUAUCCGUUUGAGCUCAAAUUUGACAGUCAUGUUCGGUUUUACUUAACUUAACGAAAAAAAUUUUAGUCUUUCAGUUUCGACCCCGUUUGGUCACCGAAAGCUGUACCGAACUGUAAUCUUUAUCAGAUAACUGUCGGAUUUUAUUUUCCACCUUCUAGGUGUCAGAAUCGGCUGAAACUUUAAAUCUAGCCUCAUAAAAAUAAUUCUGACAUAUCCUCUAGUUUUCAUAAUUUUCUAACACUGUGUAUUUUCUGCUAAUUUAUCUGCCUCCUUUCACACAGAAAAUUCUAAAUCUUCUGUUUUCACUCCGAUUUCAGCACAGGUCAUUCCCAACCUAUAAUUCACUUCUCUAAAUCCAAUAAAAAUAGUAUCUCAUACUAUGUUUAUUUAUUUUCACUUUUACAUUUAAAAUUCGGUAUGUUACAUUCCACCGCAAUCUCACCGGAACCAUUUAAAUGUACACCGUAACUUCAUAGUUUUAGAUGUCCGGUACCUUACAUAUAGAUUGUGAGAGCAAGGUGAUCGUAUUUCGUGAGCCUAACCAAGAAAAGUUGGUGUAUCGCGCAUGUAAAAGCAAGUGCUUCGCGGCGACCGUAUCGGCAGCGAGGGCAAAGAAGAUGAUCAAAGGUGGAUGUGUGGUCUAUUUGGAGACCAUGGUAGAUGCUCAAAGGGAGCACCCAGAGUUGGGGAAUAUUCGAGUAGUAUGUGAGUUUCCGGAUGUGUUUCCAGCGGAGUUACCGGGAUUGCCACCAGACCGGGAGGUCGAGUUCGUCAUUGACUUGAUUCCCGGGGCGGCGCCAAUCUCGAAGGCUCCGUAUAGAAUGACACGGGUGGAGCUAGUGGAGUUAAAAGCACAACUGCAAGACUUGCUCGAUAAAGGCUUUGUGAGGCCGAACGUGUCACCAUGGGGAGCUCCAGUGCUGUUUGUGAAAAAGAAAGACGGUACACUUCGACUCUGCGUAAACUAUCGUGAGUUGAACAAGGUAACAGUUAAGAACAAGUAACCGUUGCCGAGGAUUGACGAUCUAUUUGAUCAGUUGCAAGGGUCAAUGGUGUAUUCAAAGAUUAAUCUCCAGUUGGGGUAUCAUCAAUUAAAGAUUAGGCCAAAGGAUGUACACAAAAUGGCGUACCGUACGCGGUAUGGCCAUUAUGAAUUCACGGUAAUGCCGUUUGGGCUUACUAAUGCCCCGGCAGCAUUUAUGGACUUGAUGAAUCGAGUCUUUCGGUCGUUGUUGGAUCGAUGCGUCAUGGUGUUCAUCGAUGACAUGUUGGUCUACGCGAGGAGCGAGGAGGAGCACGAGUAGCAUUUGAGAGCCGUGCUAUAGAUUCUCCGACAAGAGAAGCUUUAUGCCAUGUUGAAGAAAUGUGACUUUUGGCUUAUGGAGGUCACAUUCUUAGGCCACGUGAUAUCGGGCGAUGGGGUCUCGGUAGAUUCUAAGAAAGUGGAGGCGAUCAAGGAUUGUCUCGUCCGACAAGUGUAGCGGAGAUCCGCAGUUUUCUUGGACUUGCAGGCUACUAUCGGCGGUUCGUGGAGGGGUUUGCCAAAAUAACUACUCCACUAACGCACCUUACCCACAAAGGAGUAAAGUAUAUUUGGAGCGACGAUUGCGAUCGGAGCUUCGAAGAGUUGAAGAAAAAGUUGACGUCGACCUCGGUGCUUGCUUUGCUGACUCCGGGGGAGACCUUUGUAGUGUACAGUGAUGCUUCAUAUGUCGGACUCGGGUGUGUAUUGAUGCAAAGUGGCCGAGUAAUAGCUUAUGCUUCAUGUCAACUGAAGAGCUAUGAAAAGAAUUACCCGGUACAUGACCUUGAGUUAGCUGCGGUGAUAUUCGCUCUAAAGUUGUGGAGGCAUUAUCUGUACGGUGAGCAUUGUGAGAUUUACACAGAUUAUAAGAGUCUCAAAUACUUGUUCACCCAAAAGGAAUUGAACAUGCGACAGCAGCGGUGGUUGGAGUUGUUGAAGGACUAUGAUGUCACUAUACUUACCACCCUGGAAAAGCCAAUGUCGUAGCCAACGCGCUAAGUAGGAAAUUAGUAGAAAACUUGGCGAUGGAAAUCACGUCGCAACCAUUGUUGCAAAAGGAAAUGCAACGGUUGGGUCUUGAAGUUGUGGCGCCGGGAGUGCCGGCAACACUUGCCACAUUGGUAGUGCAACCGACCUUGUUGGAGAAGAUCAAAGAGCUGCAAGCUUCGGAUCCUUAUCUUCAAAAGGUGCGGAGUGAGGUUGAAAGCGGUAGUGCCGAGGAUUUUGGCAUUUCAAAAUCUUUGGUGUGUACCUAAAGAUGAUGACAUGCGAAGGGCGAUCAUGCAAGAAGCACAUCAAUCUCCCUAUAGUAUACACCCGGGCGGCACUAAAAUGUAAUAAGAUCUAAAAGUGAAUAAUUUGUGGCCGGGCAUGAAAAGAGAAAUUGGAGAGUUCGUGGCGCAAUGCCUUACGUGCCAACAAGUGAAAGCGGAGCGCCGGUUUCUGGCGGGGAAGCUUCAAAGUCUACCAAUACCCGUAUGGAAAUGGGAAGACAUUUCGAUGGAUUUCGUCACCGGUUUGCCUCGAUCUCAAGGCAGACACGAUGCAAUAUGGGUGAUUGUGGACCGAUUGACGAAGUCGGCGCACUUCUUGCCGAUUCACACUACGUGGUCGGAGACAAGUUGGCUCAAGUAUAUCUUGACGAGGUUGUGAGACUGCAUAGGAUUCCAGUGUCAAUUGUAUCGGAUCGAGACCCCAGGUUCACAUCUCACUUUUGGAAGAGCCUGCAAGAGGCGUUGGGCACACGGCUCGAUUUUAGUACAGCGUUUCAUCCUCAGAGUGAUGGAUAAUUAGAGAGAACGAUACAAAUCCUUGAGGAUAUGUUGCGAGCAUGUGUACUUGAUUACAGGGGCGGAUGGCACAACUACUUGCCGAUGGCAGAGUUCGUGUAUAAUAACAGUAACCAAGAAAGCAUCGCGAUGGCGCCAUUUGAAGCCUUGUAUGGAAAGAGGUGCCGUUCCCCGAUUCAUUGGAGCGAGGUGGGCGAAAGAGUUACUCUUGGCCACGAUGUAGUGCGUGAGGCAGAGGAAAAAGUUCGCCUUGCCCGUCAAUGUCUUGCGACGGCACAAUCAAGGCAAAAGAGUUAUGCCGACAAGCGCAGAAGAGAAUUGGAAUUCGCGGUUGGAGACCGUGCAUUUGUGAAAGUAUCGCCUAUGCGAGGAGUAAGGCGUUUUGGGGUCCGCGAGAAAUUGAGUCCCCGAUAUGUUGGACCGUUCGAGGUUUUAGAGCGCAUUAGAGCGGUGGCGUACAAGGUUACAUUGCCACCGAGACUCGCGGGAGUUCACGAUGUAUUCCACGUGUCGAACCUCCGAAAGUAUAUUCGUAACUCGACACAUGUGCUAGAGUAUGAGCCCAUGGAGUUACGUGAAGACAUGUCGUAUGAGGAGUACUCAGUGUGCGUCCUCGAUAGAGAAGAAAGGAAAUUAUGGAGUCGCAUAAUUCCAUACGUAAAAGUUCAAUGGAGCAACCACGCAGUGCGUGAGCCACUUGGGAGCUUGAGGAGACUAUGCGGAGCAUGUAUCCUCACCUAUUUGAGUCGACGAGUUGAGGUAUGUAUAGUUUCACGGACGAAACUAUUUUAAGGGGUGGAGAAUGUAAUAUACCGAAACUUUGGUAAACAAAUAUCGAACUUUAGUCAAAAUGACCAAAGUGCGAGGUUGGUACACUUCGGAAAGGCCAAAGGUGUCUAAAAUGCAAAAAGUGCAUUGUUGGGGGUCUUCGAGAACUGGAGAAUCAAAAAACUCUGCAACUGCAGUUUUUGAGCUCUCUGGGACCGGUCCGUGAUGGGAGAGACCGGUCCUCGUACGUGUGAAAUCUGAGAAGUGAGAAAAUUGGCUAAGUCCCAGGAGAGCAGCUCUCGGGAACCAGUCCCUCCGGGGAGAGACCGGUCCCCGAGAGACCGGUUCCAUCAGGGAGGGACCGGACCCAUUUUUCAUGGCUGAGUGGCUGCUCUCAGGGACCGGUCCCUUACUGGAGAGACCGGUCCCUGAGCCCGAAAAAUGCCCAGUCUGGGCAGUGUUAUGUGGUGAAAGUUGAGGGGCUUAUUUGCAUUUAUGCACUAAGUGGGCUAUGUAUGAGGGGGUAUGAGAUAUUUCUCUCAUUUCUCUCCCUCACACUCUCUCAUAUCUCUCUUUCUCUCUCUAGAAGGCAAGGAAAAGAGGAGAAAAGAGAAAAAGAAGGUGAAGAAGAAGAAGGAGAAGGUGGAGAGGAAGAAGAAGGAGUGAAGCAACUCCCUCUCCUUCACCUCUAGCUCAAGAAAGGAAAGCUUGUAAAGUAAGCUUUGAUCCUCUCUCAUGGUAAAACCCUAGAAUGGGUUUUGAUUGACCUAAGGAUGGUUUUUAAUGGAGCCCCUAGAAGAUUUAAAGCUUUCUUUUGCUUCCCUAAGAGAUCAGAACUAAGGUUUUGUAUAUGUGAUGGAACUAGGGCACCCAAAUUGGAGCUUUUGCUUGUGAAGGUUCUAAAGUUAAAUUGACCAUCUAGAAACCUAAUUGGGGGUAUUUCCGACGCGUUGGUGCGCUCGGUUUGAUGUUACGAAAAGCCUAUGCGAAGAUAUUGACAAAAAGAUCGAUUUUCGUAUAGAUUGCCGCAGCACGCGGAAUAGGAGUCCGAAAAUUUCGAGAAAUUAACCGUAGCACCCUAGUAAGCCUACGAGGUGGGUGGUGCUUUCCAAACUCUUUGAAAUUCCUUCUAUGUCUAUGUGUCACUUAUUGAGCAUAUGAGUAAAUGUUUGUUGCAUGCAUUGUAUAUUCAUGUGAAUGUUGCAUGUUGUGAGUACAAUUGCAUUAUGAAAUGGUUGAGAACCUAAGGACCCUAUGUAUGCAUGAUUGGUGAUAACAAGAACCUAGUUGAGACAAAGAACAAUGUGACACUAUGACAUGUAGAUCGAGUGGCAUUAGUAAAUGCAAGGUGACACUAGAGUUAGUGUGUGUGGAUGGCAUUAACGAGGAUAUGAAUGCUAAAGUGUUUGAACACUAGAGUUAAUGUGUGGUAUCAAAGAGAACAAGUGUGGCAUAAAGAACAACAAAAGCUAAAGUUAGCAACAAAAUGCGACAUAAAGAACACUAGAGUUAGUGUAAUGACAUGAUUGAAAAUAAAGAAUGCAAAGAACUUGAGAUUGAGACACAAUGACAUACUACCUUAGAGCUAAGGGUCAUUUGUGCAUAAUUUCCUUGUAGUUAAGGAACGGAUUGAACUUAACAUCCUUAGAGUUAAGGAUUGGAUCAUACUCGCUAUAAGUCCUUGCUUGAGGGCGGUAGCUCCCCCUCAAGCGAUGCGCUCCGGAGUUUGUCAUCACUGGGUUGGUGCUGUUCCCCAGAGGACGGUCCCCGUCGGGUCGUAGGAGUCUCCCCGGCGAAUUAGGAUUUUGAGUUGGUGAGUUAAUGAGGCGAAACCCCCGGGUUAGCCAUGAAAUUGAACAAGAGAUCAAAGAACUUGUAUUCGUCAUGAGUUUUAUAUUCAGCAUCCUUAUUGAUAGCUUUGUUCAGACAUAUUAGUUGCAUUCGUACAGUUGGUUACUUAUCUUCUUAUUUCUUUCUAUUAUGCCUGAGUUAGACCUAGUGGGAAAGUCGGUGAGAUUGGGGCCAAAUCCACUGGGAAUUUCGUUGUAGUUCUCACCCUACUAUUUCCACAGAGCCUGGACCAAGCGAGCCGGCGAGCGACCGCGGUAAAGGUAUCGCGCCGUAGACAGUGACUACCCGAGUCGAGUUUUAUACUUUUGCUAGUAGCAUACCCUUAUAUCAUCUUUUGUAUUUGAUGAUUAGAUAUGUUAAAGAAAAGAAUGUAAAGUUUUAUUUUGAGCAAAUGUGAUGUAAAAAGAAAUGAUGAAAAGCAAUGUAAAGGUAAAUGUGUAUGUGAAAAAGGAAUUGUGAAUGUAAAGGUUGAAUGCAAUGUAUGUGAUCCAAACUGAAUCAUAGUACUUGUGUAGAUGUUUAGCUUCCAUUCUUUCACUCUCGGCUAUUGCUUACCCUCGUGUAAGCCGUAAUUGUAUGUUUCCGCUUGUGCAUUUUUUUUCUACUUGAAUUGUACAUGCGUUGAGCCUUGGGCGGACAGGGGAGGCUCUGUUCGUUCGUCGUCUGUUCGAUGUGCCCGGACCGGCCAAAGGGUUCAGUCCCGGAGCGUGACAGGUUAUCCCCUACUUUAUACCCAAACAUGUUUUUGGGGGGUGGGAACUAGUUGUUCCCACCCACCUGGUACAAGGGGGUCUUGUACCGGGUUGGGUGGGAACAACAUGUUCCCACCCAGGGGUGGAACAAGUUGUUCCACCCCACCCCUCGGUAGAGUGAGAGAGAGAGAGAUUUUUAUUUUAAAUUUAAAUUUCUAAAAUUUAUAAUUUAUAAUUUUAAAAUUUAAAUUUAUAAUUUUAAAUUAUAAAUUUUAAAGUUUAAAUUUUAAAUUUGAUAUUUUUAAUUUUUAAAUUUUAAAUUUGAUAAUUUUAGUUUUUAAAUUUUAAAUUUGAUAUUUUAUAUCUUUCAAAUUUAAAUUUGGUCUUAAAUUUAAAAUUUUAUAUUUAAAAUUAAAAUUUUGAAAAUUAAAAUUUUAAAAUUUAAUUUCAAAAUAUAAAAUUUAAAAGUUAAAAUUUUCAAUUUAAAAUUCUAAGUUUAUAAUUUAAAUUCAAUUAUAGGGGUAAUAUCAUUAUUUUCUAUUUAUAACUACCAACUAUUCCACCUUAUACUCACAUUUUUAUCCAAACACAAUUUUUCUAGUUCUAGCUUAUACUCACAUUUUCAUCCAAACAAAUAAAUACCCUUGUUCUUACAAAAAUCCAUACUUGUACCUAUCCCCGGUAUAACUAGUUCCUACUAAUUUUCGAACCAAAUGGAGCCGAAGGAGAUAGCCUCGGUGGUCAAGUGGCUUGCGCCAACUACUGUGACCGAAGUCAAGCUUUUCUUGGCUUGGCGGGUUAUUACCAGCGAUUUGUCGAAGGGUUUGCCAAAAUUGCCGCACCACUGAACAGGCUGACCAGAAAAGGGGAAAAGUUCCUGUGGACUACACAGUGUCAGCAGAGCUUCGAUGAGCUAAAGGAUAGACUGACCCGUGCACCCGUUUUAAAUCUACCGCGGCCUGGUAAGGACUUCGUGGUCUAUUGCGACGCCUCACGAGUCGGUUUGGGUUGUGUGCUUAUGUAGCAGGAUCGGGUCAUUACUUAUGCCUCACACCAGCUGAAAGAGUAUGAAAAGAACUACCCGACUCACGAUCUGGAAGUCGCGGCAGUAGUGUUUGCCCUUAAGCUUUGGAGGCAUUAUCUAUAUGGGACACACUACGAGGUAUUUACUGAUCACCAGAGCCUGAAGUAUCACUUCACCUAGAAGGAGUUGAAUCUCAGGCAGAGGCGUUAGCUCGAGCUCUUGAAGGACUACGACCUCUUGAUUUAGUAUCAUCCGGAAAAGGCGAAUGUGGUAGCGGACGCCUUGAGCCAGAAACAAACAUUAGCUGAGUUGUCCUUCAUGAUCACGAGCCAAGAUCGUCUUAUGGAGGAGUUCCGCCGCCUCGAGAUCGAGGUUGUUUACACUGGGGCCACGACCUAAUUGAUGACCCUGGUGGUAUAGCCUACAUUGACUGAGCGGAUUUUGCUCGGGCAGCAGAGCGAUCCGCACUUGCAGAAGGUGCGGGCGGAGAUCGAGCAGGACAAGGACGGGGACUUCUCUAUUCACACUGAUGGAUCUCUGUUCCAGAGGUAGGUGGUGCAUGCCUAGUGACUCGAAGCUGAGGAAUGAUAUCCUAUCCGAGGCUCACCGAUCCCCUUACACGGUUCAUCCCGGCGGAACCAAGAUGUAUCGCCACCUGAAGCAGAAUUUCUGGUGGCCUGGGAUGAAGCUAGACGUGGCUCAGCACGUGGCUCGGUGCUUGGUUUGUCAACAGGUGAAGGCCGAGCACCAGCAACUAGCAGGAAAGCUGCAACCACUUUCGGUGCCCGUAUGGAAGUAGGAGCAUAUUACUAUGGAUUUUGUCACCAGAUUGCCUCGAUCACUGCGGGGCCAAGAUCCGAUCUGGGUAACAGUAGAUCGGCUGACGAAAUCGGCUCACUUCCUGCCGAUGCACACUACAUGGUCCCGCUACCGACUGGCACAGUUGUACAUUGAUGAGAUCGUUCGGCUUCAUGGUGUGCCGGUGUCGAUCAUAUCAGAUCGGGACACUUGCUUCGUAUCCCAAUUUUGGAGGAGCUUAUAGCAGGUUAUGGGUACGAAGCUGAACUUCAGUACGGCUUUCCAUUCCGAGAGCAACGGUCAGUCAGAGCGAGUCAUCUAGAUUCUUGAGGACAUGCCCCGCGCAUUCGUCCUGGAUUACGGUGAUGGAUAAUUUCGGUAUCUACCGCUUAUAGAGUUCGCCUAUAAUAACAGCUACCAGGCGAGCAUCGGGAUGGCACCGUAUGAGGCUUUAUAUAGGCAUCGAUGUCGGUCUCCUAUCUGCUGGGACGACGUAGGAGAACGCCGGUUGAUUAGGCCAGACUUAGUGGAGGAUUGCUAGUGUAAUAUACCGAGAUUUUAAUAUAAAAGUAAGUGUAAAUAAAAAAAUAGUGUAAGAUACUACUUUUAUUGGAUUUAAAGAAGUAAAAUAUAAGCCGGAAACGACUUGUGCUGAAAUCAGAACGGAAACAGAAAAUUUAGAAUUUUCUGUAAGGAACGGGGCUGUCAUUUUAGCAAAAAAUUCACAGUGUCAGAAAAUUAUGAGAACGUGGGAGUAUGUCGGAAUUAUUUUUAUGAGGCUAGAUUUAAAAUUUUAUGUCAUUCCGACACCUGAAAAAUGAAAAAUAAAAUUCGACUGCUAUCUGCUAGAGAUUUUGGGUCGGUAGAGCUUUCGAUGAUCAAAAGUGGUCGAAACUGAGAAGUUAGGAUAUCGUUCUUCUUAUUAAGUAAAAUCGAGCCUAACUGUUAAAUUUGAGCGCAAACGGACAUUUAGAAGGGCUCUGGCGAAAAGGAAUAGAUUUUGAACUAUUGAACUGAUAAUUGUAAUAGUGUUUUGGGGGCCUAUAUAUGUAAACCCACACACUCUCUCUCCCUGAUUUUAUCCAACCCGAGAGAAGCUUGGAGAGAGCUUCUCUCUCUCUCUCUUUCUCUCUAGCUUUCACCUCUCUCUCCUUUCCUCUUGUAAUUUCUCCAUUAAAGAGAGGUUUGGAGGAGCUUAAAGUUGCUUGAUGGUGAAGCAAGCUUUGGUGGAGAAAAAGGCUUGGAGUUGAAGCUACUACCUCUCAUUCUUCCUUGGCUCAAGAAAAGAAAGCUUGUGAGGUAAGCUUCUUGAGCUUCAAUGGUAGAUUUCUAAGGUUUGAGUUAUGUGCUCUAGAAAUGGGCCUAGAUGACUCCCUAGAUGCUAAGUAGAAGCUAUUUGCUUGAAUCAAAGACUUGUAUGGCUAUUAUUGCAAUAGUUGCAUCUUAGGGUUUAAAAAGAGAGUUUUGUUAUAUGGGAGGGUUUGAUGUAAAUUGACCCUAUAUAUCUUCAAUUGAAGGUAAAGUUAACAACGUGGGUAACUCAAAUCGAAGUUCCUACGAUCGUGCGAUGAGUAAUUAAAGAAAAGGACCGUUUUGGCUUCGUUUCUGCCUGGAGGGCCGGGGCAACGUCCAAAAAUCACGAAACUAGAAUCUUAGCGUCACGGCAUCACCAGAAGGUGGUGGGUGCUAUCCGAAGCAAUCGGAAGUAUUGUGAGGUGGGUUGUGCUCACCGAAGUUAUUAGCUCACUUUUAUGCCGAAGUGAAAUGUUGUUUAUCAUUGAUGCAUAAUGGUGGUUAAUUGCUAAACAUAUGAAGGCAUGAAGUAAAUGCUAGAAGAAUAUGUAAGAUGAAUGCUAUGUUAAACUACCAUGGUUACUAUUGAUGCAUGUAUGCAUAUUGGUAGGUUGUGCAUGAUAAUGUGAAUGUAGGAAUCAUAUUAUGCUUGAUGGUGUUACCUACCAUGAGAAGUUAUAUGAAUGCAUGACAUAGAGGUUAUAUGAAUGCAUGAGAUGAAAUAUGCAUGUUAAGAUAUUGUGGAUUAUGUUAGAUGGAAUAUGCAUGAUGACAUGUUGUAGCAUGUGUUGGAUUCAUGUAGAAGUGAACUUGGACAAUAUGUUUAUGUAAAUGAGUGGCAUGUGAACUAGUGUGGUAGAGGCAUUUAAACAUGAUUACAUAAACGAGUGGCACAUGAUUAAGUGCAGUAGAGACACUUACAACAUAAUGACAUGAUCGAGUGGCAAUUUGGAUCUAGUGUAGUAGAAACACUAUGACAUGAACAUAGGGAUAGUAGAUUUUCCGAGUUGUCAAUAUGGCCUUUGAAUUUAGUGUCGUAGAAGCACUAUGACCCUUGUAGACAGGGUAUCCUCAGUAGACGAGGAUUGGAUCAUACUCACUUAGUCUGUGUUCGCUUGGGGUGAUCGCUCCAAACAAGCAGUGAGCUCCGGAGUUAUCACACAAUGGGUAAAAAGAACCUACUAAGCAAACGGUCUCGGUGUGCGAGUACAGAUUCUCCUCACCUAUGAGAUUUUGAGAGGUGAGUCGGGGCGUAACCUUCGGGUUAGCCAAGCAGAUUGGGUGACAAGCAUAUGAGCUGUAGUUGAAUCCCAGUAGAGUGGAUUCGGAAUCCCAGUUGAAUGGAUUUAAGGCUGAGGUGCAUGUGAGACGUCCUUCACCUUGAGCCUGGUUGUACGCGGUAUUCCGCAGAUGAUUGACUCGAGGCCGAGUCGAGUGGCUAGCUUGGUAAAAGUAGAUGAAACCUUAUGAGCAGAUGAUAAAGGUAGAUGAAACCUUAUGAGCAGAUUGUGAAUGACAUGAAUUUAAGAUAGAGAAAAUCUUAGAAGUCAGUUGGAUGAACUGUGGAUAGCGAAACUGAAAGUAGAAUUAGUAGAUCUACUUACAUUAUUGCACGUUGAGCUACAUGACUUACAUUGAUGCAUAUUGAGUUGCAUGAUUUGCAUUGUUGCAUAUUGAGAGGCAUGAACAUGAUAAUAUUAGUUGCAUAAAUUAAAUGAUGAUAUAUAUAUAUAUAUAUAUAUAUAUCUGUGGAUAUUUGUUGGAAUAACAUGUUUGCAGUGCCUCCUUCGGACCUGCUAGGUCGAGCUCUUCCCUUGGGUGGCCGUACCCACUAGGAACUAUAUUUAUAUAGUUCUCACUCCACGUUGUUUUGGGGAUUACAGGUUCACACGCGAGCUGUGCGGCGGCGCGAGGAAAGGUCGUAGCUUCGUAGAUAGCGCCCUACCACGGAGACCAAAAAUAGUAGUACCCAAAGUCUGCCUAGCUAGGGGUUUGUCAUGCCCCGGGACCCAGCGGAAGCCCGCUCGGCGCGUGCCCAGACCCGCCUUAUGUCUAAAACAUAUAAGGCGUCUAAUACGAAACAAUAAAUAAAGCAAAUAAAGGAGACCUAAAGAUAUCAGAGCAUUAUACAACAUCUAGUACCUAAAGCAGUGAAAUCCUUUAGCUAGAUAAGAUAAGGGGCGGAUGUAGCCAAGUGGGUCUAGCAUAUUUUUUCACAGUAGCAGGAUCAGAAUAACUUACUCCAGGGGGAUUAUUCAGAGCAGGCUCAAUGGAACUACUGAACUCAAUCUCUUGCUGCCGUUACUCAUGUUAGGUCCUAUGUGUUGGCAAGUUUCGUGGGUCGAGUCGGAGUCUUGAAGAAGUUCGGAGCGGAGUAUUGAAAAUCGAAGAAUCCAAGACUUCGAAGAAUCGGAAAGGACGCAAAACACGCAAAACUUGAAUCACGAUGCGUAGGUAAGUUUUAAAUCUUGUUUAUGGUGAUUCAUACUUAUUUAUAGAUCUUAGAAUCAUAUUUUCAAGUUGUAAUUGAUUAGAAAGUUUUUAAGAGUUUGUAAAACCCGAAACAAUGCAUUUUCAGCGAAAAUUGCAUUGCUGUACCGGUACAAGGGUUUUCUGUCCAGGGUACAGCCAUCAACGUUGCGCAGAAAGUUUGAUGGUUGUUCCGGUACAAGCUUCAUGCUGUACCGGUACAAGCCCUGUUCCGGAACAAGCUGAAGCUAUCCAGGGUACAGGAGCUUCGCAGAAAAAUCUUCCGUCAUGGUGUACCCUGGACAACAUUCCUUGUUCCGGUACAAGGUGCUGUUUUUGGAAAGAAACUUUCUAAUUCGACUCCAAUUGAUUCUAAAGUCUAUAAAUAAGCUAUUGGGCUUCUCUAACACAUCAAGCAUCAUAAGAAUACAUGUUUGAGAAACCCUAGAGGCUCGGAUUUCAUCUUAAACCUAUUUUCUACAAAAAGCCUCUUUUAGAUCAAAUCGAGAUAUUCAAAUUUGAUAUUAAUAUGUCGAUUUGAUCUCCGCUUUGCUUGGAGUUCUAUUCCCUGGUUUUCUACAAUACUCCAAAGCGAAGGAUCACCAUAUUCAUGAUAUUCUUCAUGAACGGCGUCGUGGAUUCGGCGUGAACGAAGACGGUUCGUGGAUUCGGAUCGUGAGCUCGUGGAUUCGAGUGGGCGUCGUGGAUUCGACGUGAUCGAGGCUUCGUGGAUUCGAAGUGGUGACGUUUUGUGGAUUCGGGACGUGGCGUUCGUGGAUUCGGACGUGGGGCGUGGACAACCCGUUGGUGUGCGCGAGAUCCGGAGAAGAUAGAAGAGAGGUUUGAGUCCGUGGAUUCAGUAAAACACCUUGUAAUCUUUUAGUCUUAGUGGAUUGUUAUCGCGUGUUGGUCCCGUGGGUUUUUUACUCCGAGUUUGGAGUUUUUUCACGUAAAUCUCGGUGUGCUUUUUAUUUUCCGCAUUUAUUUUUAUUGCAUCGAGAUUUGUGGUUUUUUGGCCUUUCACCUAUUCACCCCCCUUUAGGUGAUAGAUACAAUCUAGAUAGAUCCUUGGGCUCCUCAAAACUUUCAAUUGGUAUCAGAGCGGGAUCUAGAUAUAUUGUUAUCUAAUGGCUGAAGGUGGUAACAUUAAUCGACCUCCGCUCUUCGACGGCACGAAUUAUACCUAUUGGAAAGUUCGCAUGAGAGCUUUUCUAAUUGCUAUCGAUGAGCGGGUUUGGCAAUCAAUUGAAUUUGGGUGGAAACAUCCGCUAGAAAAGGUCGAUAAUGUUGAAAAGCCAAAACCACGGAACAAGUGGACAAAAGAAGAAAACGAGACAUCUUCGUUUAACGGCAAGGGCAUAAACGCUUUAUUCAAUGCCUUAUCGCAAACGGAGUUUACUCGUGUUUCGGCUUGUGAAACGGCAAAGGAAAUUUGGGAUACUCUACAAGUUACGCAUGAAGGAACAAGCUUAGUAAAGGUCCAAAAAUUGCAAAUGCUAACUAGCAAGUUUGAUUCAAUUUCUAUGGACGAAAAUGAGACCUUUACCGAGUACUAUACACGUCUACAAGAUGUUGUGAACACAUGUGCUAACUUGGGAGAGAAAAUUCCGGAUUCAAAGGUUGUUAGGAAAAUCCUUCGCACUCUUCCGGAACGUUUUCGGGCUAAAGUAGCCGCGAUCGAAACGGUCAAGCAUCCGGACGAGAUGAAGGUCGAAGAAUUAGUAGGUGCUUUGCAAACUUAUGAGAUGACUUUUCCUACUAAUCAAUCUUCUUCCAAUUCUUCUUCUAAAAGCACAGGUGUUGCAUUGAAAUCUACAAAGGAGAAGGACGAAGACUCGAGUUCCGAUGAUGAUUUAUCAAUUGCGGACUUUGAACAACAAUUGGCGCUUCUCACGAAGAAGUUUCGUCGGAAUUUUCGAAAGAAGAAUAGAUCGAACAAGGCUUCAGCGUCUAAAUCUUUUUCGUCUACAUCUAAGGAGAAGAAGCGUGCAAAGGCUUCGAAAGAAAAGGAUGUCUUUGAAGGCGAGAUCCAAUGCUUCAAGUGCAAAGGUUACGGCCACAUUGCGACGGAUUGUCCUUCAAAGAGGACAUCUAGACAAAAGGCUAUGCAAGCAAAGACGUGGGAUGAUUCAACAUCAAGUGAAUCAUCGUCAAGUGACGAAGAAAAGGAUGAUCAAAUUGCUUUAUUUGCUAAUGCUCCCUCGUCGAAUGUUGUGUGUUUAUCCUCUGUUGCUACUAACUCCAAUAUUUCUCUUUCUUCACAUGAUUCAUCGAGCAACAAUGGCGAAAGUGAAGAGGAAUCAAACGACGACGACAUAGCGGAAGCGUACAAUCAACUUCUUAUUGAAUCAAAGAAGAUGGCUAAACUCAACAAGAAGUUGAGACGUCGUUUGUUGGAACUUGAGGAGGAAAACAACAAUGUAAAGAAUUUGAAUAAGGUUCUUGUGGAGGAAAGGGAUUCAAGUUUGAAGAUUAAUUCGGACCUCCAAGAGAAGCUUAGUGAUGCGGAAUCAACGAUCAAAUCCUCUAAUGACAAGAUUGGACUUUUGGAGCAUCAAUUUCAUGAAUCGCACAAGUCCAAUCAAGUCUUGAUCUGUCAACUCCCAAUCCAUCUUCACGAUUUCUUCUGGGAUCAAAGAAGUUGACAAAAUGUUGGAUUGGGCUCAAACGAGCAAAUUGGGUCUUGGAUUGAAGGACAUAUGUUUGAGAGGAUCAAACUGGCGACCAUCUAAGUCUCACUAACUUUCAAAAGCGCACAGUGUGUCAUCGAUGUGGCCAUUCGAAGGAACGAUGCAAAAGGAAUUGCCCAACAAAAAUGGCAAGAGUCACCAAUGGCAAUCAAAAACAUUCAUCAUGGCUUCAUCUAGCAAGUCGACUUCCCCCGCGGAAUCAAAAGAAAAAUCAAGUGGUCGGCUAUUCUCAAAAGAACCGGUUUUCUAGCGCACACGUCAACCGUCAAGAUUUAUACAAACGGAUGUCUUAAUCCUCAACGACUAAAUUCAAUGAAGCCUCAACGAAGAAACCACAAACGGUUGAUAAAAAAUCUUAAGCAACGGCACCAAACGUCGACAAGCCGACGAAAACCAAAGACCGACAAGUUUGGAUCCGGAAGAGUGAUCUUCCUUGGCAUAAUCCUCGUCUUUAGUCAUUUGAUCUUUGUGUAAUGCCGUGUGGAUUGGUGUUUGUUGAAUAAUUUUAUUCAUUUCAUUACAUGUUAAAUGAUUUUUGGAGUUUUUGCUUUGAAUUUUGUUUAUUUAAAAUCAUUUUGAGGAAAAGGGUGUUUUGGGAUUCAAAUUUUCGAGAAAGGAUGAUGAUGAGGAAUCUUUUGGAGAGAGAAUAUUCUUUAAUUGUCGCGUAAACGGUAAUUUACCUUCACAAUCAUAUAAAUGUUAAAUCAUAUAUGCUUCAUUUUUACUCCAAUUUUUAUUCAUUUUGACCGAUAAAAUUAUAUAUGAUUGCUGUAAUGCAUAAAUUCAUCAAAUUUUCUGAAAUCAAAUUUGAUUUUUUGGUGAUUAAUUUCAUCUGGUUGUGACGUGUUGGAUAUGAUGAAUGGGUAUUCCUAAUUGACUAAAAUUCGUCAAAAUUGUAUUUUCAUUGUGAGAUUGUCUAAUUUAUGGGUGAGUUUGAAAUUGUUUAAAAUAAAAAAGGAGAAAAAAAAACUCCUAGGGUUUAAAAGACUGGGUGGAAAAGGUUACAUCAAAAGGAGUGUGAAAACUACCACCAACUCGUAGGAAAGAGUACCACCCCGGUCGUCCGGAAGAUGUGUGAAGUCCAGCAAUGAAAUUAAUUGGAUAAGCGAAACGUUGGAAAAAUUAAAUAUUUAGAAUUUCGGAGUAAUAAGGUGCUAGUUUUGAAAAAGAUGCAUCAAAGAGCAGCCCUGGUAAUCUAUUUUAAGUUAAUCUCUAUUUUGAAAUGUAGUUGCGACAUUCGACAGCGAUGUGCAAUUUUGUCUUUGAAUUCUAAAAUCAUUUUCAUCAACUUACAUCUGGAUGGUUUUUGGUAUUAAAUUAUUUUGAUUUUGAAAUUUUGAUGCUUUGAUGUUGUUGUGAAAUUUAUAUAUUAUUCAUUCAAUGAUUUUUGGAGAAAGCCUUACUAUAUGAUUUAAUUUAAUGUGAUGGAUUUUUAAAGCAAAUUUUCGAAAUCUGAGCAUCGUUCAUUGGCUUUAGUCUCUCUCCUUCUCUAGUUUGCCUUUUAGAUCGAUGAUGUUUUAGUUUCAGUUUUGCUUGUUUUUUUUGGCCUGUAACUAUGACUGACUACGCUUUACAUCCUUUUUUCUAAGUAUGUUAUUCUUCUCUAUUUGAUUUCUUUUUAGGCAUUUUUACGAAAAGGGGAGAGAGCGUAGAUGAAGGGGGGGAGCAUGGCAUAGAACAAGUGCAGUUGAACUGAAGCAGAGGAUGAUGAUGUUCAGAACAAAGGGGGAGAUGCUGAGAACAAAGGGUGGCGAGAGGUAUUAAGAAUUUAGUUGCUCAAUUCAUUUUGAAUGAAUGUUCAAGACUCCUAGUUGCGGUUGCUAAGUUCUAUGAGUACUUUUUAGGAGUUUUGUAUGUAAUUUUGAGUUUUCAGAAUUGAUAUUGGAUUACAACGAGGACUAGCAGCCAACGCGCGCGGGUUCGAUGUUUGUGAUGGACAUUGAACUUCCGUUUAUUUUUACAUUGUCAUUUGUGAGUUUGUGUGUGUUUUGUCAGCGAUUUGCCAAAGGGGAGAUUUUUAGUCCUAUAGUGUUGGCAAGUUUCGUGGGUCGAGUCGAGUCUUGAAGAGUUCGGAGCACGGAGUAUUGAAAAUCCGAAGAAUCCAAGACUAUCGAAGAAUCGGAACAGGACGCAAAACACCAAAACAUUGAAUCACGAUGCGUUAGGUAAGUUUUAAAUCUUGUUUUUGGAUUCUAUACUUAUUUAGAAAUUUUAGAAUCAUUAUUUCAAGUUGUAAUGUCAUUAGAAAGUUUCUCGGAGUUGUAAAAUACGCGAAACAAUAGAUUUCAGGCGAAAAUUGCAUUGCUGUAGGCCGGUACAAGGGUUUCUGUCCAGGGUCAGCCAUAUCAACGUUGCGCAUGAAGUUUGAUGUUGUUCGGUACAAAGGUUUUCUGUCCAGAGGUACAGGGCCUAUCAACGUGUAGCCAGAAAGUUUAUGCGUUGUUCCGGUACAGCACUUCAUGCUGUACCGGUACAAGCCCUUUGUUCCGGAAAGCUGAAGCUAUCCAGGUAGGAGCUUCGCAGAAAAAAUCUUCUCAUGUUGUACCUGGAAACAUUCCUUGUUCGGUACAAGUGCUGUUUUGGAAGAAACUUUCUAAUUCGACUCCAAUUGAUUCUAAAGUCUAUAACAUAAGCUAAUUGGGCUUCUCUAACACAUCAAGGAUCAUAAGAAUACAUGUUUGAGAAACCCUAGUGGCUUGAUUUCAUCUAAACCUAUUUUCUACAAAAAGCCUCUUUUAGAUCAAAUCGAGAUAUUCAAAUUUGAUAUUAAUAUGUCGAUUUGAUCUCCGCUUUGCUUGGAGUUCUAUCCUGGUUUUCUACAAUACUCCAAAGCGAAGGAUUCACCAUAUUCAUGAUAUUCUUCAUGAACGGCGCAGCGUCGUGGAUUCGGCGUGAACGAAGACGCGUUUCGUGGAUUGGAUCGUGAGCUCGUGGAUUCGAUGGGCGUCGUGGAUUCGACGUGAUCGAGGCUUCGUGGAUUCGAAGUGGUGACGUUUCUGUGGAUAUCGGGACGUGCGUUCGUGGAUUCGACGUGGGGCGUGGACAACCGUUGGUGUGCGCGAGAUCCGGAGAAGAUAGAAGAGAGUUUGAGUCCGUGGAUUCAGUAAAACACCUUGUAAUCUUUUAUUCUUAGUGGAUUGUUAUCGCGAUGUUGGUCCGUGGGUUUUUACUCCGAGUUUGGAGUUUUUCACAGUAAAUCUCGGUGUGUUUUUAUUUUCCGCAUUUAUUUUUAUUGGCAUCGAGAUUUGUGUUUUUGGCCCUUUACACUAUUCACCCCCUCUAGUGAUAGAUACAUCUGUAGAUCUAGGGAUCCUUAGGCUCCUCAAAACUUUCAACUCAACAGUUUCGCUAAAGAAAAAGCUUUUACUGCAGCUAAAUAUCCUUUUUUCUUCCAAAUAUUUCUACGAAUACGUUUUUUUGACAUAGAAGUAUUGGCAUUCUUGGUGCCAUGGAAGAAAUAACUGAUUAUAAAGCGCAGGCCGAAACGGGUGAAAUAAAAGGACAUUACUUAAAUGCUACUGCGGGUACCGAGGUGAUGGGUCUUCUUUUGCGGUGAUAAAUUACCUACUUAAGGACCUGAGACAGGGAAUUCCCUAGGAGAAGGUCAAAGUCAGCAUCUUAGCCCUCAAGGAUUUCUUCCUCUGCGUCUGCUGAAAAGAUGAAUCCCUUUUGAAGCCAGAAUUGGGUCCUGAGCUAAGCCUUGGCUAAACCUCGGAAUCAUCAAUCGAAUCACUGUUCGCGACCCAGGAUUCUAUUUUAUCAUCAAUCCAAUCACCGUUCACGUUUUUCUUUUUCUUAUAAUUCUAGUUCGUCAUGGGCAGGGACACUAUUGCCGAUCUAAUAACUUCUAUAAGAAAUGCUGACAUGGAUAAAAAAGGAAGGGUUCGAAUAGCAUCUACAAAUAUCACCGAAAGCACAAGUGCAGAAUUCGUACCUUUCUAAUUUAUAUUUGUUCUAGUACGAAGAGUAGAGAGCUAAAAAAAUCACUAAAUAAACCAUAAGGUAAAUACAAUAGAAAUCCCAAAUACAGAAGCUAAACAUGUACAUAGGUGGUCUCUCUAUACAUGGUACUCAAAAUCUCUCUCUCUCUCUCUAAUACAACAAAAGAAAGAGUAACCACCUAAGCUCAAAAGUAGCUCAUCUCUAUCUAGCUAGGCAACACCCUUGCCACGAUCCCGUGCCUCCGCCGGUGCCGAAGGCUCUGAAAAGGAAACAUAGAAACAGGGGCGUGAGAACUAUUAAAUAAUAGUUCCCCGUGAACAAUUACUGACUUCAGUGAAAUGCGCCACUAGGCCCAAGAGCUACAAAAAGGGGUCAGUGUAUAAGUAUAAACAAAGGCAUAAGUAUGAUGUCCACAAGCUAAAUAGUAAAAUGUCAUUGUUUACUAUUCUAGCCAAUGUCCACAUGGCAUGAUGAAUGCUCAAAGUCAAAUCUGAAGAGACCCACCCGAAGGCUGUCUGGCCCUGAGACCCUCUCGUAGGCUGUCUGGCGGAUGUCGAGCCUAAUGGCCCCGUGGUAGUCAACAUCCCCACCAUAGGGAUGAGCCUAGCCCACGGAAAUCCACUUCGGCGCCCAAUCCCGCACGGCGAAUAUGUAUCGCGAUAGCUAUCUCCGGAGUGCCGGCUUGUAGGGAGCGACCCUCACAAGCAUGUGCGAAUGAGCACAAUGGCAAGUAACCAAAAGAUCCGUCUCAAGUACCAAGUCCUCAUGUCUAACAACAUGGAAUACGUCACAUCUCUCAUAAGCCUAUCUCUAUGUCAUCAUGUCUUUAACAUGGAAAAUAAAAGAUGUCAAUGGCCUAUCACUAAGUCUCAUAUGACAGUUGCAUAGUUUGCUAAUCCAAGUGCCACUUUAUAACACUUUUGGUCUCUAUGUCCAAGCAAGAUAAUUAUGAUCAUGAAUGCAUAAUUCUAAUCAUUUUCAUCGUACGAGAUAAGUACCCAACUCGCAAAAAGAACCAUUUCUCACAUGCAUGCUAAAAACCCAGAAUACCCUACUACAUAGAGUGAAAAAUUCAUGAUACAUCAGGCAUGCAUUUUAAGUGUUCUAAAAUUCACAUAAAUCCCAUUUAACAUGAAUAUGCAAUCAAAUUGACGUUACGACAAGUAUAGAAUACAUAGGGGCCAUUUCGCCCCGAUUUCAUAAAGUCAAACUCACCACAACUGUCACAGCUCGCGACCACCCGCCUAUUUGGCCGAGGUUCCGGCGCCGCCGACAUCGCCGAAUGGACAGGGUUUCCCCUGUACUACGGACAGAGUCUCCUCUGUACAUUCAAGGCAUCGCAAUCAAUACAAUUCACGAAGGUUCCAACCAGGAACAGAUAUCAAUCAAGAUUGCAAGUGGAAGGUAUCAUACAACAUAAACACAUCCUAAGUUAUUACAUUCAUUCACUUUCAUAGUUUUUACAUCACAGUUUCCAUUUUUUUUCAUCCAAAUGCAAUCUAAGUUAUUACAACAUUUAAUUACUACAAGUUUGAUACAUUGUAUUCUUUUCAUUUCCUUUACCCCUAAGCUAUAUAGACGGGGUACUGCUAGCUCUGGUCUCUGGGGUAGGGCGCUAUCUGCAGAACUACGCCCUCGUCUUGCGCCGCCGCGCUGCACACGUGUGUACCUGUACCCCCAAAACAGCAACACGGGGGUGAGACUAUUGUCCAUAGUCCUCAGUGGGUUUAGCCACCCAAGAGAACCAGCUCAACCAACAGGUCUAAAGAGGCACUGCAACAUGUUAUUUCAACAAUAUACAACAGAUAUAUAUAUUCAAUUGAAAUACAUGUCAUGCCUCACGAAAUGAAAUAUGCAAUACCUGUAAUCAUGCAAGUAGGUUACUUUAACGCUACUUAUAUUCUUAAUCAUUCUUUACUCUUGUCAUUUAAUGUUUACUUUUAGCUCUUAGCUAUUCUUUACUUGUAACCUUUCUUUACUUAUCAGCUAUUCUUAUUCCUUAGCCGAUCUUUAUUCUUUACUUAUUCUUUAUUCUUUACACUUUGUCGCACUUUUCUACUGGCCAUUCUUUCCUAAGGUUUCUCUUACCUUAGUUCUCUAUGCCACCCGACUCGGUCUUGAGUCAAUCAAUCGCGGAUAGUCCGCGCACUGUCUAGCUCGAGGUGAAGGAACUCUCACAUGCACCUCAGCUGGCAACAGCUCACCGUACUCCUGUCCUAGCCGUCUGGCAGCGAACGAAUCGCACCUCACCCAACAACGGCCUAGGUCCAUGACUUAGCCACCCGGCGGCGAAAUCGUCGCACAAACGCCACGACAGUGGUUCAAUCAACAGGCGGUAGGAUCCACAAACUGGCUAACCAUCCGGCGGCGAAAUCGUCGCACACGCCACGACAAAGGUUCUUUAGCCCUUGAGCGGCGAAAUCGUCGCACACACCCGACACCACGUUGGGUGUAUCCUUUUAGCCUUGGGAUUCUGGAAUCCAUUUCACAUCACAUAGGGGUUGGUCUUAACCCUAUGGAACUGACCUCUCUAGGUCUAAGCCUUCACUCAACUCACCCAUUAGGUUUAUUACUUUCGCAUUCUUAACCUAGGUUUAUUACACUAGGAUCAUUAUUCUUUCCAACCUAGGUUCACUUGACUCUAGGUUAAGUACUUUUCAUUUCACGACCUAUGUUUAUUAACACUAGGUUAGAUGCCACUCGAUCUAUUUGAUUCUAGGUCUACUCACAACCUAUGCUCCUUAACACUAAGUUAGAUGCCACUCGAUCUAAUUCACAUACUAAUUGUCCAAUUAAGCAUUCUACUCAUUCUAGAGUUAUCAAUUCUCAUUUUCCAAUGUUAUCUCUCUAUUCAAGCUAGAGUUAUCAACCAAGUUCAUAUGCAUAUAUAAUCUCACAAUGCUAAGCAUGCAUCUAUGAUCUCAUAAUGCUAAUCAUGCGUUUAUAAUCUCAUAUAUUAUUUAUAUGCAUCUACUUAGCAUUUACAUCAUACUAUAAACAUGCAUCUUAUAACUUGCUCAUUAUGCAUUCUAGCAUUUCUACAUUACAUUAUUUAGCAUUAUGUAACUUGCUCAUAAUGCAUUCUAGCAUUUCUACAUUACAUUAUUUAGCAUUAUGUAACUUGCUCAUAAUGCAUUCUAUUUAGCAUUUACAUCAUACUAUCAACAUGUAUUAUUUAGCUACAUGCAUCAUUUACAUUCUUCAUUUACAUUUAUAUGCAUUAAUAUGGAUUCUUAGUUUCUUAGACAUAAAGGCGACCUAGUCGCUUUGGUAAACACAACCCACCUUAAUUCGCGUUCCGAUUGCUUGUCGACACUUGCAAUCGGCCUCCCGCGGCACCCGUAUCCGGCACGGCCCGAUACUGCAACUGCGCCUCAACCGUGCUCCGCUUCGCAGCCCCGAAAAUUAUAGGUCUUUGGUAAUGUGCCACGAUGCCUCAAAUCCAUUUCCAUGAUUUUACGACGUCGCCUCGGCCCUCCCGACGGACCCGAAGCCUAAACGUCUAUUUCUUUAAUAACUUUGUAACGGCUCGUCGGAUUGCCGAACCGUCUUCGCCAACGCGUUUCGUUACCUAGCAAUUAGGUUUACAAAGGGUCAAAUGAGAUCAAACCCUCAUAUUUUGAAAGUUUGCAUUUUGGAGCCCUAGGUUACAACUAUGCAAGAAAUCACUAAAUUGAUCCAUGAUUCAAGCAUUAAUCAUCUAGAUAGCAUGCUAGGACUCCUCUAAAUCCAUUUAUAAGGUAUUUAAACCAAGCAUUAAAGAUCUACCAUUAAAGGACUCAAGAAGCUCACCUCAAAAUGAGCUCCAAACCAUGGAGAAGAUGAAGAAGACAAAGGCGAUCCACCUCCAAGCUUCAAUCUCCACCAAAUCCAUUCUUUUUGGGAGAGAUUUAGAGAGAGAAAGAGAGGCUUCUCUCUUCCCUUCCAUGCGCGUGUGUGUGUGUGCGGUUUGGGCUGCUACGGCUGGGAGGAAGAAGAAGCAAAAGGGAUUUAAUCCCAUUUUACCAUUUUGGCCCUCAACUACACACUAUUCACUACGGGCAGUCUGAAAUCUGAUAAAUUUCGUUGGAGCCCUUCCGGAUGUCCGUUUUCGAUCAAAUUUGACAGGCAGGCUCAGUUUAAUGUACUGAGCAAGAAUAUAUCUUAAGUUUUCAGUUUCGACUCCGUUUGGUCACCGAAAACUGUGCAGAACUGCAAUCUUUAUCAGAUAGCUUUCGGAUUUUAUUUCUCACUCUACGGGUGUCAGAAAAAUAUGAAACUUUAAAUCUAGCCUCAUAAAAAUAUUUCUGACAUCCCCGCUAAUUUUCAUAAUUUUCUGAGACUGUGCAUUUUCUGCUAAUUUAUUAGUCCCGUUUCCAACAGAAAAUUCUAAAUCUUCUGUUUUCGCUCCGAUUUCAGCACAGGUCGUUCCCAACCGAUAUUUCACUUCUCUAAAUCUAAUAAAAUAGUAUCUCAUACUAUUUUUAUUUAUUUUUCUCUUUUAUAUUUAAAAUCUGGUAUGUUACAACAACUAUUGCGCUCCUUCGUUUGCUUCGACGAAGGUGUCCACUAGUCUCCUAGCAUCCUAAAGAUGUAGGAACAAGAGUUAAACGAACCAUACGAACAACCAUAAGGUUGAUCAUUAACCAACUCAAGCUAAGGUGGAGAAAAACUCACCGAAUGCGAAGGAAGCUCUCUCCAUCUCCAAAUGGGAGUUAGAGUCCUUCCAAAUCAACCUAUACAAGGGUUCUUAACCGUUCAAUAGAGCUCUAAAAGGCACAAAUCCAAAACCCCCAAAAUAAACCUAAUUCCACAAUCUAGGGUUUCAUGUAGUAAAAUCUAGAAAACUUGUAUUAAAUGGAGAAUACAAGCUACCAACCUCAAGUGAAGCUCCAAUCCAUGCUCUAAACCAAGUAGGGUUGAAGUUUGAUCCUCCAUGAAGCUUCAACCACGAGCUCCAAGCCACCAAUGUUGAGAUGAGAGGAAGGGGAUGAUGCUCCAAAGCCUCCAAGUAAGCUCCUCUCCUUCUCCUUCUUCUUCCUCUUCUUCUUCUUCCCUUUCUCUCUGAGUGUGAAGGGGAGAAAUGAGAGUGAGAGGAAGAGAAAAGACCAUAUAAGCCUCCUAUGGUAACAAAAUUCACAUAGGUCCCUCAACUGUGCAAUCUGUGCAUUGCUUGGUCUGGGCAAUUUUCGUGCUGGGGGACCGGUUUCCCCGACACCUGGGACCAGUCUCUCAGCCUGCCCCGCAAAACCAACGUUCCGGAACUGAUCUCUCCGCACCUGGGACCGGUCUCUCGGACCCUCCCGCAAAACACACGUUCGAGAACCGGUCUCUCCCUGCUAGGGACCGGUUACCUCAAGCUUGGCCGCGACACUGUUCCGAGGGGAUCGGUCUCUUCCUGCCAGGGACCGGUCCCCGAGAGUAAAAACUCUCAGGACUAAGCCAAAAUCCAGAAAUCGAACUUUGAGGUCGGAAUACCAUCUACGACCCUCCACCAAGUGUGAAAAAGCUCGGAACCCAUAUCAAACACUCGAACCUCGCAAUUUGCACAGGUCCAAUGUGUUACAUUUACCCCUCCUAAAAAGAAGUUUCGUCCGCGAAACUCAAAAGCAACAACAUGCCUCAAAGCUCUAUCUAAAAAAGAUGGGGAUAGCGCUCCUGCAAAGCGCUCUCCAGCUCCCACGUGGCCUCCCGCUCCCCGUGGUUGCUCCAAAGAACCUUCACAUACGGAAUAUCCCGAUUCCGUAGUUUCUUCACCUCACGAGCCAAGAUCUUCACGGGUUGCUCCUCGAAGCUCAAAUCGUCCCGCAACUCCAAAGGUGUAGCAUCCAACACAUGAGUCGGGUCGAAGACGUACUUCUGAAGGACCGAUACAUGAAAGACAUUGUGCACGCCCGAUAGGUUCAGUUGUUGAACAAGUCAAUACGCUACCGGACCUACACGUUCCAAAAUCUCAUACGGUCCAAUGAAACGGGGGCUCAACUUACCCCGAAUCCCGAAUCUCCUGAUCCCUCUAGUCGGCGAGACCUUCAAGAAUACAUGGUCUCCAACUUGGAACUCCAAGUCUCGCCGUCGUCGAUCGGCGUAACUCCUCUGUCUACUCUGUGCCGUCAAAAGUCGCUCCCGAGCAAUUCGAACCUUGUCCUCAGCUUCCUGGAGCACAUCAGGGCCUAAAGCAACUCUCUCGCCUACUUCACUCCAAUGAAGUGGCGAUCUACACUUCCGUCCAUAAAGUGCUUCGAACGGCGCCAUCUUGAUGUUUGCUUGAUAACUGUUGUUAUAAGCAAACUUUGCCAUCGGUAGAUGCUGCGACCAUCCUCCCUGGAAGUCUAUCACACAUGCUCGGAGCAUAUCCUCUAAGGUCUGAAUGGUGCGCUCCGACUGCCCAUUACUCUGAGGGUGGAAAGCAGUGCUGAAGUCCAAACGAGUGCCCAGGGCAUCCUGCAGACUCCUCCAAAAGUGAGACACAAACCGAGUGUCUCGAUCUGAUACAAUCGAAGUAGGCACUCCGUGAAGUCGCACAAUCUCAUCAAGGUACACUUGUGCGAGCUUCUCUCCGGUCCAAGUAGUAUGAAUAGGUAUGAAGUGCGCCGACUUCAUCAACUUAUCCACGAUCACCCAUAUAGCAUCAUGCCCGGCCUGAAUGUGAGGCAAUCCUGACACAAAAUCCAUGGUGAUCUUCUCCCACUUCCACACGGGAAUAGAUAAACUUUGAAGUUUUCCUGCGGGUAAUCGGUGCUCACCCUUUACUUGUUGGCAAGUUAAACAACGAGCUACAAACUCGCCAACAUCCUUUUUCAUCUCGGGCCACCAAUAAAGCAACUUUAAAUCCUUAUAUAUCUUGGUGCCACCCGGAUGUAUAGCAUAGGGCGCUCGGUGCGCUUCUUGAAGAACAUCCUCUUUAAUUGCCAGAUCCGCCGGUACACAAAUCCGUCCGCGGAAACGUAUCAAUCCUUGGUCAUCCACAAGGAAAUCGCCGGUGCAACCAUCAAUCAUUUUACCUUUAAUCUUUUGCAACUCCACAUCGGAAGCUUGCUUUUCUUUAAUUUGAUCCAAAAGUGUAGGUUGCACCACCAAAGUCAUCAAUCUCAAAGGCGUAUCUGGAAUCGCCACUUUCAACUCCAACCGCUUCAUCUGCUCGAUCAACUGCGGUUGAGUAACAACAUGCAUAGCUAAGUUUUUCGUUGAUUUCCUACUUAGCGCAUCCGCCACGACGUUGGCGUUGCCCGGGUGAUAAAGAAUUGUCAGAUCAUAGUCCUUAAGUAGCUCCAGCCAUCUGCGCUGCCUCAAGUUUAACUCCUUCUGAGUGAACAAGUACUUCAAGCUCUUGUGAUCCGUGUAUACUUCACACCGCUCGCCAUAUAAGUAGUGGCGCCAUAACUUCAAUGCGAAGACUACGGCCGCUUACUCCAAAUCAUGCGUGGGGUAGUUCUUUUCAUAUUCCUUCAAUUGGCGAGAAGCAUACGCGAUCACCUUGUCAUCCUGCAUCAACACGCAGCCCAAUCCAUUAAGAGAUGCAUCACUGUAAACCACAUACCUGCUUCAGCAACCGGCAGGGUUAGGAUCGGGGCAGUGGUCAGUCGUUACUUCAACUCUUGGAAGCUUCUCUCACACGCAUCAUUCCAGAUGAACUUGACACUUUUAUGCGUAAGCCACGUGAGGGGAGUAGAUAGCUUAGCGAAUCCCUCGACAAAUCUCCGGUAAUAACCGGCCAAUCCAAGAAAACUCCGAAUCUCCGUGAUGCUCGUCGGUCUCGGCCAAUCCUUGAUGGCCUCAAUCUUCUUAGGAUCCACGGCUAUGCCCGAUCCCAAUAUCAAAUGUCCAAGGAAGGCUACCUCUCGAAGCCAAAAUUCACACUUUCUCAGCUAGGCAUAAAGCUCAUUUUUCCGAAAUUUUUGAAGUACAAGCCUCAAAUGUUCCUCGUGAUCCGCAUCACUUCGGGAAUAAACCAAAAUGUUGUCAAUAAACACCACGACGAACCUGUCCAGGUAGGGCUUGAAAACACGGUUCAUCAGAUCCCUAAAAGUUGUCGGGGCAUUAGUAAGCCCGAACGGCAUAACUGUGAACUCAUGAUGUCCAUACCGUGUUCUAAAAGCCGUCUUCGAUACAUCCUCAGGUUUGAUCUUUAACUGGUGGUAUCCCGACUGUAAGUCUAUCUUGGAAUACACACACGAACCUUGAAGCUAAUCAAACAAAUCGUCGAUCCUCGGCAACAGAUACUUAUUCUUGAUCGUGACCUUAUUAAGUUCACGAUAGUCCACACAUAGGCGAAGUGAUCCGUCCUUUUUCUUGACGAACAAAACUGGCGCUCCCUACGGCGAUACGCUCGGUCGAAUGAAGCCCUUAUCCAACAGAUCCUGUAGUUGUGCCCUCAGCUCCUUUAGCUCCGCCGGCGCCAUCCUAUAGGGUGCCUUUGAGAUUGGAGUAGUCCCAAGGACAAAAUCUACCACAAACUCGAUCUCCCUAUCGGGUGGCAUACCCGGUAGCUCAGCUGGAAACACAUCUUGAAACUCCCGUACCACCGAAAUAUCCUCAAUCCUAGGGGUGUCAUCGUCGCCCCUCAACACAACACUAGCCAAGUAGGCUACACAUCCUCGGCUGAUCAGCUGCCUAACUCGAGACGAGCUGAUCUAUAUCGCAAAAAGCGAACUCCGGCAUCCUCUAAACACAACCUCAGUCUGCCCCGGUUCUGUAAAAGUAACCAUGCGAUUCUUACAAUCAAUCGUGGCAUAAUACUUGGUUAGCCAAUCCAUACUCAAGACCACAUCGAAGUCCCCUAGCUUGCUCAAAACUAGCAAAUCUACGGGCAUGAUCCAAUCUCCUACCCGAACAGGGCAACUAGGGCAAUACUCUCUAAUAUCCAGAGUGUGGUCGUGUACUACAACAUGUCCCAGAUGCAAUAAAGAAAUCAUAGGGAUGCCAUGCAACUCGGCAAACAGUCGAUCUAUAAAUGAAUGUGAUGCACCAGUAUCAAAUAAAGCACGAACUCUAAUGCCAUCAAGUAAAAUGAUACCUGCAACCAUAUCCUCUGCUGCUGCCGCCUCCUCGGUCUGAGCGGCAUACAAACGCCCACUCGGGGCCUGUUGAGAUCCCUCGCUCUGGCCUGGACGGGUGGCUGCCCAGGCUGGUACUGUGUCGACAGAGUCCCGUGGCUAACGGCUGUUAGAGCCGGUGCCGAUGCAGUCGACGGUGCCGGUGACGAACCUCUCGGGCACUCAGUCAGAACGUGGCCCUCCUGGCCACACUGGAAACACCUGCCCACCCGCUGUGGAUACUGCGGUGGGUAAUGAGGACCACCGCAGAUCACACACGGGGAAGGCCGGCGACGGUCAGAACCUCCUCACUGCGUCGCUGAGCCGCGUCCACGCUGCUGGCUCCUAGGAUGCUUCGGCGGUCUCCUAGAGUGCAUCUAGCUCGCACCCUCAACCGUAGGCCUUUUGGCCUUACCCUUGUCCAUGGCCUCUCGCCGCUCCUGGACAUCUGCCGUGCCGCUCUCCACUAUGAGCGCGCGAUCCACCACCUCCCGGUAGGUUUGGAGGUUAGAGGAUUGCACUAACCGAAAAAUCGACGGUCGCAAUCCUCGCUCGAAAAUGCGGGCCUUGUCCUCAUCGUCCCGCACGACGAAAGGCACACAGUGCAGAAGCCGAGAAAACUCCCUAGCUCUCGUACUCGGCUACAGUCCGGUCUCCUUGGCGCAAGUUGCGCAAGUCCUGCUCCAUCUUCCUCUUGACGCUAGUCGGGAAGUAAUAUGCCAAUAGAAGCUCCUUGAACUUCUUCCACGAGAUAGCCGCCAAAUCAAUGCUAGGGUUCUCCUGGAGAUCCAACCACUAGCAGUAGGCCUCGCCAUCCAAGUGGUGUGUGGCGAGCCAAACUCGAUCUCUCUCCUCCACGGAGGUGUCGCGGAAGAGCUUCUCUAUAUGCAUCAACCACUUCUCCACGAUCCAGUGGUCGACCUUCUCGCCAUCGAAAAUCCGGGGGCUGCACCUUCUGAACUCGUUGAGGCACUCCAUGAGUUGGUCCCGCUCUGGCCCCUCGACCAUAGUAGGGAACACUGCUCCAAUCGGGGGCCUCUGAACAGGUCGUGCCGCGAUAGCCUCUUCCUAAGGCACGGCCGCGAGCGUUGCUCACGAAGAACUGGGCACGGGGGACGGCCUGCUGGCGGUGUAGGGGCCUGAGUCUCCCUGGAAGCUGCCGCCUACUGUAGAAGAAGGUCAUCCAGGCGUUUCAUCCGCACCUCCUAUCGGCGCGCCACCUCAGUCUGCUGUCGGGCCGUCUCUGCCUGCUGAGUGUCUAAGUCGGUGAGGGCCACAAGCUGGCUCCUCAACUCUCGGACCUCGCCGGAUCCGGAGGUAGCGGAGGUCUCGACCUCCUCUAAGUUAGCCGCGUUAUCCGCUCCGGCAGAUUGGGAGCGUAUAAUCGGCAUCGUCACUACAACAUCAUAGAAGCGUAAGUUAGUAAGCUCACGCUAUCGGAUCCCCACUCAAGAAGCUAAUACCCCAAAUCAUGCGAAAGUAAUGAAGUGUGCUUCACUACUAACUCCCGAUGUUACGUUGUCGGCCGCCAACGUAACCCUUCGCGAAGUUAGGAGCCAUACACUCCGAUUCAAGUCUAACUUUUUAGAGUUAUCAAGGUAUCCAAUCACGAUACUUUCGCUCACAAGUCAAAUAGAUCUCGUCUCUCACGAGCCUAUUUCCUAUAGUCCAACCGGCCUAAGGUUUGCUAGGUCCACUAAGACUUAACCCUAGGCUCUGAUACCAAACUAAUCUGUCACGCCACGGGACCCAGCGGAAGCCCGCCCGGCGCGUGCCCAGACCCGCCAUAUGUCUAAAACAUACAAGACGUCUAAAACGAAACAAUAAAUGAAGCAAAUAAAGGAGACCUAAAGAUAUCAGAGCAUUAUACAACAUCUAGUAUCUAAAGCAGUGUGAAGAGUAGAGAGCUAAAAAAAUCACUUAAUAAACCAUAAGGUAAAUACAAUAGGAAUCCCAAAUACAGAAGCUAAACAUGUACAUAGGUGGUCUCUCUAUACAUGGUACUCAAAAUCUCUCUCUCUCUCUAAUACAACAAAAGAAAGAGUAACUACCUAAGCUCAAAAGUAGCUCAUCUCUAUCUAGCUAGGCGACACCCUUGCCACGAUCCCGUGCCUCCGCCGGUGCCGAAGGCUCUAAAAAGAAAACAUAGAAAUAGGGACGUGAGAACUAUUAAAUAAUAGUUCCCCGUGGGCAAUUACUGACUUCAGUGAAAUGCGCCACUAGGCCCAAGAGCUACAAAAAGGGUCAGUGUAUAAGUAUAAACAAAGGCGAUAAGUACAACUAGUAAAUAACAAGAAUGCUUGCUACCACAAGAUAUCACUACUUAGCAUGAUUUUGCUCAAGUAAUAGAAGGCCACACUCGCAUGAAUGUACCAAAGCAUCACUAGUAUAAUGUCCACAAGCUAAAUAGUAAAAAUGUCAUUGUUUACUAUUCUAGUCAAUGUCCACAUUGCAUGAUGAAUGCUCAAAGUCAAAUUUGAAGAGACCCACCCGAAGGCUGUCUGGCCCUGAGACCCACCCGUAGGCUGUUUGGCCGGUGCCGAGCCUAAUGGCCCCGUGGUAGUCAACAUCCCUACCCUAGGGAUGAGCCUAGCCCACGGCAAUCCACUUCGGCGCCCAAUCCUGCACGGCGAAUAUGUAUUGCGAUGGCUAUCUCCGAAGUGCCGGCUUGUAGGGAGCUACCCUCACAAGCAUGUGCGAAUGAGCACAAUGGCAAGUAACCAAAAGAUCCGUCUCAAGUACCAAGUCCUCAUGUCUAACAACAUGGAAUACGUCACUCAUAGGCCUAUCUCUAUGUCAUCAUGUCUCUAACAUGAAAAAUAAAAGAUGUCAAUGGCAUAUCACUAAGUCUCAUAUGACAGUUGCAUAGUUUGUUAGUCCAAGUGCCCCUUUAUGAUACUUUUGGUCUCUAUGUCCAAGCAUGAUAAUUAUGAUCAUGAAUGCAUAAUUCUAAUCAUUUUCAUCGUACGAGACAAGUACCGAACUCGCAAAAAGAACCACUUCUCAUAUGCAUGCUAAAAACCCAGAAUACCCUACUACAUAGAGUGAAAACUUCAUGAUACAUAAGACAUGCAUUUUAAGUGUUCUAAAAUUCACAUAAAUCCCAUUUAACAUGAAUAUGCAAUCAAAUUGACGUUACGACAAGUAUAGAAUACAUAGGGGCCAUUUCGCCCCAUUUCAUGAAGUCAAACCCACCACAACUCUUGCGUUCCUUCGUUUGCUUCGACGAAGGUGUCCACUAGUCUGCUAGCACCCUAAAGAUGUAGGAAUAAGAGUUAAACGAACCUUACGAACAAUCAUAAGGUUGAUCAUUAACCAUCUCAAGCUAAGGUGGAAAAAAACUCACCGAAUGCGAAGGAAGCUCUCUCGAUCUCCAAAUAGGAGUUAGUCCUUCCAAACCAACCUAUACAAAGGUUCUAAAUCCAUCAAUAGAGCUCUAAAAGCCACAAAUCCAAAACCCCCAAAAUAAACCCUGAUUCCAUAAUCAAGGGUUUCAUCUAGUAAAAUCUAGAAAACUUGUAUUAAAUGGAGAAUACAAGCUACCAAUCUCAAGAGAAGCUCCAAUCCAUGCUCUAAACUAAGUAGGGUUGAAGUUUGAUCCUCCACGAAGCUUCAACCACGAGCUCCAAGCCACCAAUGUUGAGAUGAGAGGAAGGGGAUGAUGAUCCAAAGCCUCCAAGUAAGCUCCUCUCCUUCUCCUUCUUCUUCCUCUUCUUCUCCUUCCCUUUCUCUCUCUAGAGCGAGUGUGAAUGGGAGAAAUGAGAGUGAGAGGAAGAGAAAAGACCAUAUAAGCCUCCUAUGGUAUCAAAAUCCACAUAGGUCCCUCAACUGUGCAAUCUGUGCACUGCUCGGUCUGGGCAGUUUUCGUGCUGGGGGACCGGUCUCCCCAACACCUGGGACCGGUCUCUCAGCCUGCCCCCAAAACCAACGUUCGGGAACCGGACUCUCCGCACCUGGGACCGGUCUCUCGGACCCUCCCGCAAAACACACAUUCGGGAACCGGUCUCUCCUUGCCAGGGACCGGUUGCCUCAAGCUUGGCCGCGACACUGUUCCGAGGGGACCGGUCUCUUCCUGCCAGGGACCGGUCCCCGAGAGUAAAAACUCUCAGGACUAUGCCAAAAUCCAGAAAUCGAACUUUUACAUCGGAAUACCAUCUACGACUCUCCACCAAGUGUGGAAAAGCUCAGAACCCAUAUCAAACACUCGAACCUCGCAAUUUGCACAGGUCCAGUGUGUUGCAGGGUUGUAGAAAAGAAGAACAAUAAUGUUGUAAUAAUCAUUGAUUGUAUUUGGAAGAAAAUGUAGAGAAAAUGUAAUGUAAAAUGGAAGUGAGUUGAAUGCUUGUAAUAACUUAGUCGUGUUUAUGUUUUUGAUACUUCCUUAUACAAUCUUUAUAUUAAUGCUGUUUCGGUGGAACCUCGUGCAUUGUAUGGAUUGUAACGCCUAGGAUGUACAGGGGAAACUCUGUCCGUUCGGCGGUCUGUCGCGUGCCCGAAUCCGACCAAAUAGGCGGUCGUCGCUGCGUGACAACUAGAGAGCGGCUUUUGAGUGCACAGAGUCAACAGAGCAGCUACGCGAAUCAACGGAGGCGUGACCUAGAGUUUCAGGUCAGUGAGCAUGUGUUGCUCAAGGUAUCGCCAUCCAGAGGGAUCAAGCGGUUUGGUUUGUGGAACAAGCUUAGUCCGCUGUUUGUUGGACCGUUUGAGAUCCUGGAGUGUGUUGGUCUGGUGGCGUACAGAUUGGCUCUUCCUCCAAGUCUCGCCCGGAUGCACAACAUUUUUCACGUGUUCAUGCUUCGGAAGUAUUUCUCGGAUCCGUCCCACGUUAUCAGCCCGACGACUAUUCAGUUGCGGGAGGAUCUGAGCUAUGAUGAGGCUCCAUUGCAGAUAUUGGCAUGUGAGGUGAAGCAAUUGCGGAACAUAAGCAUUCCGUAUGUUAAGGUUCAGAGGAAUAAUCACGAGGAGCGCGAGGCUACAUGGGAGCUUGAGUCCUCUAUGCGGGAGCGAUAUCCGCAGUUGUUUGUGGGGGAUGCUUGAUUUAAAUUUCAGGGACGAAACUUCUUGUAAGGGGGGAAUGAUGUAAUAACUGAGAUUCGAAUAAUAAUGGAAAUUCGAAUUUGAAGUUUUAAAUUUCAAAUGUUAUAUAUAUGCGUGUGUGUGUGUGUGUGUGUGUGUGGUUAUUAUUGGAACGCGGAGAGGGUCAAUUUUCGUCACAAAUUGGUGACCAAAUCGGCCUAAACAAAAUUGUAGAUUCGAUGCCCCAGUCGUGCAGAACGCGCUGGCACAAUCCGAUCGAAAAUCCGACAGACGGAUCUUCGGAAAUCGCAUAAAGUUUGCUGAAGGGUUGAAAUUUGGCAAAACGGUAAAUUGCAGAAAAACCCUACAUUUUAUGUAUCGUUUUGCGUGAAUUCGAAUGUUGAUGUGACGCCCCAACUUCCCAGGGGGUCACCCAUCCUAGGAUUACUCCCGUCCUAGCACGCUUAACUCUCUUAACCUCUUGAGCCUUGCCACCACCCAAAAUGCUUAAGCCGGGUUAAGAGUUUAGCCCUAUUAUAUCUCAUAUAUAGGACUAUCUGGGGUCUCACAGUUGAGGUCCGUAUGCACAAAACUCUCGUGUUAUGAAGGACUUGGCUAGAAAUAUGCAGCUGUGGAGGACUAAAUCGCAUUUUUGCCAACCUAUAUAAAAGUUAAUGUUAGGGUUUCCAUGCAAACCCUAACCCUAGUUGCCAUAGCUCCCUCCAGCUGCGCCCUAGCCGUCACCAGCACCCCCUGCCCUUGCCACGCCGACGAUGAGAGACUCCGGCCGCCGGAAAAAGGCCGACAUUGCCUCUCCUCCACCACACUCUCCACCAAGCUACUGUCACAUGGCCGUGGACCUCAGGGUUAACCAUACACAUUGGAUCCCUCUUCACUGGCCGCAACCCGGCCUUCGGCGCUGUUCCCGCCGGCCGCUGUCGUUCGCGCGCGCAGCUGGCCAAUCUGCAGUUUGGCUCAGCCAGCUCAGGCCAAGCUUAGCUCAGAUCGUGGCCCGCGAGCCACCAGCGCCCUAGACCGGCUGUGCCACCUUCCUGGAUCUCUAGCGACCUCCCUCAUGCUGCCCCGUGGCCUCGGAGCUCCACCGGCCGCCGCCCUAGCUCCCGGCCUUCAGCAACCUCCGGCGCGCAUCCCCGGCCAUCCCCGUGCGGCCGCCGCCCUAGCUCCCUGCGGCCGCCCAGACUCAGCCCGGGCCGAGGCUUGGCCGCAUAGCCUCCUGCUCGCCGCCGCCGCUGCCCACGAUCGGCUGUGCCGUCCUCCCUCGGCCUCUGACGACCGGUCGCCGUUGCCCCGGAGCUCCCCCGGCUGCCGUUUGGCCGCUGCUACCUCCCUGAACCGAGCGGAGUUGUGCGGGCUCGCGGCUCUCCACCACGUCACCGGCCACCUCCCGCCGUUGGCCAGCGAGAGCCCCGGCACCCACUGACUGGCCGUACCCACCUCUGGCCGGCCCGUCCACCGUCCGGCUGCCGCCGGCCUUCCUGUGCUCCCACUAGUUCCGGUAAGUGCAGUUUAUAAAUUUUGCGCACUGUUUCGGGUUCGGAUCGCUGUUCCGACAAUUCGAGGACACCCCGACGCCCCCGAAAGUGAGCACGAUGAUCCCUGAUCUAUGUCGAACAUCGUGCUCACCUUCUUUGGGGUCAGCGAAGCCUCGGUUUGCGUGCUAAGAAUUGUUUAGGCACUUUGCGUGCUAUUUCACUGAACUUCGCGUCACUCCCGUGCUUGCCACAGUGGCUAGCCGUGCUCCGAAGCAUGAGCAUGGCCUCCGACACAUCGAGACCUGUCAGCGGAUGUCUCGGCCAGGCUCGAAUGUCUUCGGAUUGCACUGUCGGGCCGUAAAACCUCGAAAAUCACAUAAAAUGAUGUGAUUUUGUGAAGUCGCAGGAGCUUAUAUGCAAUUUUACAUUUUGUGGUUGCUGUUGGCAGAGUGUGCGAGCAUCGGGUGCCUCUGACUCUGGACUGGUUGUCCAAGGCCCCAGGCCCUUUUGGAAAUCGGAUGUUGAUUUUCAGUGUGUUUUUCAACGAAAUCCGCCGACGGAACACGUUUUCAGUUCAGAAUUCUUCCGACGGUGCCUCACAGAAAAUUAUGUGGUCGCUGAGCCGUGUUGGUUGGUCACUCACAUCGUUUUGAGGAUUCAGAAACGACGGGUAAGCGACGUUGGGUUCUGGUGUCGAAAUCGACACUUCUGGGAACCCAGAUCAGAACGAUUAUCUGAUGAUAAUCGUUUUCGAUGUGAGGAGAUGUUUUUUCUACCAAGUCACACAAAUUACUGUGUUUAGUGGCAGCGGGUGACUCGUGGCGUGAGUCUGUGAGUUCCGGGACAGUUCAUGGGUCCUGGCGGAGUCUCGGUGCGAUUUUCGGGACUUCCGGCGCGUUACGGCAAUCGAUUUUGGAAAACCGAUUCCCGUGGGUUUAUUGGUGGGGAUUGUGAUUUAGUGGUUCGUAUUCGUGGUUGGAUUCUAACCCGGUGGACCCUUCGUAGGUCCGGUUGACUUUCUUCCACAGUCGGGAGACCAGUGCUACUUAUGUAAAGGUGGGUACUUCAACCCUAAGUCAGUACAGUGGUGCACGCUCGGUGACAUCUUCUUCCCCCUCUUUUCUUUUAUUACCCGGCAUAUACAUGUUGAGCUUAGCACCAUUGUUAUCUAUUUAUCGCUCUACUUAGUUAUUUACAAAUCUAGCAUCAUGAGUAGAAGUACAGCAAGUUUAUGAUUACAUGUGAGAUCUGUGACCUAGUCGGUCGAUUCUUGUAUUUCGUACUGUGACCUAUUUGGUCGAUUCACUACAUCUGUUAUUGUGAUCUACUUGGUCGGUUGGACUACUUGGUGACCUACACAGUCAGUAUACCCUGAGGGGUUGGAUUGUCGGCUAGUUGCCAAUGUUUGUCUAUUGAGCAUAUCAGCAUCGAUCGCCACUGCUCGUACAUAUUUCAUGAACACCCGCGUUCUGAUCCACCACAAGAGGGUGUUCUUUUCCGAAAAAGUGAUUGGGAAUGCCAGCCCGUAGGCCCAAGAGUUUAUGCUGGGGUUAUAUGCUUUCAGACCCAAGAGCAAGCCUGAGGUGUGCGGACCAACAUGGCAGAUUUCUGAUUGGGUACUUUUGGGACUAGUCGUCCAGUUGAUGCAUGCAUACAAUAGCAGUAGUGAUUUAUAUAUAUAUGUCCUGAUUCUUUAUUUAUCAUUGCUAUUAUAUUACCAUUAUCUAUACCUUUGUUUAUCCUCCUUGACGGGUGAGUACCCCUCGCCCUCGUCAGCUUGUGGUACUCACUGGGAGGGGAGACAUAUGUACAUAUUCUCACUCCCCACCCCUUUUCAGGUGACGUCACGGUUCCGAGUGGGGACGGUUCAUGAGGCACGCAGCUUAGCAUUCGGUAUAGCUAUCGGCCCGUCGUUUUGGUUAAACUCCUCAAACCUGUCUUUUUAAUAAUUAACUUAGUAUUUAUGGUUCAAUUGUUUCCUUUAUUUGAAUAAUUGGGAUUUUGUGAACGUAAAAAGAAUUUAUGGAUUUCUUACGAAAUGAAAACGGUUCUCUACCCCUCGUGGUAGCGCGCUUUUAAAAGAAAAAGGUUUUCGGGUGGGAAACGGUGUUAAAAAGGUUUUCUUGGUUUUCAUGACUUGAUGUUUCAAAAUAAAUUUCCGGGUAGAAAAUAUUUUAAACUAAUAGAUAUUGAUAUAUAAAUAUUUGUGAUAAAAUGAAUGUGGAUGUGAAUGGUGAAUGCAUAUAGAUAUGCAUAUGUGUGUGGUUAUAUCUUGUACUUAUGCGACGCCAUGCAAAUACAGGAGAGAUUCUGUCCGUAUGUACAGUGGACACUCUGUAUUUGUGGCGAAUAUGACAUACCCUGAGGGUCAAGGUUUUAAAAAAAAAAAAAAUUGGGCACUUCCGCAUGGGUUUUUUAAAAUCAAAAAAUGACCCCGAGGCAUGACAAUUAUUAAUUAAUUAUUUAAUUUACUAUUAAUUAAUUAUAAUUAAUUAAGUUAUUUAAUUUACUAUUAAUUAAUUAUAAUUAAUUAAGUUAUUUAAUUAUUAUUAUUUAUAAUUAUUAAUAAUUAUUUAAUUAAUUAAUUUAAUAUUAAUUAAAUAAUUUAUGAUUUAUAAUUAUUAUUAAUUAAUUAAUUAAUAAUUUUAUUAUUAAUUAAUUAAUUAAUAGUUUAUAAUUAGUAAUAAUUUAUUAUUUAUAAUUACUAAUAAUUUAUUAUUAUUAAUUAAUAAUUUUUAUUUUUUAAUUAUUUAUAAUUUUAAAUUUAUUUUAUUAUUAAUUUAUUUAUUUAUUAUNUUUAUACUUUAUUAUAUAAUUAAUUUGUAAUUAAUAAAUUAUUAUUAUUUAAUAAGUUAUUAUUCAUAAUUAUUUCUGAUUAAUAAUUAAUUAAUUAAUUAUUAAUUAAUUUAUAAUUUAUAAUUAUUAAUAAUUUUUUAUUCAUAAUUUAUUAUCUAAUUAAUUUUUUAUUAAUUAAUUUAUAAUUCAUAGUUAUUUAUUAUUUAUUAUUGUCACGUCCCGCGACUGCCAAUUUUGUCGUUUCGUGUACGUCCACAGAUGCCGAACGGACAUAACCUCUCCUAUCCGCUCAAGGCUCAACACAACCACAUGUAUAACAAAGUCGCCCAAAAAGAAUUUAGAUAUACAUGGCUUGCAUGAGGGCAAGGAACAGCAUAAGCAAGUGAAAGUAAACUAACUAUGCAUACAUUCAUUGUAUCUUGCAAACUUUAAACAAAAUACAAAGUUUGAUACUUCAUUACAUUCAUUUGCCAAACUACAUUACAUGUCCUUCAAGUACAUACAUCAUUUCUUAUACAUUGUUCAUUCAUCAGUACAAAAGAUGAAUUCCAAAAUGGUACACAACUAAACUCGAAGGAGGCCCACUACCUAAGGCGCGAUGCCCUUGCUGCAGUCCUCGACCGCCCCACUCACGCUAGGAUCUGCAAGGUUAGUGAUUUGAAAGUUUCUAGUGGGUUCGGCCGCCGACCUCGCCGACUGACCCACUAGGUCUACUCAAGCAUAUGUAGGAAAAGAAAAUAGAUAGCAAACCAGAUUAAUACUAUUACAAUGCUUGUACAAAAUUGAAUAGAGAUAAUAUACUCAUGAUGCAUGCAUUUCACUUUUACUUUUAGCCAAUCUGCUUGGUUAACCAUUUGGUUAAACCUAAUUCACCAAACCAAAUCCCUUUUAUCAGGGAGAAUACCGCUACAACCCGACGGGACCGCCUGCUGGGGAGAAUUCCGCUACUGCCCAGUUGAUGACACUUCGGAGCUCACCACUUGAGGUAGAGCGACCACCCUUAAGCAUCAGACUACUUGUGAGUACAAUCCAAUCCUCACUUGGAGGAUACCAUGCCACAACCUUUAUAAAGUUCGUUUUGUUUAGCAUUUUCAAUUCUAGGUGCUAACCAAUUCGUCUAGUUAUAAUGCCACCUUGUUUACUAUUGUCAUGGUCCAACACAAGUGUUCACCGAUCCAUCUAGUCACAAUGUUACUUUGUGUACUAUUGAUAUAGUCCAAUACUUUGUUCAUACAUGCAUAGGGUUUCUAAAUCAUGGUCCUUUUUGAAGAUCAAAAUGGCAACCUAAGAGGGGGGGUGAAUUAGGUUUCUAAAAUAAAAAUCUAAAUAAUCAGGUAAAUUAAAAACUCGAUGCAAAUAAAAGUGAGGAGUUUAAAGAAAUGCAAACUCGAAAAGCACACGAUCAAUUUGUUUCGAGGUUCGGCACUUUGCCUACGUCCCCGCCAACUUCUCAACACUAGAGAAUGUUGGAUCUCCACUAGAUGAUGCCUUUGCGAGCAAGCACCAAGCCUUCACACCAACACCUUCUUCUUUCAAGCUUCAACAUUUUGCUUUUCUCUCUUUUUAUAAAAUUAAAUCUCACUACAAAUUUCACUCAAGUAUAGAGAGAGAAUUGUGAGCUAAGAGUAUUAGAGACACUGAAUUUUUAAGCUCAAAAUGAACUAUCUAGUUGCUACUGAGAAAGGCCUCAAUACCAUCUAUUUAUAGCCUCGGGCAGCUUUUGUCCGUUGUAUUUUUGGGCGCCCUAAACCUGUUUCAGGGCGCCCAGAAGUUGUGCACCCCAGCUGUCUAUCAGACCACGUGCGCCGCUUUUCUUGACUUCAUAAGUUCGGGCCGUCAAAAGUUGUGGGCGCCCAGAUCACGAGGGAUAGCUUUUCUGACACGCGCCGCUUCCUCUGGAUUUGGGCCGUCAGAAAUUGUGGGCGCCCAGAUCUUGAGGGACAACGUUUUCUGACAGCCGGAUUUUUCUGGAUUCGGGAUCAUUUUGGGAUUCCAGAAGAUGUGGAUGCCCAGAUUUUCAACUCACGCGCCGCCUGCGUCAGAACUUUUUGGGCUGAUACACAACCUGUCAAGUCAAACACUUUCGGUCGCCCUAAACUUAAAUUCGGGCGACCAGAUCCGGUAAAGAUGUUUCUGGACCACUCGAAGAGCAAAUAGGCAGGGUCCAAAAAGUCUCAUAAGAUUCAGAUCCACUUUAGGGCGCCCAGAACAGGGUCCAGAAAUCGCAACUUGACAGAACACAGAAUUUGAGCAGUUUUUGAAUAUUUAAAAAUCCUAUGCACCUAAUCAAAAGUUAGAAAUUUGUUUAAGUGAUCUAUAAGGUGAUAAGAUGAAUAGUUUUAAACUUAGCUCAAAAUUUCUCACUCUAAUAGAGCAUCAUAUUAAGAAUAGAGAGAGUGAGUUUGUCUUUUUGAUGAAGGAAGCAGGUAUAACUUCAAGUCGUGAGGCUCGGUGCUAGAAAAUUGCCCAUAUUGAGUCCUUUUUGAAGAUAGAAACAUAAAACUCAAGAUAAAAGAUUAGUCCAAUAAUCGUAAUUAUUUGUUAUCAUCAAAAUCUAAUUAAAGAUUAGGGCUACUAGGCCAACAAUCUCUCCCUUUUUUAUGAUGACAAAUAAUGUGAUAAUAUUCAAAUGAGUAGAGAGCAAAAGAGUAGAAUACUCCCCCUAAAUAUAUGCAUAUAUUUAACAAGCAUAUAACACAAUCAUAGGCAUAGCAUAUAUCAGAAAAAAAUAAUAACCAAGUAAGCACAAAAUAUAAACGAAGUAAGCACAAAAUAUAAACAAGGUUCAUAUAUCAUAAGUGCAGCAUAAUAUAUCACAUCACAAAGUCUCCCCCUUUGUCAUCAACAAAAAGAAACAUAACGGAGACUGGCAAAACGUGAUGAAGGCAUAAGAUAUAGCAUAGAAAUAGCAUAAAAGAAGGCAUAAAGAAGUAAAAUAGAGCUAGUCAUCAUCUUCAUCCUCUUCAUCAUCAUCCACAUGACCCGUGGGCGAAACGGGUGGAGGCAUAGUGGAGGAAAAUGGUCGAUCAACGUGGGGUCCAUACGCCGCAUAAAAGGCACUAGAAGGUCCAAAGAAAGAGUCCAUAUAUGUCUUGAUGCCGGAAACAUCCGUUUGUAAAGUAUGCAAAUGUUCUUCCAUCCUAUCAAAUCGAUGAAAAACUUGGUUUUGAAAAGCCAUAGGAAGAGGAACAUCCAUAGGCGGAGGCACAACAGGUGGCGACUCAACCGGUGGAGAGGGCGCUCGUGGUGGCGGCGCAUGACGCAUAGGAUCAUCCGCGGGGUCGGCAUUGUCAUCACUAUCUUUGCUAGGUUGAUCAAUUACAUGUUUCCUUACCCAAAUGCCAUGACGAUUUUUCUUGAAGCCAAGGAUGGAGAAGGUAGCCGUAGUGAUAGCGGAGGGAUACUUCAUCGGCCUCACGUCAUAAAGAUCAAAAGUCAUGAACUCGAGAAUGGCGGUGAGCAAAGAGCCAUAAGGAAGUGAGCGCGAGGGAUGAUAAGCGGCGGCGGCCAUGUGGCGAAUGAUGAUAUACCCCAAAUUAACUCGGAUUCCCGCAAAGAGAUGAUGAAGUAGAAAAAGAUCCAUCUUUUGAACGGCGGUGUGGUGACCGUCCCGAGGAAGAACUACUUUAGUAAGAAGAAAGUGGGCGAGGCGGUGAGUGUAAGGUACCGGACUUCUAAAAUCAUGAAGUUACGGUGUACAUUUGGUUUGAAAGCCAUUUGAAUGGUUCUCGUGAGGUUGCGAUGGAAUGUAAUAUACCGAAUUUUUAAAUAUAAAAAUAAAAAUAAAUAAAAAUAGUAUGAGAUACUAUUUUUAUUGGAUUUAGAGGAGUAAAACAUAAGUCAGAAGUGACUUGUGCUGAAAUUGGAAUGAAAACAGAAGAUCUAGAAUUUUCUGUUAGAAAUGGGGCAGAUAAAUAAGCAGAAAAUGCACAGUCUUAGAAAAUUAUGAAAAUUGGAGAUAAGUCAGAAAUAUUUUAUGAGACUAGAUUUAAAGUUUCAUAUUUUUCUGACACCCGUAGAGUGAGAAAUAAAAUCCGACAGCUAUCUGAUAAAGAUUACAGUUCGGUAUAGUUUUCGGUGACCAAAUGGGGUCGAAACUGAAAACUUAAAAUAUAUUCUUACUCAGUACGUUAAACUGAGCUUCCCUGUCAAAUUUGAGCUCAAACGGACAUUCAGAAGGGCUCAAACUGUUCCGAACUGCAAAAACUGCCUGAAGUGAAUAGUGUUUUGGGGUGUAUUAUAAAGAAGAUGUUGCUUCUUCUUCCCCAACCGACCAGCACCCCACCACCCUCUCGUGCGCAUGGUGAGAGCAAGAGAGAAAGCUUCUCUCUCUCUCUAGAUAUCUCUCUCAUUUCUCUAUAUUUCUCGCUCAAAUUCGCGGGGUUGGUGGAGAAUAUGCUUGCGAACGCGUUGGAGGCGACGGAUUGAGCUUUCGUGCGCCCGUUGGAGCGGUGUGUUGUCGUCGCGGCGUUCACAUUGAGGUAAGCUUUUAGGAUUUGGCUUAAUCCUUAGCUUUAAGUAUUCUAAUAGCCUCUAAUGAGCUUUGUUAGCAUGUUGAUCCAUUUAAUUUUGGAUUAUUUUGAGGUUAAUUGCAUAUUAGGGCUCCGAAUGGGGUUUUGUAAAAUAUAAGGGUUUGAUCUAAUUUGACCCUCCGUAAACCUAAUUGCUAGGUAAACGAACGCGUUGGCGAAGUCAGUUCGGCGAUUCGUCGAGCCGUUGCGAAGUUAUUAAAGAAAUAGACGUUUAGGCUUCGUUUCCGCCUGGAGGGCCGAGGUGAUAUCGUAAACUCAUGAAAACGGAUUUGAAGCAUCGUGGCACAUAACCGAAGACCUUUAAUUUUCGGAUCGUGAAUUGGAGGCCGUUCGGGUGGUCGCGCGAGAGAUCGGGCCAAACCGGGUGCCGGGUGCCGCGGGAGGCCGAUUGCAAGUGUCGACAAGCAAUCGGAAUGCGAAAUGAGGUGGGUUGUGCUUACCGAAGCGACUAGGUCGCCCUUUAUGUUUAAGAAACAUACGAAUUCACAUUGAUGCAUAUAGUUGUAUUGGUAGGCUUACAUGAUAAUAUGAAUGCUUGAAACAUAUUAUGUAGUUGAUAUUACCUACCAAUGAGAUGAAAUGUAUAAUGAAUUAAAUGCUAAAAGAAUGCAUGAGAUGCUAAGUAUAGACUACUUUGGAUGAUGAUUAUAUGUAUGUUGACAUAUCAUGUGAUGCUAGUAAUAUAUGUGCAUGAUGACAUGUUGUGAAUUAACAUAUUGUGGAUUAUGUUAAAUAGAAACAUAUACAUGAUGACAUAUAUUGCAUAUGAUAGAAGAAUUAUACAUGUUGCCAUAUUGUGGAACAUAGUAGAUGAAUUAUGCAUGUUGAACUUGGUCGAUUAGAGAAAUUGACAUUGGAAAACAAGAACACAUCGAGUGGCAUUAAUGUAGUGUAUUUGACACUAGAGGUUUGAGAACCUAGGGAUAGGUGAAUCCCUUAGAAAAUGCCUUGUGGAUAAAGAACUUAGUAAACCUAAGUACCCUCACAUGGAGAGGUUGUCGAUGAGUUAUUGAGAUAUUGACUCUAGUUGUAGAGCAUCCUCACUUGGAGAGGAUUUGAUUGGGUUGUUGACUCCAGUUGUAGAGCAUCCUCACUUGGAGAGGAUUCGAUUGGGUUAUUGACUCUAGUUGUAGAGCCUCCUCACUUGGAGAGGAUUGGAUUGGGUGUUGACCCUAGUUACAGUGUAUCCUCACUUGGAGAGGAUUGAUCUAGCUCACAGUCUGCGUGUAGGGUGGUAUAGCCAUCCAAUCCCCACAUGGAGGGGAUUGUCGUCGAGUACUCCGGAGUGUCGCGCGACUAGGACCACUUGGAGGUCCGGACCACAUGGAGGUCCGCAGACAGUCCCGGGCUUGGGUGCACUUAGAGCUCCCUCCCCACUUUGGGAUUGAAAGAUGAGUUAUUGGCGAACCCUAGGGCUUCGCUACAGAUUGGGUAAAAGAACAGUGAACAAUGCCAUUGAACAUUAUUAUUCGAACAUGGAUCGAAUUUGUCAGCAUGAUAGUAAACCUUUACUAUUUGAUGCAUGGUAUGAGUUUUAGUUGCAUCCCAGUUGAGUGGAUUUAGGGCCGAGGUGCAUGUGAGACAUCCUUCACCUUGAGCCUGGCUUUGUGCGGUAUACCGCGUGUGAUUGACUCAAGACUGAGUCGAGUGGAUAGCUUAUAAAAGCAGGUUAAACCCUAUGAGCAGAAUUAUAAUUGACAAGAAUCUAAGAUAGAGGAAAACUUAGAAGUCAAUUGGUUGAACCGUGAAUGACAGGAAUAAAAGUAGUAUCGAUUGAACUACUAGUUGGUUGCAUGGUUGCAUAAACUGCAUAAAUUUCAUAUUGCAUUUUGUGAGGCACAACAUGUAUUUCAAUACUUGAAUAUAUAUAUCUGUUGGAUAUCUGUUGGACUAACAUGUUGCAGGGCCUCCUUAGACCUAUUGGUCGAGCUUUUCCCUUGGGUGGCCGUACCCACUGGGAACCAUGGAGUUGGUUCUCACCCCACGUUGUUUUGGGGUGUUACAGGUUCGCACGUGAGCGGCGCGGCGGCGCAAGGCGAGGGCGUAGCUCCAUAGAUAGCGCCCUACCCCAGAGACCAGAGAUAGAGGUACCCCGAGUCGGCAUAGCCUAGGAGUAGAGGGAAAAGAAAAGAAAGAGCAAACUUGUAAUAAUAUUGCGAUCAUUAAUUGUAUUUGGAAGAAAAUGUAAUGUAAUAAUGCUAAUGGGAUGUAAAAAUGAAUCUAAUGGGAAUGCUUGUAAUAACAUAGGGUGUGUUAUGUUGUUUGAUACCUUCCUUAUGCAAUCUUGCUUGAAUACUGUUCCUGGUUGGAACUUCUUGUACUUGUAUUGAUUGCGAUGCCUAGGACGUACAGGGGAGACUCUGUCCGUUCGGCGGUCUGUCGGCGGCGCCGCGACCUCGGCCAAAUAGGCGGGUGGUCGCGGGUCGUGACAGAUAAUAGUGGUAUCAGAGUAUAAAGUAGAGAAUGGAAAAUAUUUUAGGCGGACCUAGGAGACCCUAGGAUAGUAAAUCAUAGGAGAAUAAGGCUCGUGAGAGACGAGGACUUGUGACUUAUGGCGAAAGAUUGAUCGAUUGGGUCAGGUUAGUAAACCUCUAAAAUGGAUGUUAGAGGUAGACUCGAGGUGUGGUUUAUUCUCAACCGAGGGUGUUCAUGUUAGGUAUACACAACAUGAAACCGAGUGAUGAGAAUAGACACCCUUGCAUGACUUUCGCCCGAUUCGAGUCGGUGUCAGUUGUUUCGCGCUCGACCUUGAGGGUCGAGAAUCGACCGAGUUGUCGUGUCUUAGGAAGCGAUAGCACCGUGUAGGCGAUCUUAAUCUAGAUCGGCGUGGGAUGGGACGAGUGGCGUCCCUAAGCAAUCCGAAACUAGCGGAGACUUGGGACUUCGCGAGUGAUUGGCCACUCUCGUGUGAGUGGUAGGGUAAUGCCUCAGCGGAGACCUUGGCCGGACGUGGUCGAGGUUGUGCAUGUAAGGAAGUGAAUUCUCGAAAUCCGAGAGUUGUGCUUCGUCCAGGAUCGACUCUUUGUCGAGUGAGUAUCCUUCGAAAAAGCUAGAGAUGUCAAAAAUACAAAAAGUGCAUUGGAAACGUGUCCGCGAGAGCAAAUUUGCAAAAAAUCUGGACUUAGCAGAUUUUGCUCUCAGGGACCGGUCCCUGGAAGGGAGGACCGGUCCCCGUAGCUAAUGGUUGCGGGGGAGGUUGAUGCAACCGGUCCCUGGCUGAGGGGACCGGUCCCCGUAUGCGACACCAGUGAGAGAAGGGCAAAGAAAGGCUAAGUCCUGGAAAUUCGGCUCUCGGGGACCGGUCUCUCAGGAAGGACCGGUCUCCCAGGGACCGGUCUCUCGGGUGGGGACCGGUUCCCGUAUGCGAAAGGUCCCCUGGCCGCGGGGAGGGCUCUCGGGGACCGGUCUCCCUGACGAGGGACCGGUCCCUCUGGGCGCAGAAUGCCCAGUGAGGGCUGUGCACAAGGAUGAAAGUUGAGGGGCUUAUUUGCAUUUAUGCAACACGUGGGGCUAUGUGAGGAGUAUGAGAGCUCUUUUCUCUUAUUUCUCACCCACACACCCUCUCAUAUCUCUCUUUCUCUCUCUAGAAGACAAGAAGAGGAAGAAGAAAGGAAAGGAAAGAAAGAGAAGGAGAAGGAGGUCUUCCUCAUCUUCUUCAUCUUCUCCUUGGUUGGAGCUUCUUGGAGAGGUAAGCUUCUAAGCUCUCUCUCAUGGUGGAUUUCUAGAGAUAGGUUUGAUUGCUCUAGAAAUGGAGUUUUGUGUUAUCUGAGGGCGUAGUACCUGCCAGUACAGGUAUAGAGCCAGAUGGCACUAGCGAAGUGCUAGAAGUAAUUUAUGGCGAGAAGUGAGACUCGCGGUAGAGAUAGAAGUGGCGAAAUGACUCUCAGAGCAAUAUGAGUAGUAAAUUGCGAGAGUUGAGCCAUGAUGCUUAUGAGAACACCCGAGUGGUCCGAAAAUUUCGGAUGUCAUUCUGAUAGAUCGAGCAGUGAAAGUAGCAUCACUGUUGAGAGAACGGUCGAUUAGUGGCCAAGUUCGAGCACGUGGGCCUAGUAGUACCUCAAGGUGAGGUAGGCGGUUGCGCUCGUGCGGCUGGUGUGCAUAGGCAAGAUUGCCUAAUGCUGGACUUAGUGUGGGACGCUAUAGAGGCUUAUAGAGCGCUCAAGUGUGGGUACUCGUAGAGUGCGGUUUCGAUUCAGCCGGGAGAGUGAGUUGGUAGUAGCACUCAGCAUUGCUAAGUGUGAAGAGGGCCAUGGAUCACUCGUGGGGCUGGUGGCUCGCACUAGGUGCAUAGGAGCCGAUAGUGAUACGUAUUGCUCGAUAGAGCGUGUAAUGCGAUUGAUAGUAUACUGAGAGUACAAUUGUGACCCAAUCCGAGAAUUUGAUACGGUUUGGGAUCUUGGUUGCUCCUGGUUGGAGUGUGUGCGAAUUCCCAAGAGAAUUUCGCCCCAGUUAUGAUUGGGUCUACGCUUGCGAGCGAGAGGCGCUACGCAUAUGUUGAGAUGGGUUUAGGCUGUAGGCCUACGUAGUAUCGGUGGCCUUUGGCUGACCUGUGAAAAACCGAGGAAAGUGAUUUGGCGAGUAGCCUUAUCGGGGAGUUUGACUUGAGUUCACGAACGACGUGCUCGUGUGAGUCGUUGCGAAAGUGGUAUGAUGUUGACCGUGGCAUAUGGUAUUAGGUAAUGAGGUGCUCUUGGCGAGGCCUUGAGCUAAUGGCCAGCCACGUAGAAUUGGAAUUGGGAUGCGCCGAGGUGGGCCAUCUCACGUCAAAGUUAAGGGCUAGUCUGGAAUUAAAGCACUUACGAUGAAGCGGUGCACCGGUGAUAUUGCUUUUAGGCAAUGUCGGUGAUUGAUUUGGAAUGCAUUCCCUGAAGGGGAAGUAAAUGCAAGGAAGAGUUCUUGCUUGUCAAGUGGCAAGUGGUGUUGGAGCGCGUAGAGUCGUCGAGUUUCGACUUGCGCUACCACAUAGAGUGACGGAGACCGUAAUUUACUUUGUGAGGUGUGCCUUGCAAAGUUCGAUGCAUUUGGUAUCACGAGCUCCGUAGUAGUCCUUUUGGAUAGUUCCGAUGAGUGAAAGGCUACUCCGAGAUGCAAAAGUGCAUUGGGACCCUCGACUAUUUGAUAAGUUGAGCUGGGGUAUGAAUUGGAAUUGAAGUGAGAUAGUUUCGAGGACGAAACUCUUUUAAGGAGAGGAGGAUGUAAGGUACCGGACUUCUAAAAUCAUGAAGUUACGGUGUACAUUUGGUUUGAAAGCCAUUUGAAUGGUUCUGGUGAGGUUGCGAUGGAAUGUAAUAUACCGGAUUUUUAAAUAUAAAAAUAAAAAUAAAUAAAAAUAGUAUGAGAUACUAUUUUUAUUGGAUUUAGAGGAGUAAAACAUAAGUCAGAAGUGACUUGUGCGGAAAUCGGAAUGAAAACAGAAGAUUUAGAAUUUUCUGUUAGAAACGGGGCAGAUAAAUAAGCAGAAAAUGCACAGUCUCAGAAAAUUAUGAAAAUUGGAGGAUAAGUCAGAAAUAUUUUUAUGAGACUAGAUUUAAAGUUUCAUAUUUUUAUGACACACGUAGAGUGAGAAAUAAAAUCCGACAGCUAUCUGAUAAAGAUUACAGUUCGGUACAGUUUUCGGUGACCAAAUGGGGUCGAAACUGAAAACUUAAAAUAUAUUCUUACUCAGUACGUUAAACUGAGCUUCCCUGUCAAAUUUGAGCUCAAACGGACAUUCAGAAGGGCUCAAACUGUUCCGAACUGCAAAAACUGCCUGAAGUGAAUAGUGUUUUGGGGUGUAUUAUAAAGAAGAUGUUGCUUCUUCUUCCCCAACCGACCAGCACCCCACCACCCUCUCGUGCGCAUGGUGAGAGAGAGAGAGAAAGCUCCUUUCUCUCUCUAGAUUUCUCUCUCAUUUCUCUAUAUUUCUCGCUCAAAUUCGCGGGGUUGGUGGAGAAGAUGCUUGCGAACGCAUUGGAGGCGACGGAUCGAGCUUUCGUGCGCCCGUUGGAGCGGCGUAUUUUCGUCGCGGCGUUCACAUUGAGGUAAGCUUUUGGGAUUUGGCUUAAUCCUUAGCUUUAAGUGUUCUAAUAGCCUCUAAUGAGCUUUGUUAGCAUGUUGAUCCAUUUAAUUUUGGAUUAUUUUGAGGUUAAUUGCAUAUUAGGGCUCCGAAUGGGGUUUUGUAAAAUAUAAGGGUUUGAUCUAAUUUGACCCUUCGUAAACCUAAUUGCUAGGUAAACGAACGCGUUGGCGAAGACGGUUCGGCGAUUCGUCGAGCCGGUGCGAAGUUAUUAAAGAAACGGACGUUUAGGCUUCAUUUUCGUCUGAAGGGCCUAGGCGACGUCGUAAAAUCCUGGAAACGGAUUUGAAGCACCGUAACAGCAAAACGAAGACCCUUUUUGCCCGAGGUUGCGAAGCGAUGCGCGGUUGGUGCGCAAUUGCAAGUUCCGGCGGAACCGAGCACCGGGUGCCGCGGGAGGCCGAUUGCAAGUGUCGACAAGCAAUCGGAAUGCGAAAUGAGGUGGGUUGUGCUUACCGAAGCGACUAGGUCGCCCUUUAUGUCUAAGAAACAUACGAAUUCACAUUGAUGCAUAUAGUUGUAUUGGUAGGCUUACAUGAUAAUAUGAAUGCUUGAAACAUAUUAUGUAGUUGAUAUUACCUACCAAUGAGAUGAAAUGUAUAAUGAAUUAAAUGGUAAAAGAAUGCAUGAGAUGCUAAGUAUAGACUACUUUGGAUGAUGAUUAAAUGUAUGUUGACAUAUCAUAUAAUGUGCAUGAUGACAUGUUGUGAAUUAACAUAUUGUGGAUUAUGUUAAAUAGAAACAUAUACAUGAUGACAUAUAUUGCAUAUGAUAGAAGAAUUAUACAUGUUGCCAUAUUGUGGAACAUAGUGGAUGAAUUAUGCAUGUUGAACUUGGUCGAUUAGAGAAAUUGACAUUGGAAAACAAGAACACAUCGAGUGGCAUUAAUGUAGUGUAUUUGACACUAGAGGUUUGAGAACCUAGGGAUAGGUGAAUCCCUUAGAAAAUGCCUUGUGGAUAAAGAACUUAGUAAACCUAAGUACCCUCACAUGGAGAGGUUGUCGAUGAGUUAUUGAGAUAUUGACUCUAGUUGUAGAGCAUCCUCACUUGGAGAGGAUUUGAUUGGGUUGUUGACUCUAGUUGUAGAGCAUCCUCACUUGGAGAGGAUUUGAUUGGGUUGUUGACCCUAGUUGUAGAGCAUCCUCACUUGGAGAGGAUUUGAUUGGGUUGUUGACUCUAGUUGUAGAGCAUCCUCACUUGGAGAGGAUUUGAUUGGGUUGUUGACCCUAGUUGUAGAGCAUCCUCACUUGGAGAGGAUUUGAUUGGGUUGUUGACUCUAGUUGUAGAGCAUCCUCACUUGGAGAGGAUUUGAUUGGGUUGUUGACCCUAGUUGUAGAGCAUCCUCACUUGGAGAGGAUUUGAUUGGGUUGUUGACUCUAGUUGUAGAGCAUCCUCACUUGGAGAGGAUUUGAUUGGGUUGUUGACCCUAGUUGUAGAGCAUCCUCACUUGGAGAGGAUUUGAUUGGGUUGUUGACCCUAGUUGUAGAGCAUCCUCACUUGGAGAGGAUUUGAUUGGGUUGUUGACCCUAGUUGUAGAGUAUCCUCACUUGGAGAGGAUAGAUCUAGCUCACAGUCUGCGUUUGGGAUGGUAUAGCCAUCCAAUCCCCACAUGGAGGGGAUUGUCGUCGAGUACUCCGGAGUGUCGCGCGACUAGGACCACUUGGAGGUCCGGACCACAUGGAGGUCCGCAGACGGUCCCGGGCUUGGGUGCACUUGGAGCUCCCUCCCCACUUUGGGAUUGAAAGGUGAGUUAUUGGCGAACCCUAGGGCUUCGCUACAGAUUGGGUAAAAGAACAGUGAACAAUGUCAUUGAACAUUAUUAUUCGAACAUGGAUCGAAUUCGUUAGCAUGAUAGUAAACCUUUACUAUUUGAUGCAUGGUAUGAGUUUUAGUUGCAUCCCAGUUGAGUGGAUUUAGGGCUGAGGUGCAUGUGAGACAUCCUUCACCUUGAGCCUGGCUUUGUGCGGUAUUCCGCGUAUGAUUGACUCAAGACCGAGUCGAGUGGAUAGCUUAUGAAAGCAGGUUAAACCUUAUGAGCAGAAUUGUAAUUGACAAGAAUCUAAGAUAGAGGAAAACUUAGAAGUCAAUUGGUUGAACUGUGAAUAACAGGAAUAAAAGUAGUAUCGAUUGAACUACUAGUUGGUUGCAUGGUUGCAUAAACUGCAUGAAUUUCAUAUUGCAUAUUGUGAGGCACAACAUGUAUUUCAAUACUUGAAUAUAUAUAUCUGUUGGAUAUCUGUUGGACUAACAUGUUGCAGGGCCUCCUUAGACCUAUUGGUCGAGCUUUUCCCUUGGGUGGCCGUACCCACUGGGAACCAUGGAGUUGGUUCUCACCCCACGUUGUUUUGGGGUGUUACAGGUUCGCACGUGAGCGGCGCGGCGGCGCAAGGCGAGGGCGUAGCUCCAUAGAUAGCGCCCUACCCCAGAGACCAGAGAUAGAGGUACCCCGAGUCGGCAUAGCCUAGGGGUAGAGGGAAAAGAAAAAGAGCAAACUUGUAAUAAUAUUGCGAUCAUUGAUUGUAUUUGGAAGAAAAUGUAAUGUAAUAAUGCUAAUGUGAUGUAAAAAUGAAUCUAAUGGGAAUGCUUGUAAUAACAUAGGAUGUGUUAUGUUGUUUGAUACCUUCCUUAUGCAAUCUUGCUUGAAUACUGUUCCUGGUUGGAACUUCUUGUACUUGUAUUGAUUGCGACGCCUAGGACGUACAGGGGAGACUCUGUCCGUUCGGCGGUCUGUCGGCGGCGCCGCGACCUCGGCCAAAUAGGCGGGUGGUCGCGGGUCGUGACAGUGAGGGAAGGAAAGAUGAGAGCAAUCUUCUCUUGAAGUAGAAUCUUCACAAAGAAAAUGAUUGCGGAGGUGCGCUUUGGAAAAGGUAUGAAAGUUCCAAGUAUUGGUUUGGUAGUAGCAAACGUCGUCAUUUAGAAUGUUUAAAACAGUGUGAAGAAGGAUAGGAGUAAUGGCAAGAGCACGUCCCCGAUAGCAGGAAGUAAUGGUAGUAAAUUCGGAAUUAAAAGUAGCAUUUGCAUAAAAAGUCCUAAUUAGGUCCGGAUAAAAAGGUCGUGAAUUUUGAACAAAAAAAUCCCAACCUACUUGUGUGAGCCUAUCCAAAAGUUCAUAACAAUCAAAGUUUAGAUGAUGAAUGUUACGGCAAGGUUGAACGGGACAACCUAAAAGAAAUUUAUCUUGAGCUUCCCUAGAGAUAAAAUUAAAAGCAUCAAAGUCAUCAUUUGAAUAAUCUCUAUGUGAGGAAGGGCCACGAGAUGCAUUUUUAGUUCUAGGCAUUUGUCAAAUUAUUUUUUUUAAAAAAAAUCUAGGGUUUAUGCAAAAGAUGAGCAAAAUGAAAGAUCUAAGAUGAAAUGAUGUAGAUCUAGGUAGAGAAAAAGAUUAUGUUGAACAAAGUACAAGAAAUUUGUAAAAAAAAAUUUUUUUUUUUUAAACAUGGUUAGGGUUAACAGCAGAAAAGAAAAAAAAAAGAAAAGGAAAAAAAAAUUACCACAGAUGGGGAGAAAUGGAGAGGAAAUCCGAGUUCUGGAAGAGAUUUGGGCGUAGCUGAUGCGGGUUGGGCGCAAGAAAUGGGCGACUGGACUGGGAGGAGUACGGAGAAGAGAAGAAAAGAAAAAAAUUUGAAAGAGAGAGGGCCUGUCGGGUGCUAGGACGACAAGAGGGCUCGCUCGCGGGUUUCAGGCACGAGUGCGAGUCGACGCGGUCGCCCGGAUCCGCAACCCGGAACCCACCAAGGCAGUCAAAACCGGCAAGGUGGUCAAACGGAGUUUCAGGCGCGGGUGUGAACCGAACUAGUCGCCUGGAUCCAAAACCCGAUAACCUGCUAGAGCUACUGCGGUUACCGCAUGUUUCGAGCGCCCGAAAUUUUUUUUCGGGAGACCGAAAAAUGGCGUGCAAAAAGCAAAAAAAAAAUGAUUCCAGCUAAUAAACAGCGAGGCAAAUAACACUCAUUCAAAAACAAAGAAAAAAUCAAGCAUUUAAAUCAAUCAUUCCUAAUUCUCUUCUAAGUUGAGUGAACCUAUCCUUACUAAGUGGUUUAGUAAAAAUGUCCGCUAAUUGAUGAUGGGUGUCCACAAAAUCUAUAGUGACAUCUCCUUUUAGAAUAUGAUCUCUAAUGAAAUGAUAUCUAAUUUCAAUGUGUUUAGUUCUAGAAUGUUGAAUAGGAUUUCUAGAUAGGUUGAUGGCACUAGUAUUAUCACAUUUGAUUGGAACUUGUUUUUGAUGCACUCCAAAGUCCUCAAGGGUUUGUUUCAUCCAUAAAACUUGUGCACAACAACAACCCGCCGCGAUAUACUCGGCUUCGGCGGUUGAAAGUGCAACAGAAUUUGCUUUUUCGAAAACCAUGAGACUAAGGAGUGACCAAGAAAUUGAUAAGUUCCACUCGUACUUUUCCGAUCAACUUUGCACCCGGCAAAGUCGGCAUCCGAAAAGCCAAUGAGAUUAAAAUUAGUGCCCUUGGGAUACCAUAAUCCUAAGUUGAGAGUCCCCUUAACAUAUCUAAGAAUUCUCUUUACGGCCACUAGGUGUGACUCCUUAGGUUGAGUUUGAAACCGAGCACAAAAGCAAACACUAAACAUAAUGUCCGGCCUACUUGCGGUAAGAUAAAGUAAACUACCAAUCAUACCUCGGUAGAGCUUGAUGUCAGCAUCCUUGCCUUUUUUGUCCUUGUCAAGUUUAGUUGAAGCACUCAUUGGAGUGUUUGUCUCCUUUGAGUUUUCCAAGCCAAAUCUGUUGAUUAGACCUUUUGCAUACUUGGCUUGAUUAAUGAAUAUUUCAUCCUUCAUUUGUUUAACUUGGAGUCCAAGGAAGAAUGAGAGCUCCCCCAUCAUGCUUAUUUCAAACUCAUUUUGCAUUAGUUUAGAGAAUUCUUUGCAAAGAGAUUCAUUAGUAGCACCACAUAUAAUAUCAUCAACAUAGAUUUGUAUAAUGAGAAAAUCUUUAUCCUUAAUUUUGAUAAAUAAUGUGGUGUCAACUUUUCUUCUUGAAAAAUUAUUUGAAAUAAGAAAAGUGCUAAGUCUUUCAUACCAAGCCCUAGGAGCUUGUUUUAACCCGUAGAGCGCUUUUGAAAGCUUAAAAACGUGAUCCGAAAAGUUAUGUUUUUCAAAACCGGGUGGUUGCUCAACAUAGACUUCUUCAGAAAUAUAUCCAUUUAAGAAAGCACUUUUUACAUCCAUUUGAAAUAACUUGAAAUUCAUGUAAGAGGCAAAAGCCAAAAGAAUUCGAAUAGCUUCAAGUCUAGCCUUGUUUCAAACCACAACACUGGAUUCAUCUUGCUUGUUUCGGAAAACCCAUUUAGUGCCAAUAAGGGUAUGAUCACUUGGUCUUUCCACAAGCAUCCAAACUUGGCUCCUCUCCAAUUGGUUGAGUUCUUCUUGCAUCGCAAUGAGCCAAUUUUCAUCAUUAAUCGCUUCAACAAAAUUUUUAGGUUUAAUUUGAGAUAUGAAAGCCAAGUGAUCACAAAGUAAUCUAAGAGAGGAUCUUGUCUUGACUUUUUGACUUGGAUCUCCAAUGAUGGAGUCCUUGGGGUGAUAAGUGGUGAAUUUCCACACUUUAGGUAAGGGAGUGGGUUCAAUCUCUUUAGAGAUGAACUCCUCACUUUUCUUAGAUGGUUCAACUUCUUGGGGUGUGGAGUUUAUAUUUAGCUUCUCAAAGUAUCUUCAUAGGAAGUAUCCUUUCCCUUAUAUUCUUCAAAGAGAAUGUGCAUACUAUCCUCUAUUAUUAAAGUUCGUCGAUUAUACACUCGAUAGGCUUUACUAAUAGAGCAAUAACCCAAGAAUAUUGCUUCAUCGGAUUUAGCAUCAAACUUUCCCAGCUUGUCUUUUGUGUUUAAAAUGAAACAUUUACAACCAAAAAUUUUGAAGUAACCAAUAUUGGGAGUUCUAUUAUGCCAUAAUUCGAAAGGAGUCUUCUCAAGGAUUGGUCGAAUUAGAGCACGAUUCAUAAUAUAGCAAGCUGUGUUUACGGCUUCGGCCCAAAAAUAUUUAGGCACUCCCCCUCAAUUAACAUAGAUCUAGUCAUAUAUUGGAUAGAUCUAUUUUUGCGUUCAACAACCCCAUUUUGUUCAGGUGUUCGAGGGGUAACAAAUUGAUGUUCUAUUCCCAAUUCAUUGCAAAACUCUUCGAAGUUAUGAUUUUCGAAUUCACCACCAUGAUCACUUCUAAUUUUGAAAAUUAUACAAUUCUUUUCAUUUUGAAUACGAUAGACAAAGUCUUUGAAGGAUUUGAAGGUAUCAUACUUGUGUCUUAAAAAUAAAGUCCAAGUAUAUCUUGAGUAAUCAUCAACAAUUACGAAAAUAUAGUUGCUUCCACCAAGGCUAGAGACAUCAAUUGGUCCAAAAAGAUCCAUAUGAAUCAAUUCCAAAGGCCUAGUUGUAGAAACAACAUUUUUGGAUUUAAAAGAUGAUUUUACUUGCUUUGCUUGAGCACAAGCAUUGCAAACCUCACCUUUGGCAUAGUCUAUUUUAGGUAAACUUUUUACAAGUUUUCUUUUGGAGAGUUUUGAAAGAGAAUCCAUACUAGCAUAUGCUAAUCUUCUAUGCCAAAGCCACGAUUCGUUAAUUUGAACCGAAAAAUAUUUUUCUCCUUCAUGUGAGAGUUUGCCUAAAUCAACGGUGUAAACAUUCUUGGAUCUAAAACCCAUAAAAGCUACCUCAUUUGUAGAUAGAUCAAGAAUGCUACAAUGAGAUGUUUCAAAUUUAACAAAAUAGCCUUUGUCACAUAAUUGACUAAUGCUUAGUAAAUUAUGCUUAAAACCAUCAACUAAAAGAAUUUUUGAAAUAUUAACCUUUUCAUUACCAAUUGUGCCGAUUCCAAUGAUCUUUCCUCUAGUAUUGUCUCCAAAGGUAACAAAUCCUCCAUCUUUCAUUUCAAUUAAUUUAAACUUGGUUUGGUCCCAAGUCAUAUGUCUUGAGCAUCCGCUAUCCAAGUACCAUUUGUCAUUUGCACCUUUUGAUUGGAGACACACCUACAAAAACAAAUAAAGUUUUUAACUUUGGUACUCAAGUGAGAUUAGGUCCUUUUGAGUUAGUUAAAUCUUUCACAACCCAAAUUUGGUUAAGUUUAGGAUUCUUCUUAUAUUUACAAGAGGAUAUAUGAUGUCCUAUAAUAUUGCAAUAGGAGCAAUGCAAAGUUGGGUUUUGAUUUGUACUUUUAACAAAAACCUUUCUCUUAGCUUUUGUUAACUUGACAUUGUUUGAAUUAGGAACAUAACCUAUCCCAAACUUUUUAAAAUUUACAACUUGACUUCUAAGCAUCAUAUUUAGAUACUUGGUUCCACCAACAAAUUUCUCAAGAGUUUUCUUUGUUUCAUCUAAACUAACUUUGAGUUGUUGAUUUUCAACUUGAAGUUUUUCAAGUUGUUUGUCAUAAUGAAAAAUUGGCUUAAAAUUUUGACCUACAAUUUUCUUCUUUAAAGCUUUAUUUUCACGAAUGAGACUAUAACAUGUCUCAUUAGCUUGUUUAAGCUCUUUCGUGAGUAAAGAGUCCUCAUUUUCAAGUACUAAAAAAGGAUUUGAAGUUGAAAGUUUUAAGUUGUUUACUUCCAUCUCUAAUAAGGCAUUUUACUUUUUGAGAAAUGUAUAUUUCGAACCCAAACUUUGUAGAUUAUCAUAUAAAGAAAAGAAGGCUUCUAAAAGUUCAUCAUAACUUAGAUUAUUUACCUAAUCUUCAAGAGCCAUAAGACAUAGGAUUGAGCUUUGCUCCUCAAGGCAAAUUUGGGCAACUUCGUUUUCCGAUUCAUCAUCGCUAGAUUCGUCGGGGGCAUCCCAAUUUAGUGCAUUGAAGGCUUUCUUUUUCUUGUCUUUCUUAAAAGUUUUGUUUGGAAGAGUGCAUUCACUUUUCAAAUGUCCCGGUUUAUUACAAUUGUAGCAAAUGAUUCCUUCCUUGAAUCCUUCACCUUUGAACACGUCUCGUUUAGGUCUCCUCAAGUUGCGCUUCUUGAUUAGUCAAUCGAGCCUUUUUGAAAUCAUAGCGAUUUCUUCGCUCGAACCUUCUUCACCAUCUUCACUCUCGGAAGCAAUGACUCCCUUAAGUGCAAGGCUUUUCUUUUUCUCGGGAGCCGCUUCGUUGUCAUAUUCUUUGAGGCGUUGUUCAUGCGCCAUGAGUGAUCCAACAAGUUCAUCAAUUUUUACUUUGUCCAAGUCAUGAGCUUCUUGGAUAGCCGUAACCUUAGGUAUCCAACUUCUUGGUAGUACACGAAGAAGUUUUCGUACCAAGUCCGAUUGAGGAAAAUCCUUACCUAAGGCUUUCAAGCUAUUUAUAAUGUUAGUAAAUCUUGUGAACAUAUUCGAAAGGGAUUCACUUUCCUCCAUUUUGAAUAGUUUAUAAUUUGACAUAAACAUGCUUAUUUUAGAUUCCUUCACCCUAAAAGUACCUUCAUGAGUAACUUCUAAUUUAUUCCAAAUCUCUUUAGCCGUUGUGCAUGUAGAGAUUCGGUGAAACUCUUCUCUACUAAGAGCGCAAAGGAAUGAAUUGAUAGCUUUCGCAUUCAAUUGAAAGCGAAAUUUUUCGGCUUCAUUCCAUUCCGCUCUUGAUUUUGAUGGAGCGAUGUAACCACUUUCGAUUAUAUCCCAAAUAUCAAAAUCUAGAGAUUGAAAGAAUAUCUUCAUUCUAAUCUUCCAAAAAGGAUAAUCGGUUCCAUCAAAAAAUGGUGGCCGAACAAUAGAUUGUCCUUUGAUAUUCUUUCCCGUGGAUGCCAUUCUUACUUAGAUUUUAAUCUAAAUAAUGUGAGACCUUGCUCUGAUACCAAAUGAGGAUCAAAAUGGCAACCUAAGAGGGGGGGGUGAAUUAGGUUUUUAAAAUAAAAAUCCAAAUAAUCAAGCAAAUUAAAAACCCGAUGCAAAUAAAAGUGAGGAGUUUAAAGAAAUGCAAACUCGAAAAGCACACGAUCAAUUUGUUUCGAGGUUCGGCACUUUGCCUACGUCCCCGCCAACUUUUCAACACUAGAGAAUGUUGGAUCUCCACUAGAUGAUGCUUUUGCGGGCAAUCACGAAGCCUUCACACCAACACCUUCUUCUUUCAAGCUUCAAGACUUUGCUUUUCUCUUUUUUUACAAAAUUAAAUCUCACUACAAAUUUCACUCAAGUAUAGAGAGAGAAUUGUGAGCUAAGAGUAUUAGAGAUACUAAAUUUUUAAGCUCAAAAUGAACUAUCUAGUUGCUACUGAGAAAGGCCUCAAUACCAUCUAUUUAUAGCCUCGGGCAGCUUUUGUCCAUUGUACUUUCGGGCGCCCUAAACCUGUUUCCGGGCGCCUAGAAGUUGUGCACCCCAGCUGCCUGUUAGACCACGUGCGCCGCUUUUCUUGACUUCAUAAGUUCGGGCCGUCAAAAGUUGUGGGCGCCCAAAUCACGAGCGACAGCUUUUCUGACACGCGCCGCUUCCUCUGGAUUUAGGCCGUCAGAAAUUGUAGGCGCCCAGAUCUUGAGGGACAACUUUUUCUGACAGCCGGAUUUUUCUGGAUUCGGGAUCAUUUUGGGCUCCCAGAAGAUGUGGGUGCUGAGAUUUUCAACGCACGCGCCGCCUGCGUCAGAACUUUUUGGGUUGAUACGCAACCUGUCAAGCCAAAUACUUUCGGUCGCCCAAAACUUAAAUUCGGGCGACCAGAUCCGGUAAAGAAGUUUCUGGACCACUCAAACAGCAAACAGGCAGGAUCCAAAAAGUCUCAUAAGAUUCGGAUCCACUUUAGGGCGCCCAAAACAGGGUCCAGAAAUCGCAACUUGACAGAACACAGAAUUUGAGAAGUUUUUGAAUAUUUAAAAAUCCUAUGCACCUAAUCAAAAGUUAGAAAUUUGUUUAAGUGAUCUAUAAGGUGAUAAGAUGAAUAGUUUUAAACUUAGCUCAAAAUUUCUCACUCUAAUAGAGCAUCAUAUUAAGAAUAGAGAGAGUGAGUUUGUCUUUUUGACAAAGGAAGCAGGUAUAACUUCAAGUCGUGAGGCUCGGUGCUAGAAAAUUACCCAUCUUGAGUCCUUUUUGAAGAUAGAAACAUAAAACUCAAGAUAAAAGAUUAGUCCAAUAAUCGUAAUUAUUUGUUAUCAUCAAAAUCUAAUAAAAGAUUAGGGCCACUAGGCCAACACAUAAUAGGUCAUUUGAACUUCGGAUAGAACCACCCACCUCGUAGUGAUGCCAGAGAGCGAGAAACCAAUUCCCGCGAUUUAUAGACAUCCGCUCCUCUCGACCCACGACAAACGAAGCCGAAACGAGAAUUUUCCUCAAUAGCUCGACGUAGACUCGUCGGAACUUCGAUUCGAGCCGCCCAACGCAUCGGUUUACACUUCAAUAAGGAUGACAAGAGAUCAAACCCAUGUUAGAUCUCUCAUUUCACAAAACCUUAUUUCUAACUCUAGGGUUCAUACAUGAUACCCUAAAACACAAUUUUUCUAGGAUUUCACAGCAUGAAAUAAGCUCUAGAAAUCCAAGAAACUUGAAAACCAAUAAAUUAGGAAAUUUAAACCAAACCGUAACCAAGAAGUGCAAGAAACCUUGUCACGCCCCGAGCUCCGCCAAUUUGGUCGGAUUCGAGCACGCGACUGACAACGAACGGACAGUACCUCCCCUGUCCGCCCAAGGCUCCAACAAUAAGUAUAUUACAAGCAAGUCAAAGGAGAAUUGCGGAAUAUACAAGGUUUGCACGAGGGCAAACAACAACACAAGUGAAAGCAUCGAAACUAACUAAACAUCCAAUACAUGUCAUUUGAUUACAUUUGCAUCAAACACAAGUAGUUUAUACAUUUAUUUACAUCACGACUUUCUUUAACCAAGAUAUAAUUUACAUCACUUUCACAUUGCUAUUUCAACAUGCAACAGUUGAGUACACCAAAAGUAGGGUAUGCCUAUGUAACUCCGGGGUUGCUAUCUACGGCGCGACUCCCUUGUCUCGAUCCUCCGCCGCCCCGCUCACGUACGGAUCUGCAGGGUUAGUGGUAAUGAGAACUAGAACGAAGUUCCCAGUGGGUUCGGCCGCCGACCACGCCGAUUCGCCCACUAGGUCUAAUUCAGGCAUAUGUAUUUCAAUAAAGAAGAAUAACAAACCAACUAAUGCACUUCUAAUACAAUGCCUGCAAGAAAGAAUUCACAGAAAGAUAUUCAUAUUCAAAUACAUGAUUACUAUGCAUGCAUAUCCUUUUUCACUUUCCUUUGGCCUUUACCCAAUUCAACCUGGGGUGCUCCUGGUUUACCCAACUCACAGUCCACAUAUCCAUCUAACGGGGAAGGCACAAGGCACUACCACCCGAAGGAUCUUCGCCGGGCACGUCCACCUGUGGUGCAUAUCUUCUCCGGAGUACACCGCCCGUGGAGGAGCGACCUCGCACAAGCCGGAACCAAUACAUGUGAGUAUGAUCCCAUCCUCAAAUUUUGAGGAGGUAUGGCCAACCUGUCACAAUUCUCACUGUCUCGAUGCCGCUGAAUGGUUAUUACCUAUUCAUGCACAUACUGUCACUUGCCAAUGUCAUGGUGGUCCUGAUGCCACAAUACACAUAAUGUCGCUCGGGUUAAACCUUGUUUAACUAUUCACUUAUCAAUGUCAAUCAAGUCACUAAUGUCAACGUCACCUUUAUUUACUACGGUCACAGUCAUUUCUUACAUUCACAUGCAUAUAGGGUCUUUAACUAUCUUUGUUCACAUGGAUCUAUAUCAUCACAAUAAUCUUACGCAGAUAAUUGUCACAACCAACAUAUAUUAUUCAUUACCCUACAUGCAAGAAUGCUAUAGUAUCAGCAUGCUCAAAGAAGGGACAUAGACAUAGAAAGAGAUCCGGUGUUUCCGGAUAGCACCCCCCACCUUUGUGUGUCACAAGGAUGCCACGGUUCUGAUUCCGAGAUUUUAGGACACGAUCGUCGCGAGCUACGACGAUCUGUACUAUUUCUGCUUGUCUUUCCAAUAUCUUCGCGCACGCUCGUCGUAUCGCCGAAUCGAGCGCACCGAUGCGUUCGUAGACCUUGGGAGUCCAAAACUUCUCUUCAAAGCCUUGCUCUAGCUCGAUCUUCACCUUGGAGAGUUUCUUCUCCAAGCCUUUCUCCUCCAAAACCCUCUUGGUCCAAGCCCUAGAGAGAGAGAGAGAAGAAGAAAAGGGUUUUAGAGAGAGAGAGGGAAGGUUUGAGAGUGAGAGUGAGAACAAAUGAGUUCUCACUCAUGCCCUAACCCAUAUAACCCCUCUCAAGCCAUAUUUUCAUAUUUGCAUUUAAACCCCUCAACCUUUCGUUUUUACAAACAGCCCUCACUGGGCAUUUUCGGGCUCGGGGACCGGUCUCUCCCCUCCAGGGAUCGGUUCCCGAGAGCUGUCCUGCAACCUACGCAAAAGGGGACCGGUCUCCCCCUGAUGAAACCGGUCUCCGGGGACCGGUCUCCCGCCGAAGGACCGGUUCCCGAGAGCUCAGUUUCCAGGACUUAGCCGAUUUUUCCUUCUGCUCGAUUUACCAACGUUCGGGAACCGGUCACUCACCCAAGGGACCGGUCCCCGAGAGGAAAAAUUCUGGAAAUUAUCCAGAAUUGCAGUUUUACUCUCUCGGGUCCCUUUAUAUUUCAUAUAUAGGCUCCAAUUCACUUUUAGCCUAUAGUAACUCAUUCCUUUCCGCGUUCCGCUCACUUCGACGGAACUCGGCACGAUUCACGGGGAAGUGAUAUGUUACAUUCCCCACCCCUUAAAAUUGUUUCGGCCGCGAAACUAAUUCACUCGUAAUUCAACAUCCAUACCUCAUCUUAGUUCCUCGAAGAGAUGAGGAUGACGUUCCUUCAUCACGCCCUCAAGCUCCCACGUUUCCUCUCGAUCGCCGUGUUCGCUCCAAUGGAUCUUAACAUACGGAAUUUCUCGAUUCCGUAGCUUUCGCACCUCCCGACCAACAAUGUAUGCCGGAAACUCCUCGCAGGUCAUGUCUUCUUGAAGUUCUAUCGAUAUAUACGAGAGAACAUGCUCCGGAUCGUGAACAUACUUGCGGAGAUUAGACACAUGGAACACAUUGUGCACCCCCGCAAGCCUCGGCAGUAAUGCUACUCUGUAGGCCGCCGCGCCAACUCUUUCUAAGAUCUCGAAGGGUCCGACAAAUCUGGGACUUAACUUUCCCCGGACACCAAACCUCUUAACACCGCGCAUUGGCGAUACCUUUAGAAACACGUGGUCUCCAACCGCGAACUCAAUGUCCUUCCUUCGCUUAUCGGCAUAGCUCUUGUGCCUUGAUUGCGCCGUCACUAACCUUUGCCGGGCAAGACGAACUUUUUUCCCCGCCUCCCGAAAAACUUCUGGGCCAAGAUUAAUUUUCUCGCCCACCUCGCUCCAAUGAAUUGGCGAGCGACACUUCCUUCCAUAUAGGGCUUCAAAGGGCGCCAUUGCAAUACUUUCUUUAUAGCUAUUGUUGUAUGCAAAUUCCACCAUCGAUAAGUAAUCAUGCCACCCUCCACGAUAGUCAAGCACACAUACUCGCAACAUGUCCUCGAGUAUUUGAAUCGUCCUCUCAGAUUGUCCAUCACUCUGAGGGUGAAACGCCGUACUAAAAUCGAGCUGCGUACCUAGAGCAUCCUGGAAGCUCCUCAAGAAAUGAGAAGUGAAUCGGGGAUCUCGAUCUGAUACAAUCGACACAGGAACCCCAUGUAGUCUCACUAUCUCGUCCAAGUAAACCUGGGCUAACUUGUCUCCUGACCACGUGGUGUGGAUCGGCAAAAAGUGAGCCGAUUUCGUCAAACGGUCCACAACCACCCAUAUGGCGUUAUGUCUAGCUUGCGAUCGGGGCAGCCCGACCACAAAGUCCAUCGCGACAUUCUCCCACUUCCACACGGGGAUUAGUAGACUCUGCAACUUCCCCGCGGGAAAACGACGCUCAGCUUUUACUUGUUGGCACGUCAUGCAUUGCGCCACGAACUCUCUGAUGUCCUUCUUCAUACCCGGCCACCANGAAAUGAGAAGUGAAUCGGGGAUCUCGAUCUGAUACAAUCGACACAGGAACCCCAUGUAGUCUCACUAUCUCGUCCAAGUAAACCUGGGCUAACUUGUCUCCUGACCACGUGGUGUGGAUCGGCAAAAAGUGAGCCGAUUUCGUCAAACGGUCCACAACCACCCAUAUGGCGUUAUGUCUAGCUUGCGAUCGGGGCAGCCCGACCACAAAGUCCAUCGCGACAUUCUCCCACUUCCACACGGGGAUUAGUAGACUCUGCAACUUCCCCGCGGGAAAACGACGCUCAGCUUUUACUUGUUGGCACGUCAUGCAUUGCGCCACGAACUCUCUGAUGUCCUUCUUCAUACCCGGCCACCAAUAAUGCAAUUUUAAAUCCUUGUACAUCUUAGUGCCGCCCGGAUGAAUACUAUACGGGGUAUGGUGCGCCUCUUGUAACACCAUUUUACGAAUCCCAUCAUCCUUGGGUACACACAAUCGGUUUCGAAACCGAAGUGCACCGUCGGUUCCCACGCCAAAAUCACCGACGCGCCCAUCGCUAACAUCAUUCCGCACCUUUUGGAGAUACGGAUCAUCCGCUUGCCGCUCUUUGACUUGCUCCAAUAAGGUCGGUCGAACUACUAAUGCCGCCAGGAUAGUCGGAACUUCUGGCACCACCACCUCCAAUCCAAACCGUUGCAUUUCCUUAUGCAAUGCCGGUUGACUAGUAAUCGUCGCCGCCAAAUUCUCGACAGACUUUCUACUCAGCGCAUCGGCCACCACGUUGGCCAUUCCGGGGUGGUACAGGAUAGUAAGAUCAUAGUCUUUUAUCAAUUCCAGCCACCGCCGCUGCCGCAUAUUCAACUCCUUCUGGGUGAACAAAUACUUGAGGCUUUUGUGAUCAGUAUACACCUCGCAAUGCUCACCAUAAAGAUAGUGCCUCCAAAGCUUCAGCGCGAAAACAACCGCCGCAAGCUCAAGAUCGUGGGUCGGGUAGUUUUUCUUGUAGCUUUUCAACUGGCGCGAAGCAUACGCAAUGACUCGCCCAUUUUGCAUAAAAACACACCCGAGACCGGUCUAGGAAGCAUCACUAUAUACCAUAAAGCCCUUUCCCGGCGUUGGCAAAGCAAGUACCGGGGUAGACGUCAAUUUCCCCUUUAGCUCUUGGAAGUUUCAGUUGCAACCUUCGCUCCAAUCAAACCUUACUCCUUUGUGUGUAAGGCGUGUGAGAGGAGUGGUCAACUUCGCAAACCCCUCAACAAAACGCCUAUAAUAGCCCGUCAGUCCGAGGAAACUGUGGACUUCCGCCACACUCGUAGGACGGGGCCAAUCUCGAAUCACCUCAAUUUUCUUCGGGUCUACCGAGAUUCCAUUCCCAGAUAUCACAUGGCCUAAGAAGGUUACCUCCGAAAGCCAAAAUUCGCAUUUCUUGAGCUUAGCAUAAAGCCUCUCAUCUCGGAGUAUCUGCAACACGGUUCUUAGAUGUCCCUCGUGCUCUUCUUCACUCCGUGAAUACACCAACACGUCAUCGAUAAACACCACGAUGCACAUAUCCAACAACAGUCGAAAGACCCUAUUUAUCAAGUCCAUAAACGCUGCCGGGUUAUUGGUAAGCCCAAACGGCAUCACCGUAAACUCAUAGUGGCCAUACCGCGUACGGUACGCCGUUUUAUGCACAUCCUUCGGUCGCAUUUUCAACUGAUGAUAUCCCGACUUAAGAUCUAUCUUCGAGUAUACCCGAGACCCCUGCAACUGGUCGAACAGGUCAUCUAUUCUGGGCAACGGAUACUUGUUCUUGAUCGUCACCUUGUUCAACUCGCGAUAGUCAACGCAGAGUCGAAGGGUGCCGUCCUUCUUCUUUACAAACAAUACUGGUGCUCCCCAGGGGGACACGCUUGGCUUUAGGAAACCUUUAUCAAGUAGGUCCUGCAACUGGGCCUUUAACUCUUUGAGCUCCACGGGUGCCAUUCUAUACGGAGCCUUUGAAACUGGCGCCGCACCGGGGAUCAAGUCAAUGACAAACUCGACUUCCCGAUCCGGUGGCAGUCCCGGUAACUCCGACGGAAACACGUCCGGGUAUUCACACACCACCCGAAUAUUCCCCAACUCCGGGUGCUCCCUUUGAGGGUCCACGAUGGUCGCUAAAUAAGCUUUGCAACCACCCUUAAUCAUCCUUUUCGCCCUCAUCGUCGAUAUAGUUGCCGCAAAUCGCGCGCCUUUACACGCCCGAUACUCGAAUUCUUCUUAACCAGGCUCACGAAAAGUGAUCACCCUACUGUCACAGUCGAUGCUGGCAUAGUACUUGGAGAGCCAAUUAACUCCCAAGAUGACAUCAAACCCCCACAUCUGCUUGAGCACUAGCAAAUCCACCGGCAUGAUCCAGUCGCCGAUUUGAACUGGACAAGCUAGGCACUCGUCGUGGAUUCUAAACGAGUGCUCUGGUGCGUUAACCCACCAAUAGUCAUAAUUAUGCUCUAUGUCCAUGCCAUGAGUCUUAGCAAACGAGGCAUCUAUGAAUGAAUGCGAUGCACCAAUAUCAAACAGUGCUCUUGCUCUAACACCAUUAAUCAGAAUAAUACCUGCCACAACGUCGUCGGGUACGGCAGGCUGCUCCUCCACCUGAGUGGCAAAAACCCGUCCACUCGGUGCACGUGAUCCCUCUAGCUGUCGCGGCGAUGAAGCGCGCCCAGCCGACAUGGCAGGUGGCAGUCCUGCAAGCUGUCGUGGAGCAUACUGAGCCGAAGCAGCUGACGGAGCCGGUGACGCGCCGCCCAGGCAAUCCCAUCUCAUGUGUCCUGCUUGGCCGCAUCGGAAACAUCUCCCGUCACGCUGAGAACAUUCGCUCGGCCUAUGAUUCCCACCGCAAAUUACGCACGGGGAGGAACUCAUCUGACUCCUCGUCUGGCUCCUAUCUCGCCGCCAUUGCGACCUAGGGUGCCGAGGGGGUCGCUUGGAACUCGACUGCCCCGCGGAACCACCAACCGGUCGCUUCUUGGACUUCUCCCUGUCCUUGUCCCUUUCAAACACCUCACGUUCCUCGCGCCCAAUGGCGUUGCCACGCUCUAUCCAUAGCGCACGAUCAAGCACAUCUUCAUAGGUCUUCAGCCGAAGCGCCUGAACCAUCUUGAAUAUCUCCGGCCGCAACCCGCGCUCGAAGACCUCCGCCCGAUCUCGGUCACCAUGAACCAAGCCGGGAACGCAGUUAACCAUGUGCGAGAACUCCCUCUCAUAUUCGCGCACCGUUCGGCUUCCCUGCCUCAACUUGCGAAAGUCUUCCUUGAUCUUUCGCUUAUCACUUUCCGGAAAGUACUCUAUUAGAAGAAUCUCUCGGAACACCUCCCAAGUCAUAGUAGCCGGAUCCAAGGACUGACCACCCUUCACUCUCGUCCACCACGAUCGAGCCGGCCCCUCUAAACAGUGAGCCGCCAACCGAACCUUGUCCUUCUCGAGGGUGUAGAUGUCCUCGAAUAACGCCUCCAUCGCAGAAAGCCACGCCUCCAUUAACCAUGGGUCUUUCACGUCACCCACAAAGGUCGGAGGAUUAAACCGUUUGAAGGCCGUCAACACCGCCAACGACCGCUCCUGCUCGGCCUCAAGUACCUCCGGAAUAGGGGCCGAAGAACCUGAAGCUGUCGGAGGAAUAACCGUCACCGGUGCCGCCGCCAUCGGCGUAGGUGCUACAGGUGUAGGCGGGUACUGAGAUACAGGUGCAGCCGCCGCCGCCUGUUGAGCCACCAUGUCGUGGAGCUGUCCUAUCUGCUCCCCCUGCUGUCGCAUAGCCCCAGCCAGAGCUGCUACUUGGGCCCGCAGCUCACGAACUUCAUCAGAUCCAACCUGCUCUGGCACCUCAUCAGGCGAUGCCGGAGCGGUCCAUCGGGUAUAGCAUCUCGGUGACAUCUGUCCUGAAACGAAACGCACACGUUAAUAUUCGACAUUCGAAACUCUUACUCGUUCCAAACAUCUACCCAAUCAAGCGAAAGCAAUCAAGUACGUUCACUUUCUACUCUCGGCAUUAUGUAGUCGUCCGCCCCACAUAAUACCUUGAAAGAAAACAACCGUUCCUUGAGUCCAUCUCUAUUUCCGUUUAGAGAAGUUCCAUAAUAACCCAAUUAAUUAGCCUUCGCCAAUCAAAGUCCACGUUAUACGUAUCCUAAUUCCUAAGGUCUCCAAUCCUAAGGUCCCUAAGUCCAUCCUAGACAUUUGCUUUCACAUCGCUCUGAUACCACCAUAUCUGUCACGCCCCGAGCUCCGCCAAUUUGGUCGGAUUCGAGCACGCGACAGACGCCGAACGGACAGUACCUCCCCUGUCCACCCAAGGCUCCAACAACAAGUAUAUUACAAGCAAGUCAAAGGAGAAUUGCGGAAUAUGCAAGGUUUGCACGAGGGCAAACAACAACACAAGUGAAGUAUCGAAACUAACUAAACAUCCAAUACAUGUCAUUUGAUUACAUUUGCAUCAAACACAAGUAGUUUAUACAUUUAUUUACAUCACGACUUUCUUUAACCAAGAUAUAAUUUACAUCACUUUCACAUUACUAUUUCAACAUACAACAGUUGAGUACACCAAAAGUAGGUUAUGCCUAUGUAACUCCGGGGUCGCUAUCUACGGCGCGACUCCCUUGCCUCGAUCCUCCGCCGCCCCACUCGCGUACGGAUCUGCAAGGUUAGUGGUAAUGAGAACUAGAACGAAGUUCCCAGUGGGUUCAGCCGCCGACCACGCCGAUUCGCCCACUAGGUCUAAUUCAGGCAUAUGUAUUUCAAUAAAGAAGAAUAACAAACCAACUAAUGCACUUCUAAUACAAUGCCUGCAAGAAAGAAUUCACAGAAAGAUAUUCAUAUUCAAAUACAUGAUUACUAUGCAUGCAUAUCCUUUUUCACUUUCCUUUGGCCUUUACCCAAUUCAACCUGGGGUGCUCCUGGUUUACCCCAACUCACAGUCCACAUAUCCAUCUAACGGGGAAGGCACAAGGCACUACCACUCGAAGGAUCUUCGCCGGGCACGUCCACCCGUGGUGCAUAUCUUCUCCGGAAUACACCGCCCGUGGAGGAGCGACCUCGCACAAGCCGGAACCAAUACAUGUGAGUAUGAUCCCAUCCUCAAAUUUUGAGGAGGUAAGGCCAACCUAUCACAAUUCUCACUGUCUCGAUGCCGCUGAAUGGUUAUUACCUAUUCAUGCACAUACUGUCACUUGCCAAUGUCACGGUGGUCCUGAUGCCACAAUACACAUAAUGUCACUCGGGUUAAACCUUGUUUAACUAUUCACUUAUCAAUGUCAAUCAAGUCACUAAUGUCAAUGUCACCUUUAUUUACUACGGUCACAGUCAUUUCUUACAUUCACAUGUAUAUAGGGUCUUUAACUAUCUUUGUUCACAUGGAUCUAUAUCAUCACAAUAAUCUUACGCAGAUAAUUGUCACAACCAACAUAUAUUAUUCAUUACCCUACAUGCAAGAAUGCUAUAGUAUCAGCAUGCUCAAAGAAGGGACAUAGACAUAGAAAGAGAUCCGGUGUUUCCGGAUAGCACCCCCCACCUUUGUGUGUCACAAGGAUGCCACGGUUCUGAUUCCACGAUUUUAGGACACGAUCGCCGCGAGCUACGACGAUCUGUACUAUUUCUGCUUGUCUUUCCAAUAUCUUCGCGUACGCUCGUCGUAUCGCCGAACCGAGCGCACCGAUGCGUUCGUAGACCUUGGGAGUCCAAAACUUCUCUUCAAAGCCUUGCUCUAGCUUGGUCUUCACCUUGGAGAGCUUCUUCUCCAAGCCUUUCUCCUCCAAAACCCUCUUGGUCCAAGCCCGAGAGAGAGAGAGAGAGAAAAGAAGAAAAGGGUUUUAGAGAGAGAGAGGGAAGUUUUGAGAGUGAGAGUGAGAACAAAUGAGUUCUCACUCAUGCCCUAACCCAUAUAACCCCUCUCAAGCCAUAUUUGCAUUUAAACCCCUCAACUUUUCAUUUUUACAAACAGCCCUCACUGGGCAUUUUCGGGCUCGGGGACCGGUCUCUCCCCUCCAGGGACCGGUUCCCGAGAGCUGUCCUGCAACCUGCGCAAAAUGGGACCGAUCUCCCCCUGAUGAAACCGGUCUCUGGGGACCGGUCUCCCGCCGAAGGACCGGUUCUCGAGAGCUCAGUUUCCAGGACUUAGCCGAUUUUUCCUUCUGCUCGAUUUACCAACGUUCGGGAACCGGUCUCUCACCCAAGGGACCGGUCCCCGAGAGCAAAAAUUCUGGAAAUUAUCUAGAAUUGCAGUUUCACUCUCUCGGGUCCCUUUAUAUUUCAUAUAUAGGCUCCAAUUCACUUUUAGCCUAUAGUAACUCAUUCCUUUCCGCGUUCCGCUCACUUCGACGGAACUCGGCACGAUUCACGGGGAAGUGAUAUGUUACAAACCUACUUUAGGUUUUUGCUCCACAAGAUCCUCUUUGUCCUUGAGCUUCUUCUCCACCAAAAUCCUCAAUUUCCAUCUUGAAAUCAACUUCAAAUCCACCUUGAGGGAAGGUUUCUAGUGAGAAAAGGAGAAUGAGAUGAGGAGGAGAAGGAGAAAACAAAGAUGUUCACUGCAUGGGAAGUACAGGUGUAGAGUUGGGGUAUUUAUAUAGGUCUCAACAAUUGCAAAUAAGCCCCAGAACUCACUCUCAACCUUCACAUUUUAGUCCCUCGCAGACUGGGUACCGGUACUCGGGUUGGAGUACCGGUACGCAGAGCUCCCAGUACAUGUACCAUCCACACAGUACCGGUACCAGCCUUCCAACCCGAAGGCUACGCAAUCUCUGAUCACCACACAGUACCGGUACACAUCCUCUCACAGUCCGGAUCCUGAGAGCUGUGCCAACACACCAUAAUUGGGUGCUAGUACCGCAUUGCUCUGGUAUCGAUACUCAAUGCGACUUUUGCACUUUGACAGCAACGGUGCUCUGGGGUCCAUUUUCGCGCCCGGUUUGCGCCGAAACACUUAAACAACCCCGAAACUCACUUCUAACCAUCCCCACGCCUCCUAGCAACUCGGGGACGACCUAUAUCAAGCUUGUGCCUCGCUUUGAUUAAUUCAGUCAAAGUUAGCAUCGUAACUCGGAGAUUCGGUAUAUUACAAUUAUUUAUAAUUUAAUUAUUAUUUAAUUAAUAUAUUAUUUAUAAUUAUUAAUAUUAAUUUAUUUUUUAUGUAAUAUUUUGAUGUUAAUUAAUUAGAUAAAAUAAUUUUAAUUUAAAAUUAUAACUCUUAUUCCCUUUGUUCCAAUCUAACUAUCCAAACACUAUUUACCUUAUUCCUAGGAAUAACCCAAUUUUCAUCCAAUGCAAAAUUGGUCUAAUUCCUACUUUUACCUAAACUUGUACCUAUCCCUGAAAUAAGCAGUUUUUACUUAUACCCGAACCAAACGCAGCCUAGGAGUCCUUUAGCUCUUAAUAUCCAAUUACUACUUGCGGCACUAGGUCAUGAACUGCACAAACUAAAGCCUCAGGAAAUGGUUUCUUUAACCGAUUUUCGAAUCACACCUAACUAAUGCCCAAAGCUCCAAAACCUCCAACAAAACCUUGGAGUAUCUUGUGACAAGAUGAAAGCCUAUAAGGACCACAUACUAUCCCAUAACACACCAAUUUAGGUGUUAGGAUAUUCGCAUACGAUGUGUGCACCACCUUAGACAUGACAUCAAGGCCGUGUCUCAAACCAGUUCUAACACACUCCAAUUCGAUGUAAGAACUAGCUGAAGGUCGAAAAAAUCACCUGUCAAUUCCACCAGCGAAAACUUUCCAACAAAAUCUAAGGAAUCGAAACAUUGAGUGGCCAUUCCAAAACAAGAACGAAAAAUAGUUAACGAGUUGAGCGAACUCCCGCUCGUACACCGACACCACAGCCGCCCAAGCAGCCGCUACUGAAACUUCGAGCUGCACUCUAGCAGCCACUGCAAUAGCCGCGACCAUAGCCGCUCCAUGUCGUCUCUGUAGAGAUGUCUAUGGUGGCUCUUGUACUCUACGUGGGAAGUGGGGCCUGAGCCAUAGCAACUGAGUCGACUGCAUCAACCCAGUAAAUACCGUCACCCGGCCCGUUAAGGCCGCCAUCAGUCAACAAGUAGCUAUACCUGGUGAAUCUCACCCUACCACUCGAUAUAUGCCUGAUAAAUCUCCACCAAUCCUAGUAGAAGCACAAGUCAGCACCAACAACGUAAUACAUACACAAGGUAGAGAAGCAACCAUAUACCUUGUCACGUCCCAAACCCGAGGCGUAACAGAUGCCGCAUACCUGCUAAAUUAGCAAAUAUGCAAGGCUACAGAAUCAGACAGAAACAAGAAAAAGAUUUUUACAAAUUUUUUCACUAAAUCCAAAGAAUUAAGAGAUGAGAUCAGCAAUUUAAAUUUCAACUAGAAUCAAAUAAAUUCUCACAUACGUAGAAUUCGAUUUUAUUACGAAACACAAACAAAAUUUCGAUCCAACAAAUUCCAUAAAUAACAAAAUAAGGUUACGUAGAAAUAACGAAACAAAAACCAAUAAACAAAUGAUCGUUUACGAAGUCCAAAACUCACAUCUAAAAAUACUAGAUAUAAAACAAAAGAAACUAAAAUCAAACACUAACUACAUCUAACGUUCACUCGGUCCCGGCCCUGCCCGGCAAAUCAGUCUCGGAACCUAGUAAGCAAUCAUACACCACAUUAGUCGGAUUAAGCAUACAAUACAAAUAAAUAAUUGAAUACAAAAAAUUAAUUCAAGCGACUGGUUUUUAAUUUACAAAAUUUCAGAAAACAAGAAUUUAUCAAAACUUAAAAUUCAGAUCGGAUCGAAACCAUAAAUUUACAAAGCAUUUCUCUUUCAGCAAAUAAACAAAAUAAAUAUUAAGUCUCCGGCAACUAACUAUAUCAUAUGAUCCGUGUCACGCCCCAGGACCGAUACCAAUUUGGCCCGACCCGAGCACGUCAAACAGACGCCGAACGGACAGAGUUUUUCCUAUCCGCCCAAGGCUCAUCACGCGUACAAAAUUCAAACAAGAAUUGCACUAGCGGAAACAUACACAAACGGCUUACACGAGGGUAAGCAAUAGCCAUUAGUGAAAGAAAGGAAAACUAAACAUUUGCUUGUAGUAUGAUUCAAUUUAGAUCAUAUACAUACAUCCAACUUGUAAUUUUUUUCGAAUUCCUUACAUUUCGUUUCAUCAUUUCUUUCUUACAUCACAUUUACCUCAAAAUACACAUUACAUUCUUUUCUUUACAUCAUUCAUCAUCAAGUACAAAAGAUGAAUAUGGGGUACUUUACUACAAAAUGAAACCCGACUUUGGUGGCCUCUGACUAAGGCGCGAUACCUUUACCUCGGUCACUCGCCGGCUCGCUCGGUCCCGGCUCUGUGGAAAUAGUGGGGUGAGAACUACAACAAAGUUCCCAGUGGGUUCGGCCUCAACAUCACCGACUUUCCCACUAGGACUAACUCAGGCAUAAUAGAAAGGAUAAGCUGAAAUAUAGUAACCAAUCUACAACAUGAUGCUAAUAUGCCUGAACAAUAAGCAAGGAAUAUGCUCAACAUUAACAUAUGCAGAUUAUGCAAGUUCUUUGUUCUUUACACUUUACUCUUUGUUCUUUAUUCUUUACACUUUGUUCUUUGUUCUUUGUUCUUUAAUCUCAAGGCUAACCCGGGGGUUUCGCCACAUUAACUUGCUUCACAUUAAGUCCAUCAUCGCAGGAACUCACCCGCUAGGACCGUCCUUCGGGUUUACUCCAACCCGUGAUGCAUAACUCCGGAGCGCAUCGCCCGAGGGGGAGCGACCGCCCUCGAGCACGGAACUCAUAGCAAGUAUGAUCAUAUCCUUAACUCAAAGGAUUUAUAAGUUCAAUCUUGACUUUACACUAGCUCUAGUGUUCUUUACAUCACUUUAUGUUGCAAACUCAUGCAAUUACAUUCUUUACAUUUCUUUACUCUUGCUAACUCUAGCAUUCUUGUUCGUUACAAUACUUGUUCUUAUUGCCCCACUUUACUUUACUUUACACAUUGUCAUUUUCAUCAUUCUUUUCAUCACUUUGGUUCUUUGCAUCACACUAACUCUAGUGUCUCUUUACUUUACAUUUUCAAAUGCCACUCGAUCUAUGUCAUUGUGUCACUCUGUUCUUUUGCUCACUUUGGGUGCUCACUUUUUCUCUCAUGCAUACACAUAGGGUUUUGACAUUUAUUUGGUUCUCUACCAUUAUUAUAAGCAAGUUGUACUCACAAUCAUGCUAUCAUCACAUUCUUAUCAUUACUUUACCCUAAUAUGCAUGCAACAAUAUAUAUUACAUAUGCUCAAAUGAAUGACACAUUAGGCAUAGAGAGAAGUUCAAUGAGCUUGAGAAGCACCACCCACCUCGUAGGCUUUCAAAGGUGCUCCGAUGAUUUUCUUGGAAUUUCUAGUCACUUCGUUCUUUACCUGCGGCAUAACGAAGCCAAAUUAGGCUUAUUUGGCCAUAACUUCACAUUGGCUUUUCGUAACGUAAAUCCGAGCGCACCAACGCGUCGGAAAUACCCCCAAUUAGGUUUCUAGAGGGUCAAUUGCACUUAGAAACCCUCAUGAGCAAAAGCCCCAAUUUGGGUGCCCUAGCUCCAAUGUAUAUCAAAACCUAGGGUUUGAUCUCUUUGGGAAGCAAAAGUAGCUUCACUAUACUCUAAAUAGUCCAUUAGAACCAUUCUUAGGCUUUCCAAAAUCCUAGUUUGGAUUUCACCAUGAGAGGUGGUCCAAGCUCACCUCCAAUGCAAACCAAGGUUUUGAUCUCUUUAGAAGCAAAAGAAAGCUUCAAAACUCUUUAAACAUUUCACUAAAACUCAUUUCUAGGUCAUUCAAACCCAUUUCUAGGGUUUUACUACAUUAGGGUUUAAAGCUUACCUUGUAAGCUUCCUUUUCUUGCACUAGAGAGGAAGAAGAUGAAGCUCCUUUGCUCCUUGAUCUUCUUCUUCACCCUCUUUUCCUUCUUAUCCUUAUUUUCUUCCUUUCUUCUUCUUCUCCUUUGUCUUCUAGAGAGAGAGAGAGAGAGAAGAGAGUGUGAGAGGGGGUGAAAUGAGAGAAAUAUCUCAUUUACCCUCAUAACAUAACCAUUGGACUGCAAAAAUGCUAAUAAACCCCUCAGCUUUUAUCGCUGUGCACUGCCUGGACUGGGCAGUUUUCGCAGGCAGAGACCGGUCUCCCCGAGCAGGGACCGGUCCCCGAAGGUCCACCCUGCGCAGCCAGAGCUGCCGCGCGCAAUGCAUCCGGUCCCUCCCUGGUGGGACCGGUCUCUGGGGGACCGGUCUCUCAGACAGAGACCGGUUCCCGAGAGCUGUCCUUCCAGGACUUAGCCGAUUUUUUGGCUGUCUCAUUCUGCACGCGUUCGGGGACCGGUCUCUCCCACCAAGGACCGGUCCCCGAGAGCUGAAAACCUGCAGUUUUGCAGAAUUUGAUUCUUUAGCUCUCGAAAACCUCCCGUAACUCACUUUUAAUCAUUUUAACACCUUCGGACUUUCCGAAGUGUACCAUCCUCGCACUUUGGUCAAUUUGACUAAAGUUCGAUAUUUAUUCUCCGAAUUUUCGGUAUAUUACAAUCCAUUGGCGAGAUCCAGAGGCACCCGAAGGCGGAAACAGAACAGAGUCACCCGAAGGCACAAACAGAACAGAGGCACCGAAGGUGCAUGUACAAAACAAAGGCACCCGAAGGCGCAAACAAAAGUAGAGGCGCGGAUAGGCGCAGGCACCCGAAGGCGCAAUACAAAGACGAAGCUCGCUUCUAUAACAAAAUACAUGUCGAUAUGGCCAACAUUAGCAUAGCAGAAUACCAAGAAACAUUAUAAUUUAAAAUUAUCCAGUCACUAACUUACAGAACAGAUUAUCAAAUUUCAAAAUUUUCUAUUAAAAGAAUCUUUCAAUCAUAGUUGAAACUCAGUUUACCGAAACAUUUAAUGUACGCUUAACCCUUAAUUUUAAAAUCUACAAAAUAAAGAUUUUCACACAAUCAAAGUAUUUCCUUAAUUAUUUUACGAAAAACUAAAAGGUGUCUGGUCGCUUACCUCAAAAGCGGCUUCUAAGCUAAGAAGCUAUCCAGUCGAAAAUCGCACAAAAAUCAAUCGUCGGAACCUAAAAUAGAGAUAUACGAUUCUCUAUAAGCUCCUCAAAAAUAAAGUUACAAAAAUAAUAUAUAUAUACAUUUAGAAGGCAAGCUUAAACAAAAAUCUGAAUUCGGAAAGGUUCACAUAGGUCGACAAUAUCGGCUACAAAUGUAUGCAAAAAGGUCAAGAUGGAGCACGAAAGAGAUUUAGAAUAAUACAUUCGACGAAACUCAAUUAGCAAUCAAGAGGAUGAUGAGUUUCGAGGAUUAAAAUAUUCAAAGAAGCAAGAUAAGAUGAAGGAAGUUUUAAAUAAUAAACGAAGAAUCUAAUGCUCGAAAAGAGGGUUUUCAGAUGUUGAAACAUUGAUAUGCAAAUCAAUAAUUAAAUAGAAUCAAGAUGGGAACAAAAACAAUAUAUGCCUUCUUUUAGGCAUUUUGUCGAACAUAUAACGGACUUUCAAUAACUAUAUAGAAUAUGCAGAAUUUAUAUACCUAGAUCUCGUAGAGAAUACACGGUAAAAAUUUAAUAAUACGAUCAAUCUAUAUUAAGGUAUAUGGAAAUCAGAUUUGAAUGAUUUUGAAAAUGAUCAUCAAAGAAGAACAUCUAACAACAAUCACAUAAUUAUCGAUAAAAUAUAGAUGCUUUCAAGAAUAGGUGUAGAGACGAAAAUGAAAGAAAUGAACCUUCUUAAAUAUAGAAACGACGACGAUGAAAUGUCGUCGAUGGCGAAUCAAAAAUGCCGAUGGAUGAGGAUUGCGGCGGUGGCCGAGGAUUGCGGCGGUGGCCGAGGAUUGCGGCGGUUGCCGCGGAUGACGGCGACGACAACGGUGAUCAACGGCGACAGCGUGCGUACGGGAAAGGGAAGAGAGAGAAAGAAAGGUGGGUGGGCGGCUGCUACCAAUAAGAAACAACAUGAAUUAGGAAUUAGGGUUAAUUAGGUACAAUAUACUGCUGAGUCCCUCAAAGAUUCGAAAUUACAAAAAGGUCCAACUUAAUAGGAAUAUAAGUCAAAACAAUAGGUUAAGGGUAUGGGGUGUUACAUACCUGUAGCAGAAAACACUGGGUAAUGAAAGAACCAUUGUCACGCCCCGACACCUGCCUAUUUGGUCGGAUUCGGGCAUGCCGACAGACCGCCGAACGGACAGAGUUUUUCCUGUACGUCCUAGGCGUCGCAAUCAAUACAAUUCACGAUGUUCCAAUCAGGAACAAAAAUCAAGCAUAGAUUGCAUAAGAAAUUAUCAAAAACAUAAACAACUAAGUUAUUACAAGCAUUCAUCAGCUUACAUUUUUACAUCACAGUUUCUUUUACAUUCAACUUCCAAAUUACAAUCUACUUAUUACAAAUUUAUUACAAGUUUGAUACAUUCUAGUUCUUUCCUUUCCCUAUACUCCUAAUCUAUGCUGGCACGGGGUACUACUAUCUCUGGUCUCUGGGGUAGAGCGCUGCCUACGGGGCUACGCCCUUUCCUUUCGCCGCCGCGCCGCUCACGUGCGAACCUGUAACACCUUAAAACAACGUAGGGUGAGAACCAACUCCAUGGUUCCCAAUAACUACGGCCACCCAAAGGAAGAGCUCGACCAACAGGUCCAAAGGAGACAAACACAUGUUAGUCCAAUAAGGAGAUAGAUAUAUAUAUAUAUAUUUAUCUUAAAUAUGCAACUAACAUUACCAUGCCUUGCCUCACAACUGUAACGAUGCCAUGCUAUAUGCAACAUGAAUAUAUAUGCAACAACUAGUAGAUCUAUUGAUUCUACAUUCAAUCUUGCUAACUUUAGUUCAUAUCAUCCAACUCUAAGGUUUCUAUUACCUUAGGUUUAUCACAUUUACGACUAGCCCUCAAGAUUCUAUCUACCUUAUUCCAGCUAGCCACCCGACUCGGCCUCGAGUCAAUCAAUUGCGGAUAAUCCGCGCUCUGCCCGGCUCGAGGUGAAGGAACUCUCACAUGCACCUCAGCCUGCAAACCAAGAACCACAUCGCCCAACGGUCCGCCCAAAGGUUCGUGCACCGUGGUCAGGGAUCCCCCGGUAGGAGAGAAACAUGCCGCAUACACCCGCAGUCGAGAUCCCCGAUAGGGAGAGAAACAUGCCGCAUACACCCUAGCGCUCUCUGUUCUUGCUCAGUCAUAAUCCUUGAAGUUCUUCCGGUGGGAGAGGAACAUGCCACAUACACUCGCAGCCCAGAACUAUCGAGCUCAUAUGCUGCACUAGCAGCCGCUGCACUCGCAGCCGGGAUUCCGGAAUCCACUUUACAUAACUCAAAGGUUGGUGUCAAACCCUAUAUUAUCUACCUAACCAGGUCCAAUGCACUUCCCACCCUAGGUCCAACUGACUCUAGGUUUAAUACCUCAAUCACAUAACCUAGGUUUACUUUAACUCUAGGUCCAAUUCACAACCUAUGUUCACGACACUAGGUCAAUGCCACACACCUAGUGUCACGACCCACGACCACCCGUCAAUUUGGCCGGGUCGCGGCGCCGCCGGCGGACCGCCGAACGGACAGAGUUUUCCCUGUACGUCCUAGGCGUCGCAAUCAAAACAAUACAAGUGGUUACAACCAGGAACAGUAUACAAUCAUAGAUUACAAAUGGAAAGAUAUCAACAACAUAACACAUCCUAUGUUAUUACAUACAUUCACAUUAGAUUCAUUUAUUUACAUCACACUUUGUAUUACAUUCAAUCUCCAAAGCAAUUAAGUUAUUAUAUCAUAGAUAUUACAAGUUUAAUACAUUUUGUUCCUUUCAUGUUCUAUACCCCUAAGCUACGUCGACGGGGUACUGCUAGCUCUGGUCUCUGGGGAUAGGGCACUAUCUAUGGAUCUACGCCCUUGCCUCGCGCCGCCGCGCCGCUCACAUGUGAACCUGCAACACCCUAAAACAACGUCGGAUGAGAACCAACUCCAUGGUUCCCAGUGGGUACGGCCACCCAAGGGAGGAGUUCGACCAACAGGUCCAAGGGAGGCAAAUACAAGUUAGUCCAAUAAUCAGAUAGAUAUGUAUAUCAUAAACAUGCAACUAACUUUACCUUGCCUUGCCUCACAACUACAAUGAUGCCAUGCUAUAUGCAACAUGAAUAUAUGCAGCCACUAGUAGAAUUAUCGGUUCUACAUUCAAUCUCGCUAACUCUAGUUCAUAUCAUCCAACUCUAAGGUCUCUAUCACCUUAGGUUUACACAUUUACCACUAGCCCUCAAGGUUCUAUCUACCUUAUUCCAGCUAGCCACCCGACUCGGCCUCGAGUCAAUCAACUGCGGAUAAUCCGCGCUCUGCCCGGCUCGAGGUGAAGGACCCUGUCACAUGCACCUCAGCCUGCAAGCCAAGAACCACAUCGCCCAACAGUCCGCUCGAAGGUCCGCGCACCGUGGUCAGGGAUCUGCCAGUGGGAGAGGAACAUGCCGCAUACACCCAUAGCCAAGAUCCCCGAUAGGGAGAGGAACAUGCCGCAUACACCCUAACGCUCUUUGUUCUUGCUUAGUCAUAAUCCUCAAAGUUCUUCUGGUGGGAGAGGAACAUGCCACAUACACCCGCGGUCCAAGAACUAUUGAGUUUUCAAUCCUAAGAUUCCGGAAUCUAUUUUCCAAACUUCUAGGGUAGUCUCAAACCCUAUUGUAUCGACCUAUCUAGGUCCAAUGCACUUUUCCUCCUAGGUCUAGCUGACUCUAGGUUAAAUGCCCUAUUUCACAACCUAGGUUUACUUUAACUCUAGGUUCAGUUCUCAAUCUAUGUUCUUUAACACUAGGUUAGAUGCCACACACCUAGAUCCCGACUUUAGGUUUACACUCAACCUAUGUUCUUUAACACUAGGUUAGAUGCCACUCGUUAUUCAUCCUAGGUUCAACAACGCUAGGUUCAAUGUCAUCUAUGUCCGACCUAUUUUUAUUAACACUAGGUUAAUGCCACUCGAUCUACUUGAUAUCCUAUUUGUCAUAUCGAGUCCAUAUGCACAUGCAUCUUAUCUAACAUGCUCACAUGAUGUUACAUGCACCUAGCAUACAUUUCCAAUGCACACAUACAUAUCAUUUGCAUUAUCACUAGCAUGUAUUCUAGCAUUUCUAUAUCAUAUCAUUUUGCGUGGAUCUACUUAGCAUUUGCAUCAUAUUAUUAACAUGCAUUAGCUACAUGAAUCAACCACAUACUUUAUUUAUAUUUAUAUGCAUCAUCAUGGAUUCUUAAUCAUCUUAGACAUAAAGGGCGACCUAGUCGCUUCGGUAAACACAACCCACCUCUAUUCGCGUUCCGAUUGCUUGUCGACACUUGCAAUCGGCCUCUCGCGGCACUCGGCACCCGUUUGGGCCCGAUCUCACAGUUGCUCUCCAAGAGCGCGUCGCUUCGCUGUUUCAAGAGUUAAAGGUCUUCGCCUUGCUGCUACGGUGCUCGGGACCCAAUCUCACGAUUUAUGGACGCCGCCUCGGCCUCCUAGACGGAAACGAAGCUCCAAAUGCCCGAUUCUUCAAUAUCUUUGCAACGGCUUGUCGGAUUGCCAAACCGACUUCGCCAACGUGUUUCGUUACCUACUAAUUAGGUUUAUAGAGGGUUAUUUGAGAUCAAACCCAUCUAUUUACAAAAAACCCCAUUUUGAACCCUAGUUUGCAACUACGGCAAAAACCACCAAAUACCUUCAUGAAUUAGGUAUCAUUCAUCUAGAUAGCAUGCUAGAAUUCCUCUAAAUUCAUUUAUAAGGUAUUUAAACCAAACCCUACAAAUCUACCAUGGAUGAGCAAGGAGGUUACCUCCAAAAGCUUACUCCAAAGUGAAGAAGAAGAAGAUGAUGGUGAUGAUGGUCCCUCCAAGCUUCUUCUCCUCCCUUUUCUUCUUUUCAUUCCUCUCCUUCUUCUCUUCUUCUUUUUCGUUUAGAGAGAGAGAGAGAGAGAUGAAAUGGUGAGGGAAAGAGAGAGAGAGAGGUAUUCUAACCCUCUCUAUACACUUAACCCAUGCAACAAUUGCAUAUAAAUCCCUCAACAAUGCCUCUCUUGCAACAGCCCGAACUGGGCAUUUUCGUGGUUCGGGGACCAGUCUCUGCAUGAGGGACCAGUCCCUGAGAGACCGGUCUCUCUGCCUGGGACCGAUCCCAGAGAGACCUCCAGCCCAGACUUAGCCAAUUUUCAGCUUCGUCCGUUUUCGCUCCGUUUUCGCUCGUUUUCGUUCGUUUGACCUCCGAUUCGUUUUAAAUCGAACCGAGACUCUCCAAACAUGUUUUCAAGCAUGUUUUCAUCAUCUUUUCAUUCUCGCUAAUGCCGGAUUUAGCCCACGGCCCAAUAUAGCCUUUCGGGUUCUAUUUUCGCGCCUACGCGCACCGAAACGCCCGAUUGCUCCCGAACUUCAGCAAACUUCACCGGAACCAUUCAAAUAGCUUUCCAACCAAAUGUACACCGUAACUUCAUGAUUUUAGAAGUCCGGUACCUUACACCUAGGUUUAGUUAACUCUAGGUUUAUUCUCCACCUAUGUUCUUUAACACUAGGUUAGGUGCCACUCAUGAUUCACCCUAGGUUCAACAACACUAGGUUCAUACCCGACCUAUGUUCCAUCAAUGAUGGUUCAUUAAUGUCCAUUGAUUUAGACUCCUUCCCCCUUCCUUUAUACGAAAAAGAUCGAGAGGGGCCCGAACCAAACCAAGAACGGAAACAGAAUUCGACUCACUCUCGUAUGGCUCGCCCUCGAGCCCUAGGCGGGUCUUUCCCUCUUGUUCUGUUCCCGCCACGAUAAAGACGCACGGAAGAGCUAUGGUAUGCCCAGCGCGUGGAGGAUCCGUUGAGAGUGUCCGUUGUCUCGGUAGGGAAGAGUACCUAUUGUCUUGAAAAAAAAAGGUCAGUGCUACGGUCCCCUAUUGUUUGAUCCAAUAUUGACCGGGGACGAGCCCCGACUUCCAUAGGUCCUUGGUUCGACCUCCCGUAGCGGUCCUUGCUUUUAUUUAAGAAAGCUCCGCGGGGCCAAUUUUUCGUACUUGCUCAGUCUGCCCCCCUUUCGUCGAGUGCCCCGCCCGGUUCACUGGGCUGUUGGCCUACCAAGCAAGCACUUGCCCGCUGCUCCUGCCGCCCGCCAAGCGGGCUCCGCGCUCGUUAUCCUGACUCUUCUCUCUGCAACCCUCCUAUUGCUCUAGCCAUAAGCUAUGGCAAUUCCAGCUCGCACNAGCACUUGCCCGCUUCUCUUGCCGCCCACUAAACGGGCUCCGCGCUCGUUAUCCUGACUUUUCUCUCUGCAACCCUCCUAUUGCUCUAGCCAUAAGCUAUGGCAAUUCCAUCUCGCACCCACUCAGGCCCACCCUGCGAGGCCUGAGUGAGCUCAGCGGUCAGCCCCUGACGUGCCGGGGGUCUUUCGCUUUUGCCAGAUCUAUAGAGAUAUUAUGAGUCCUCCGUCCCAGAUUCCCUCGCCGCGGCCAUCUGGUUCACCGGUACUACCAAAAAGUAUCAUGCUUACGUUAGUAUGACUGAUAUAUAAGUAUGAUCUCGGACCACGAAGACCCCGGUCGUGCUUCUGGUUUCCAUUCCCAUAAUCAUAUUGAAAGAAACUCCUCGUGCUCUGCCAUAAGAACUUGGAGUCCGUAUCAUGGUGGUAAGGCUGUGAUUCUUGCUCAAAAAACUGACCGAACACCUUCGAGUUAUUGGCUCGUACGACCCUGCAGCAUUCAUGAGUCGCUCGUUCAACUAUCCCUUGGAGACAGGGUCGAGAAGUGCCAUGCAUGGUCGCCCCCCGUCCUUUCUUUCUUUCGGUCCCACCCGGGCCCCUCUAGGGUAAUAAAGAAAUGGAUCAAAAAAGGGGACUGAAGCUACGGGCUAUGCCACCCAUUACUUAUGAGGGAAGUCGCAUUCGUCCCAUCGCAAGCACCUACAAUGUCAUGAUUACAUUGGUUUACCCUUUUUUGGUAGUUCAACAGACGGUCGCCCCUCCAACAAGAAAAGGUAGAAAUAUGGAAACUUCUCUGCCAUUUGGAUCGGAGAAUUUAUGAAGGAAAUCGGGUUUUAAAUUUCCAGAAACCGCACGAUUAUAUAGCCAAAGGGAAUAGGCCGCGCCUAAAAUCAUCCCAAGCGCUGCUAAUGUGGCUACUAAGCUAUUUCUUUGGAAAGCUCCUACUGAGAUUGUCCCCGAUAAAGCUGCUAGUGCCAGGUGAACUCAUAUUGGCCAAAGUGGAAGAGAAGGAAAUGGUAGGGAGAUUCGGCAUGGUGCUCACUGAACCUCCAUAAUAUCUAGCAAGUCGAGUCUUAUGUCGGUCAUAUAGAACACCAACACAUAAAAAAAGGGCUAGAGGAACCAGUCCAUGACUUGACAUCGGUAGAAUGCUACCUCCAAUUCCCUGUAUGUUCGAUAGAGCCUAAUAUUCCCCCGGAGUACGCCGAUUACCCCCCGAACCGUACAAGAUAGUUACCACCUAUCAUACGGCUUUCUAACUCCACUUCUUUUUCUAGUCGUUCCGCUCUGUCGGAUCUCUGGUAGUAUCAGAGAUCUAUAACCCCUAACAUUUUUGACAACACGCUUCCUGCUUCCGUUUUGAGUUGCGCAUCUUUCUCCCCGGGGCAUACUAUAGUAUCACAUCGUAGACCCCUACCCCAACUCUAUCUUCCUUAUCAGUGAACCGGAACAUAGUGCAUAGGUACUCUUCGAUGUUGCGAGGACGAGACGAGGUGACAUACUACGAUCACGUAUAGAAGAGAAGUUUUGCCCUUCGGCUCGGCAUAUGGAAUGUCACGCCCCGAGACCGCUAACAAUUUGGUCCGGUCCGGGCGCGUCGAACAGACGCCGAACGGACAGGACCUCCCCUGCCCGCCCAAGGCUAAGCCAACUGAUCAUGUAUAAGAAUUUAUCCAGAAAAUCAAUUCAUAGAUACACGAUCACAAGGAGCACCACCAGUGCUAACAAAUAAGAGCAAGAUACCAGUAUGAGACAUACAAGUAAGUAAAGAGAGAAAGUUCUAUCCAUUACAUUCAUUCAACUUAAUACAUUUAAUUCCAUCUUUUACAUUCUUCCAGAACAUAUGUACAAGCACUCUCAAACCUCACCCUAUACAACAUCUACUCUCAAACAUAAGUACAGGGUGACGGCUAAUGCAAAACGGUAGAUAGCUAAUGCAACUAGGGCGCUAGGCCCUUACCGCGAUCCUCGCGCUCGCCUGGGACACUCGAACUCGGACCUGAAAAGAGUGGGGUGAGAACUAUCUUCCAUAGUUCCCAGUGGGUUCGGCCGCCGACUCCGCCGGUCUCCCCACUAGGUCCAAGUAGGCACAAGUAGAUAAACAGAUAGAUAGAUAUGGAAAGCUGAAUAGUAAAGCUACACUACUAUGCCGGAAUCAUGUAUAUGUAGAAUGCAUGCACAACAAAGUAGAUAAUCAACUAGCCCGUCAUAUGCCCAAGAAGUAAAGCUAUUUACUUGUUCAUCAAUCUCGUAGCUCACUCAAGAAUUCGCCCACUACUCACAUGGCCAUCUCGACGCGUAGGGAGACUAACUCAAACUACGAAUCCGAGACCGUCUGCGGGACCCCACAUAGGCCAUCCCUCGGGACCCCAAAUAGGCCAUCCCUAUCCCACGGGACCCUAAAUAGGCUAUCCUUUGUGACAGACUCCGGAGCGCACUACUUGUGUGGAGUGACCAUCACAAGUUGGGAACAGACAAUGAGCAUAAUCCAAUUCUCCUACCUCAAGGGUACCCUAUCCUCUAGGGCUACUAUCACCAUAGUCAAUGGGUUUCAUAUAUGCUACGAUUCACUUAUGCCACUCGUUCUUUGUUUAUUAACAACUAGAUGCCACUCAUGCUUUUGUUUCAACCAUUGCAUUAUUCUUUCAUCGCUGCACUAUAGGAUUACAAGUCUCGACCCAAUCCUCAUCAAUCCACUAUAUCAAACAACUAAUACAUAAUAUGGUAUCAGAUAGAAAAGUAUAAAGAAAGGCAAUGCACAAUUAUCUUACAAUGCAUGUAAACACAAGAUGCAAGGUCUCAAAAUACUAAGACAUAAGAGGGAGCCCGAUUGCUUCGGGAUGGUCACCACCCACCUCUUGGUGAUGCUGCGAUGGUAGAAAACUCGAUCUCGCAGUCCUUGGUCGAUGCUUCGACUUCUCAGGUCGAUCCGAACCCUUAAGCGCUUGAUUCGGCGAUAUCUUCGCACCCGCUCGUCGUAUCGACGAACCGUCUUCGCCGGCGCGUUCCGUGACCUAGUAAUUAGGUUUACGACCUAUUAAAAUAGAUCAAAACCCUAGAUUUCCAAAAAUCUCGAAUCCGUGCCCUAGGUUGGCAACGAUGGGGAAAUCCGUGGUGCGAGCUUCAAAUGUGAGCUCAAACCAUCACCCUAGCUUCAAUAGGUUCCAUUCAAACCAUUUAUAAGCAAUAAAACCCAAUCUCAAGAAAUCCACCAUGGAUGGGUUUGAAGCUUACCUCUAUUCCAAGCUCCAAGCUUGCUCUAGCUUGAAGGAGAGAGGGAAGAAGAUGGUCUUCUUCUUCUUCUUGAUCUUCUCCUUCCUCUUCUUCUUCUUUUCCUUCUUUCCCUUCUUUUCCUUCUCUUUUUCUUUUCCUUUCGUUCAGAGAGAGAGAAAAAGAGCGUGAGAGGGAUAGAGAGCAAAUGAGAGGGAGAGAGGGGUCCCCCACCUCUCAUAUAGGCUAUUUUGCAAAUAGCUCCCUCAACUUUCCAUCCUCUGCAGCAGCCCUCACUGGGCAUUUUUGCAGUGAGGGACCGGUCCCAGGUCGGGGAGACCGGUCCCCGAGAGCCUUCUAUCUCGGGCAGAGGGAGUUUCGCGUUCGGGAACCAGUCCUUGCCUGAGAGACCGGUCCCCGGGAGACCGGUCCUUGUCCGAGAGACCGGUUCACGAGAGUUAGAUUUUCGGGACUUAGCCAAAUUUCGGCUAUUUUCGCUGGGAUAACGUUCGGGGACCGAUCCUCCCCUGCCAGGGACCGGUUGCAUCCUGGAUCCCCUGCAAGCCUAGCCUGAUGGGACCGGUCCCUUCCUGCCAGGGACCGAUCCCCGAGAACAAUUAUGCUCCAGUGCAGAUUUGCACUGCUGCUCUCGCGGACCUUUCCUUAAUGCACUUUAUGCAUUAUAAUCACUUUCGGACUUUCCGAAGCUUAUACACUCGACAAAUAGUCGAUUCUAAACGAAGUCUAAUCCUCGUAUUUCGAGAAUUCACUUCCUUACAUGGAACCUCUCAACUGCUCCCUUUAUGGGGUCCUAUCGGGAUAGGUAGGCCCAUCUCCCUCCCCUCGCCUUUCCCGAGAGGGGGCCGGGCUGUGUUUCCCCAGCAGCCACCCAGUGGCGGCAGAAAACGAAAAGGGGUGGGCAUGGUUCGCCUUUUAUUGUUAAGAGAGAGCUUGCCAUUCUCUUAUAGAAGCCCGCGUCCAUGCGGGUAAAGCCCAGCGUAAGCUGCAGGGAGCACUGAGCAAUGGGGGGAUGAGGGCUACUCCGCCCACGGGUUGGACCACACCAGAGGCAGAAGUCCUUCCACGACAAGAGAAGGGUGACCGGAACAAGAAAGGGGAGCUAGUCGUUGGAGGGAAGAUAAGGCUCGUUCUUACUUCACCUUGGUUAUGGAAAUGCUCAGCCAAAAGUGAUUCGAGGCAGCAGCAGAGAACAGACUUAUUUCAUCGUCAAGACCACACCACAGGAUCCGCAAGUCUCCCAUAUCCGCUAUGCGGACGAUGUGCUGGUGUUCGCGGAUUGCUCUAUUAGAAAUGCCAGAUCUUUGAAUAGGUUGUUGGAUGAUUUUCAGACUGUAUCGGGACUCUCGAUCAACAGGGCAAAAUGUUCCAUCACGUUUUCAGCCUCGGGAGCCGGAAUGAAGAGAGGCGUGUUAUAGAUCCUCGGGUUUCAAGAAGUUCAGCUGCCUAUCAAAUAUUUUUGACUGCAACUUAUUUCAAGCAGGAUAAAAUAUUCCUUCUAUUCACACCCUACUUGAGUUGUUUUUCAAAAGAAUUUGGAAUUGGAACGCGCGGUUUCUUUCGUACGCGGGCAGGAUGGAGCUGGUUAAAUCGGUCUUAUCUAGCUUCCUUAUAUAUAUAUAUUUAUAAAUAUAUAUAUAUAAUAUAUACAGGACUUAAGUUUUUAACCUCCCCUAAAAACAUAUCUUUAGCAGAACUAUCAGGAAGUUCUUCUGGUCGGGACCGGACCUAACUAAAAAAUCUCAUCAGCAGGUCUAAAACCCCGAAGGAUGAGGGUGGUUUUCGGAAAGUUUAAGAUUGGAACAAGGAAGCUAUGGCUAAAAGAUUUUUGAUGCUGGUUUUUGGCAAGGUAAUGCUAAUUAGUCGUCUUGGGUUAAGAGAAGAGGAAAGAUCUUCGCCGGAAUUCUCUUUGGCAGGUGGACACGCCUAAAUACUUGUUGGGGUAUAUAUUCUCCGAAUCAGAGAUGAUGUCAUGGAUGCAAUUCGCUAGCAAAUUGGAGACGGAACGAAGGGACGAGACAAAGUAUUAACGGACAGAACCAUUAGCUGCGAACAAGUCUGAUUGAAGAAGAAGAAGGAGUGAUGUGAUCUUAUCCGCUCUGCUCUUCUUAGCUCUCGAGGGGGGAAGGAGGUUCAAUGCAAUUGAAUUGAAGGUGCAAUGGAAGACGCUUGCCUCUAAUUAUCUUCUAAUUCUAUUGAAAUUUGAAUAAUUAGAAUUGAGAAUUCUAAAAUGAAAUAAAAAAAGAAAGUUCAGGUUGGAUGUAAUGAAAUUGCCAAAUAUUAGCAUUAAUAAAAAGUAAGAAAGCCAGGAGAGGAACAUAAAGCCUACUNUAUUCUACCUACUAGCAUACACUUUCAACGUCUUCUUAUGCAAUUAUCAACUAGCAUGGUUCUCAUAAUAUUAACAUGCACAUGCAAUUCACUUAGCAUUUCUAGUUCAUGUCUUUAUCUCAUGGUAAUUUAUACAUUUUUAGCAUCUAUCGCAUGCAUACAUUUCUAUCUAGCAUAUUUAUAUAAUGCUAACAUGCCCGUAUGCACAUACAUAUGCAUCAACAAGAAUCCAUAUUCUGCUUUGACAUGCGGGGCAACUGUAAGGUACCGGACUUCUAAAACUAUGAAGUUACGGUGUACAUUUAAAUGGUUCCGGUGAGGUUGUGGUGGAAUGUAACAUACCAAAUUUUGAGUAUAAAAGUGAAAAUAAAUAAAAAUAGUAUGAGAUACUAUUUUAUUGGGUUUAGAGGAGUGAAAUAUAGAUUGAAAAUGACCUGUGCUGAAAUCGGAGCGAAAACAAAAGAUUUAGAAUUUUUUGUGAGAAACGGGGCAGAUAAAUUAGCAGAAAAUGCAUAGUGUCAGAAAAUUAUGAAAACUGGAGGAUAUGUCAGAAAUAUUUUUAUGAGGCUAGAUUUAAAGUUUCAUACCAUUCUGACACCCGUAGAGUGAGAAAUAAAAUCCGACAGUUAUCUGAUUAAGAUUACAGUUCGGCACAGUUUUCGGUGACCAAACGGGGUCAAAACUGAAAACUUAAGAUACAUUCUUACUCAGUACGUUAAACUGAGCCUGCCUGUCAAAUUUGAGUGCAAACGGACGUUCAGAAGGGCUCCAACGACUCCGAACUACUAAACUGCUGCCCGAGGUAAAUAGUGUAAAGUUGAGGGGCUGAUUUGUAAAAAGGGAUUAAAUCCUUUUUCUUCUUCUUCCUCCCAGCCGAACACAACCCGCACACACACACAACACACACGCAUGGAAAGGAAAAGAGAGAACUUCCCUUUUUCUCUCUAAAUCUCUCCCAAAAUCAAAGGAAUUGGUGGAGAUUGAAGCUUGGAGAUGAAUCGUCUUCAUCUUCUUCAUCUUCUCCCUGGUUUGGAGCUAAUUUUGAGAUGACCUUCUUGAACCCUCUCAUGGUAGAUCUCUAGGAUUAGCUUUAUAUGCUCUAGAUAUGGAUUUAGUAGAAUGCUUAGAUGCUAAUUAGAGGUUUAUUGCUUGAUUCAUGAAGUUAAGUAGUGGAUUUAGCUAUAAUGGCAUCUAGGGCUUCAAAAAUGGCAUUUUUGCUAAUAGUAAGGUUUGAUCUCAUUUGACACUCCGUAAACCUAUUUGUUAGGCAAACGAACGCGUUGGCGAAGACGGUUCGGCGAUUCGUUGAGCCGGUGCGAAGUUAUUAAAGAAACGGACGUUUAGGCUUCAUUUCCGCAUGGAGGGCAGAGGCGACGUCGUAAAAUCAUGGAAUCGGAUUUGAGGUACCAUAACAACAAAACGAAGACCCUUUUUGCCCGAGGCUGCGAAGCGAUGCGUGGUUGGUGCGCAAUGGCAAGUUCCGACGGAACCGAGCACCGGAUGCCGCGGGAGGCCAAUUGCAAGUGUCGACAAGCAAUCGGAAUGCACUAACAGGUGGGUUGUGCUUACCGAAGCGACUAGGUCGCCUUCAUGUUGAAGAAAAUAUGAUUUCCUAGUUGAUGCAUAUAAUGGGUUAAAUGCUAUAUGAUGCAUAUAACGUAAUUGCUAGAUGUUGCAUAUAAUGUAAAUGCAUGAUGACAUGAGGCAUAUAUUAUAUGAUGUUGACAUAUCAUAAGAGGCUAGUUGAUAUAUAUAUACAUGAUAGGGUAUUGGAUAGUCUGUCACGCCCCGCCUCGAAACCACUACCAAUUUGGCACGGCUCGGCCGCGGCGGCGGACCGCCGAACGGACAGCAUCUCCCUUGUCCGCCCAAGGCUCAACGACAGGAAUGUGUACAAGAAUUUACCCAGGACUUUAAAUUCUAAACAUACACAUUCAACGAGGGCACAAACAGUGCCAGCAACAAGGAGAGCAAGUAAUCCACAAGAUAUACGAGUGAAAUAAAGAGAGUACUUUACUAACUAUUACAAUAGUUGCAUUCUUUACAUCAUUUUUCAUCCAAAAUACAUAGCUCUCCAAAUCCUCACCUACAAUAAAUCUCUCUCUAUACAUAGGUGACUAAUGCAAAAGGGAAAGUUACUAUACUACCACGGUCUCACUGGUCGGGCGCGACGCCCUUGCCGCGGUCCUCCCUCUGCAGCCCUGAACCUACCACUGGAAAUAGAGUGGGGUGAGAACUAUCUUCCAUAGUUCCCAGUGGGCUCGGCCGCCGACUCUGCCGAUCUCCCCACUAGGUCCAAGUGGGCACAAGUAACAACAGAUAGAUAGAUAGAUAGAUAUGUAUCUGAAAGCUGUAAAUGCAGUAGUAGGAAAACUAUGCUACUAUGCCCAUAAUCAUGAAUAUGAAUGCAUGCAUCAUAUAAUAAAGGUUUGCUACCAUGCUAACAAAUUCGAUCCAUGUUCGAAUAGUAAUGUUCAAUGACAUUUAUAAACCUUUAACCUUUUUCAUUUACCCAAUCUGUGGCGAGGCCCUAGGGCUCGCCCAUGACUCACCUUCAAAUCCCAAAGUGGGGAGGGAGCUCCAAGUGCACCCAAGCCCGGGACCGUCUGCGGACCUCCAUGUGGUCCGGACCUCCAAGUGGUCCUAGUCGCGCGACACUCCGGAGUACUCGACGACAAUCCCCUCCAUGUGGGGAUUGGAUGGCUAUGCCACCCUAAACGCAGACUGUGAGCUAGAUCUAUCCUCUCCAUGUGAGGAUACACUGUAACCAGGGUCAACACCCAAUCCAAUCCUCUCCAAGUGAGGAGGCUCUACAACUAGAGUCAAUAACCCAAUCGAAUCCUCUCCAAGUGAGGACGCCCUAUACUAGGGUCAACGACUAUCGCGGAAUCAUCGGUUCCCGACAUUCAUACAAUGCUAUUUAGUUUUCUAAAUUCAUUGUUCACAAGGCAUUUUCUAAGGGAUCCACCUAUCCCUAGGUCCAUCGACCUCUAGUGUUAUUUACACUACAUUAAUGCCACUCGUCAUCAUUUAUCAUUCGGAUGCCACUCGUGUUCUUUAACACUAUCCACUACUUCCUAUGUCAUCAAUACCCCCAUCGGGUUCAUCUCUUUUCUUUCGCACCAUAGGAUUCACGUCUCGACCCAAUCCUCACCUAUCUAAAUCACCAAGCGUUCCAAGUACACUAGGUUAUCAAUUAGAAAGCAUAAGGAAUGGAACUACUAUGCAAUCCUACAAUGCACAUGAAGAGAUGAGAUUAAAUGCAAUCUAAGACAUAGAAAGAAGUUCGAAAGUUUCGGAUGACACCCCCACCUUUAACCAAUGUAGAGGUUUCGGAAAUCUCUCUUAGCGAGCUUUACGAAGAGGCUUUAGCCUUCCUCGCCAGAAUCAACACUAGCCCGGCCCGAUUUUGUGGAGAACUUCACGUCGGUUCGCCGAAUGCCGAAAUCGACUUCGCCCCCGCGUUUUGGGACCUAUCAAUAGGGUUUCCAAGACUUCAAAUGAGAUCAAUCUCAUACUUUUACAAAAAUGUGAGAAUAGAGGAAUGUGACACUCAGACCCUUUAGAGAGAUAAGUUAAUCAUAACUUUAAUCCUUGCACUGAUUCGAAUAAUAUAAUAUCCAUGAUAAUAGUCGAAUGGUAUUACAUUUGAAUGAGUGGCAUGGCAACCAGUAAACAACCUUGCGAGUUCGGCCAUUAUGACUUCAGGGUGUCUUAAAAAAACACCCCUGUGCAUGAUGUCCUAUGCACAGGGAUAUUCUCUUUGGACACAGAUACUAGAAUCAUUCAUUGUCCUGUAUCCCAUCAUUGUAUGCUCGCUCCACACAAUAGUGCGGCUCAGAGUUAGUCACGGUGGAUGGCCAUAUUUGUGGGUUCGGCGUCGGGUAGGGAUGGCCUAGUUGGUCCCGACGGCAAUGGAUAUGUGGGGCGUCCGCAGUACGCGUCUUGGCAUUCGUAGUUUGAGUACCGAGGAUGGCCUAAUGUGGGGUCCGGAAGACGGCUCCCUACGAAUCGAGAUGGACUAGCCAGUAGAUUGGCGUAAGGACUCACAGAUUACUGCAAAGUGGGCCGAUGAGCCUAGGUAGUUCCGCAGUCCGUAGUAGACAAAAAGUGGACCAUUAGCUGAGGUGCGCAGGUGCAGACAGUCCUUCGCCUCCAGCCUGGGCUUGUAUUAUUCUUUUUUUGCGUACCUCGCGCAGAGAUUGACCACAAGACUGAGGUCCGGGGCGGUUAGCUUCUGUAAGGCGGUGCAUGAACUUUGAUGACACAAACGUGUACAAAGGAAGAAAACCUUACAAUCCCAAUUGGAUGAAAGUAGGAAUCGAUUGAAUUACUAGUUGGUUGUAUGUCUGCUUAUUGCGAUGACUCUCACUAUUGCAGUACGCAACUGCAAUGCAUUGUACUUUGUUAGGUGAGUAAUCUUUUACAUACUAUAUCUGUUUAUUGAAACUAACCUGCAGCUUGCCUUCUAGACUGUCCGCGGUCGAGCUUUUUCCGCCCUUGGGUGAGCGCGUACCCACUGNNNNNNNNNNNNNNNNNNNNNNNNNNNNNNNNNNNNNNNNNNNNNNNNNNNNNNNNNNNNNNNNNNNNNNNNNNNNNNNNNNNNNNNNNNNNNNNNNNNNNNNNNNNNNNNNNNNNNNNNNNNNNNNNNNNNNNNNNNNNNNNNNNNNNNNNNNNNNNNNNNNNNNNNNNNNNNNNNNNNNNNNNNNNNNNNNNNNNNNNNNNNNNNNNNNNNNNNNNNNNNNNNNNNNNNNNNNNNNNNNNNNNNNNNNNNNNNNNNNNNNNNNNNNNNNNNNNNNNNNNNNNNNNNNNNNNNNNNNNNNNNNNNNNNNNNNNNNNNNNNNNNNNNNNNNNNNNNNNNNNNNNNNNNNNNNNNNNNNNNNNNNNNNNNNNNNNNNNNNNNNNNNNNNNNNNNNNNNNNNNNNNNNNNNNNNNNNNNNNNNNNNNNNNNNNNNNNNNNNNNNNNNNNNNNNNNNNNNNNNNNNNNNNNNNNNNNNNNNNNNNNNNNNNNNNNNNNNNNNNNNNNNNNNNNNNNNNNNNNNNNNNNNNNNNNNNNNNNNNNNNNNNNNNNNNNNNNNNNNNNNNNNNNNNNNNNNNNNNNNNNNNNNNNNNNNNNNNNNNNNNNNNNNNNNNNNNNNNNNNNNNNNNNNNNNNNNNNNNNNNNNNNNNNNNNNNNNNNNNNNNNNNNNNNNNNNNNNNNNNNNNNNNNNNNNNNNNNNNNNNNNNNNNNNNNNNNNNNNNNNNNNNNNNNNNNNNNNNNNNNNNNNNNNNNNNNNNNNNNNNNNNNNNNNNNNNNNNNNNNNNNNNNNNNNNNNNNNNNNNNNNNNNNNNNNNNNNNNNNNNNNNNNNNNNNNNNNNNNNNNNNNNNNNNNNNNNNNNNNNNNNNNNNNNNNNNNNNNNNNNNNNNNNNNNNNNNNNNNNNNNNNNNNNNNNNNNNNNNNNNNNNNNNNNNNNNNNNNNNNNNNNNNNNNNNNNNNNNNNNNNNNNNNNNNNNNNNNNNNNNNNNNNNNNNNNNNNNNNNNNNNNNNNNNNNNNNNNNNNNNNNNNNNNNNNNNNNNNNNNNNNNNNNNNNNNNNNNNNNNNNNNNNNNNNNNNNNNNNNNNNNNNNNNNNNNNNNNNNNNNNNNNNNNNNNNNNNNNNNNNNNNNNNNNNNNNNNNNNNNNNNNNNNNNNNNNNNNNNNNNNNNNNNNNNNNNNNNNNNNNNNNNNNNNNNNNNNNNNNNNNNNNNNNNNNNNNNNNNNNNNNNNNNNNNNNNNNNNNNNNNNNNNNNNNNNNNNNNNNNNNNNNNNNNNNNNNNNNNNNNNNNNNNNNNNNNNNNNNNNNNNNNNNNNNNNNNNNNNNNNNNNNNNNNNNNNNNNNNNNNNNNNNNNNNNNNNNNNNNNNNNNNNNNNNNNNNNNNNNNNNNNNNNNNNNNNNNNNNNNNNNNNNNNNNNNNNNNNNNNNNNNNNNNNNNNNNNNNNNNNNNNNNNNNNNNNNNNNNNNNNNNNNNNNNNNNNNNNNNNNNNNNNNNNNNNNNNNNNNNNNNNNNNNNNNNNNNNNNNNNNNNNNNNNNNNNNNNNNNNNNNNNNNNNNNNNNNNNNNNNNNNNNNNNNNNNNNNNNNNNNNNNNNNNNNNNNNNNNNNNNNNNNNNNNNNNNNNNNNNNNNNNNNNNNNNNNNNNNNNNNNNNNNNNNNNNNNNNNNNNNNNNNNNNNNNNNNNNNNNNNNNNNNNNNNNNNNNNNNNNNNNNNNNNNNNNNNNNNNNNNNNNNNNNNNNNNNNNNNNNNNNNNNNNNNNNNNNNNNNNNNNNNNNNNNNNNNNNNNNNNNNNNNNNNNNNNNNNNNNNNNNNNNNNNNNNNNNNNNNNNNNNNNNNNNNNNNNNNNNNNNNNNNNNNNNNNNNNNNNNNNNNNNNNNNNNNNNNNNNNNNNNNNNNNNNNNNNNNNNNNNNNNNNNNNNNNNNNNNNNNNNNNNNNNNNNNNNNNNNNNNNNNNNNNNNNNNNNNNNNNNNNNNNNNNNNNNNNNNNNNNNNNNNNNNNNNNNNNNNNNNNNNNNNNNNNNNNNNNNNNNNNNNNNNNNNNNNNNNNNNNNNNNNNNNNNNNNNNNNNNNNNNNNNNNNNNNNNNNNNNNNNNNNNNNNNNNNNNNNNNNNNNNNNNNNNNNNNNNNNNNNNNNNNNNNNNNNNNNNNNNNNNNNNNNNNNNNNNNNNNNNNNNNNNNNNNNNNNNNNNNNNNNNNNNNNNNNNNNNNNNNNNNNNNNNNNNNNNNNNNNNNNNNNNNNNNNNNNNNNNNNNNNNNNNNNNNNNNNNNNNNNNNNNNNNNNNNNNNNNNNNNNNNNNNNNNNNNNNNNNNNNNNNNNNNNNNNNNNNNNNNNNNNNNNNNNNNNNNNNNNNNNNNNNNNNNNNNNNNNNNNNNNNNNNNNNNNNNNNNNNNNNNNNNNNNNNNNNNNNNNNNNNNNNNNNNNNNNNNNNNNNNNNNNNNNNNNNNNNNNNNNNNNNNNNNNNNNNNNNNNNNNNNNNNNNNNNNNNNNNNNNNNNNNNNNNNNNNNNNNNNNNNNNNNNNNNNNNNNNNNNNNNNNNNNNNNNNNNNNNNNNNNNNNNNNNNNNNNNNNNNNNNNNNNNNNNNNNNNNNNNNNNNNNNNNNNNNNNNNNNNNNNNNNNNNNNNNNNNNNNNNNNNNNNNNNNNNNNNNNNNNNNNNNNNNNNNNNNNNNNNNNNNNNNNNNNNNNNNNNNNNNNNNNNNNNNNNNNNNNNNNNNNNNNNNNNNNNNNNNNNNNNNNNNNNNNNNNNNNNNNNNNNNNNNNNNNNNNNNNNNNNNNNNNNNNNNNNNNNNNNNNNNNNNNNNNNNNNNNNNNNNNNNNNNNNNNNNNNNNNNNNNNNNNNNNNNNNNNNNNNNNNNNNNNNNNNNNNNNNNNNNNNNNNNNNNNNNNNNNNNNNNNNNNNNNNNNNNNNNNNNNNNNNNNNNNNNNNNNNNNNNNNNNNNNNNNNNNNNNNNNNNNNNNNNNNNNNNNNNNNNNNNNNNNNNNNNNNNNNNNNNNNNNNNNNNNNNNNNNNNNNNNNNNNNNNNNNNNNNNNNNNNNNNNNNNNNNNNNNNNNNNNNNNNNNNNNNNNNNNNNNNNNNNNNNNNNNNNNNNNNNNNNNNNNNNNNNNNNNNNNNNNNNNNNNNNNNNNNNNNNNNNNNNNNNNNNNNNNNNNNNNNNNNNNNNNNNNNNNNNNNNNNNNNNNNNNNNNNNNNNNNNNNNNNNNNNNNNNNNNNNNNNNNNNNNNNNNNNNNNNNNNNNNNNNNNNNNNNNNNNNNNNNNNNNNNNNNNNNNNNNNNNNNNNNNNNNNNNNNNNNNNNNNNNNNNNNNNNNNNNNNNNNNNNNNNNNNNNNNNNNNNNNNNNNNNNNNNNNNNNNNNNNNNNNNNNNNNNNNNNNNNNNNNNNNNNNNNNNNNNNNNNNNNNNNNNNNNNNNNNNNNNNNNNNNNNNNNNNNNNNNNNNNNNNNNNNNNNNNNNNNNNNNNNNNNNNNNNNNNNNNNNNNNNNNNNNNNNNNNNNNNNNNNNNNNNNNNNNNNNNNNNNNNNNNNNNNNNNNNNNNNNNNNNNNNNNNNNNNNNNNNNNNNNNNNNNNNNNNNNNNNNNNNNNNNNNNNNNNNNNNNNNNNNNNNNNNNNNNNNNNNNNNNNNNNNNNNNNNNNNNNNNNNNNNNNNNNNNNNNNNNNNNNNNNNNNNNNNNNNNNNNNNNNNNNNNNNNNNNNNNNNNNNNNNNNNNNNNNNNNNNNNNNNNNNNNNNNNNNNNNNNNNNNNNNNNNNNNNNNNNNNNNNNNNNNNNNNNNNNNNNNNNNNNNNNNNNNNNNNNNNNNNNNNNNNNNNNNNNNNNNNNNNNNNNNNNNNNNNNNNNNNNNNNNNNNNNNNNNNNNNNNNNNNNNNNNNNNNNNNNNNNNNNNNNNNNNNNNNNNNNNNNNNNNNNNNNNNNNNNNNNNNNNNNNNNNNNNNNNNNNNNNNNNNNNNNNNNNNNNNNNNNNNNNNNNNNNNNNNNNNNNNNNNNNNNNNNNNNNNNNNNNNNNNNNNNNNNNNNNNNNNNNNNNNNNNNNNNNNNNNNNNNNNNNNNNNNNNNNNNNNNNNNNNNNNNNNNNNNNNNNNNNNNNNNNNNNNNNNNNNNNNNNNNNNNNNNNNNNNNNNNNNNNNNNNNNNNNNNNNNNNNNNNNNNNNNNNNNNNNNNNNNNNNNNNNNNNNNNNNNNNNNNNNNNNNNNNNNNNNNNNNNNNNNNNNNNNNNNNNNNNNNNNNNNNNNNNNNNNNNNNNNNNNNNNNNNNNNNNNNNNNNNNNNNNNNNNNNNNNNNNNNNNNNNNNNNNNNNNNNNNNNNNNNNNNNNNNNNNNNNNNNNNNNNNNNNNNNNNNNNNNNNNNNNNNNNNNNNNNNNNNNNNNNNNNNNNNNNNNNNNNNNNNNNNNNNNNNNNNNNNNNNNNNNNNNNNNNNNNNNNNNNNNNNNNNNNNNNNNNNNNNNNNNNNNNNNNNNNNNNNNNNNNNNNNNNNNNNNNNNNNNNNNNNNNNNNNNNNNNNNNNNNNNNNNNNNNNNNNNNNNNNNNNNNNNNNNNNNNNNNNNNNNNNNNNNNNNNNNNNNNNNNNNNNNNNNNNNNNNNNNNNNNNNNNNNNNNNNNNNNNNNNNNNNNNNNNNNNNNNNNNNNNNNNAACUAUGGAGUUAGUUCUCACCCCACGUUGCUUUUGGGGUGUUACAGGUUCACACGUGAGCGGCGCGGCGGCGUAAGGAAAGAGCGUAGCUCUGUAGAUAGCGCCCUACCACAGAUACCAGAGUUAGUCGUACCCCGAGUCGACAUAUCCUAGGGGUAUAGAAAUGGAAAGAUCAAUGUAUCAAAAUUGUAAUGAAUAAUUGAUGUAACAAUUCGUAUUAAGAUGUACUAUACUUGUGAAUAAUGAUGUAGUAGCUUAGAUUGCAUUUGGUUGGAAGUAAAAGUAAAUUGUAAUUGAGAGGUAAAGUAUGAAUGAAUGAAUGUAAUAACUUAGGAUGUGUUUAUGUUGUUUGAUACCUUCCUUAUGCAAUCGUUGUAUGUUGAAUACUGUUCCUGUUUGGAACCUGUUGUAACUGUUUUGAUUGCGAUGCCUUGAACGUACAGGGGAGACUCUGUCCGCAGUGCAGGGAAAACUCUGUCCAUUCGGCGCUGUCGGCGCCGUGACCCCGGCCAAAUAGGCGGGUGGUCGCGGGCUGUGACAGCAACCUAGUCGUUUCGGUAAGCACAACCCACCUUAACUUAUUCUCUGAUUGCUCUAGUCACUUGCAAUCGGCCUCCCGUGGCACCCAUUGCCCGGUUCGGCCCGAACUCUCGCGCGACCACCCAAACGGCCUCCAAUCCACGAUCCGAAAAUUAAAGGUCCACAGUUAGUUGUCACGAGCUCACGAUUCCGUUUUCAUAAUUUUAGGACGUCGCCUCGGCCCUCCAGGCGAAAACUAAGCCAAAAAUGUCGUUUCUUCAAUAACUUCACGUAGGCUCGACGAAUCGUCGAACCGACUUUGCCAACGUGUCAGAAUACCUAGAAAUUAGGUUUACAUGGGUCCAAUUUAGAUCAAACCCCUACAUUUACAAAACUAGCAUUUUUAACCUUAGCAUGAAAACAACCCCAAAUAAUUCGAAAUUAAAUGGAGCGACAUACUAGAAACACUUUAGAGACCAUUAGAACACUAAACAUCAAUGAUUAAACCAAAUCCUAGAAGCUUACCAAAUUGUGAACGCCGAGUCGAAAGCAUGCCACGCAACCGGGUGCACGAAGACUCAAACCGACGCUCCGCACGCGUUCGCAAGCACGCUCUCGGCCAACGCCGCGAGUUUGAGGGAGAGAUCUUGUAAUAUACCGAAAAUUCAAAAAAUAAAUAUCGAACUUUAGUCAAAUUGACCAAAGUGCGAGGUUGGUACCAUUCGAAAAGUCCGAAGGUGUAAAAAUGAGUAAAAGUGCAUUGUGGGAGGUUUUCAAGAGCUAAAGAAUCAAAAAUCUGCAUUCUGCAGGUUUUGAGCUCUCGGGGACCAGUCUUUGGUGGGAGAGACUGGUCCCCAAAUGCGUGAGAAAUGAGAAAGCUGAAAAAUCGGCUAAGUCCUAGAAAAUCAGCUCUCGGGAACCGGUCCCUGCGGGGAGAGACCGGUCCCCGAGAGACCGGUCCCUCUGGGAGAGACCGGUUGCAUUGUGCGGGGACCCUAGUUGCCCGCGGGGAGAGCUCUCUGGUACCGGUCCCAGGUCGGGGAGACCGGUUCCCGAGCACGAAAACUGCCCAGUUUUGGCAGUUUAAUAAAGUGAAAGUUGAGAGGUUUAUUUGCAAUUAUGUAACCCAUAGAGCUAUGUAUGGGGAGAUAUGAGAUAUUUCUUUCAUUCUCACCCUCUCACACUCUCCUCUCUCUUUCUCUCUCUAGAAGACAAGAAGGAGAAGAAGAAAGAAAGGAAAAGAAGGAGGAAGAGAAGGAAGGAGAAGAAGAAAAAGGUGGAGAAGAAGAAGAAGGAGUGAAGUAACUCCCUCUCCUUCACCUCUAGCACAAAGAAAGGAAAGAUUUGAGGUAAGCUUUGAUCCAUUUCAUGGUAAAACCCUAGAAUGAGAACCAAAUGACCUAGAAAUGGUUUUGGUAGAACCUUUUGAGUAUUUGAAGCUUUCUUUUGCUUCCUUAAGAGAUCAAAACCAUAGAUUGGGUAUAUGUGGUGAAGCUUAGAGGUGAGCUUCAACCUCUCUCAUGGUAGAAUCCAAACUAGGGUUUGAAUUAAGCUAAUGAUGGUUUUUAUGGAACCUUUGGAUGAUUUGAAGCUUUCUUUUGCUUCUCUAAGAGAUCAAAGCCCUAAUUUUGUUGUGGGAUGAGCUAGGGCACCCAAAUUUGGGGCUUUUUCUUGUGAGGGUUCCAAAGUGAAAUUGACCCUCUAGAAACCUAAUUCGGGAUAUUUCCGACGCGUUGGUACGCUCGAUUUAAUGUUACGAAAAGCCUAUGCGAAGUUAAGAGCAAAAUGGCCUAAUAUGGCUUCGUUUUGCCGCAGGUAGCAAACUAGGCGGCUAAAAAUCCUGAGAAAUUCACCGUAGCACCUAAGUAAGCUUACAAGGUGGGUGGUGCUCUCCAAACUUAUUGGAAUUCCCUUUAUGUCUAAUGUUUCACUUCUUGAGCAUACAUAUAUAAUUGUUGCAUGCAUAAUUAGGGUAAUGAGAUAAUAAAUAUGUGAAUGCUUGCAUUUUGUGAGUUCAAGUGCAUCAUGAGAUGGUUGAGAAUCAAUGAGAAUGUAAUAACCCUAUAUGUGCAUGUAAAAAGAGAUAAGAGUAUAGUGAAGUUAAAGAACAAGUGACAUAAGACAUGAGGAUAAUGAAAUAUGAGAAUGAAAGGUAGAGUUAGCAUAAAGAUUGACAUAAAGAACACUAGAGCUAGUGUGUGGCAUCAAAGAGAAUAAACGUGUGGCAUUAAAGAAUGAUAAUUGCUAGAGUUAGCAACAAAAUGUGGCAUAAAGAACAAUGGCUAGAGAUAGCAUUAAAUGUAGGGCAUAAAAGAAUGCCAGAGUUAAUGUAUGACAUGAAUGAUAGUAAAGAAUGUAAAGAACACUAGAGUUAGUGUAAUGACAUGGUCGAAGAUAAAAAAAUGCAAAGAACAUAAGAUUGACACGAUGACAUACAACCUUAGAGCUAAGGGUCAUUUGUGCAUAAUUUCUUAGAGUUAAAGAACAGAUUGAACUGAACAUCCUUAGAGUUAAAGAUUGAUCAUACUCGCUAUAAGUCCUUGCUCGAGGGCGGUAGCUCCCCCUCGAGCGAUGCACUCCGGAAUUUGUCAUUACUGGGUUGGUGCUGUUCCCCAGAGGACGGUCCUAGCGGGAGGAAGCUGAGGGCCCGCGAUCAUGGAUUUUGAGUUAGUGAGUUAAUGAGGCGAUACCCCCGGGUUAGCCUUGAGAUUGAACGAAAGAACAAGAACAAAGAAUAAAGAACAAAGAACAACGACCACGCAUUCUUCAUGAGUUUAUAUUGAGCGUCUUUAUUGAUCACAUUGUUCAGGCAUAUUAGUUGUAUUUGUAUAGUUGGCUACUUAUCUGCUUAUUCUUUCUAUUAUGCCUGAGUUAGACCUAGUGGGAAAGUCGGUGAGAUUGGAACCGAACCCACUGGGAACUUCGUUGUAGUUCUCACCCCACUAUUUCCACAGAGCCGGGACCGAGCGACCCGGCGAGCGACCGCGGUAAGGGUAUCGUGCCAUAGACAGUGACUACCAAGUCGAGUUUUACAUUUUGUAGUAGCAUUUCCCUACUUCAUCUUUUGUAUUUGAUGAAUUGAGAUGUAAAAGAAAAAGAAUGUAAUGUUUAUCUCGAGAAGAAUGUAAUGUAAAAAGAAAUGAUGCAAGCAAUGUAAACAAUCAUAAAUAUGAAGCUUAAAUGCAAUGUAUGUGAUCAAAAGUUGUAUCAUAGUACUUGUGUAGUUGUUUAGUUUCCUUUCUUUCACUCAUGGCUAUUGCUUACCUUUGUGUAAGCCGUUUGUGUAUGUUUCCGCUAGUGCUUUUCUCUACUUGAAAAUGUACAGGUGAUGAGCCUUGGGCGGACAGGGGAAACUCUGUCCAUUCGGCGUCUGUUCGACGUGCCCGGGCCGGCCCAAAUUGGUAUCGGUCCUAGGACGUGACAGAUCUAGAGAGAUGAGAGAGAUAUUUAGAGAGAGAAAUGAAGGUUUCUCUCUCCUCACCAUGGUGCGUGUGAGGUGGUGGUGGUGGUCGGCUGAUGGAGAGGAAGAAAAGGGAUCAAAAUCCCUUUUAUAAAUAACCCCUGAAUACUAUUCACAUUACCAGUUUAGCCACGUCGGAGCCCUUCUGAAUGUCCGUUUGCGCUCAAAUUUUACAGCCAGGCUCGGUUUUCCUUACUAAGAAAGAAUAUAUCUUAAGUUUUCAAUUUCGACAACGUUUGGUCACCGGAAGCUCUACCAAACUGUAAUCUUUAGCAGAUAACAGUCGGAUUUUAUUUCCCACCUUUCCGAGUGUCAGAAUGUCAUGAAACUUUAAAUCUAGCCUUAUAAAAAUAAUUCUGACAUAUUCUCCAGUUUUCAUAAUUUUUUGACACUAUGUAUUUUCUGCUAAAAUAUCAGCUCCGUUUCUCACAGAAAAUUCUAAAUCUUCUGUUUUCGUUCCGAUUUCAGCACGAGUCGUUUCCGACUAAUAUUUUACUUCUCUAAAUCCAAUAAAAAUAGUAUUUCACAUUAUUUUUAUUUAUUUUUACUUUUAUAUCAAAAUCUGGUAUGUUACAACCAUAUAUCUUGAGAUUAUAGAAUCCCGACCCAAACACCGGGACUUAGUCCCAACAACCCCGAGCUCUCGUGUGCCUAUAAGCCUUAGGUUAUCCUAUGGGUAAUUCUAAAUCAUGGUUGAUUGUCGUCGACAUUUUGCUCUGAUACUAUCUUAAUAUGUCAUGCCCCGAGAUUCUUUUAAAAAUUCUUUUUAGGAAAACUAGUGGAAAACGUGUAUUUUUUUUUUUUUGAAUACCUCUGAGAACACCCUGCGGACGCGCACAGACCCGCCACAUAGACAAAGGAUCCCCUGUAUAGAUGGACAGAGUCUCCCUUGUACAUGCACGACAUAGCAACUCAAAUCAUAGUCAACCACACUAUAACCACACAACACAAAUAACAUAAAGUGUAACAUACCACAUCCCUCGUAAAUCGUGCCGAGUUCCGUUAAAAUGAGCGGAACGCGGAAUUGAACGAGUUAGGAUGGACCCUAAGUGCAUUAGAGUUCAUAAACGAAACUAAAAGGGACCCGAGAGAGCAAAUCUGAAAAUCUGGCUAAGUCCCAGAUUUUGAGCUCUCGGGGACCGGUCCCUGAAGGAGAGACCGGUCCCCGUACGCGUAGCCUCACAAGGAUCCUGAGGCAACCGGUCCUUGGUUGGUGAGACCGGUCCUCGGAAGACCGGUCCCUGACGGGCAGACCGGUCCCUCGCUGCGCAGCAGCCGAAAAACUCAAGAAGCCGAGCCCACUGGGAACUUUGUUUAGUUCUCACACCACUAACCCUACAGGUCCUAGCACGAGCGGGGCGGCGGAGGACCGAGGCAAGGGUUUGGCGCCGUAGGUAGCGGCCACCGGGGACUUUAUGCAUUUUGUAGUCAUUCCCUUUUGUUAUACAUGUAUCAACUUUAUUUUGUUGAUUUAGGAAUGAAAAGUGUAAACAAUCAUGUAUUUGGUGGAUGACUAAAUGUAAAAGAUAUGAUGGUUGAAUGGAAUGUAAUAGCUUUGUUUACUUGAAUUUGGUUUAAAUGAAAUCAAAUAUCAUGUGUGAUGUAUAUUUAGCUUAGAGCUUUCGCUUCCGUUGUUGCUUGCCCUCGUGCAAGCCUUGUAUUAUAUAUGCAAUUCUCUUGUUGAUUGCCUAUUUAUACAUGUUGUUAGAGCCUUGGGCGGACAGGGGAGGCUCUGUCCGUUCGGCGUCUGUUGACGUGACCCGAACCCGACCAAAUUGGCGGGGAUUGGGGCGUGACAUAUAUAAUGGUAUCAGAGCCAAGCGGAAAGUAAAAGUCUAGGGAUGACCUAGAAACCCUAGGAAAUUGGAGACCUUAGGAGUUUAGGAAACGUUUAACGUGGACUUGGUUUAUGCAAAAGCAAAUAAUUGGGUCAGGGGUAACACUUCUCUAGAAGGAAGUAGAGAUGGACUAGGAGGCUUAAUUGUUGUCUACUUAAAGGACCUUGUGGGGCGGCCGACCACAUAACACCGAAAGUGGAAAUAAUUAGGCUUGUGCUUUCGCUUAAUUGGGUAGCUACUUGGAACGUGUAAGAGUCACGUGUGUCGAGUGCUAAUGUGUGUGCAUUGCGUUGCAGGACGCGAUGGCACCACCAAGGAGAGUUACGAGGUCCACACCGGCGGAGCCUCGGGAGGAGCCCGGACAGUCGGGGUCGGACGAAGUACGCAAGUUGCGAGCCCAGGUAGCGGCUUUGGCCGAGGCUAUGCGAGAACAAGGGGAGCAGAUUGGACAGCUCCACGAGAUGAUGGCGCAACAGGCGGCAGCGGCAUCAGUGCCGAGGGAUCCACCCCCACCGGCUGCCCCUGUAGCACCACCUCUUGCGGUGGCGGCAGCGCUAGUGACGGCUGUUCCUCCGGCAGCAUCGAGUUCAUCGGUUACUAUUUCCGAUAUGCUUGAGGCCGAGCAGGAGCGUACGUUGGCGGCGCUGACGGCAUUCAAGCGGUUCAACCCUCCGACCUUCAACGGCGAUGUGAAGGAUCCGUGGGUGACGGAGAAUUGGUUGGCCGCGAUGGAGGCGUUGUUCGAGGAUAUCUAUACCCUCGAGAAGGAUAAAGUUCACCUGGCAGCUCAUUGUUUCGAUGGGUCGGCUCGGUUGUGGUGGAAUCAAGCGAAGAAAAAUCGCUCGCUAGGGCAUGCUCUUCUCACUUGGGAGGCGUUUUGGGAGAUGCUGCUUAUGGAGUACUUCCCCGAGAGUGACAAGAGGAAAAUCAAGGAGGAUUUUCGAAAACUAAGGCAAGGAAACCGAACUGUGCGGGAGUACGAAAGGGAAUUCAUGCACAUGAUUAACUGCGUGCCGGACUUGGUUCACAGCGAUAGGGACCAAGCGGAGGUGUUUGAGCGCGGGUUGCGACCCAAGAUCUUCAAGGUCAUUCAUGCAUUCCACUUGAAGACCUAUGAGGAGGUUCUUGACCGCGCGCUUUGGGUGGAGCGCGGAAAUGCCAUUGCGCGGGACGAACGCGAGGCAUUUGAGAAGGAUAAGGAAAGGGAGAAGACUAAGAAGCGACCUGCUGGUGGAUCGGCGGGGCAGUCGAGUUCUAAGCGACCCACGCGACCUCAGCGAUCACAGUGGCGGGGAGGUAGAAGUCAGACACAGGGCCAGAUUACCUACCCAUGCGUGAUAUGCGGCGGAGAGCAUAGAGCCACCAUUUGCCCGUAGUGGGAGGGGCGGUGUUACCGAUGUGACCAACCGGGACACAUGAGCCGAGAGUGCCCGGGCGGCGCAUCCCCAGCUCCGUCAUCAGCUUCAGUUCAGUACACUCAGCGAUAGCUGGCGGGACUGCCACCCGCGACAUCUGCUGGACGAUCGUCGGCACCUCAUCAGCCGGAGGCCUCUCGAGCACCUAGUGGGCGGGUGUUUGCCACUCAGGUGGAGGAGCCACCAAUCAUCGUUCCCGACGACGUCGUGGCAGGUAUUAUUCUGAUUAAAGGCACUAGGGCUAGAGCCAUAUUUGACACGGGUGCAUCUCAUUCAUUCAUAUUAGCAUCAUUUGCGCAAGCUCAUAAUAUAGAGAUCACUCAUAAUGAGGAGUAUUGGUCGGUGAACACUCCCGGACACUCGAUCGACGUUUACGAUGAGUGCUUGGACUGCCCAGUGCAAAUAGGCGAUUGGAUUAUGCCGAUCGACCUUCUAGUGUUGAAAGAAAUGUGGGGAUUCGAGGUAAUCUUGGGGAUCAAUUGGCUCUCCAAGUAUUACGCGGUUAUAGAUUGUGAAAGAAGGGUGAUCACGUUCCGUGAACCCAACCAAGAGGAGUUUGUCUACCGGGCGUGCAAGGGUAAACGCUUUGCAGCCACUAUAUCGACGGUGAGGGCGAAAAGGAUGAUCAAAGGCGGCUGUAAGGCCUACUUGGCGACCAUCGUAGACUCUCGAAAAGAGUACCCGGAAUUGGAGAGUAUUCGAGUUGUGCGGGAGUAUCCGGAUGUAUUCCCCGCGGAGUUACCGGGAUUGCCCCCGGAUCGGGAAGUCGAGUUUGUGAUUGACUUGAUUCCCGGGGCGGCGCCAAUUUCGAAGGCUCCGUACAGAAUGGCACCGGUGGAGUUGAAGGAAUUGAAAGCUCAGCUACAAGACUUGCUCGAUAAGGGCUUCGUACGGCCGAGCGUGUCCCCGUGGGGAGCUCCGGUGUUAUUUGUAAAGAAAAAGGACGGCACGCUUCGACUCUGCGUUGAUUAUCGCGAGUUGAACAGAGUAACGAUCAAGAACAAAUACCCGUUGCCAAGGAUUGAUGACCUGUUCGACCAGUUGCAAGGGUCAAGGGUAUACUCGAAGAUUGAUCUGCAGUCGGGGUAUCAUUAGUUGAAGAUACGGCCCAAAGGCGUGCACAAAACGGCGUACCAUACGCGGUAUGGCUAUUACGAAUUCACGGUGAUGCCGUUUGGGCUUACUAAUGCCCCAGCAGCAUUCAUGGACUUGAUGAAUAGAGUCUUCCGUCCGCUAUUGGACCGGUGCGUCGUGGUAUUCAUUGACGACGUAUUGGUAUAUUCUCGGACCGAAGAAGAACACGAAGAGCAUUUAAGGCUCGUGUUGGAGAUACUCCGGAAGGAAAAGCUUUAUGCAAAGCUAAAGAAAUGUGAGUUUUGGCUUUCGGAGGUUACCUUCUUGGGCCACGUUGUAUCCGGAGAUGGCAUCUCGGUGGACCCAAAGAAAGUUGAGGCGAUUAGAGAUUGGCCUCGCCCGACAAGUGUAGCGAAAAUUCGUAGCUUCCUUGGACUUGCAGGCUAUUACCGGCGGUUCGUGAAGGGGUUUGCUAAAAUAACCACUCUACUAACGUGCCUUACGCACAAAGGGGUGAAGUAUGUUUGGAGCCCCGAGUGUGAGCGAAGCUUUGAAGAGCUAAAGACUAGAUUAACAUCUACUCCGGUACUUGCUUUGCCGACGCCAGGAGAGAGCUAUGUCGUGUAUAGUGAUGCCUCGUACGUGGGACUCGGGUGUGUCUUGAUGUAAAACGGCCGAGUCAUAGCUUAUGCUUCGCGCCAACUGAAGAAUUAUGAAAAGAACUACCCGACUCACGAUCUUGAGCUAGCGGCGGUUAUAUUCGCGCUAAAAUUGUGGAGGCAUUACUUGUAUGGGGAACAUUGUGAGAUCUACACCGAUCAUAAGAGUCUCAAAUACUUGUUCACCCAAAAGGAGCUAAACUUGCGACAGCGGCGGUGGUUAGAGUUGCUCAAGAAUUAUGAUGUCACGAUCCUCUACCACCCCGGGAAAGCAAACAUCGUGGCCGAUGCUCUAAGUAGAAAGUCGGCGGAAAAUUUGGCGACGCAAGUUACGCCCCAACCGGCGUUGCAAAGGGAGAUGCAACGGUUUGGUCUAGAGGUUAUGGCGCCGGGGGUGCCGGCAACACUUGCCACCCUGGUUGUGCAGCCAACCUUGUUGGAGAAGAUUAAGGGAUUACAAGCGUCGGAUGAAUUUCUCCAAAAGAUGCGUAGUAAAGUUGAGAGCGGUAAUGCCGAUGAUUUCGGCAUUGGAACCGACGGCACACUACGAUAUCGAGAUCGUUGGUGCGUACCCAAGGACGACGACCUUCGGAAGGCGAUUAUGCAAGAAGCGCAUCAAUCUCCCUACAGUAUACACCUGGGCGGCACCAAAAUGUACCGAGACCUGAAAUUGCAUUAUUGGUGGCCGGGCAUGAAGAAGGAUAUAGGAGAGUUCGUAGCGCAGCGCCUCAUGUGCCAAUAGGUUAAGGCGGAACGUCGAUUUCCGGCGGGAAAGUUACAAAAUCUACCAAUACCCGUGUGGAAAUGGAAAAAUAUCGCAAUGGAUUUUGUGACGGGCUUGCCUAGAUCACAAGGUGGACACAACGCGAUUUGGGUAGUUGUGGAUCGAUUGACCAAAUUGGCACACUUUUUGUCGAUCCACACUACUUGGUUGGGAGACAAAUUGGCUCAAGUCUAUGUUGACGAGGUGGUGAGGCUUCACGGGGUUCCGGUAUCUAUUGUAUCAGAUCGGAACCCUAGGUUCACAUCUCAUUUUUGGAGGAGCCUGCAAGAUGCAUUGGGCACACGGCUUGAUUUUAGCACGGCAUUCCAUCCUCAAAGCGACGGUCAAUCGGAAAGGACUAUUCAAAUACUUGAGGAUAUGCUUCGAGCGUGUGUACUUGAUUACAAGGGCGGAUGGCACGAUCAUAUACCGAUGGCGGAAUUCACAUACAACAAUAGCUAUCAAGAAAGCAUUGCGAUGGCGCCAUUCGAGGCCCUGUACGGAAGGAAGUGUUGCUCGCCAAUACAUUGGAGCGACGUGGGCGAGAAAAUGGUUCUUGGCCCCGACGUGGUGCGAGAGGCGGAGGAGAAAGUCCGCUUUGCCCGACAAAGAUUAGUGACAGCGCAAUCAAGGCACAAGAGUUAUGCCGACAAGCGGCGAAAGGACAUUGAGUUCGCGGUAGGAGACCGCGUAUUUCUAAAGGUAUCACCGAUGCGGGGAAUUAAAGGUUCGGUGUACGCUGGAAGUUGAGUCCCCGCUAUAUCGGACCCUUCGAGAUUUUGGAACGAGUUGGUACGGUGGCCUACAAGUUGGCAUUACCACCGAGACUCGCGGGAGUACAUAAUGUAUUCCAUGUAUCCCAACUCCGCAAGUAUGUGUACGAUCCGGAUCAUAUUCUCUCGUAUAUACCGAUAGAGCUUCAAGAGGAUAUGACAUAUGAGGAAUUCCCGGCGUAUAUUGCCGAUCGGGAGGUGCGAAAGCUUCGGAACCGCGAAAUCCCGUAUGUUAAAGUUCAUUGGUGCGAACACGAUGACCGGGAAGAAACGUGGAGCUCGAAAGCGAAAUGAGGGAGCGUUAUCCUCACCUUUUCGAGGAUCCGAAGUGAGGUAAGAAAUUUAAAUUCCAAUCUUAGUAGUUUCGCGGAUGAAACUAAAUUCUAGGGGUGGAGAAUGUAACAUACCACAUCCCUCGUAAAUCGUGCCGAGUUCCGUUAAAACGAGCGGAACGCGGAAUUGAACGAGUUAGGAUGGACCCUAAGUGCAUUAGAGUUCAUAAACGGAACUAAAAGGGACCCGAGAGAGUAAAUCUGAAAAUCUGGCUAAGUCCCAGAUUUUGAGCUCUCGGGGAUCGGUCCCUGAAGGAGAGACCGGUCCCCGUACGCGUAGCCUCACAAGGAUCCUGAGGCAACCGGUCCUUGGUUGGUGAGACCGGUCCUCGGGAGAUCGGUCCCUGACGGGCAACCGGUCCCUCGCUGCGUAGCAGCCGAAAAACUCAAGAAUUUGGCUAAGUCCUGGAACACCCACGUUCGGGAACCGGUCCCUGGUCGGGGAGACCGGUCCCCGAAGGCGAAAAACGCCCAGUCUGGGCAGACCAAAGGGAAACAAGUGGAGGGGCUUAAAUGCAAUUGUCAUAAUACUUUAUAUGGACACCCCUCUCUCUCCCAUAGUCAUUUUCACCCUCCUCUCUUAUUUCCUCUCUUUCUCUCUCUAGAACUCUUGCUCUAGAGCUUGGAGAAGAAGAAGAAGAAGAAGCAAGGAGGAGCUAGAUUUGGUGGAUUUGGUGGGUUCUACAAGCUCUCCUACAAGAAGGACUUGGAGGGGCUUGGGGCUAAGGUGAGUUUUGGUACAAAUGAGUCUAGGGUUUGGAUUUUGGCUUAGAAAAUUGGAGCUUUGUGCUCCCUAGAGGCUUUAGAGGCUCUUUUGAGCCAUGUAUACCAUGGUACCCAUGAGAGCACUCCCAUGAGAGCUCAAAGUGCUCUCAUGGUGAAUCCUUGGAAGUAGUGUUUGGAGCCCUAGGAUUGGUACCAAAGGUCUAGAAACCUUACUAGAGUGCUUCUUAGAUGAUCCUAAGCUAUUGUUUGCUUAAGAUUGGGAUCGAUUCAUGGGGAAACCCUAAAUGACAAUAUUAGGGCUUGAAAAUUGGGGUUUUUGCCCUAAGAUUUUUCGGGGACAAAUUGACCCCGUGGAAACCUAAUUGGGGGUGUCCUAAACACGUGGGACAACUCCGUUUAACGUUGCGAAAAUGAAAGAGUAUAGUUCAUGUAUAAAAAGGCCUAAUAUGGCACUAUUUUGAUUAUAGGGCGCGGAAUCGACUUUCGUAAAGUGCGGGGGCCUUCAUAUUCUACACCCACACGACCAAUAGAGGUGGGGGGUGCACGCCGGAAUCGUUGGAUUCCCUUCUAUGUCUGUUUUCUCUAUUCUUGAGCAUAUAUGUUUAUAUAUACCCAUUCAUGCAUAGUAGGGUAGAUACAUGUGGAAUUUGGUUUGAUUUCAUUUAUAUGCUUCGAACGUAGUUGAACAUAGCGGAUGAUAGAACCAAAAUGGACAUGUGUGAUCGGACCCUCAAGUUGUGUGAAUGUGAGGUUGGACUUGGACAAUAGAAAACAAUGGUGACACUGACAUAGAAACAAAAUUGGCAUUGAGAGAUAAACCGUUAAACAUAGUUUAACCAAUUAUGACAUCGACAAAGGUAAAGCCUUGAGAGUGGCAAGAAUGAAUAGGUAGAGACCUAUCAUGACAUCGGCAUUGUGACUAGUGGCUAUGAAUCCUCAAGUUGAGGAUUGGAUCGAUACUCACAUUACGUCUUGGCUUGAGGGAGGUCGCUCCCCCUCUAGCGGUGCGCUCCGGAGUUGGUCACCACUGGGCGUGAUAAAAUCCCCCCAGAUGACGGUCCCUAGGGAGGUUCGAGUCCCCCGCUAUUAAGGGAUUUUCGGUGGUGAGUUAUUGGGGUUAACAAGGUUAACCGGUAAGAUUGGGUAAAAGCCAAAGCUUAUUUGUGAUUUGAGCAUGCAUGCAUUUCCUAUUAUCGCAUUGAGUAUUUGAAUCCACUGACAUUCUUCUGCAGGCAUAGUAUUAGAUGCAUUAGUACUGGUUACUUUUCUUUCCUUGAAAUACUUAUGCCUGGAUAGACCUAGUGGGUAAGUCGGCGAGGUCGGAUGCCGAGCCCACUGGAAACUUUGUUUAGUUCUCACACCACUAACCCUACAGGUCCUAGCACAAGCGGGGCGGCGGAGGACCGAGGCAAGGGUUUGGCGCCGUAGGUAGCAGCCACCGGGACUUUAUACAUUUUGUAGUCAUUCCUUUUUGGGUAUUCAUGUAUCAACUUUACUUUGUUGAUUUAGAGAUGCAAAGUGUAAACAAUCAUGUAUUUGGUGGAUGACUAAAUGUAAAAAGAUAUGACGGAUGAAUGUGAUAGUUUUACUUGAAUUUGGUUUAAAACUAAUCAAAUAUCAUGUAUGUUACUUAAUUAGCUUAGAGCUUUCGCUUCCGUUGUUGCUUGCUCUCGUGCAAGCCAUGUAUUAUAUAUGCAAAUCUCUUGUUGACUGCCUAUUUAUACAUGUCGUUAGAGCCUUGGGCGGACAGGGGAGGCUCUGUUCGUUCGGCGUCUGUUGACGUGACCCGAACCCGACCAAAUUGGCGGGGAUUGGAGCGUGACAUAAAGAUCGUAUGAAAACUAUGAUUCACAUUAUCAGUUAUAUUUAAACAUUGCUAGAUAAAGAACUUAACUAAUCUAACCAAAAGAUAGUAAACAUCAAUAACAGACGGAUAUGGAAUACAUCUAUCUAGUAUCGUCCUCAUGCACUGUCCCAACCCUUACUGUCUGCAUCACCUGAAAAAUGGUAGGGAGUGAGAACAUGUAAACACGUCUCCCCUCCCAGUGGGUACCGCAAGCUGACAAAGGCCAGCUGUACUCAUCGACAGAUGGAAGAGAUAACUAUAAUCAUGAACAGAUAUCAUAAGAACAGUAACAAUAGAAAAAUAACCAACAAUCAAUGUAAGGAUAACCGCUACUGUAUGAUAAAGUAGGAAUUAACAACUGAGUAUAAUCAACAUGUGUACCGAAAUAGUAGUAGCAAUGACUAGAAAGGAACUGCAACUACCAAUCAAUACAUAUAACUAUUCGCUACUAUAACGAACAACGAAAUAUAUCAAUGCAUCAAAUAGGUGAAUAGUUGUCACGCCCCGAGACCCUACCAAUUUGGUCCAGUCCGGGCGCGUCGAACAGACGCCGAACGGACAGGACCUCCCCUGUUCGCCCAAGGCUAACCAACUGAUCAUGUAUAAGAAUUUACCCAGGGAUCAAUUCAUAAAUACACGAUCACAAGGAGCACCACCAGUGCUAACAAGACGAGAGCAAGAUACAAGUAUGGGAAUAUACAAGUACAUAAAGAGAGAAGGUUUUAUCUAUUACAUUUUUCCAAAACAUAAAUACAAGCACUCACACCUCGCUAUACAUCAUCUACUCUUAAACAUAAAUAAACGGUAGAGCUAAUGCAAAAUGGGUGGAUAGCUAAUGCAACUAGGGCGCUAAGCCCUUACCACGAUCCUCGCGCUCGUCGGGGACACCCAAGCUCGAACCUGAAAAGAGUGGGGUGAGAACUAUCUUCCAUAAUUUCCAGUGGGUUCGGCCGCCGACUCCGCCGGUCUCCCCACUAGGUCCAAGUGGGCAUAAGUAGAUAAACAGAUAGAUAGAUAUAAAGCUGUAGAAACAGGUAGUAAAACUACUCUACUGUGCCCGAAUCAAGUAUAUGAUGGAUGCAUGCACAAUGAAAUAGAUAAUCAACUAGCUCUUCACAUGUCCAAGAAGUAAAGCUAUUUACCUGUUCAUUAACUUCAUGGCUCAUUCAAGGAUUUCCGCCUAUUACUCAUAUAGCCAUCUCGAUACUACAAAUCCGAGACCGUCUGCGGGACCCCACAUAGGCUAUCCAUCGGGACCCCAAAUAGGCUAUCCCUAUCCCACCAGACCCCACAUAGGCUAUCCCUCGUGACCGACUUCGGAGCGCACUACUUGUGUGGAGCGACCAUCACAAGUUGGGAGCAGACAAUGAGUAUGAUCUAAAUCUCCCACCUCAAGGGUGCCCUAUCCUCUAGGGUUACUGUCACCAUAGUCAAUGGGUUCCAUAUACGUUACAACUCAUACAUGCCACUCGUUCUUUGUUUAUUAAUAACUAGAUGCCACUCGUUCUUUUGUUUAGGUACCAUUCGUUCUUUUGUUUUAACCCUUGCAUCAUUCUUUCAUCGCCACACUAUAGGAUUAUAAGUCUCGACCCAAUCCUCAUCAAUCCCCUAUAUCCAGCAAUUAACGCAUAAUAUGAUAUCAGCUAGGAAGCAUAAGGAAAGGCAAUGCAUAAUUAUCCUACAAUGCAUGUGAACACAAGAUGCAAGAUCUCAAAAUACUAAGAUAUAAAAGGGAGCCCGAUUGCUUCGAGAUGGACACCACCCACCUCUUGGUGAUGCCGUGACGGUAGAAAACUCGACGCUGCGGUCCUCGCACGUCGCUUCAACUCCUCGGGGCGAAGCGAGCCCUCGAGUACUCGAUUCGGCGAUUUCUCCGCACUCGCUCGUCGGAUCGACGAACCGUCUUCGCCGACGCGUUCCAAGACCUAGCAAUUUGGUUUACGACCUAUUAAAAUAUAUCAAAACCCUAGAUUUCCAAGAAUCCUAAAUCCGUGCCCUAGAAUGGCAACGAGGGAGAAAUCCGUGGUGCGAGCUUCAAACGCGAGCUCGAACCAUCUAUUUAUCUCCUCUAGGUUCCAUUCGAACCAUCUCUAACCAUAAAAACCCCAAACCCUAGAAAUACCAUUAGAGGGUUUAGAGCUUACCUCUAAGCCAAACUCCAAGCUUGCUCUAGCUUGAAGGGAAGAGGGAAGAAGAUCUUCUUCUUCUUCUUCUUGGUCUUCUCCUUCCACUUCUUCUUCUUUUCCUUCCUCUUCUUCUUCUUUUUCUUCUUCUCCUUCUUUCCUUUCUAGAGAGAGAGAGAGGGAAAGAGUGUGAGAGGGCAAAAUGAGAGAAUGAGGGAGAGAAAGGGUCCCCCAGCCUCUAUUAAAGGCCAUUUUGCAAAUAGCCCCCUCAGCUUUUCAUCUCUUGGAUCAGCCCUCUCUGGGCAUUUUCGCAGUGAGGGACCGGUCCUUGCUCCGGGAGACCAAUCCCCGAGAGCUCUCCAUCUCGGGCAGAAGGAUUUCGCGUUCGGGAACCGGUCCUUGCCUGAGAGACCGAUCCCCGGGAGACCGGUCCUUGUCCGAGAGACCGGUUCCCGAGAGUUGGGUUUUCGGGACUUAGCCAAAUUUCAGCUAUUUUCGCUGGGCCAACGUUCGGGGACCGGUCCUUCACUGCCAGGGACCAGUCUCAUCAAAGACCCCCCCGCAGCCCAGCCUGAUGGGACCGGUCCCUCCCUGCCAGGGACCGGUCCCCGAGAGCAUUUCUGCUCCAGUGCAGAUUUUGCACUGGUGCUCUCGUGGACCUUUCCUUAAUGCACUUUAUGCAUUAUAAUCACCUUCGGACUUUCCGAAGCCUACACACUCGACAAUCAGUCGAUUCUAAACGAAGUCUAAUCCUCGGAUUUCGAGGAUUCACUUCCUUACAAUAGUACCAACAACCAAACUAGCUGCCAUAUUGGUCGAAAGACCUCAGGCUACUCGCCCACUCGGCAUAUAAUCCUAAUAGGCACCUUGUAGGGCUAACGGAUCAAAAGUACGACCACUUUUUCGUAAAAGAACGCCCUCUUGCUGUGGAUCAGACCGCUAGUGUACGUAAAGAUGCUCACAAGCUGUGAUAAUCGAUGCAAUAUGUUCAAUGCCCAACAUCGACAGGUAGCCGAGAGAAUAAACAUAAGGAGUUACCGACCAAUCAGGUCCAUCUCUAUUUAAGAGUGUCAUCGACCAUAAGGUAAACAAUGUCAAGUAUGCAAUAGACCACUAGAGAUGUCACCGACCACAAGAUCAACUAAUGUCAAAUCAUGUUAUGUACGAAUACUAGUGUCACACACCACAACAUCAAUUAAUUUCAUAUCAUAUACUAUGAUAAUACCGAAAAUAGAAGUUCCACCGACUACUAGGUCAACUAAUGUCAAUACAUACAAUAUGCUAUUGAGGGGUCACCGAUCACAAGGUCAACCAUAUCAAACCAUGGAACAUACAAGUAGGAGUGCCACCAACAUCAAGUCAACUAAUGCCACAAUACGCAACAUAUAUCUUGGAGUGUCACCAACCAUAUAGUCUACCAAUGUCAAAACACAAAGUAGAUGACUUUGAGGACAUGUUUGGUUCACAUAUUUCAGACUAUGGAAUCGGAAUGGAAUUCAUUGAUUUCGAUAGUUGUCGUUUGUUUUAUAGGAAUCGGAUUCCGAUUCCUAUUCCACUCCGGAAUGGGAAUGGCCAAAUCCAUUUAUGAUCCAAUCCAGCUUUGAAUCCCGGAUUGACUCAUUCCAAAGUAAACUAUUCAGAAUUCUCUUUUAUCAAUACCUACCUCCUCUCCCUUUAUCACUUUUCUCUCUCUUAAUCAAAAUCCUCUCUAAAAAAUUUUUAAUUUUCAUUCCAAUUUCCAUUCCAAUAAUGAACCAAACAUUUUUGGAUGAUUCGUCAUUCCAUUUUCCAUUCCAAAACAAUCCAAAUUCCAUUUCCCAUUCCUAUUCCAAUCAUGAACCAAACAUGCCCUGAGUGUCACCAACUGUGAAGUCAACUAAUGUCAAGGUAAUCUACUAUGAAUAGUAUAAUGGAUAACUCAAUCAUCAGGAACACCGCUCUACUACUAGAUCAUGACCAUAUAAAAUAAGAGUAAGUGUAGAGCGACUAACUACGAAGUCAAGUAGUAUAUGAAAGCUCAAACAACAUCAAAUAAAUGGAAGGAAAUAACAAGGAUAAAAAUCACCGAGUAGGCACUACUUUACCGACUUUGGAUCGAAGUACCCUUCUUAAUCUGUCAUGCCUCGGGGUUCUUUUGAAAAUUCUUUUUAGGAAUACUAGCGGAAAACAUGUAGUUUUUUUUUAGGGGCAAUUGCCUAUAUACCACUGAAAAGUUCCCGGUUUUCUUAUUUACCCCUCUUAGAAGGCUAAUAUUGAAAAUACCCUUCUUAUGUUCCAAGUCUUUCUAAUAUACCCCUAGAGUUUAGUUCCGUUAGUGAGCUAUCGUUAUCUCUGAAAAAUUACCAUUUUGCCCAUUCCAAUAUACUCUUGUACCGUAACUAACUUUUCUUAUAUACCCUUCAUAUAGUAAAUACUUUUCUUAUUUGCCCUUCAAAUAUCAAUUAAUUAAUUAAGCACGUCGGGAGCCAGCAGAUGAACGGAUAAGAUCGAUCGCAGCUAAACCAACCUUGGUGGCUGGAGGCAUAUUAGUUAAUUUGGAUUCAGCAAAAAUUCGGUACGGAUAUAAUUCGGAUAAAAUUCGUCUUUUAAUUUUUAAAUUCGUUGAAAAAUACGACUAAAAAACCGAUUCGGCAGUUAUUCGGAUACGUGAUUUAUACGGGUAUUAUACGUUCACCAAUUAAAAAUUCAGGAUNAUAUAUAAUUAGACGAGUUGAGCUAUGAUAGUUUUACAAGUAUCAUCAUCAUGGUGCUAUUAGGUUUUAAGCCAUUGGAUCUACUUUUUUAUUAUUAAUAGCCCUUGGAUUAAACACUAUUCCACCUACCACCACCUACCACCAUCAUCUCAACCUCACAUCUCUCCAUCCAAAGGCUAAAAACACACAAGCAUCACCCCUAUGAUACUUUUACAAGUAUUCUAGCCCUACUCUAAUUAGACUGGAAUAUUAUUAAUAGUAUCAAUAACUUUGUGCUAUUAAGUUUUCCGCUCUUAGAUUAAAAGAUGUGUGGUUAGGAUGAUGUGGGCCCUCUAGGGGUUUAGUAGGUGGUUGGUUGAAUAGUGUAAUCGAACGGAUGAAAAUGAUAAAAAAGAUAAAUCUAAUGGCAGAAAACUUGAUAGCACCAAAUGCUUAAUGCUAUCGAUAAUAUCCCAGUGGGACUAUAUAUAUAUAUAUAGAGUUGAGCUAGAAUACUAUCGAUAGCAAACGGACUCUGUUGCCACCAAUUUGUUUUCGAUGAUGGAGCCUUCAAAUCGACGAUCGGCACUGUUGAACAUGAUCUAUACCACUUAAAGUAUUUAGAAAUCAAAUUUUAUGUUUUUUCGAUAUUGUUCUCUUGGGCAUCAAGUGGGCGUAAAAAUGAACGGCUGAAAAUGAAUAUUCUUUAAAAAAUGAUGAUGGGAGUUUUGUAGUCAAGAUCAAGAGUAUAGAUCUUGUUUUAAACAGUUUAAAGAAUUUUCUAACAAAAAAUCAAUUGAUUUGGAUAUCUUUACGCCGUUAAACGAGAAAACACCUCAUAUCGACCUUUAAAAUUACAAAUUUUGAAACCCUUCAAUCAUUAGGUAAAUGAUGCCGAAAAGAUUUGAAAUUUGAUUUCUAAACACUUAAUGUAGUAUAGAUCAUGUUCAACGGUGCCGAUCGUUGAUUUAGAGACUCUAUCAUCAAAAACAAAUUGGUGUCAACGGAGCCCGUUUGCUAUCGAUAGUAUUCUAGCUCAACUCUAUAUAUAUAUAUAUAGAGUGCGGCUAUGAUGCUUAUGGAAGCACGGGGGGCUUCGUGCUUCCACUUUGUUUUCGAUGUUCGGACUUUCGAAUCGAUGAUCGGCUCCGUUAGACUUGAUCUAGAGUAUUUGAAGUAUCUAGAAAAUAAAUUUUGCGAUUUUUCGAUAUCAUUUGCCUAGUGAUCGAAAUGGCUCAAAAUCAACGGUUGAAAAUAAAAAUCUUACAAAUAUGAUGAUAUGACAUUAAAAUUUUAGAUCAAAGUUAUUGAUCUUGUUUUAUAUGGUAUAAAGAAUUUUCUAUCAAAAUUUCAUGUGAUUUGAAUAUUUCUACACCAUUAAACUUGCAAACGGCUCACCACGGCCAUUAAAAUUAUUGAUUUUGAGCCCCUUCGAUCACUAGGCAAAUGAUAUCGAAAAAUCACAAAAUUUAUUUUCUAGGUACUUCAAAUACUCUAGAUCAACUUAACGGAGCCGAUCGUCGAUUCGAAAGUCCGAACAUCGAAAACAACAUGGAAGCAUGGAGGGCUCCGUGCUUCUAGAAGCAUACCAGCUCACUCUCUCUCUCUCUCUCUCUCUCUCUCUCUCUCUCUCUAUAUAUAUAUAUAUAUAUAAUGAGAUGGAGGUCCACUGUGGACCUCCCUCUCAUUCGGUCCACGAGGCCAAACUGGCCUCGUGGACCGCGCAGGGACGCGUCGAGCUCCAGCAACCGCGUGGCCGAGCGAGCCCGGCCGUCGGUGAGCCCGUCCGGGAUGGCCGGGAAGUGGACUUUCAGGCUCGGGCUCGUGCUCGACCUCGGCCCCGGAAGUGAGUUCCUGUUGGAGUUGCAGAGGAGGCGGCGGUUCUCUUGCUCCCUCGGGCGAGACGGGAUCGUUGCCGCAGCCCUUUUGCUCCCGGCGCCGGCUAAGGCGACAGCGGAGGAGGAGGAGGACGACGACAAGAGCGGCGGAGGAGGAGGACAACGAGAGCAACGAAAGAGGUGGUGUUGGAGGUGGAGGUGUGGGAUGUGGUGGUUGUCUGGGAGGAGAUGAGGCGAGGUGGAGGCGGAGGAACCAGCGAGGUAGAGGCGGAGGAGCCGGCGAUCAAGUUGGAAGAAAAAGAGGAUAACUUAAGGGAUUAGCAUAAUAAGGUAGGGGUAAAAUAGGUAUUUUAUAUAGGUUUUAACUCUAGUAUACAUUUAACCCAUGUUUAACCCGAGUUAAGUUAACAGGGGAUAACUGCGCGGGGGUAUUUUGGAAUAACGGUGGAACAUAUGAGGGGCAUUUUAGAAAAAAAAAAAAGUAGGGGUAGAUCGGAUAUUUCCAGACGCAUGAGGGGUAUAUAGGCAAUUAUCCCUUUUUUUUUAGCACCUUUGAGAAACCCCUCGGACGUGCACAGACCCGCCACAUAGACAAACGAUCCCCUAUAUAGAUGGACAAAGUCUCCCUUAUACAUGCACGGCUUAGCAACUCAAAUCAUAGUCAACCAUACAUACAACCACACAACACAAAUAACAUAAAGAUCAUAUGAAAAACUAUGAUUCACGUACAUCGGUUAUAUUUAAACAUUCCUAGAUAAAGAACUAAACUAAUCUAAUCGAAAGAUAGUAAAUGUCAACAACAGACAGAUCUAGAAUGUAUCUAUCUAGUAUCAGCAUCACGCACUGUCCGAAACCUCACUGUCCGUAUUACCUAAAAAAUAGUGGGGGUUGAGAACAUGUAAACACAUCUUCCCUCCCAGUGGGUAUCGCAAGCUGACAAAGGCGAGCUGUACUCAUCGGUAGAUGGAAGAGAUAACUAUAAUCAUGAACAAAUAUCAUAAGAAUAGUAGCAAUAGAAAAAUAACCAGCAAUCAAUGUAAGGAUAACCACUACUGUAUGAUAAAGUUGGAAUUAACAAAUGAUUAUAAUCAACAUGUGUACUAUAAUAGUAACAGCAAUGACUAGAUAGAAACUGCAACCGCCAAUUAAUAUAUAUAACUAUCUGCUACUGUAACGAACUAUAGAAUAUAUCAAGACAUCAAAUAGGUGAGUAGUUCCAACAACCAAACCAACUGCCAUAUUGGUCGAAAGACCUCAGGCUAAACACAUUCUGCUCGCCCACCUGGCAUAUAAUUGUCAUACCCCAAUAAUCCCACAUCGGUUAGAAAUUGGGAUGUGAUUGGGUAUAUAAGAGACUUAGACACUAGUUCUAGUAAUACGAAAUACUGAACCUCUUAGAGCAGCGUGUGAUACAGUCCUUCUACCAUGAGUCCCAACUAAACGGAGACCAUGGAAUAGCUCGUCAAACCCUAUCGUCUACCAUAUGUCAAAUUUAUUCAACUUUAAUUUCUAAUAUAGGAAAUCCUUUCUGCUACUUGCUCUGCCCUGGCCAAGGUCCCUUUCGGUUUUAUAAAUAAUGUAGAACUAACACUUUUAUCUACCAAAGGAGAUAGAUUCAACAUAGAUGUACACCCUAUUCCUACAACGAACUUGCUGCAGCCAACACCCUAUUCCUAUGUAAUGAACUUGCCACAGCCAACAUGCACCACAGUGAUCCAAAUGGCUAGGGACCUAGUGUACAUACAGUCAAACUACAGUAACUUCAUUGUAAAUAGCCAAGGCACCGCAUUACACACUACUUGUAGCUUACUGAUGAGUGAGUAGAUAUCCAUAUUACUUCUCAUGUUGGUCAUGCUCGGUACUCUUAUUCUCUAACAAACACCUGCACAUUCGUUCCAGUGUCCCCCCACUGUUGACUCGAGACUUGUCUAUUAUAAAAGGGAAGUGACCUGUGCAUCGAUCUUACUAGAUCAAUCACUAUCCCAUGAUGAUCCAUCGGUCGGGAGCAUUUAGUAAUUAACCAUCAACGACACAUGUCUCAAAUUAUCAACUUUUGAAAAUGUGUCAUCAUCUUAUUAUUUUCUUGGACAAUUCAUAGACACAUACAAUAUGAAUAAAAAUAAAAAAUUCAAAUUCAUUAAUAAAAAGUGAAAUAUAAAUUUAUGUCUUAUAAAUAAUACAUGAAUGAAAAUUUUUUCUGACUGUUCCAUGAUCAACUAUUAAAACCUUCUUACUAUCCACCUCUUGCUUUGCUUUUUUUCUUUUUUUUUUUUUUUUAUAAAUCCUCCGUCCUUUUUCUCAUAACCUUAGCUUAUAUUUGCUGAGUUCUAUGUUAGGAAGAGAGGGGGAAUAUGAAACUAUUUAAAAUGAUAAAUUAUUUAGUCUUAAAAAAGACGGUAAAUAAUUUAUUAUCUUUUAGAAAAUUUAGAAUGUAGAAGAGAGAGGGGAUAUGAAACUAUUUAAAAUAAUAAAUUUUUUAGUCUUAAAAAAGACAGUAAAUAAUUUAUCAUUUUUUAAAAAAUUUAGAAUAUAAUGAAUCAUCCGUCGGCUUUUCGAAGAUGAUAAAUAAUUUACCACUUUCGGUUGAAUUUUUUUCCUGUGGCGCUGAAUUGGUAAGAAGAGGAUUUAUUCAACCGAAUACUUUUUUUUUUUAAGAAUUAUUUUAAUAAAUUAUAGAAUAUUUUAUAGAUUCAUUUGAAAAACGAAGUCUCAUCGCAUUGUUUUCUUUCUUUCUUUUAAUUCUCCACCCCCGGUGCGCAUCAUACAAUCGUACGGUUCUUCGUUUUAGGUAAGAAACGCGGUUGGUGACGACGAAAAUUCAGCAUGAGAGGGUGAGAGCAUAGGAUGAGCAUGACGUCGAGCAGCGGAUCGACCGCGGGAAGAGUGGAAGCGGGCGAGGCGGCACGCUCAGACAAGCAGCAGCAGACAACGCCGCCGCCGCCGCCGCCGCUGCCGCUGCCGCAGGCGAGGACCGGAGGUUUUCUUGGAAGGCAUCGCUUGUCGGCCGCCAUCACGCGCCUCGAUCAGGAGAUCCUCUCCCUUCAGGUCCUUUUUCUUCCUCCUCUCUUCGUGACUCCUCCCCUCUCAACUAAUCAAUUUUUAGUUAUUCCCCUCCUUUCUCCCUUCGCCUGCCACGAUUAGUAGGUCCCCUCUCGCUGCUUUCACGGGGAUUUACAUAGAUUCAGUGAAAAAUCUAGCUCCUCUUCUCAAGUUAUAUCAGAAGGCCAAAACGGACCGUACAUCUUUGUUCCCUUGUAUGGGAACGCCGCACGCACAAGAAAUUUGGAUCCUCUGGGGCUCCUAAUCUCCAGGGCUCCUCCUUGGGAUGGCGAGACUAAUAGGAAUCACCUUUUUUUGGGUACGGAAGUUGAAUUCUUUGUUUGAACCCCUUUUAUCGGUAGCAGAUGGAUCAGCUGGAGUCAAUCCUUAUUAAUAAUCAAUCGCCAACAGCGCCAUUUUAUUGACAAUCUAAGUUAAUAUGGAUUCAUGUCUAAUGGGGAAACAUUGUUGUGACUCAGAAAAGAGGUGAAAAAGUUGUUUUGGGGCUGGUUCUCAGGAGAGAAAGGGGGGAUAUUUUCUCUAUGUACUUCACCAUGGGUUUACCCGCUCAUUUAUAGGCUAAGAACGUGGUAAGCUUUCCGCUAAAUCUUUUGGUUCACCUAAACAUUUAUUAUUAUUAUUAUUAUUUUUUAUUAAAACACUUUCUCGCUUUAAUUGAAGCUUGAAGGAUUGUCUUUAUUCUAUACAGUAGGGGGGUUAAGAUUCUUUAAAUGUUUUUUUUUUUUGAGAGAGAGGUAGCAUGCUUCGUUUAUUUCAUUAAGAAAUAAACUUAUUUGGAAAUAUGAAUCAACUAGGAUACGAACUUGGGACCUCGGGUACCAACCACCAAGCCCUUUGCCACUUGCUCUAGGGACGGUCGGUCUUAAAUGUUAUAAUUACAUGAGUGAAAAAGAAGAAGAUUCUUAUAUGGUAAGGCCAAUGUUCUAAAAGGCGAUAUGCGGUAUCCCUGCAAUUUACCUAUAUCAUAGCGCAUAUGCGGUGUGCCGGCGCAUAUGCAGAUGUAUAUGCGGUCUAUCUUGUAAAAUAUUAAUAAAAUAUUUUUAGGUAUUAAAAAUAUACAUAAAUGCUUCCUAACAAAGCUAAAUAACUAAAAUACCAAUUCAGAAUUCACAUAUUAAAAUAAUUAAUUUUAAGUAAAGGACCUCAUAUGCUCACUUGUAUCUCUAAACUAACAAUUAAUAAUUUACUCUUAAUUGUUAAAUUAAUAAAUAAGUAAAAUUUUGAUGAAAAAUCGUAAAAAAUGUCAAACAAAAAAUCAAUAUUCUUAAAAGCGGUAUGCUAAAAUUUUAUGAAGAACAAUAAUUUUUUAAAUAAAUUGUCAUUCACAUCAUUUAAGAGGCCAACACCUAAAAAGAAAACUUACUAUAAUGGUAUCUAACAACUACAAAAUUAUUCUUUAGCAUUUAACUAUGUUCCAAAAAGCGGUCCAUGCAGCCGCAUAUGCGGUUCGGACAAUAAACCUAUGGAGUGCAAUAUGCGGUCAUAUUGCAUAUACGGCAAGCGCUCUGAUGUGGGCAUUACUUAGUUUUCAUAAGUCUUUUAAUAAAUUUCUGUCCUAUCAUCCUAUGUUUCAAUUGAAUAACUCGAGGUUAACCCAACUAAAAACAUACCUACACUAAACCCUUCUAAACCUGAACCGAAACCUGAAUUUUGAAAUUCAAAUAGGAGAGGAUUAAGCAACAAACUAGUCAGAGAAAUUGUAGCAACAACCUGAACUUUGAAGUUCAGAUUCAAACCAGACUGAUGCAGGGGAAAAGUUUUAGAAAUCAAAAUCUUAUGUAAAAGCAAAAUCUUAUAAAUUUGAAACUCUCUAUGGCAACUAUAUGCUUUGUCACGGCGAGACUUAAACACAGAUGCGUAAAAAUAAUUUAUGAAUAAUGAAAAUCAUAAACGGCGCAAUAAACCCCAGAUAAAAAGAUUGAAUUUAAAAUAGAGAACGAGAUGGAAAGUUGUACCGUCAAAAAAAAAUCCGCAGUCGAAUUAGAAAUCGCAAGCGCUGAACGAAAGUCGCCAAAUUCCUAAAGAUUUCUUCAACGCCCUUUUUCUACCGGAGUACCAUCAUGCAUCGGUCGAAGGCGCGAUCUCCAAGAGGUUGAUAUUAGGGCCGAGGUGAGCGUACGAUCGGAAGAUGAGAACGACGGCUAGGGCAAGCGGGGUCCGUAAACGUCUUUCUUUUUUUUUCUUUGACGUCUCUUUUUUUUUCCUUCUUUGACGUUUUUUUUUUUUUUUUUUUUUUUGGUUGAAAGACGUACGACGGAACUAAGGAAUAAGAAUCUUAAUGGACCGCGUUUUCGCAGGUUUGAAACCGUUAACAAAAGGAUCCAAUAAGCUUCUUUUUCCCGUUUCUUGCUCAAACAACGUCAGAAUUUCGCAAACAGAUAGUCGAUUCGAAGAGAAAUAAAAGACGGAUAGAAUAAGGGACUCACUCCCUACGGACUCACUCCGGUCGACGCGAAAUCGCGAAGGAAAACAUCAGAGAACCUUUCUCAAAAAAGUGGAAUUUCAUAAUAAUUAAUGUCUGUCUCAUACAGAUGGUCGGGGUCAAUUUAUAGAACUUUCUACUAACAACUUGAAACAAACUAAUAACCAACUGAUAACCGGUCUUAUCUAAUACCAAUAUUCAAGCUAAUCUAAAAAUCUAAAACAUAAAAUAAUAUCUCAAUAACUAUAAUAUCUAAACCUAUCCUUAUGCAAAUCCGGCUCGACCUCAAGUCGCACUCAAUGUUUGAAUCAUGGUGCGAUAUCGUCAUCAAGCCAGAUAUUGGGCCUUCGACGACGGCGACGGGUAUAAGUCUGAAAUGGGGCCCGGUCCGCAUCACAGACGUUUAUUGGGAUUUCAAGGAGAAAAUUCAGCUGUUAGAAAAACUGAAUUAGAUAGCUAUAAAAGAGGGGUGUUGGCUUCAAAUGAAGGACAGAUUUGAUAGCUCAAUCCUCCAGAAAAGGGACUUUUUUUGCUACCUCUUUGCUGCCCUGUUUGAGGUGCUAUCUUCUCCUCAAAUCUGAGCCUAGGUUGGCUCAUUCUCUUCUUCUCCACUUGAGCCUGGAUUAAGCCAUUCCCCCUCUUAUGACUGCUGCCAUUAUAGCCGGAUGUCUCAUUCUGAGUUGACAGUUGAAACGCCGGCUUUCACUAUUUCUUUAAAAGAUGCUUUGGCGUCCCUGUUCGAUGCUAAUUUGCUGUUGAAAACCAGUCCAGAACAAGAGAGGAAUGGAGUUAUUUGCAGCUGAAAGGAAAUUUGAGGCUUCUCAUGGUCUCAGGCUGAGGUAAUAGCUGAGAUAAUAGCUGAGAAAUCUUUCCAGAAACAAGAACCUAACCCAAAGCUCUCCACUCCCAUUUGAGCCUGCCUAAAUCCAUUUGAGACCCCUCGCUUGGCCUAAACUUUCACCCUGUGCUCAACAAUCUGAACUUAUGUAAUUAAAACUCUGGACUGAAGUUUAUUUUGAGACUAGUUAGGAAGUUCUCUUUGUUGUUUUGCCAAUGACUUGUUGCUCAAAAUAAGUUGUGAUUUUAUUUACGUUUGGCUUUGAUUCCAAUAAAUAUUUGUACAUUUUCUUGUGAUUUAAUUAACCCUUUCAGUUUCUGGUUCAGUUGAAUCAAGUUGGUCAUUUUAUUUAUAUCAAGUGGUUCUCCAAGUGGCUUAGAAAAAAAUAAAAAAAAAAAGGAAAAUAUUUUGUAUUCCAUCAAAUUGGUAUCAGAGCAAGUUCUGGUCCACCAGCUUGCAUUUACUUUCAUGAAUAUAAUUACACAGUUGCAUAUUCAUAUUUUUCUUACCUUCUCACCAAUCAAGGGUCACCUAGUAUUCAUAAAAGCUGCCAUGUCAACCUCCAAUUCUGGUCAAAACCAAAUUGGUAAUGACUAGGGAGUUGCUAUGAAAGGCAACAAGAAUUAAUCAUGCAACAUCAACAAUCUUUGAAUCGACUAGAAGCUAGUGUGGUUCAGAUCAGAAACAUGACCUGAGCCUUCCAAUUCAGAAACCAAACAGUCCAACAACCCCUUGGGGUGAUAGGCAAUCUAGGGGAGCUUUACUUGAAAAAAAAUUCGAUUGAAGGAUUAGAUAACCCAGACCAUGUCACAAAUGCCCAAAAUGAAUUCAACUGAAAGAAACCAUAGGACUAAAAACAGGUGGGAUCAGGGAAUUAGAGUUAACGAAUGUGACUUUGAGGGAAAAGUAAAUCCGGAGGCAAGGUUUAAAGUGCCACGGCACGGGGGCGUGCCAUUGUCUGCCUGGCACAGUACGGCGCCGGCACGCUUCCGUGCCGACACGUGAUACGCAUGAGUGCCGAUGGAUACGCACGACCUUCUACUGGCACGCUUUGGCACGGACUUAUUUCAAUUUUUUUGGUUCCAAUAAGCUCUUAUAAUGUUAUUUUAAAAAAUUUAAUCAAAUAAUUAUGAAUAUUUGCUAUAUAUAGCUUACUAUACUUAUCAAUUAACAUAUUUGUAAACUUUUCUGUAUGUAAAGUACAAUUAUAUCUAAUGUAGAAUAGAAAUUUUUACAGGUUAGAAUUUUUAAAAUGCAAAGACAUCUUUUUUUUCUUUUUUUUUGACCAUAUUACAGUCUUUAUUUUAUAAAAUACAAAAAAAAUUAAUUUUAAAAAUUAUUUGAAAAAAAUAUUUUAAAAAGUAUUUGAAAAUUUAUUUUUUUAAUUAAUUUUUUCAAAAAAUAGUAGAUCUAUCAAUAAAAUUAAGCAAUAAAUUAUAUGACAUAUAAAUUAAAUAAAUUUAAGUACGAAUUGAUUUAAUUUAGUUUUUAAUUUUAUCAGUAUUUUCAAUCUUUUAACACAAAAAUAAAAUUUUAUAUUUGAUGUGGCUCAAAUUUGUUUAUUGAGUUCGAUUUUGUUCUCUUAAUUUGCCAAAAAAUUCGCAGUGCGAUAAAUUUUAAUAAAAUAAUUUGUGAAGGAAAAAGAGAUAUCUGUGAUAGAAGCAAAAAGCUCGGACAAAUCUUUUGUCUGUAUAUUGAUAAACAAAAAAAAUUAAAUUAUAAUUUUUUUGACUUACCUCAUAAGUAAAUUUUCGAUUUGCAAUGUCAUUGGGGAGGGGCGUGGGGUAUCUAGAAUGCUUUGGAUAUUCCAAAGAACAAAACAAAAGAAAAAAAAAAACAAAAAGCAAAAAAAAAAAAUAGCAUAGUGCCGGCACGGCACUGUGCCGUGGCACGCUGCGCCGUGCCGCUCUAUCUCGUGCGGCACGGUGUUGCGUGCCGCGGCACGGAGGGGGGUCCGAGACCUCUCCUGUACCGUGCCACCUUCGGUACGUGCCGCCCCGUGCCGUACGGCAUGGGGCGGCACUUUAAACCUUGCUUAAAACCUUGCUAUCCAUCCUUACCUUCAUAUAGUAAAAGCUCGUAUGGCGAAUCCAUACCUUCAUAUAGUGUUUACACUGCAUACCCACAUUAUGAUUCUUCUAUUCCAUACCAUCCUUAUUCUUAUGAUGUUGCAGUCCAUAUGCCAGUACAAGUGACUGUUGUUUAUUAAAUCCACGAUUCAGUUGCAUAUGCAGAUUACGUAUGACGAUACAAUGAGAUGUACCAGCAAAUAGUGAUCGGGUCGUUGCUGCUCCAAUUGAUGUGGGAUGGAUUGAAAUUCAUUCUCAGUGCCAUGAAUUGAUGAAGUAGAAGAGUCAAAUGUAGAGUAUGCAUCAGCAUCGUAAUCGUAUCUUUCUCUAUUAAAACCAUGGUGAUGUGAGGGAUAUGAUGAUACCGAAGUACACUAUCAAACUGUGAGCACGUAUCGUCAUCCAUUCAUGGCUAUUCGAUUGACACCGGUUCCAAGCCCUCUCUCAUCUUCUAUAAUUUUGUUAUGAGGACCUAUUACCUGUUCUGCGAUCAUAUACCACUCCAGAUGUUUGACGUGGUUGAGACCUAUGAUCAGCAUCUCGAGUGGCAUGAGUGAGGUUUUGCUCUUCAGUAAAUAUAAGAACUUUCCCACCCUCCUGUUGUUCUGAGUAGCCCCAUUGCUAUUGGUGGUAUCAUCAUCAUCAUCAUCACUACACAUCUUUGGAUUGUGGUAAUCCAAAAUGUGUUGGUGUUGAUUUAUCGCUAUCAUUAUCAAGCGGGAGUGCACCACCUGCAUUUAAUAGAUCCACCGAUGUCAUACUUUUUCUACCCUUACCAGUUCCAACUGUUGUUGAAGGCUUGUUUACGAUAGACGAUGUCCUUUCUUUUUCGGAUUGACUUUUGAGUACAAUUAGGCAACCAUGUCCAGGUCUCAGCAUAAGGUGCUCAAAUUCUGCAUCAGAGUCAUCUACAAGAUUUUGGGAUUCUUCGCCUAAAGUUGCUUGUUCUUGCACAUCACCCCACUGAUUCUGAGACCUUCGUAUAUUCUCGUCACCCAUUUUUCUAUGUCACUAACUCUUGCUUUCUCAGCAAUUAUCUUGAAUGAUCGUGGUGGAUUAAUUCUUUCUAUUUUGUACCCAAUCAAAUGCGGGAUCUGAUUCAUCAUUAAUAAAGCUUGCAUCUAAAGGAUCAUUUUUAUUUCUUAUUAUACUCCUUUUGCAUGCAUCUUAAACGGAGCCUCAUAUUACAGUGGACAUAAAUUAGCUUGUCUAAUCAUGCAUAUGCUAAUUGAUUACACACUUUAGUAUGUAUCUAUGCGAAUGUACUCCAGUUACAUUUUGCAUCCGCUAGACGUUGUUUGAGAUAAAACACGCACAUCAAUCUUCUUUAAAUGCUUUGCUGAUCCACCGUAUUGUAGCCACCAUUUAGAUUUCCAUUUAAAAAUUAAAAUCGUAUCAAAUUAGGUUUGUCGUUAGAUAUAAAAUGUCUAAGUUAUUGAGUUACUGGGAUCGGUGUUGUCUCUCGUUAAUUGCACCCGUUUCGCCAAAAGUACCAGAGGAUUCAUGAAAUAUUUUUUCUUUAUUAUGAUAUUAUAAUAAUGAGCAAUCAGUAUGUUAAUAUAUAAUAAAUUAAUAAUACAUUGAAAAAGCAAGUGUACCUUAUUUAUGGCUUGGAUUCCUCUCCAAUCUAUUGAUGACAUUUAAUGCCCUCCAAAAUUCAUCAUCAAACCCAUGAUUAUAACGAUGGUGGUAUGAUGAACUAAUAUAAUAACCUAUCAUUAAGAAAUCACUCCACCAAUGCAAAAAUACAAUUGAACAAUCACUAACAAAUAGUUUUGUUAUAAUUUUGUAGCACACUGAAUCUUAGCAAAUUGCAAGGUUUCAGUGUAGGAAUAGUGUUUUGAACUAUUCUGGAAGUUUUGAGGGUUGUCUGGAGUGUGUUGACUUGUUUUUGGAGCUAAGUAGGCGCGAGAACGGGUUUUCGACAUCAAAAUCUGUAAAUUACAGAUUUUUGGUGUUGAGUACUGGUACUGAUUUGAGGUACCGGUACUCAGUAGAGUGCCGAAAUGGGCAGCUCUCGGAUUUUGCGGAACCAGGUUGUGAGUACCGGUAUAAAGCCGAGUACCGAUACUACAUCGGGCAGGUACCAGAACGUAGUAAAAACUAGAAUUUUCAAUGUUCGGGUUUUGCGGAACUAGACCCCUGAUAUCGGAACUGCCGAGUACCGGUACUCCAAUUCAUGUACCUGUACUCAAUGUUGCAGAGUCUAAUUUCGUGUAGUAUGCAAUUUCUGAGUUUUUGAGGGACCUAAGGGAGAUUGUUACAUAAUGUUGUAUAACCUCUCAUCCCCUCACUUGUUUCCUCUUGUGCUCAGGCUAGAGAGAGAAGAAGGUGAGUGCUCACUCUCUCUCUUGAAUUUCUUCCUUCAAACCCCCAAAUCUUGGGUUUUUAUCUCUUUUUUUCUAGCUUCUUCAUUGAAGCUUGCAUCUUGGACCUAGAAGGGAGCUUGGAAGUGAAGAAGAAGCUUGUUUUAGAAUUAAACUCCAACCCUAGCAUCUCAUAGCUUGGUUUGGAGCUCUUAUUGAGGUUAAUAGUCUUCUUGCAUCAUCUAAUUGUGUGUUUUGCAAGAAUUUUGGAAGAAAACAUAGUUUGGAAGAAACUAGGGUUUAUUUGGGGUUUCUUUAUUUUGAGCUUUUGUGAUUGAAUUGAUGGAUGUAGAACCCUCUUUUAGGUUGGAUUUGAAGCUUCUUAGCUUUGGUUUGGACCUUGGACAAGUUUUACUUGAUCAAAGGUAAUUUUCAUCUAUUUUCUACUUGAUUUUUGGUGAAUUUCGUGGCAAGCUUUUUAGAAGUUUGUAACCCCUUAAGAAUUUUUCUUAGGGUGCUAGAAGUUUAGUGGGCAACUUCGUUUGAAGAAACGAACAAGUUUCAAAGAGUUUCUGGUGGGUUUGACCUCACCUAAAUGGAUAAACUCCUUCUAUGUCUCCUACAUGGUUUUAGGACUUAUUUGAUGCAUAUUUACGCUAAUCAUGAUAUGAUAGAAUUUUUGGAUACAUGAUGCAUAUAGGUUAUGUAUGAAAUUUUGUGUACUCUAUAUAGUAGAAUAAUGCCAUAUUUGAUGCUAUUUCCCACGACCACCAUGCUGUCGACAUAUAAUAGCAAAAUACGGAAGCUCCCGUCAUCGUAUUCGUAGAAAUAUGCACAAUAAUCCACCUCAAGCUUAUCAAAACCCAAACUCAAAAUAAGGGAAUCAAAUUGCUUGUACCAACAACUUGGUGCCUGUUUCAAGCCAUACAACGAUUUGUUCAAGCAACAAACCAAAUGCUCCCUGCCUCUUUCGACGAAGCCUUCUGAUUGCGACAUAUAUAUUUCCUCCUCCAGGUCACCACGCAAGAAAGCUGUUUUUACAUCCAUCUGCUCGAGCUCCAAAUCCAUGACUGCCGCGAUUGCCAAAACGACAUGAAUAAUAGUAAGCCAAAUCACUGGUGAGAAGAUCUCAUCGAAGUUGAUCCCUGGCUUUUGAGCAUAACCCUUCACUACCAAUUUGCCCUGAACCUCUCCACAUUCCCAUCCGCAUCCUUUUUCACCUUAAUAUCCACUGGCAUCCAAUCGCGUUCCUUUCCUUCAGCAAAUCAACAAGUUCGCAGGUCCUAUUCUUCCGAAGUGACCCUAUCUGCUCCAUCGCGCAUUGCCACUUUUCGGCAUUGGUCGACUCACAAGCCUCCUUAUAUAAAGUUGGCUCAUCUUUCUCCACCAAAGUAACAUAUGCACUAACAUGAUUAGCAGGAGUAAAUGAAGUAAUAUAGUCAUCAUACCUCGUAGGAGGUCUAAUGACCCUCCUAGGACGCCCGGAAUCCGCUGGUGGCUCCACCAGUGAAUUUGUAUCUUCAGAUGAUUGCGGAGAUUCCAAGUCUGGUUCAUUAUCAACCACCUUAUCGUCUUCCUGUGCUUGCUAAGCUUGCACCUCAUCGCGUGCUUCAAAGAACUCAAUUGGAGCCAUAGCCUCAUCAUCUUGCUUUUCCUUGGUUCUUUGAAAGGACCCUUCGUUGAAGACAACGUCACGGCUUAUGACGAUCUUGUGGGUAGUAGGAUCCCACAAUUGAUACCCCUUAACACCUUUCGCUUAGCUGAGAAAUAUGCACCUUCGAGAGAUCUUAUCCAAUUUUGACCUCUUCUCCUUCGGUAUCCACGCAUAACGUCACAACCAAAGACACGAAGAUAGGAGUAGUCAACGGGCUUGCCGCUCCAGACUUCUUCAGGAAUUUCCAAACCAAGUGAUUUUGUUGGCGUUCGAUUGAUCAAGUAACAAGCCGUGCUCACGACUUCCGCCCAAAAUCUCUUGUCGAGUUUUGAAGUACUCAACAUGCUCCUGGCCCUCUCCAUGAGUGUUUUAUUUAACCUCUAUGCUACACCGUUUUGCUGCGGUGUAUCGGAUACUGCGAGGUGCCGCUUAAUUCCAUGUUCACUACAAAACUCAUCAAAUUCUCUUGAACAACACUCCUCUCCGUUAUCAGAAUGUAGGCACUUAAUUUUUAAACCCUUUUCAUUCUCCACAAGAGCUUUAAACUUCUUAAAAGUUUCAAACACGUCGGACUUCCUCUUUAGGAUAUACUCCCAAGCCUUUUGAGAAUAAUCAUUAAGAAAGAGAACAAAGUAAGAACACCCGCCCAACGAAAUAUCGGGCGACUCCCAAGUAUCUGAAUGAAUCAACUCGAGAUGUGACUUGCUUUUUUGAUGUGAUAGAGAGAAGGAUAACUUUCGUUGCUUCCUGUAGAUGCAAAUUUCAAAGAAAUCCAAUGGCGCGGACUUGUAACUUGGAAGAAGUUCACGGUUAGAUAAUACCUGCAAUCCGCGCUCACUCAUGUGUCCCAAACGGCGAUGCCACACCGUCGGAGACUCCACCUUCACGCUUGCAGCAACCGCUUCUCCUACUUGAGUCUCGCCCACAAAUCUAUAUAGGCCAUCUAUUUGCUCUCCUUUAAUCAACACCAAACAUCCUUGAGAUACCUUCAAAUGAUCCUUCUCGCCGACGAGCCUAAGCCCUUGUUUGCAAAACAUUCCAAGUGAUAGAAGACUUUUCCGAAGUGCAGGAACAUGCCGAAUAUUAGAAACCGUCUGAACAACACCAUCAAACAUCUUGAUUCGAACAUCUCCUACUCCAACCACCGGACAUGUCGUGUUGUCACUCAAAUAGAUAACUCCACCAUCCCAUGGUUUGUAAAUAUGAAACCAUUCCCUAUAGGGAGUUAUGUGGAAUGACGCCCCCGAAUCCAAGAUCCAAUGAUAAAUAAGAUCGGAUCUAUCCAAUGCGGACAAAGCAUCUCCGUUCUCUGAACUAGCCGACUUAGCAUUCGUUUCGGCUACAUUACCUUGGAAGUUGCUUGAAUCGGAUUUAUUAUCAACUCCUUUAACCUGGCAAUCCUUCUUCAUGUGCCCCAAUUUUUCACAAUUCCAGCACUUUACUUUCUUUUUGUCCUUGGACUUUGAUCUUGACUUCCCUCGAUCACCACGCUCCCUCUCAAAGGGUCUUUCCCGUGCUAUUAUAGCCUCCCCCGAAAAGCUUCCUUGGCUAGACUUUCGCCUCAUCUCCUCCGUAAACAACGAUGCAACAACCGACUCCAUCUUAAGGGUUUCAACAUGGUUCAAGUUCAUAAUCAAAUUAUCCCAAGAUUCCGACAUCAAACAAAGUAAAAUAUUUGCCUUUUCUUCUUCAUCAAUUCUCACGGCUCACUAUGGAGUUGAAUGAACUUAGAUGUUCUUGUACGGGUGCCCCGUCCUUCAUCUUUAGACUGUACAAUUGCCGCCUUAAGAAGAUUUUAUUCACCAAUGACUUCCCUUUAUAGAGAUUCUUCAAUUUAUCCCAAAUCCUUUUGCGGUAGUCUUGGUCUCCACAUUUCAGCACCGAAUCAUCUAGUGCCAAAUACAGAUUUGCCAAAGUCAUCUUGUCUUUCUCUUCAAAUAGCUUAUCCGUCAUCCCUUCCGGCUUUUUCUCCUUUCCUUGCAGGGCGAUCUCACAAAUAUCUUUAAUCAAGACUGCUUGCAUCUCAAGUUUCCACAAUGCGAAAUUCGUUCCAUCAAAUCGAAGAACCUCAUACUUCGUCGCUUUAAUUUUUUUCCACCAUUGUUUCACCGUUAACGUACUACAAAGAACCAAACGCUCUGAUACCAAUUGAACGGACUGGCCGUGGGGUUACGACCACACCUCAAACCCACACGGCACGGGCGCAUCCGAAACAGGAUCUUUCGUAGACGUAAGAGAUGAGAGCGAUCGUAGAAAAAAUAAGCACGAGGAUAACAAAGCAAUAAAGAAAAUAAGAGAACACAAAAACAUAAGAUUUACGUGGUUCGGUCAACCAUGAGUCGACCUACGUCCACAGGAAAGCCACCUCAAUGCUUUCUUCGAUUAAUCCACGGCACAAAAGUACAAAGGAGUAGAUUGGAUUGCAAAAAAUUCUCUCUCAGGAGCUUUCCACGUUUUCCUCUCAACUAGGGUAUUUUCAAUGAAGCUUAUAAUCUAAAAGCUUAAUUACAAGGGUUUAUAUAACCCUAAAAUCCUAAUUCUAGUAAGAAACAAUUUUCGCCUUCUAUCCAAGUCUGAUUCACAUGUAGUCAUUGAUAUCCUUUUAGGAAUACUCUUUAAAGUGAUUUUGGACUAUUCUUAAUCUUUUGGAACAAUAUUAGAUCCAAUCAGAGUCAAACUCUGCAUAUCGACUUGGAACAUGGCAGAAUUUAAGUGUCAUGGCACGCGGUCGUGCUGAAAACUGGCCGGCAAGGUACAACACGAUGCGUUACGGGCGGUGCCGAUAUGUGCCGGUCGCAAAAAAUACAUGCAUGCCUACACAUAAUAGUAUGAAAUAUUUUUUUUCUUUAGCACCAAAAUACUCUAAUUGCUUAUUAUGUAUCUAAUUAAAUCUUUUGAACUUUAUUGAGAAAAUUACUUAUUUAAUUAAGCUAUGUCAUCGGCAUAGGGACUAUAUCGUGCUAAUAUUUUGUUGGCACGAUACGACACGGUACAUACAGCCCAUGCCGAUGUGUCAGAGUCCUUUUUGGUUGUCAACGGCCCUGACUUUGUCAAUAGCAUUGAGUCUGUAAAGAGUCUGUAAAUGUUUUGUCGGGCACGACGUCGACAUAGGAUUUUUCUUGUUUGGGAUGGGCAUUGCUUGUAAAUUGGCAUCCGGUUGGCUACCCGCGGGUUCGCUCGUGCUACGCAUCCAAGGGAACAUAGGUAUUUCGCUAACAAUGGCCGCUUAUGCAACGGAUUGAGCCGGAUGCGUGUCGGACAUGGGUCGGCGGCCUAUUUUCCCAUGGGUGUGCGGAGGGGGGAAAACGUACCCCUCGGUGAGCACCUUUGUACCCUCGGGGUGCCAAAGGGGUGGAUGCCAAUAUGGGAUAGUACGGGAAGGUUGGGUGAUACGUAUUAAGUGAGCCGGCUUCGCUAGAUGCGGAGUGUCUUAGUGAUCAUUUUGCCUUCAUCGGCCAUGCCCGACCAAGUCGAGUCGUGUGCUUUUCGCUUGUAGUCCAACUUUUCGUUAUCAAUAAAAUACUCGUUGUUUGUACCAAUUUGCAGGACCCCUUUGUGUGCUUUCUCUCAAUUCUCGGUCGUUGACAAUUUGCGAAAUUGUGCCUCGGGACAGAUUGGCUGGCUCGUUUGUGCAGGUGACGAACGAGCGCCGCGCGGGCUUUUCGACAAGAAGUCAUUAGACCUGUGUUAGAUGGGCACUUAAAUCCUUGUGUAUAACUAUAAAAGCUAUAGAGAAUUAUUUCAUUUACAGAAAACUGUAAAUGAUAUCAGUGUUAAGCUUACAGCGCAUUACGUGCUUCACGAUCAUUUAAAAUGACCUAUGAAGACCUCAUCAUGCUCCAUUAUAUAGGAUUUGUUCAAUUCCGAUGUAAGAUGCCACAAAGGGGAGAUGGACAGAGAAUGACCAAACAAGAAUUCAUUGGCCUUACACGCUGGAUGAUACUGCUGACUAUAGUUGGAUGCAAAUUGAUUUAUAUAUCAGACUUUUGUAUCUAUGGCAUGUUAUCCCUGUCAUUAUAUUUAAUUUGGAAAAGGAUGCAAGAAAACUGUGUUGUAUAUCUUUUUUAAUCUGCUAGCAAAGGGAGUUACUCGUACAUUUUGGCUUGAAAUGUUAGUACAAGGUUUACCAUUCUCUCUUAUGGUUGUUCAUUAGUACAAAAUUGGAGCACUAAAAUAUCAAUACUGAUUUCACGACAUGCAUAAUAUGGCAGAUAAGUUCCAUCAUGAGAGUUUGUCACAUAAUUCCUGGUGUCCAAACUAAUAUAUGUUGCCCUUAAUUAUAUAAUAAUGGAGAUGUUAACUUUUCUUCAAUAACUGUGAUUUUAAAUUUCGAGUCGUCCUUCAAUUACUGUCUCGGCUUCAAGUUUCAUCUCUUUUUCUCUGCUUUUAAUGUAGGAGGAAAUAAAUGAACUUGAGACCAUGGACCCCUCAUCUGCUGCAUGCCAAGAGUGAGUAAAUCUGGUUUUGUGUACCUGAUGUUUUAUUUCUAUGCAUAUUCUCAGUGCUAACGAGGUAAGACCUUAUUCUUGAUUUUGUUUGUAGAGUUCUCUUAAGUAUGGAAGGAAAACCUGAGCCGCUCCUUCCUGUGUGAGUAGUAACUUUCAAUAAUUCUGAUGAUCUUAGAAAAAAAAGCCAUUUUGAAAAAAGGAAAUUGGACAGCAGAUUAUCAGUAUACAUGUUUUUUUUUCCUCGCACUGUAACAAUGUUGGUAAUGCAUUGGUGAUCUUAUUGAUAUUUUGUCAGCACCAGAGGUCCAGAAGAUGUUUCGUGGGAUCGGUGGUUCCAGCGUGUUCGUAGCUCUCGUGGUCACAAGUGGUGGACACACAAAGGUUCUGAUUUUUCUUAAUGUCUUGCAACAAAUCAGGUCACAAGAACUUCAACUGCUUUCACAUAUGGCUAGUUGAGAGAGCACAUUUUGUAUGAUAGUUUUGGCAACUACAUACUUCUGUAAUGUCGAUUUACGGCGGCUCUAUGUUUAGUGUAAUAUUGCACGAUCGCUUUUGAGUCUGGAGUUGUUAUUGGUUGAAAUAUGUGUGACAAGCACUCACAGUGAUUUCUCCUGGAAAAGUUAGUUGAUUCACAAGGCUAUCAAAUGGGAUCUACUAUUCAUAAUUGCUUGUGUUGUCGCAUGUUUUACAGGCUUUGUCGGAGCGGCAAAUGAUAUGUAUCUUGUGUAUUUAUUUCUUACAAUUCAUUUGUGUUGGCUUAAAACAGCCAGCAUCCUAUCUUAUGGGGGGAGGCCAAAUUAGGCCGAGUCAUGUUAGAAAUGACGAAAGGCUCGUUGGGCUGAGACGCUCGAGAUUCGUGAACGUUGUAGCUGUAUAUUUUAAGUGUAUUUGUUGCAUAUUUUUUAGUAGCUCGAGUUUUUGAAAUUAAUGCAAAUUUUUGUAUCCGAGAAUAGUUCUCUGGUCUCUGGAAUAAAUUGAUAUAACCUGGUAUAAGUGUGGAAUUGUUGUUCUAUCAUUUUUCCUAGAACAAGCUUGUUCCCAAAUGGGAACAAGAUUAAUUAAAGUUUAAAUUUAAUUUUAAUUAUGAUAUUAAAUCAUUAAUUAAUCUAAGUAAUAUAUUUAAAUCAUUAUCCAUUGCUUAAAUAAUAAAGUAACUAAUUAAUUUAUUACUUGUAAUUAAUUAGCUAAUUAAUUAUUAAUAAUUUAAUGUGUUUAUACAUAAACUAAUAUUUAUAUUAAUCAACCGUUAAUGUUUUUAUUAAUCUAAUUAAUUUUUUUACUAAUUAUCAGACAAAUAAUUUACUAACUAAUUAAAAUGUUAAAUUAUUUUUUAAUGUUAAUUAAUUAAUAAAAAUAUUUUUAUUAUCUUAUAUAAUAUUAUAGUUAAUAAAUUAUUAAUUUAUUAAAUUAUUUUAAUUAAUAUUUUGAUAUUAAUUAAUUUGAUAAAAUUUUCUUAAUUUAAAAUUAUAACUCUUAUUCCUCUUGUAUGAAUCUAACCAGGUAAAAUACUAUUUACCUUAUUCUUAAAAACAAUAUAAUUAUUUUUUUCGAAAUGCAAAAUUAAUCUAAAUUCUAUUUUUCAUCUGAAUUUGUAUUUAUACUCGAACCAAAGGCAAAUAAUAACUUAGUUAGUUGAGCCGUUCUAGAAGCACUAGCAAAUUUUCUGUCGAGAACUCAUUUUACAAUUCCCCAGGCCCACGGGCCUACUUGGUAGGCUUAGUGCAUCAAUAGUAUGCUGCCAUUUAGCAUUUGUGACCUCAACGUCACACAGGAUAAAGGACAUAUUUGAGCCGGCUUCCAGGCAGAGAUGUCCCGAACCCGAAUCCGAACCCGAACGGAACAGAUUGAUUUUGGAUAUGAAUAUCAAAAAUAAAAAUUCGACGGAUAUGAAUUCGGAUAUGAUUUUGAUUUUACCAGACCCGAACCUGAACCCAACCUUGAACUUGAUCCGAACCCGAAUUUAUUUUAUAUUAUCUAUAACAUGUAGAUAAAAAUUUAAUGUUAUAUUUGAAUUUGUAUUUUAAAAGUUUUGAUUUAAUGCAAUAUAUUUUGAAAUAUUAAAAAGAGAAAUAAUUAUUUCGGGUUCGGAUUUGGAUUCGGGUUUCGGAUUUUUGAUCGGGUUCGGAUUUGGAUAUGAAUUUUUAAAAUCCAUCGGGUUCGGAUUUCGGAUUUGGAGUCAGGUUCCGAUUUGGAUUUUUAAAAAUCCAUCUCCAAUCCGUCCUGUUGGCAUCCUUACUUCCGGGGAAAGAAAUUGGUUUGUGCCCAGGGCUAACACAGAACCGGUUAGAGCCCUGGGCUCGAAGAUGCACAUAUAAGGAGCCAGACCAUCUCGUUCCGGCCACCCAACACUCCAAUGAUCCCCGAGAAGGUGAGCAUUGUUCACCUCGUGUCCAGUAAGGUAAGACCCCAUCUUGGUUUUGAACUAAUAGUCCCCGAUUGCCUAGUUAGGGUUUGUCGUCUCUGUAAGGCUUCAAACCUUGGUUCAAAUUGCUCCAAAUCACUUGGUUGGCGUUUGUGCUCCGAACAUGUGAGGACUGAGAUUUUUCUAUAUAUGUUUAAUAUAUUUAAAUGUUAUUGUAAGGUACGGACUUCUAAAAAUAUGAAGUUACGGUGUACAUUUAAAUGGUUCCGGUGAGGUUGCGGUGUAAUGUAAUAUACCGGAUUUAAAUAUAAAAAUAAAAAUAAAUAAAAAUAGUAUGAGAUACUAUUUUUAUUGGAUUUAGAGAAGUGAAAUAUAGGUUGGGAAUGACCUGUGUUGAAAUCGGAGCGAAAACAGAAGAUUUAGAAUUUUCUAUGAGAAACGGGACAGAUAAAUUAGCAGAAAAUGCACAGUCUCAGAAAAUUAUGAAAAUUGGAGGUUAAGUCAGAAAUAUUUUUAUGAGGCUAGAUUUAAAGUUUCAUAUUUUUCUGACAUCCGUAGAGUGAGAAAUAAAAUCCGACAGUUAUCUGAUAAAGAUUACAGUUCGGUACAGUUUUCAGUGACUAAACGGGGUCGAAACUGAAAUAUUAAAAUUUCUUUGGACUUAUUAAGUAAAACCGAGCGUGCCUGUCAAAUUUGAGCUCAAACAGACAUUCAGGGAGUUCCGGCGAAAGAUAUCAGAUUUCAAGCUGCCUGUAAGUGAAUAGUGUUGGGGUGUAAUUAAAUAGAAGCUCUUGGCUUCUUCUUCCCCAACCAGCCGCACACACACACACCCACACGCCACACAACACACACGCAUGGAAAGAGGGAGAAAGAGAAACCUUCCAUUUUCUCUCUCUAAAUCUCUCCCAAAGUGGAUGGAUUUGGUGGAGAUUGAAGCUUGGAGGUGAAUCGCCUUCGUCUUCUUCAUUUUCUCCACCUUGAGGGCAAGCUUGAGAGGUAAGCUUUUGCUACCUUUUAAUGGUAGAUUCUUAAUAGUUGGUUUAAAUACCUUAUAAAUGGAUUUAGAGGAAUCCUAGCAUGCUAUCUAGAUGAAUGAUACUUGAUUCAUGAAGGAAUUUGGUGGAUUUUUAUCUAGUUGCAACUUAGGGCUUCAAAAUGGGAUUUUUGUAAAUGUGAGGGUUUGAUCUCAUUUGACCCUCUGUAAACCUAAUUGAUAGGUCACUGAACACGUUGGAAGCGACGGUUCGGCGAUUCGUCGAGCCGGUGCAAAGUUAUUAAAGAAACGGACGUUUAGGCUUCGUUUCCGCCUGGAGGGCCGAGGCGACGUCGUAAAAUCCUGAAAACGGAUUUGAAGCAUCGUAACAAGAAACCGAAGACCUUUAAUUUUUGGAUCGCGGAUCGGAGGUCGUUUGGUGGUCGCGCGCGGAUUGGGUCAAGCCGAGCGGCGUGCGCCGCGGGAGGCUGAUUGCGAGUGACGACGAGCAAUCGGAACGCGAUAAAAGGUGGGGGGUGUCUAUUCCGAAGCAACUGAGCUUCUUCCUAUGUCUUAGUACUUUAUCAAUUUGUAUAAAGUAUAUUGUAUGUUGCUACGCUUUAUAGGAUGACAAUACAUGCAUUCCUAAUCCUUGUAUGAUGUUUAUGAUCAAUAUAGUAUUAUGAUAUGGAUAUAUGAUGUAAUGGACAUAAGGAUUAUGAGAUGACAUCGGUAAACCUAUGAUGCUAAAUGAAAUAAGAACCUAGUAUUGUAUUUAAAGACAUAGUUUACAAGUGGCAUUGAACUCAUUGUGCUAAAAACACAUAUGACUUGAACUUAGUAAUGGAUUGGUUGUUGUACUAGAAACUCUAGUUAACAUUGAUCAAGUUGCAUAUUGGGAUAUUGCAUUAUAGGGUACUAGUUGGCAAUUGUUACAUGUCAUGGCAUGCUAGUGGGAGUGUAGUGUUACUUGAUUAAUAUUUGUACCUAGUAUGCAUGAGAUUGGGACUUAGUGUGGUGAAACCCUAUAAGGGCAUGAUUAAUGUGGAUUAAACUUUAGUUGAGUACAUUAAUCGAUCAAGUUGCAUAUUGUAUUUAUUGCAUAUAGGUGCUAGAUGAUUAUGGUUAUUGCUUAUAUUUGCAUGCUAGUAGCUAUACAUCUUGAUGAUUGAUCCAUGAUCUAGUAUGCAUGAGAACCUAGACCCUAUAUGUGAUGAUUAAUAUUUAUGUGAUUAAAGAAUUAGUAUGACGAAACUAGUGUUAAAAGUGGCAUCUAGUUUAGAAAACUAUGACAAGUGGCAUCUAGUCAUAGAAAACUAUGAUGUGAGGCAUAUGAUUGUUGAUGACCUUGACAUGAGAACAUUAGUGUAGUUGUGACAUUAUGAGAUUGGGUACAAGAACACCUUGAUUCCAUGAUGAGAUUACCCUUAGAGGGUAGGUUGCUGAUGUUCGUGAGUUGAUCGUGCUCACAUAGCCUGUCUGCGCUUGGAGGGGUCGCUCCCCAUAAGCUGUGCACUCCGGAGGUUGGUCACUAGAGGGACAGUCAGUGUGCUGUCUGGACGGUCUGUGUGCUGUUCGCAGGCGGUCUCGGGAAAUAGUUCAGUGAGACUUUCCCCUAUGAGACUUACACGUGAGAUAUGUUCGUGAACCCCGAGUUCACCAUGAGAUUUGGUUACCUAUUGAGUCAUACUCAUUAUCGUUGUUCAUGAUAGCUCGUUUCCAUAGUUGUUGUGUUGUUCAUAGUAGCUUACUAGUGUUCAUAGUAGCUUACUUAUUGCUCAUGCAUUCAUGAUAUACUAUUCCUUCACCUAUGAGAUUUGAGUGGAGUAACCUUGUACCUAGUAGGUCGAGAUGUGAGUCGGGCAAAGUGCGGGGUAGCCUUUGCCUAGGACUUUGAGAUGUGAGUCGGGCAAGGAGUGGGGUAGCUCUUCGCCUAGGACCUUCGAGAUUGAGUCAGACCUUGAGAUGUGAGUCGGGCGAGGAGCGGGGUAGCUCUUUGCUCAGGACCCUUAAGACAUGAAUCGAAUAAGACAAGAAUGAGGUAGCUUUUCACCUACUAGAUUUGAGAUCUUAGGCAAAGUAGCCUAGUGGAUUGGGCAAUAAUGUGAAUAGCAUAAGUGGAUUGCAUUCAUACCAUGAUUAGACAUAGUGCAUUGCAUAACUAUGUUAUAGUUGUAUUCAUUUCACUGUUGAGGCAUAUUAGCAUGAUAGUAGAUUGUUGCUAGAUGAUAAUCCAUACACUUCUUUCAUUUGAUGGCAUAGUAGAUAUAGUAGCAGUUUAUUUCCGUAUAUCUUUCUAUCUAUCUAUCUGUGCCAGCUUGGACCUAGUGGGAAGAUCGGCGGAGUCGGCGGCCGAACCCACUGGGAACUAUAUUUAUAUAGUUCUCACCCCGUCUGGUUUUAGGGUACAGGUACAUACGAGAGCGGACCGGCAGAUGAUCGCGGCAAGGGCUUAGCGCCCUAGUGCUAGUUGGUAGUUUACUUUCCUAUUUUGCAUUAGAGUUAC
rnacentral:lncRNA from 1 species